GUGCUUCUACUUCUGGUUAUGGUAGCCGGGGGCCGGCUAACAACAGCUCGGGACACAGUCGGAAGCAACUCAUCUGCUACUACUGUAAUAAACCUGGGCACGUGGUAAAGGACUGCAGGCAGCUUAAAGUGCUGAAGCAGUCGUCAAUUUCUGGAUAUAAGGGUGGCUACAACAACAGGCAGGCGGCUGGCAGAGGUUAAGGCCUGGCUUCUGCUCCCGUCGCGUCCCGGCGCGUCCGGGUUCAAAUCCGCCUGCCGACCUCUCGGGGUGUUUGAGAGGUGAUGAAAUGGAAGGUGGCCCCCCAUCCAGUGGACGGUGUAGGACGUGAUAAAAUCAACUCGCGAGCUGACCAGGAACUAAGAUGACGCGCCGUUGAUCCGCUAGAUUUGGUUGGAUGCUGGUGGUGAGUUGCCAAACUCAAAGAGUACAUUCCGAAGUCGGAUGGGGUGAAUGGCUCAGGGUGCCCCUCUAGCAGGGGAGAGCAGGGAAUUGCCUCGGGAAGGAGGCCACUGGUGAAGCUUAACCACCCUGUCAAUUCUCCAACACGAACUGCCUUCUUGUUAGCGCGUAAUGUUGGCAAGAACCGAUAAGUCACAGGACGGAUUCGCUCCGCCAAGGUCUGGGCUCUUGUCUAAAGAUAGAGUAAUAAAAACUCUGUCUCUUUUGUUAAUAAUCCAACCCAGGCUCCCUCCCGAGUAUAUAAUAUAAUACUCGUUGCUUAGGAGGCUGCAACGACUUCUGUCGUAGAGUGUCCCUUCGGACCACCUGACGGCUGGUUAGACCGAGGUGUCUGUUCGAUUGGGGUAGGAACCCUGAAAGAGUGUCAAUCCUUAAUUAGGAAACACUUAUUCAUCUCAAGGUAUUCAAAGACUGUUCAUAGAUCAGUCUUAAUCAAACCAUGCCUUCAUCGCUUUGCGAUUUGGCUCUGUAACGCUAUAAGGCGCUACAACAUCUGCCCACCUUUCUAGAUGGCUGCGUCCACGCAGCGCACAGUCCAAUAGGCAUCAAUAAGAGAUCUGUCGGGGAAAGCAGGUUCUUCAAUCCAACUGUUAUUCUCAUGUCCAUCCAACCCAUUUCACGAGAUACCGUGUCAGGGUUCGGUUUCGGAGCUUUCGUUGAUCAUGAUCUAAGAUGCGUUCAGGUAUCCAUACAGAGGUAGGAAACCUUCAGGUUAAAUUCCGACUGCAGGUCGAGGGGGUUGUACGGUGCCAUUUCCGUAACAACGGUACAUGGAACACGUUAUGGAAACGAUAUUCCUCUGGAAGGGUCAAUCUAGCAGCAGCUGGAUUGAUCAUCUUCUCAAUCGGGAAAGGUCCAAUCCAUCUAGGCAUCAGCUUCUUCGAACCUUUCUGGAGGGUCAAAUUCUACGUACUGAGUAAGACUUGUUGUCCUUCAGUAAACGACACAUCACGUCGUCCUUUAUUCUCUUGCUUAGUCAUUCGAUCUUGCGCAGCCAUCAAGGCAGAUUUAGCAGCAGCAAGUCUCUUGGCAUACGUAUCGACAUUACCCUUAGCAACGGGAACUGCGUCACCGAGUUCGAGUUGUACAGGGGUCUUAGGAUGAUAGCCGUAGUUCAGGAAGAAUGGACAAACUCCUGUCGAACGAUUCUUCGAGUUAUUAAUCGCAAAUUCAGCAGGUCCAAGGUAUGUCUCCCACCGUGAAGGUUCCUGAUCACAGUAGUUUCUCAACAUGUCUCCAAGGACGCGAUUAACUCGUUCUGUCUGACCAUCAGUCUGAGGAUGGAAAGCAGUACUCAUCGCCUGCUUCACCUCUAGCCUCUUCAUGAGAGAGGUCCAGAAGGCACCAGUAAACUUGGUGUCACGACCUGAGACGAUGGUGUCUGGUAAACCGUGAAGCCGUACCACGGUGUCAAAGAAUAAUCUGCAGUUUCUUCUGCGUCUAUUUCUUCCUUGCAUGGUCGUACAUGCACCAUCUUAGUCAGUCGGUCUACAAACACCACAAGGGAGUUGUAACCUUUUCUAGUCGAGGGCAGUCCGAGUACAAAGUCCGUUGAGACGCUGCUCUAAGUCGUUCAGGAAUCGGCAGAGGUCGAGAUAGACCCAGCGGUUUGCCUGAUGAAGCUUUAUUCCGUUGACAAAGAUGGCAACACGCGACAAAGUCUGCAACGUCAGCUUUCAACGUAGGCCACCUGAAAUUCCGUUCAACCAAAUCAAUGGCGAACCAUCGAUCUCGUCCAGGGUGCCCUGACAAGAUAUCCGUGUGGCUUCAUUCAAUAAUCUCUCGUUUCAAGGCGGGGUCAUUGGGCACCACGAUGCGGUACUCGCACUCCCCCCUUCCUAUCUGAAAGAAUCCGAGAGGAUUCGUCAGAAAGAAACGAGUAUGAUCUGGGUUCUGGAAAUGAACGUCUCUUUUUGUAGCAUCGGCAAUACAUUGGAUGAGUGGGUCCAGCGUAAGUCCCUGAGAGCGACGUGUAGUAACCGCAUUGAAUACCACGACAGAUGCCAUGGAGGGAUGGCGUGACAAAGCGUCGGCGACCACGUUCAACCGUCCUGGUCGGUAAAUCCACUCAAAAUUUAGUUGAGCCAGGAACUCAAACCAACAGGCUUGUCUGUGGCUUACGGUCGACUGAGUCUUAAGAAAGAUCAGUGGAUGGUGGUCGGUGACGAGGUUAAAUGGAAUGGAACUCUGUAAAUAGCAUCGCCAUUCUUGCAAGGCGUUGAUUACCCCAAGUAGCUCCUGUUCACCCGUACUGUAGUUCCGUUCAGCAGGGGAAAAUUUCUUACUGGUAAAGGCGACCGGUCGGUCAUUUUGCAGGAGUACGGUGCCAGUUCCGUUCAGCAAAGCAUCUGAAAUCACUUCGAAGGGCUUCAUAUAUCCGGGUAAUUCAACAAAACGUCGUUCGAUAGUCGAGCUUUGAGCGUUUCAAAGGCUCGUAUGGCUUGUUCAGGCCAUUCAUCUGGUAAUCUUUUCGCACAGAAGAGAUCGGUCAGGGGUGCAGCAAGGGAGCUAAAACCUGCGAUAAAUCGCCGGAAAUAGUUCACAAGGCCAACGAAAGAUCGAAGUUUAGAGAUGUCCUUUGGCAAUGGCCAAGUUCGAAUAAUCUCACCUUCUUGGGAUCCAUACGGAUACCAUCUGCGUUCACGACAUGUUCAAGCUAUUGGACUCCGAUCUUCCAAAAAUCGCACUUGGAAAGCUUGACAUGAAACUGAUUUUUGGGCGGGGCCCCAGCGCGAAGCGCCCAGGGGGGCCCCGACCUGUAGGGGGGCCCCAUGUCCGUGUGUGUGUGUGUUCGUGUGUGUGUAACGGACCAAACAUAAUAUCUAGUCCGGCUGAAACGCGUUAUCGGUACUAUACAGCAUUCUCUAUUGCAAGGUAUCUCGCAUGUAGCCAACAAAAAUUGCAUGAGCACAAACAAGUUUGGCUGCCUGAAUUGACCGAGGCCAAAGUCACAUCAACGCCUCUCGCGCUAAAUUUCAUCCCGAAAGGUACCACGUAUCUCAUAUUUGAAUUCUUAGAUGACGGCGUAUGAUAACUCGAACACCCAGGCCUUGAGUGUGUAACGGACCAAACAUAAUAUUUCACCCGGCUGAAACGCGUUAUCGGUAGUAUACAGCAUUCUCUAUUGCAAAGUAUCUCGCAUGUAGCUAACAAAGACCGUAUGAGCACAAACAAGUUUAGCUGCCUCCAUUCACCGACCUCAAAAGUCACAUCAACGCCUCUUGCGCUAAAUUUCAUCCCGAAAGCUGCCGCAUAUCUCAUAAUGAAAUUCUGAGAUGACGGCGUAUGAUAACUCGAACACCCAGCUUGUGUUACCAUUUGCCGGCAUGGGCAAUCCGACUUGCCACCAGCAGGCCAACAUAAUUUGCUUUCAUUUUUUUUCAUUUCUAUAUGAAAUACACAAGCUGCUUGUUUGUACAUUUACUUUGGCCAAUGCACGGGGCCUCCGAAGACUUGCGGUGUGCCGCGAUGAAGCUCGCGUGUGGGGCGGAUUGCUUAGGACGCUGGCGCUUCGGGGAUAAACAUCACAGACAGCACCGAACUUCACUCAGCUUGCGUUACCAAUUUGCCCGCUCGGGCAUUCCGACUUGCGGUCUGCCGCACUGUCCAUGCGGCAUGCACCAGGGAUGGAUGCGAUUCGCGUGGAGCCCGCAGGCGGUGCUGACGAUUCCGCCGGUGCAAGCUUCGCUCCCACACCAUCAGUACUGCUGCAACAAAGCACAUCUCCCACCGCAGUGACACUAUCCAUCAAUUGUCACACGUGCCGUGCUAGCUACCGGCCUGUACGGAUGCAAGGGGGGCCCGCCCUUUUUCCGGCUUCGAGGAAGCCGACACCCGACUUGUCCUCAGGGACCUUUAACACCACCCUUAAAUGGCGUGCGUGUUCUUAAGCAAUGUCAUGUAUGCUGUUGAACGUAUUUUGGACUAUCGGACCCGGCGCGUGGGUAAGUCUAGGCGCAAGCGCACUGUUCACGAGUAAUUAGUCAAGUGGGUAGGGUACUCGUCCGAACACAAUAGCUGGGAACCGGCGCGCAACUUCACCCCGGAUCUCAAAACCGUUGCUUGAUGCAGCUCGUCUGCGGGCUCAGUCCAAGGUUGCAACACGUUAGCUGGUAUGGCCAAUCUUGUUUUGCGCAGCGAUCUGUAUGCGGAUUUAUAUCUUAUAUAUAUAUAAAUAGGGGGGUCCUUGUGAAGCAGCUGCCCGCGUUUCCAAAGCAUGUAUGGUGUCGGAUUGUAAGGUGCCCAAGUACGUUUGCGAGGAAGAGAAUGUGGCCAGGCUGGAGAGGAAAGUGCAGUGGCAUAUUGGAAUGUGAGAUUAGCGUAAGCGAGUUACAGGGCGUUUGGCGCACGGGCGAAUUUACGUGCAUACCUUUCACCGUAGCAUCAGUCCCCAGUUCACUUCUUGGAACGAACAUCAGCAUAGGUCCAAGCCCUUUCGCUUGGAGGGAUAUGCAAACAAACAUCCUGAUAGGGGUAAACUCGCACGCUACCGAGCAUUCAACCGAGCACAUGCAUGCUUAGUUGAAUGGUGAGAUGCGACCUCUCUUCAUUUCGUGCUCGGCAAGCCUGCCACCGCGUACCGGAUAUGUUGGCGAUGUUACAGAGACGCUGCACCUUGGUUUCUGUGCGCAAUGCGUACGAUGCUCGACCCCGCCGACCAAAACUACACGUGCCCAACUGAAGACAUUCCUGGUGGUUGUGCAGCAGCUCUUGAGGCUGUUGCUGGCUGAAAUUCAUCCUGAGCUGUUGCAACACGGCUAACGCGGGCACGUCCCUAUGCACAACAAAUAGCUGUUCCAAGCCAACAGCGGCGUCCAUGUCACCGACAAGGCUCUAAACGUCUUAUCUGUUCUUAUGUUUAAAUAAGUUUAUGUAUGUUAUACUUUGCGCAACUUUGUAAUUUGACUUUACUCUGAACAAGGUGCUGUAUACGUUGCGCUACCAAAAACGCGACCGUUUGCUUGCACAAAAGUGUCGCUUCGCUCAACGCUUCCUCUUCCUGCGGCCUUGCCUGAGCCAAGCUUUGCAAGCUACGUUGUAUGAUUUUCGUUCUUUUAAUUGCGGCACAGGAGCCACCCACAUUUCCGGCCUGCAUGCCGCGUGCGGCUGUGGCCAACAUGCCCACCUGCGCAACGCGCUGGCGCACCUCGUCCUUUCUUCGCCAAAGAAAUUAUAUACGCUUGUACAGGCGCAUUUUGCGAAUCCCACGCGCGCAUCCGCGCGGCAAAUUUCGCUCCUGGCUUUUUUGGACGAUGUACGAACCGUUUAUUCGGCAGAGUACGACCGCUCACAUUUGUGCGAGGGGCUGCUUAAACAAUUGAAUUAUGCAUAUAUAUAUCUUAGAUAUAUAUAUAUAUCUUAUAAUAUAUAUGCAUAAUUCAAUUGUUUAGUGCGCCGCGGGGAGGUCUAUUGGGGGUGAGGGAGAGCGAGCCUGGCUAUCCUGGGGCGGGGUCUACCGGGCUGCGCCAGUGCGGCAGGUUCUGUACAAGCGCCUGGACUGGAUAUAAGAUAUAAAUCCGCAUACAGAUCGCUGCGCAAAACAAGAUUGGCCAUACCAGCUAACGUGUUGCAACCUUGGACUGAGCCCGCAGACGAGCUGCAUCAAGCAACGGUUUUGAGAUCCGGGGUGAAGUUGCGCGCCGGUUCCCAGCUAUUAUAUAUUAUAUAUAUUUAUAUUUAUAUUAUAUUUAUUUUUAUAUUUAUAUUUAUAUUUAUAUUAUAUCAGAGAGACGGGUGUCUUACAUGGCUGGUGUGGGAUAACUGUUGAGAUCCGCUAUCGCAAGCCGGUAGUAUUCCAAUGGGCUUGGUUAGCAGGACGUUAUGACUAUAGUACUGACUCUGGGGGAAACCUUUCGGAAUACUUCAGACAUAUGAAUGAGAGAUAUAGUCCCUGCGGAGGAUAGACGGACGACAGUAUGAAAACCCUAAAACCCCGAAGAUGAUGAUCUUAACCAGGUAACUUACGCAGUAGAAACAAACUAUAUCGGAGAUGUAUACUUGGGCUGUAUUUGGCCUUCGCUUGACGGCCCGGGUUCGUUUUCUUUGAUCACCUCUCCCGUUAAGGAGGCAGGAUUCCAGACCCGGAUUUCAAGAAGCAAUUGAAUUCAAAGAGGCUUCUGUACGGGAUAACCUUGCCGUUUUAUGCAGGGUUCACCUGUGGACCUCUGGGUGCAGCCUGGAGGUGGUUCUGAAAAAUCCCCUGACAAGGCAGUUGAAGAAGCAACAUCAGGGAGGUUAAUUGCCGUUACGUCGAUCCUUGAGGCACCAGACUUGUCUUUUGCCCAAGGGGGCCUGGAUAUUCGGUGGCAUGAAAAAUGGGGCGAGCUGAUUCUGGACCCCUCGGAAGAUCCCAUAGCCCGUCCCAUCGGUACAAUCAAAGGACAGCAGGACGAAACCUCAGUUGUAAGCACACCAGAACUACAACCACCGUCCCGACCCAAUGGCUACCCCGCGGAAUCGGAAUUGGGAACCGCCAAGACAUUACUGCAGCAGGGCUGGUCGAGACUGCAGGAACUGGAUUCCGUCGCUGCAGUUGACGGUACCCCCGAUGAAGAGUUCAGCAGCAAUUGAAGGCAAUUUGUCCAGAUCCUGACGACUUCACGGCGGGCAGGCUGCAGGCUCACUCCGACGUGUGGGAAACAUAUUUCCGCUUGGCAAGCGAGGGAACCCUACGAACCCCAGCUAAGUCGGUGCUGAAGAUGGUGAGGGAGGGAGUUUCCUUGGAUUUUGUUGGUGUGUACGCCCCUGGACAGGAGGCAGCCCCACAUAGAGCCGCCCCUCCAAUAUACGCUGGUGAUUCCCUCCGGGCGGCUUCUUGCCGGGUAGUUGGGGGGAAAGAAGGAAGGAAAGAGUGGGCAGGAGGGGUGGGAGUGAGAGGAGAGUGCGCGCGGGGCGCAGGUGGCUGGGGCGGCGAAGCAGGCGGCACAGGAAGUGGAGCAGGGGAUUUACCCUAGAUGCUGCCCUCGUUGCUGGCGUGCGCCCAGCUACUUUGGCAGUGUAUGGUGGACGAACGAUUAGUCUUCAGUAAUAAAUACCCUACAUACCGCCGGCCGGCGCCAGCGGCAAACCCAUGGGUCGCCAUCGUGCAUCCAGAUCUACUAGCUACUCGAUCACGGUUGUAAGACAGUGGCACAGAACCAGACUUGGAGGCUCGGAUCGCUUCGCUCCAUCGCAUCUAUUAAGGUGCCUUUCCCUGCGUUCUCAGUUGUGCCCUAAGUUGAGGAUCUCUGCUGGAGCACCGUUCCUUAUGGUCUUAUGUUAGAGCAAUGUGUGCCGCGUUGUGUUGUUUUAGGGUUUUCUUAAAACAUCGAGAGUGCGUGGUGCACCGCGGGAACCAGCGAUCUCAUUUGCGAGUUUCACGGGUGCAGUUAUUGUUUGCUGUUUUGUGGUUCAGUAUCAGCUACGUUGAUAUUUUUAGAGUUUGUAGUGCGGCGCAUUCAGUCACAGACUCCCUGGUUUCUCACUCAUUUUCGAUACAAAAUUAAAAUAUCACACCGCCAGGAACACGCUGAUCGUCCUUAGAUUCGUCGUCUGGACAAACAAGGGACAUGGAGUGGCGGGUGCAAUCUUGGCAAAGCUUCAACACGCAAGAAACGCCUCACCUGCCCUACAUGACGCUACCACUACCCGCACACAACCUGCCAGCCACCGCGGUCUCAUAUCAGCACCAACAGGUGAAGCAACAAAAUGUACGCACUAAACAGCAGCCGAGCGGUAGGCCGGCAGUAUAAGGCCACCGUCAAUUUGUCGUGCAGCCGUACCGCCGCGCCAAGAAUGUUGGCUGCGAAGGGCGGGCAGUUCCCUCUGAGCAGCCCCGAGAGGGGCUGGAAGGUGGUGGACGCCCCCUGUAGUUACCGAGGGUGCGGCAGGCGGGAACAUGGAAAGGUGUGUAUGUGCAGCGCUGAUGAGGGUGUGGCUUUUAAGGUAUCGGAAUUCUCACGAGGACACGAAAGUUGAAAUCUACAUGUGGCCACGCUGAAGGAACAGGUAAGGGUACUACUGGGGAGCUUGGGUGUCUGCCCCUCUGUUUCCCCGGUGCUCUAGACCCUUGCCGGGGAUCAAGAUCUCCUAGGCAAAAUGAUGCACCACAGAAUGUAUAUCGUUUCACGUAUCGCACCUGCAGCACUGCAUUUUCCGGGUCGUACACCCCUGCCAACUGCGAGGCCAUUUCGUCGCGCUUCUUAUCAGCUGCCGCCCCCGGGUUGCCAGUGUUGGACGAGCCAACCCCAGUGCCGCUUGCCGGGCUGCUUAAGCCGGGCGGUACGAUGAUGCCCACAGCCGCCUGCUGGUUGCGGCGUUGCUCCGCACGGAGGGCCAUUUCCAGCUGUGUGCGGGUCUGUCGGAGCGUCUCGACCUCCGCCAGCAGACCAUCCACCUGGUUGGCCCUGCGGGGCAGGUUGUUGCGACGUGAUGGAUGGCGAUGCAACAUUGUGGCUUAGCCACGGUUAAGGGUUAAAGCAUGCGGCAAAAGCGUGCUGGCAAGUUAAGACACGUAUAACCGUUGUCAAUGUAUUCUAUUCCAUCCUUGUGAGAAGCAAACACAACCCCAUAUCGGCUUGGAUGGCCGCAAUCUAGUAAUCAGUUGCGACCCCUGGCAAACGCUAUGGCCGUCCCUGUGCCGAUGGGUGGGUUGAGAUGCAGGAAGGCGAAUCUAGGAUGUCGGCAUGCGCAUGACAAUUGAAAUCAUGGCGCUGACCUUGCGGCAAUAUCAUUUUGCGUUCAUCGUCAGGUGCAGCGUUGCGGCAGUGUCAAUAUGUAACUUUUGCGCACGAAGAAGUUGGCGACCAGACUCCCCAACCCCCGAUAGGCCCAAUGUCGACCUACCUCGACACUAGUCCCACUCGCUCGUUCUGCAGCUCCAUCACCUGCCGCCGCAGCUCGACCACCGCUGCUGCCCCGCCUGCAUUUUCCCCAGUGGCCGCCCCUGCCGCCAUACUGCGCAACCUCUCCACCUCCGCCGUCAUUGCCGCGUGCUGUUGCUGCAGCUGCUCAUGCGCCCCCCGCAGCGCCGCGACUUGUUCAGAGGAUGGACCAGGUGCGCCCUGGUGAUCACCGUGCACAUGCUGCUGAAGCUGUCGAAUCUGCAUCUGGGCCUGUUGUAGCUGCUCAUGGGAAGCUGCCAGCUGCUGCUCUAAGGCGCCAAUUCGAGCUCGCUGUUCCUGAACGGCCGUUUCUAAGCGCUGUGCGUGCUGCGAUGACGCAGCCCCCUGCCUGACCGUCUCUUCCAGUUGCCUUCGCAGUUGAUCCACAGCCCCCUGUGCCUCAGCCAGCGAGCGGGAUGCUGCUGCGGCAUCCGUUAGCUGGGCCUGCAGGCCCUGGAUGUACUCCUGUGGCAAGAUGGGGGGAUGCAUGGGAGGUGGGAAAAAAGCACACAUGCCUGCCAUGGGAAGGCAUACAUGGCGACCUGCCGACGUGGCGGAGCGAGCACUGGUAGUCAGGGGCACGGACAAAACACGGGAUGGAAAGGAGAAAACCCUUUCGCCAUUGAUCCCCAAGCUGACCGGCCUUGCCGUACAGGUAUUGAAACUUUCGGCGUGCAUUUCUGAAAUCGUUAUUCUUCCGAAGCAAAAGGCGCCGUACCCUGAUCACGUCGGCUAAGAGCCUUCCAUAUGCGCAUGACGGCGAGAAGGCGAACUCCCUGGACAUCCGCAACCAGAUCUAUCCCCUCAUGACAGCCGUUCUCUACACAUAUUUAUAGCGGUACCUAAAAACGUCCUAAUCCAGCUUCGCUACACCACACAAGAGCUAAGCAAUUCUGCUGUUGGACGCACUCUACCGCUUAGGCCCACCAACUACCAUUAUGAAGUUCUGGCUCAACCUGCACUGACUUACAGAUUUCCAUAAAAGCCGCAUGGUUGGAUUACGGGCAUUCAUACAGGAUUGCUAGAUGUCCCUAAGUUCAGCGAAAAUCCGUCGGGUUAAGCCCGCUGUGCAUGCUCUGCACUCAAUCUUACACGCGAGGCGCUGUGAAAGACCGGUUGUGCAUUGUAUAAUAAUCAUACAUACGUGCCCGCUCCUGAGGCGCAAUAUCGUCUCGGUUAACCUUGACACAGCCCUCACCCAUGCUACCCUGCGGUCGAGUCGAAGGCCGUCGCCCAUCCGCUAGGCCACCACCGCGUUUGGUGCCAAGGGACCGACCCAGGAAGCAGCCAUUUUACGUAUCUUGUUGGAUAACAUGCUUUCUUAAUAAAUCUACUAUGUAUGUUGGAAGCAGCAUGGUGAAAGACGUUUCUGAAUUCGCUUCCAAAGCCAACCCGGCCUCCGAACAUCGCUUCUUCAGACCCCUUCCUGCCCCUUUCUCCUCCCACUUCUUCCAGCCCCAUUUCCUCUCCCGCCUUGCCUGUAAGCGAUGUAGCUGUUGUCCUUGUUGCUGCAGUUGCUCAACCUGCUGCUGACUGAGUGCCUCCAGGCCCAGACAGCGCCCCUCGAGUUCCUCAUUCUCCAUGCGAAGUCGGGACAAUUCCGCCUGGGGUCGAAAUGGCACGGUGUAUGCUUCAGAACCCGGCCGUACCCCAGGUGGUAGGUUGCCGCAGCAAGCGCGAACACUACUAAUAAACACGAAGGUGAGAAGCAGUUUGGAUUCUUCGCCCCAAGCACGAAGUAAAUCGUUACUGUCAGUGAAGAACGAGCGAGUUCCGUGAAGAAGAGUCCAAUAUACAGGAAAGGUCCCUCCCUCUCCAUGAGUGAUCCAAAAGCCUUCCCGAGCCUCUCAAGAGCCCCUACAGGUAUUCCACCGCACCUCAAGUUCUGCGCUCCGUUGCUCCAGCGCCGCAGCUCGUGCGGUCUCUGCCUCAGCAGUCCUGCAACCCACUGCUACAGAAGCCACCUCUGCAGCUAGCUCCUGCUCCUGGUCCCGCGCCACUGCAGCCAGCCGCUGCUCCAGCUCCUCUGCACGCCGCACCGCUGCUGCCAGCUGCACCCGCUCCGAGUCCAGAGCUGACUGGGUCUCCCGAAGCUCCGACAACAAGUGCAUGUUGCCGUCACGCAACUCCCCCAGCUGACUCCGGAGAACCUCUACGUCUGCUUCAAGCUUUGUCCGGGUCUCGUGCGACUCGUGUAGCUGGGAUUGCAGCUCAUCAUCCGCCACGCGUGCCGCCUCUGCAGCCUGUCGGAGAGCCUGCACCGCCGCUGUUGCAGCUGCCUCGCGCUCCACCGCGGCUUCCGCGGUCAAACGCAAGCUUGCCACCUCCGUUUGCAGCGCUGAUACCACCUCAGCUUGGCUCGUCGCGGCUGCGGCAGCAGAUUGCAUCGCCGCCUCCCUUUCUAAUUCCGCAUGUUGCAGGCGCUCCUCUGAAUGUCGCAGGUGCUCCUGAAGGGUGAUGAGCUGCUUUGUUGCGCUGGUGUCGGCUGCCAACAGCUGCACCCGCAGGGCCUCCACCGCAGCCUGGGCCUCCGCUUCGCGACCCUGACUUUGCAAGAGCUGCGCCUGCGCCUGCUCCAGUAGUUGUUCCAGCUCGUGGCGUUGCGUUUCCAUCUCAGUCACCCUGGCAGAGAGCUGGUCAACGGCGGAUCGCGCCUCCUCCAGCUGCGCCUGCAGGUCUGAAUCCGCGACCGUCAGCUGCAGCUGCGCCUCCUCCAGCUGCACUCGCAGCGUCUUGCACGCUUCCUGCAGCAGCUCGCAGCGGUCCACUGCAUCGCCGGCAUCCAUUGCUGCCGCCUGGGCCUCCUCCAGCUCCGCCUGCAACUCGGAGACCCGCCCUUCAAGCUCUGAAACCCUAGUCUGCGAGGCUUCCAGCGCCUCACGUAAUGUCUGUGCUUCCAGCGCCGCCGGCUCGGCCUGCGCCCUCUCGGGAACUGCCGUAGAUUGGUGAUCACUGCUAUCGGCGGACCCCGUUACCCUGUGCGAACUAGCCUCGGCGUCCCCCGGAUUGUUGCCACCCAGCUCGUUUGCAUCCCAGGAACCCCCAUCCGCCAACGCCGCUUGUAGACGCUCCGCCUCGUCAACUGCCGCCGUGGCUUCCGUCACCUGCCCAGACACUGCAGCCGAAGGGGCGACAACUAAUGAUGAUGCCGCUCGCACCUCUUCCAGCUGCCGCUGCAGUUCGCGGAUCUCGGCUGCCGUGUCUUCCGCCGCUGUCCUUGCCGAGUGCUGCACGGCAUCCAGUUGCCGGCGGGCCUCCUCAAGAUGGGAGGUGGCCAGGGCGACCUCUCUGUGAAGGGCUUCAAUGUUGGCCUCCCGCGUUGUCACCGCCGCUCGAAGCUCACCUGAGUGCGCCUCCGCGUCCGCUAGCGCCUGCUGCAGCGCGGCCACCUCAGAUCUGGCCUCCUCCAAAGCAGCUUGUACGGCGGCCAGCUCAGCUGUACGCGCUUCUGCUGCAGCCUGGUCGCCCGCCGAGUCAGACGCCCUGGCGGACGCCGCAAUUGCCUCCUCCAGCAGAGUGCGCAGAUGUGCUGCUUCGGCUCUGGCCUCUUGGCCCGAAUGCUGAGACUCAACAAGCUCCUGGCGUGCUGCCUCCAGUGCGGCAGAUGUCUCCAACGCCUCCAAGCGCAGCGCUACCGUGCUCGACUCAUGUGCCGCUGCCGCUGCUUGCAGCUCACCCGCCUGGGCUUCCGCUUCCGCGAGCGCCCUCCGCAGCUCCGCCACCUCGGACUGCGUCUGACCCGCCGCAGCCUGCGCCUCCGCCAGCCCGGCCGCCCGUGCCUCCGCCAGCGCCUCGGCGUCAGCGACGCGCUGCUCCAGCUCGGCAAUGCGCGCCUCGGCCUCCGAACGCGAUGCUGCUGCCGCCUCAGCCACCUGCUGUGCCGCCUCCAGCUGCCAUUGAAGAGCCUGGACCUCCUCUCCCCUUGCCUCCCGUGUAGUGGAUAGCUGCGUCCGCAGCUCCGUCACCUCCUGCUGCAAACCUUCUGUGCGCUCAAGCAACUGGCUUACCUCGGCUGUCCGCGCAACUGUUUCGGCCCUCGCCUCCUGUAGCCUUGCCCGCAGCCCAUCAGCCUCAGCUCGCGCCUGCUCCAGCUCCAAUUGUGUGGCUUUCAUCGUCGUCGUCGUCUCUUCCACUUUGCGCUGCAGCUCUCCAAUCUCCUCCUGCUGGUCGCUCACAACCUCCUUCAGUGCAGCGACCUGCUCACGAGUCGACUCGAGCCGAUUUCGAACCGCCUCCGCAUCUGCUUCUGCUGCUUCACGCGCCUCCAUCUCAGCCUGCUGUGUAGUGCGUGCGGCCUCAAGCUCCGUUUGCAGCCUCCCUUGCACCUCUCGUGCCUCACCCAGCUGUAAGUCCAAUACCGCAGCACGCUCUGCCUCGGACGCCAGCUGCGCCUCGACAGCACUGAUGCGCUGUUGCGCAGCCUGAGCGGCUGCUUGCGCCUCGUCGAGCUGGGAUUGCAGCAAGUCGGCGGCUAUCAUGAGCUCCCCGCAUCGCUCCUGCAGAUGCUCCACCUGGCUCGAGGUGUCCGCGUCAGCAGCUGCCACCUGGGGGUUGUUGGGUGAGAGAACGACUGCUGACAGAGCGCCGCGGAACAGCCCCUCCAGGCCCACACGUGGCGGAGUACCAGCACACAGCUGUAAACAGGUUCCAUGUGACCACGGCUCCUCCGGGGGAACAGUGCAUUUGUGCAGCGAGCCGUUACAUGCGGACGAGGAUAACCUCGCGUGCGAUUGCUAACUUUCAGUUAGCUGUCCUGUACCUUUGGCGGGUAGUUGGCGUCUGCAAGCUGCAAACGACGCAACAGGCAAAGAGCAAGCUCCAACACUCGUGCUUUCCCCCACGUGGACACAAGCAGCAAGCUCAAGAACUUACUGACCCCUCCACAUGUUUCCUUGCAGCUGCCUACCUGCCGCAGUCUUUCCUCCCAGCCCGCGCAAUCUUCCCUGCGGUCGCUGGCCCCCCCUCCACACACACCUGCGCCCGAGCCAGCUGCUCCUCUAGUGUUGCUUUGGCGCCAUUCAGCGCCUCUACCUGGGCGCCCAACUCCGCCACCCGCUCCUUGAGGUUGGCCUUCUCCUGCUUUAUUUUCCCGUAUUGGGAUUUAGCUAUCGCCAUACGACUCGACUGCUCAGACAGUUUGGCCUCCAGCUCUCCCACGCGCGACUGCAGUUCCGUUGCCACCUGCUGGCCCUGACGUGACUCGAUCAGCUGCGCCUCGGCUGUAGCAAGCGCCUCCCGAACUGCCUCCGCCUCCGCCCAUGCUGCAGAAGCCUUGGCCUCCGCCUCCUUGAGCGUCGCCUCCAGAGCUGCCACCGCGUCCUCCUGCACUGUUCGCUGCAACUCCAUUAAGUCCUGCGCCUCCGUCAAUUGCUGUGUGAGGCGGGCAACCUGGCUCUCAUGUGCCGCUGCCGCUGCUUGCAGCUCACCCGCCUGGGCUUCCGCUUCCGCGAGCGCCCUCCGCAGCUCCGCCACCUCGGACUGCGUCUGACCCGCCGCAGCCUGCGCCUCCGCCAGCCCGGCCGCCCGUGCCUCCGCCAGCGCCUCGGCGUCAGCGACGCGCUGCUCCAGCUCGGCAAUGCGCGCCUCGGCCUCCGAACGCGAUGCUGCUGCCGCCUCAGCCACCUGCUGUGCCGCCGCCGACUGUGACGCGAGCGCGCCGAGCUUGUCUGUGCUCUCCUGCAGCUGGGUCCGCAGGUUGUUAAUUUCGGCUGCCUGCUGGAUGAUCUUGGCCUCCAUCUGGUCUUGCGACUCCAUCUGCUCGCUGUAUUGCUGCUGGAGCUGCUCGUUAUCUGAGCUCAGCGUCUCCACCUGUGCCCGGAGCUCAGCAGCGGACGCCUCUGCAGCCUAGAGUCACGGAGAGAAAAAAUAUGGAGCUGGUUCGGUUAUGUGCGCAGGUAAACUUGACGACGUAGAACGUUCGUCAAGGACACGAAAGCGAGCGCAGAGGCUGAAAAGUUGGGCCGAUGCACUGGCAGGUGUUUCCAUGCAGACGACAGUAUCCGGUAACGCGUUUUCUGCCAACAAGGGAUCUGCAUUGCCCGGCGGGCCCCCCCAAAUUGCCCCAUGAUCCCGCCCUCGUGCGACCGCAUAUACUACGCACUAUACCGAGGCCUUAUUGCAAAAACAAAGCCCAAGCUUGUAUAAUCAACUCCCCACCUGCAACCGCUGCUGCAGCUCAUCCGCGUGAGUUCGCGCCUCCGCCAGCUUCGACUUCAUGUCUUCCAUCUCGGCCGCCCACUUAAGGGCCGUUGCCCGCUCCUCUGCCGCCGCAUCAGUUGCUGCUGCUGAGGCCGCAUUAACCACCGCGAUGUCCUCCCUAACCUUGGCCAGCUCCUCUUUCAGCCGUUGGUUCUCCUCCUUUGCCUUCUUGAACGCCGCCUUCCCCUUCGCCAACUGCGCCCGUUCCUUGCCCAGUUCAUCGACAGUGCGGCCUAAAUCCUCCUCCAACGCUGUCACACGCGCCUUCAACUCUGUUAUCGCAGCCUCGUGGCGCUCCUCUGCUGCCGAUUCGGCUGCGGCCACCGCCAAAGCUGCCGCUGCUUUUGCAUCCUCCCUCGCUGCCAACUCAACACGCAGCUCUGCCAACUGCUGCUGCAGGGUAUCGGCUGCUGCAGCACCGUCAUCCAGUUCCCGACGCUGCAUCGCGCACGCCUCCGUGAGCCGCUGCACCUCCCCCUCCAGCUCUGACACCUGCGCAGCAGCUUUCGCCUCCAGUGCUACAAUGUUAGUGCGCAACGCAGCGCACUCAGCCACCAAAGGCUCCAAGUCCGCCACCUUCGCUGCUGCCUCCGCUGCGGCCCGGUGUGCGCUCUCCAGCUCAGACUCCAGCUGCGCUGCCCGGCCCUCCGCCUGGGCAACCGCCUGCGCCCGCAGUGCUGAAGCAGUUGCUGCGUCAUCGCUGCGGCGCGCCUCAAUGUCCGCCAGCGCUGCCUCUGCCGCCGUUCGGCGCUCUGCCUCCGUGUGCGCUGCCAGUUCUGCCGCUGCCACAGCGUCUCGCGCUGCUGAGAGCGCCGCCUGCAGUUCGCGGGUGAGCACCUCCAACUCCGGAACCCGACCAACAGCCACCCGCAAUUGAUCGCGCUCGGCGACGACGUCGGCCAGCUGCUGCUGCAGCUGCGCAGCAGCACUCUCUGCAUUUGCGGAGUCCGCCUGCAACUUAGCCUCCAGCUCUGACUUCUCCUGAGCAAGGGCUAGCAGCUGAAAUGCAAAUAAGGGAGGGAGACAGAGCGUCGGAGAUUGCGAGGGAGGGCAGGCAAUGGCGUGGGGUCGAGGCCGGCCCGCAGGAUAGCGUUUCCAAGGCCUUACAUUUUUGCCUGCCGCGGGGUCUCCGCCGCACACUGCCUGUAUCCCCUGCCGCGCAUUACAGCGCACAUCCAUAUCCAUAUCAAUAGGCACAUCAAGGAAAGAAGAUAUCGAACACACCAACGCAGCUCUUCUCCCAUCCGCGAUCCCGCACCUGCUGCCUUGCUUCCGCAAGCUCGAUUUUGCGGUGGUUGCUCUGCUCCUUCAGCUUAUCGAACCGCACCUUGCCCUCCUCCUUCAGCUUCUCGUACUUGACCUCCAACACGGACGCCUGGUAUUGAGGCACCGGGACCAUGAUACGACGGGAAGCGAAGCACGCGAAGCAGUGGAGCUCAUCCAAAAGAAGGCCCGAUCCCCCGCCCUCACGCCCAUUCCGGCCCGACGCACCUGCUGCGCCCGCGCCACCAGGCUGCCGACAUCCUCGUUCCCCAGCUGCUGCCUCAGCUGCUGAAGCUCCUCCACCGCAGCGGAAGCAGCCGCCAGCUCUCGAUCCUUGGACUCCAGCUCCGCCCGCAGAUCGCUGUGCAGCGCCUCCCAGUGUGACAGCUCCUGGGGGAGGAGGGCAGCGAAAAUUACUUAGGCGCAGGGUUACUGCACCAAACUCAGCGCCCAACCUGUCCCGGCCACAGCGAGGCGGCCAAAGCGGAUAUUCAUUUGGGACAUGAGGUUUCCAAAUACUGUGGUGCAGCCUCCAAACGUAUCGAUGCAACGGAGAAUUAAUGCAGGGGCCAUCUUUCGCAUCAUACCCAUCUUGCUGUCCAGGUACAGACCUAGCCAGUGCACGGGGUGUCGAUCUUCCCUUUCCUUGGUAGUAGCUCCCCUAUCCUACAUGACGUGUCCUGCCCUGCUGAACCAUCUGAGCCCGAUCACUCUCGACUCCCUCAACAUGGUCCGGUGUCGGGCCCACCUCGGGCCCACCUCCCCCCAAUCUACCACCAAGAUGCCCCACCUAGCAUCGCAUUCCGUUACGUUACACACACAUGACAAGCGACAUACACAGCCCGACCUCCUUUGUCUUCCGCUGCAGCUCCCGCAGCUCCUCCAGCUCCGCCACGAGCGCAAGUUGCGCCUGUCGCGCCAGUUCCGCCUCCGCAGCUGAGGCGGCCUCCGCAGCCUGCGCUUUUGCGCGCUCCUCCAAAUGCUCUCUUAGCUGCUGCACCUCAGCCUCCAGUGCCUCACGCUCCGAAGACAGUCUGGCCACAUGCGCCGCCAACUCUGCCUUGCUAGCGCCUACUUCCGCCACCUCAUGGCGUAGGCGCUCCACCUCCGCACGAAGCUCCACAAGCUGGGCAUCGCGUUCUGCCAACGCGGCGGCAGAGGUAGCAUCUGUAGCCGCCCCUGAACACUCUUCACCCGCUCCGGCUGCAGUAGCGAUACCUUGCAGCCGUCCUGGUGUGGAGGUGGAGGGCUGCAAUGAAUCAGCGAUUUGCUCAGCCGGGGCCACCCCUGGCAUCGCGGUUGACGAAGGCUCGGCCAUUUCACCCGCAGAAACAAAGUCAGCCGGCUCGACAGUCGCAAUAAGGUGUGCGUUACCCUCAUGGCGUGCGGACUGCCCUGUUGCUAACUCGUCGCUUUCCGAUACUGGGGCAGAGCAGGGCUGCUCGAAUGCCGCAGACUCUGCAGCUGCAGCCCGGUCAUCCUUAACAUCUCCCACGGCACCAUCAGGGACAGGCGCCGUGGGAGGCGGCGUUGAAACAGCCGCUGGGGGGGUCGACUCCAGGCGGAUACCGGCAGCGGAGGCAGGCAGGUCCACCUGACCCAAGAGCUCUGCAGCCGCGUCAGGAAGUGCCUGUAGAAUGGAGGGACGCAUCAGGAAAUUAAAGGACUGACGGGCGUGCGCGUUGACCCAGGUAACACCCACCGGGAGGGCUGCCGCCGUUGCAUGUGCUACAGCAUGGUUGGAGCCGCCGUUAGCCUGCAAGAACGACCAAGACUCUUAAGGACUUCAAAAAAGGGAGCGUCGUCGGCUCUCUUUCGAAUUGCACCUGAGCAACGGACGCAGAACCCACGGGCACCGGCCGAGGUGUGUUUGGUGACGAGCUCGCGGCCUUGUGUGUUGCGCGCUUGCUCUUGAACUUGGCCAACUGCGUACACAUUUCCUGGAGAUCAGAUAUGGUGGCGCCUACCCUACAGACUAUACCUCUCCCGUGAUCGCUCAAGUUGCGCCCAUUACAGAUACGAGCAGAUAUAGGGCGCAAAACAACUGAGUUACUCGAAACUCUUGCACAGUUGUGCUCACCACGUCGGCCCCCAAAUUCUUUAAUUCUUGCGUUUUUUGUGACAUGUCUUAAUUUUAGAAGCUAUAGUAUUCACUUGGUGUGGUCAUUCACAGGAAAAUUUGCCCCAGGCAGCUCGGUGCAUAAAUCUAGCUCAAAUUGUUGUCACCUACAGCGUCAGCUUUCGGUGUAUAUUACUUUAACGGAUGACCGCAAAGGUUGUCUUUCCAUCGAUAUGCAAGGCUACUGCAAUCACUAGCAGAAAGUCAGAAAGUCAAGGUUGUGCACGGGUACGACGGGCUAGUGUGUGUCCACUUGAGCCGUUUUGUGCCCGGGAUUUUACAGCACGAUAUCUCUAAAAUGUUGGCAACCACCUGUUACCUUUGCCCGAGUACUGCCGCCUUUCCCCGUUGUUGGGCUCCAUUCUUUUCGGCCCUUUCCUGUCUUUCUUCAAGCCAAGCCGCCGCUGGAGUCCAAACAUGGUAGCCUAUAUCGUGACGUCAUUGCCUCAGCUCAAUUUUAGCAGCAAUAAUCACAGGUUCCUUUGACCACUUUGAAGCCGUGGCUUGAUGCGAGUCGCCAAACACGAACCUGGAGACGCGCGGUGCCUGGACACAGGCAAAACCUGAUUCCAAAUGAUUUUUAAUGUCCCAAUGCCAUGUUUCGUUUGCUGCGUCAACGGCUGCACAAGAGCGAACUGUCGCUUGCGCGUCGUGCCAUUUUUGCUUGCGCAUUGGCGAUUUUCGCUUGGAACGCAUGCUUGAAUCGGAGCGGCUAAUGCCAUGACAGCUUGACUAGCUGCCACAUCCUGUCACGCCUCUGGGGGUUUCAGCACCAUGUGGGGCCCCAUACGUGUGCGGUGUUGGUGGUUGGGUGUUGGUGUUUCAGCACUAUGUGGGGCCCCAUACCCUCGUGCGUGUUGAGCACCGGCAGCUGACGGAGCACUGGCUUGGGAAUGAAAGGCAGCUGCAGGCUCUGGGAAUGGGAGGCAGCUGCAGUGCUUCAUGGCGCUCUGUCACAGUGGGCUUGUUACAGGCGCAGCGGGGAAAAAGCGAACCGGGGGCCCCCUUCCGCCACCGGAAAAUUGUGCAGUGUUCUACUGUAUUUCGACACGGAGUACCAUUUGUUCUGGAUUCCUGUGCUAGCCCGCGAGGUGGCGGCUGGGAACCUAUCCAUCCGUCAUCCAACCGCCGCUCUGAGCAACAUGUCUGCUGCUCCCACUCCCAACACCCGCUCACGCUCAUUCUUAAAACACCGUCCCCCCUUACACACACAUACACACACAAAUGCGCGUACUAUCUCAACAUGCACACGCACACAUCCUGCAUUUGGACCGUGUCCUAUCGACUUCCGCGCUGGGACCCAGCUCCUCGCAUGGACACUCGGUCAAGACGCUGGCCAUGGGUGUCUUACCCUUAGCGAAGCUUCCAUUCACGACGUCUCUCUCGUAUUCCGCCUCAAGCCCAAGGUGCCUCUUUGCAGCCGCGCCAUUCGUGUACGGCAUCCUACCACGUGUGGCUACGCGAGAUGAGAGCGGGGCCCCACGGGGUAUCACUGAGGGCGGGGCCGCCAUCACACACAGGGCCGCUACGCUUCCGCCUCCUCCUUCGGCUCUUAUUACCAGCAAGGGCUCCUGCUCGAACAGCCCGUUUGCCCCCUGUCACCCCCCUCCGUGCACCCACCCUUGGCCACCAGCCCUUCGUCACCGCCAUUCGACCGCCUCUGCCGCCUCCUGCCGCAGCCGCCACCAGAAGUGGCCCAACGCGUCCAUCUCCGGAGCCGACCAACCCUGCGCCCCACCGCCACCACCCGCCACAUUAGCCGCAUGGAGCCGCCGUAACUCCGAAACACGAACCAACAGCAACCCCCGACGAGCCGCCCAGGGGCCCCCGGGGCUCUCCCCUGCCUGCAGCGCCCGUUCUUCCCUCCGACCUCCCCCGUCCGCCUCCCGCCCUGGGCGCCCUCCUAGCUGCUCCCCAACGCUCUGGCUUCGCGCCACGAACGCAUCCGCCACCUGCUGAGCCCUCCGCAGAAGCUGGCGGGGCAGUCCGGCCAGGGCAGCAACCUACACCGCCGACAGAGCAGCAGCAGUAGGAUUAGUUUGGGUGGCGGCCAGGGGCCAGGGGCCCGGAGGGCGUGUGGAGGAUACCGAGAGCCAGCUUGUAAGGCCUCGCCGGAGCGCACGUCACUGUUUGUUGUUGGCCAUGCGGGGCCGACCAAACACAGGCACAAGUUGCCAGUCAGAGGUCUCUGCCGGUCCGGGGAUUAUGCUGGCCUAAUAGCUGCCAUCAUCACACCACAUGCCAGACACCCGCCUAUGAUACUGCGCCGCACCCGCCAUGUUGCGGGUAGCAGCUGCCUCAGCGCAUUGGAGCACCAGCACCGGCACCGGCACCAGCAUGCAAGCUGCACACGGACACUCACGUGAUCCCUCCAGGCGUCAAAUGGCACCUGCCAGUACCUGCCCUGCCCUCUUCCGUCCCCUCCUUGUUUGUCCCCGCCGGGUGAGAACACACAUACAGACAGGCAUACAGACGUACCUGUAAUCCGCAGCUUCCGUCCGGUGCGGGUCUCGGUCUCAGUGUGUGCAGCGGCACGAAGGCCCCCUCCGCACUCACGGUGCUGGCCAUGUGAGCCACUGCCACUCGACCCGCCAGCCCCGAACCACUGCUGCGGACACCACCACCGCCGUCACCAUCACCACCGCCUGGCCGGGCAGGACACUGAGUCGCUGCUGCUGUUGUUGCCUCGGUGGCCAGCCCGUGAUAGUGUGUGGCAAACAGCGUCCUGCAUGACCCCGGGAAUUAGGAUUCGGGGUUUGGGUAGUGGGGAGGAAGGUGGGCAGAGACGUCGGUAGGGCUACGGGAUGUCAUGCGUGGAUAUGUAAUGCCGAGAAGGCCGUACAGCCACGUGUUGUACAGAGCGGAGCGGAGCGAACUAUGACGGUUUGGUAUGCGGAGCCCUCCCAACCGUUUUCGUCCAAUCCUGACGAAUUAGGAUAAUCCAUGCCGGCAAUGGUGAGGGUGGGGUUCCACUCCGGUUCCGGAAUCCGGUCUCGGAAGUGGAGCUAGCCGUCCGCCUGUGCCUCCCUCCCUUCCCCCUCCUCACCUGCAACCCCCCUUCCUUUCCCCCUCCUCACCUGCAACCCCCCUUCCCUUCCCCCUCCUCACCUGCAACCCCCCUUCCCUUCCCCCUCCUCACCUGCACCCCCCUUCCCUUCCCCCUCCUCACCUGCACCCCCCUUCCCUUCCCCCUCCUCACCUGCACCCCCCUUCCCUUCCCCCUCCUCACCUGCAACCCCCUUCCCUUCCCCCUCCUCACCUGCACCCCCCUUCCCUUCCCCCUCCUCACCUGCACCCCCCCUUCCUUUCCCCCUCCUCACCUGCAACCCAGCUCAUUGGUGAGGUACUCCAGCACCGCCCCCGCCACUGCCUGGCCGUCAUGAGUUGCCGUACCGCGACCCAGCUCGUCCAACACCACCAGGGAGGCCCUGCUGGCGGAGCACAACCCCGCGGCUGCCUCACCCAUCUCCACCUGGGGGCGGGGGCCGGAAGGGGAGGGAAAGGGGGGAGAGCACCGUGGCAAGAGGUCGUCCCGUUGAGCAGGACUGACGGCAGCAGGUGAACAGCAGCCAAGGAAUGGUGUUAGGUAAGUAGGUUUCUGUGUGGCUGGGUACGUUGGAGGACAUGAGGCAAGGGGUAUGACGAACCACUGACUGAGGGGGCAAGGGGGGUGCUCAAGGCCCCUGGAAGAGGUGCCGACAAGGAGCAUGUACAGCGCCAUGGAGGGGCACAUGGCCGCGUGCGUGCGUGCGUGGGGGCAUGUGUGAGAGUAUUGUUUCGUGUGGUAUGGCCUUGCCGUGGUGCCGCAUUCCUUCGCCCACUCGACCCCACUCCACCCAGGGCAUAGGGCCUCUCAAAGCAGUCGUACAGAGAUAGUGUGCUCCCCUCCUCCCCGCCCCCCUCGCGCACCUGAUUGCCAACAGCGAGAGGCGGCCGCGGCCCCGCCCGCUUCAUUAUGCACCGUAACCCUCUCGCCCGCUCUCUCCACGUUGAGCUUCACCCUCUCCUCAAGCCCCUUCCCUCACCCACCCCCACCCCACCCCACCCCACCCCACCCCACCCCACCCCACCCCACCCCACCCCACCCCACCCCACCCCACCCCACCUGGAAGGUGCUCUCACCCGACAUGAUGCGGUCGUGUGCGCCUGCGGGGAAUGUGUAUGUGGGUGGGGAGGGGGAGGGGGGUGUAGUAGGCUCAAGGGGGCGCUCAAGCGGGAAGAGAUGUCGUUCACGCUUACCAUGCGCGGCAUAUGCUCCGGAGGGGGGCCGCACCACGCCUUGAUCUAGACACACGUACAGCCGUACGGACCCCCCCCCAGCAGUGUGUGUGCCAGAGGGCUGUCCCAGAGGCGUGCCCCGCUCUUGCCUACUUGCCUCUCGAACUCGUGCAGUACAUUGCGGUACAGUGCCACGCCGUGCUUUACAGUGCCGUGCAGUACAGCGCAGUGCCACCUUAUCCUACAUUGCAGCCCCCCCCCUUUCCCCCUGCCCCUCCCCCCCCUUCCCCCUUCACGCCCCCUUUCCCCCUGCCCCUUUCCCCCCCCCUCCCCCUUCACGCCCCCGCACCCAUCCUUGUGAAUAUUCUGUCCACGGGGUCCAUUCUGGCUCCCCGAGCGGGCACGUAGCAGCCCAGCUGGGCCAUCAGCACCGCGAGCCCGGCGGCCCGCAGCAGGGUGCUCUUGCCGCCCAUGUUGGCGCCGGUGAGCAGCAGGGAGGGCGGCAGCGAGCCGCCCAGACGCACGUCGUUGGGGGUCACCGCCGCCACCUGCCCGCCUGGGAGGUAGCCGGGGAAGGAGGGGGGAGUAGCCCGGGGGGGAAGGGGAGGUAGGGAAGCAACGCCGGGUGCCAAGAAGCUGAAGAUCUGUAUGUGUGUAUGUAUGUAUGUGUGUUGUGGACGAGGGGACGGAGAGGUACUCGGAGCACAGAGUGGGGGUUUGGGUCAAAUGGCUGAGAGAUGUAUGCAUGUAUGUAUGACUUAGAUUACACUGUGGGCCGCGAGGGCCUGGGGCCGAAGCCGAAACACAGCGCAAGGGUCGGGAGCACACAGCACAAGUCGGUUAGUCUUGUGUGCUCCCGACCCCGACUCAGACUGCCAACACUCUACGCAGCCACUCCGCCGCCCCUCCAUCCGGGGAUGGCGCUGCAGUGAAAACACCACGAAGGGUUCUCAGGUCCCGCUAGAGCGAGUCCACAAGUCUCAGCUAGGGCAAAGUCAAAGGCUCUCAGAAACAACCCCUCAAAACACCACCAACGAAAACGGGAUCCUAAGGGAGGAAAACAAACAAACAAAAAAACGGUUAGGGCAGUCCCGGCAGGGGAGGGCUCCUGAUAUACCUAACAGGCCAACAAAAAACCUCCAAGAGAGAAAGGCUAAGAGAGCUCGACACCACAAGACGUCUUGCAACCACCUUAAAAACAACUGACCUCCACCACCUGUCCCUUCCUGGGCUGGUCCAGGGGAGAAGUAGCCUUAUAAAGAAAAGGGAUCCCGCACAAGCCUGAUCACCACUGCAGGGGCCCGGGAUAGUCCGGCGAAACCACCAAAGCGUUAGCGUUGCCACGACACACAGCUCCUAGGCCCUCCAGAAAACCGCAGGGGGAGGAUUGUAGCCCGCGCGGCGCCUCCCCCUUACCGCCACUAACCUGAACGGUUGGUCCUCCAGAAACCUAUUCACCCUGUCUCGUACUGCACCGCUCUCACCUUCGUCCCUCACCAAGCAACCCAGUCCCACAGAGAAGACGUGUCUAAAUAGAAUGGCCCUCCUCGGGCCACAUCUCCCCCUCAUCCGAGCCCCGCUACCACCACCAGACCUCAACUUCCCAAACACCAGAAAACCUACGUCCUUUUGGCGCUCUCACCGCCAUCUCCCCCCUCCCCUGUCCGAGCGACCCCAUGUAUGUAUGUAUGAUUGAGGGAUGGAUUGAGGGAUGGAUCGACUGAUUGACAAGCAGAGCACCAACAUCUUCAUAGUGUCUGUGCUGACCCUGCCUGGUGUCGUACAAUUAUGUGGUGUCAUAUACUUAUGGUGUCGUACAAUUAUGAAGGGAGAAUGACAAUACGGAUUGAGUGUUCAAUUGCAUUCAAUUGGCAAAGAAGCCUUCCACUCUGUAACCACAUUUCAACAUUAAUAAGGAUUGAGUGACGUUGAUGGAGGGGUGUUGGCGGCGACAACGGCCACACCGUCUGAGUGCGCUUGCCUGAGUGUUGAUCCCGAGUGCUGGUGGUGGCGGAGGUGGUGGUGGUGGUCGCCAGCAGCAGCAGGGGGUGCCACAGCCCCUCCAAGACCAACUCGGGCGGUGUGGGGGUGGAGGUGGGAUGGGGGNNNNNNNNNNNNNNNNNNNNNNNNNNNNNNNNNNNNNNNNNNNNNNNNNNNNNNNNNNNNNNNNNNNNNNNNNNNNNNNNNNNNNNNNNNNNNNNNNNNNNNNNNNNNNNNNNNNNNNNNNNNNNNNNNNNNNNNNNNNNNNNNNNNNNNNNNNNNNNNNNNNNNNNNNNNNNNNNNNNNNNNNNNNNNNNNNNNNNNNNNNNNNNNNNNNNNNNNNNNNNNNNNNNNNNNNNNNCGUUGGGAGGGAGGGGAAAGGGCCAGGUAAGGCACAGCAGGUGGCCUGCCGUACAAUCCAAGGGAGGUCGGACGUCCUGGCGGCCUCCGCACCAUCACGCCUGCCCCACCCCUACUGCAACAACAACAACGACAAGAAGGGGAGGAGCGUAUGGCACAAUCCCACACUCAACACCGCCCUCAUGUCCUCGUGCUGCUGCUGCUGCUGCUGCUGCUGUUGGGUUACUCGGGCACCUCUUCCCACAACACAAAAGUGUUGUGUUGUGUUGUGUACCCCGGGUUGCCUCGACGGCUCCAAACAACUACAGCACAAUUGCUACUGCGGUUAGGACCGUACGAUACCGUACAGUGUACUGCACCAGCUGGCGGCGCCACCACCCACCCGGUGGCGCUUGGGAGGGGUGAGUGGCGACUGCCCAGCCCGCCAGGACGUCCAGGGAGGCCACCGCGUCCACGAGACGUACGAACUCGCCGUACGACGCCCUGAAGGCAGCGGCCACCUCCGCCAACGCCGCUCCACAAUGUUCGUCCAAACGUUGCCGUACCUCCGCGAGCUGCUGGCCCAAUGCCUCCAGUCGGGGACAUAUGGCUGUGAGCGUGGCGGGGGGAGCCAGAGGCCGGGGAGCAACCAGCACGUGGCCCUGGAGGGGGCAGCGGCUCGUUAGGCGGGUGGUCGGGUCGGGUCGGGGUAUGUGCAGGUGGACGCAAGGGAUGCUGGCUGCUAACCCGCAAGGGGAGGGGGGAAGGGGGGGGAAAGACGAACCACGAACGAGUGAAGCUGCUGUCAGGGCAAGGGGAAGGGGGGAAGGGGGACUGCACCGCAAUGCCCUCAGCGGACACAGAGGGUGCAGCGGCAAUGACUAGGGGAUGGAUGUUCCCCAUCACAUGCCCAUGCCGGCCGACUGCACGUCGAGGGUGCGCUGCCGCCCGCGCAGCCCCUGCAGGAUCCCGACCCCCUCCGACCUCCUGGCGCCCCCUCGCUACGUCACCCCCCUCCAUGGCCCCCUGCCCCGCAGGUGCCCGCCCUCCAAGGAAGCCCCAACCCCCCCAACCGCCCCCCCCUCCCGCGCCCACUUGUGCCUGCAGCCAGGUCCCCAGCUGGUGCGGCCAGUGCAGGGCCCCCGCCCUCUCCUCCGCCACGUCCCCCCCGGCCGCCACCAGGCCAGGCGGGACACCGGCGGCCACCAGCCUCCGCCUCUCACCCGCCACCGCCCCCUCCCACUGCCCCUCCAGGGAGCCCAGCUCAGCGAGGACCUGGUCGUAACCCGCAUGCACACCUGCAUGUGGGGGGUGAGGGGGUGAAGGGGGAGUGUGUGUGUUUUAGGGGCGUAUACGAGUGUGAGGGGUUGCAAUGCGCGUGUCACUGGCGGACGUAUACGUCCGCUGCCGGACUUUUCAUCCGCGGAUGAGCAGGCCAUGCCGCUCAUCCGCUCAUCCGCCUGCCCCUCCACCUCCCAGCCCCGCAAUAGUAACAUAUGGAGGGUAUGGUACUUCCCGUGGUGGUGCGGUCACUCACCCGGCGGAGGUCUCAGCAGCGCCUCCUCCCCCUCCCCCCCCGGCUGCAUGCGCUGCUGCCCUCCGCUGCCGUCGUCCUCGAACCAGGCGCUCAGCAGCCUCAGGGCGGGUAUGGACCUGGCCGCCGCCACCACUGCCCGACGUACGGGGGGAAGGCUGGCAGCUGCGGGGGAGCCGUCUGCCUGCGGACAACGUGGAGAGGGGGCAGGGGGGAGCCAUACACAUGCGGGGGGAGAACGGGGAAGGGAGGGGUGUGGAUUUCCCACCAGUCUGACAAAGGUGCGCGAGCUGCAUACACACAUACGUACACGCACAUGCACACAGGGAAGAGAGGACAGCCCUACUGUCUGGCUGCCCCUGGGCUGGGCCCCCCCCCAGUUGACCUCUCCUACCGCCACAGAUCGGGUGCCUCAGCCCCCCGCCCCCCCCCGCCCCCCAUAUCCUCCCAACCACCCAGCCCCACGCAGUCAACCUCUCCCCCACCUCACCCCCAGCCGCUGCCUGAGCUCCCCUGCCGCCCGGCACAUGCCCAUAAGCCCCGAAACCAGCUGCCGUACAGUCACACAUUGACUGCGCCGGGUGCUCACUGCCCACGCCACAUCGCAAGGGUCCCCCUCCUCCUCCUCCUCCUCGCCCUGCUGCUGUUGCUGCAAUGGGUAGUCCGCCCCCUCACCACCACUGCCAUUACCACCACUUCCCCCCGCUCCCGCUCCCGCUGCCCCGGCCGGUGCUGCUCCCCGCCUGGCUGGGGAUUGACAGCCCACCUGGAGGGGCAGGCGCAGUAGCAGACAGCGGUAGCAGUAAGGCCCCUCUCACGUGUCUGGGUACGGACAGUAGUGUGGGAGCAGCAAGAGGGGGAAGCGAGGGGGAGGGGAGGGGGCAGAAGAGCGCCGACCGACGUGCCGCACGGGCUCAGCUCCUCAGGGGUGAGCAGCCCCCCUCAGGGGGGACCGACCAGCACGUGACAGCCCCGAGGGAGGGAAUAAGUCUGUCAGUCAGUCUGUCUGUUCGUCAACCGGGAGACCCAAGAGCAGCGCAGGUCUUCAAAUGCGGAGGGAGGAGAAGAUCGCCGGAGGGGGGGCUGGAGGGCGGGACGGUGGGGGGGAGGGGCCGGAGGGGGGGGGCCCCGGAGGAGAAAGCAGGACAAGCGACUGAGGCGCUCUCCCAGUGCCCAUUCCUAGGCGCUCCCACCCCAAACACACCGAUGCGAAGAACUGUGCCGUACGGGGCAGCAGUUUAUCGCAGUCCGGCAGCUGCGCCAGGGCCCCCUGGAGCGCCUCCCCCGCGGCGGGGCACCGCAUGAAGGCCUCCACCACCGCCAGCCGCUCCUCAAUGUCCGCGGCUAUACACAGCGGCCUGAGGGCGAGGGGGGGUUGAGGGGGGGGAAGCCUGAAGGGCGCGAGCUGCCUGCACGCCCCUCUCCCCCCUUCCCUCCCCACUCCCCGGGGGGUGCUGCGACUUGGCCAACACAGCGGGCGGGGGCCCCGGAAGGCACAGGUCCACAACUAACCGUGCAGUGGAGUGCCGUACAGACUUGCGCUCUCCACGUGACCGCGGUCCCUCCAAACCCCAGCGCCCAUUCCCCCUUCCACGUAACCCCCCAGCGGCCGCACCCCCACCCUGUGCCACCAGUCGGCCCCACGUAGNNNNNNNNNNNNNNNNNNNNNNNNNNNNNNNNNNNNNNNNNNNNNNNNNNCCAGGCCCCGCCCCCGGCCCCACUCCCACUCCCGCUCCCCCCCUCGAGCACCUCCAGGGUCAGCAGGGCCCGGUCGUCCAGGAGGAGGUGCCGGCAGGCUGAAGGGGGAGGGGGAGGGGGGCGGGGGAUCAAUCGACGGUACGGCACCUGCUCGUGGGCCCAAUGGUCCUCCUGGGUACCCGAGAGAAGGGAGCCUACCCCUCCCCGGGCGGGCUGCUGUGUGCACAUCGGCGAGUGUACGGCAAUGAGACGCUUCGCAGCGCAGUUCGCAGGAGGUGCACCACGAGAGCUCUCAGGCCCCCCAGGGCCCGAGCCCCCACCCCGCCCCCCCCUUACCCCCCACCCCACCCCCGCCUCAGCCGCUCACAUGGAUGCAGUCGCAGGCCCACCCCGACAACAACAACAGCCGCCACCACUCCCUCACCUUGGGCUGCUGCUGCUCCUGCUGCUGGUCGCCCCCCUUCCUCCCCCCCCAGCGGGCCCCCCCGCCCCAGCUGCUCCACCCGGGCCGCCCCCGCCGCCGCCACCUCCCGCAGCACCCGGCACCGCCGCAGGUGCGCCACCGCCACCGCCACCGCCUGCAGCACCAGNNNNNNNNNNNNNNNNNNNNNNNNNNNNNNNNNNNNNNNNNNNNNNNNNNGGCGCAUUCCGGCCCCACCUUCCCCCCUUUUCCCCUUCCUCCUUCCACGCACACGCACGGACGCCGUACAUACACCACAAAGACAGGUACACGCUCCGGCCCUCCAUACCUUAGCAGCAGUGUGGCCAGCGCCGUACGGCUGGGCGUGUCGUGCAGUUGCCCCACCGCCCAUGCCCCCAGCGAGCAGUCCACCACACACACCCCCAGCAGCCCCCCCGGACCCUCCACCAGCGACAGCAGGGAGCGGCUGGCGGCACCACCCACCGGCCCCUCCAGGGAGCCGUCCUGAAGGGGGGCGGGAGGGGCCCACCAGGCAGGAAAGCUUGGAUGGGGGUUGCGGGUGGCGGGGAAAUGCCGGGUGGGACACGAGGUGGGCGACGGGGGCGGCAGGUGGUGACACGCCGCACACGUGUGCUGGUAGGAUGAGGUCUCGGGGAAAUGAGGUACAUGAAGCCAUGCAAGCGGAAGUACGCACGUGACGUGUAGUAAACGGUGCAGCCCCCAGCUGGGGCCCUCCCACUCCAGCUAUACACACACACGGUGUCAACCCAGUGCUUCCCCUCCCCCGGCCCUCAACUCCUCCCUCAUGAACCCCCGGAGGCAAUGUCCCCGGGAGGAUGUUUGUAUUCGCUCACAUACAUACAUACAUACAUACAUACAUACAUACAUACAUACAUACAUACAUACAUACAUACAUACAUACAUACAUACAUACAUACAUACAUACAUACCGAAGGCGCCCAUCCCCCCCCCCCGGGGACCCACCGGGAAGUACGGGUCCACCGCAGUCCCCGGUGUGUAGAUGCGCACCAGCCGCCGAACCAGCAGCCCGCCUUCCUUCCCCCCCCCUUUGCGGCCCCCUUGCCUGCCCCUCCCGCCCUCCGGAACCCCUCCGCCCCCGCCCCGAAACUCCUCCACCCGCCCCACGGAGUACCCCAGCGCCAGGACCUUGGCGGCCCAGGAGGGAAAGGCGUCGCGGUUGCAGCCGACCUGGGAGGGGGAGAGGGGGGUGCACCGGGAGGGGACAGGAGAGGUGCCUGUAUGUGUGUGUGUAAAAUAAGCUCAGCCGCAGAAAGUGGGGGUGGUAUGAGUGGAUGGAANNNNNNNNNNNNNNNNNNNNNNNNNNNNNNNNNNNNNNNNNNNNNNNNNNNNNNNNNNNNNNNNNNNNNNNNNNNNNNNNNNNNNNNNNNNNNNNNNNNNNNNNNNNNNNNNNNNNNNNNNNNNNNNNNNNNNNNNNNNNNNNNNNNNNNNNNNNNNNNNNNNNNNNNNNNNNNNNNNNNNNNNNNNNNNNNNNNNNNNNNNNNNNNNNNNNNNNNNNNNNNNNNNNNNNNNNNNNNNNNNNNNNNNNNNNNNNNNNNNNNNNNNNNNNNNNNNNNNNNNNNNNNNNNNNNNNNNNNNNNNNNNNNNNNNNNNNNNNNNNNNNNNNNNNNNNNNNNNNNNNNNNNNNNNNNNNNNNNNNNNNNNNNNNNNNNNNNNNNNNNNNNNNNNNNNNNNNNNNNNNNNNNNNNNNNNNNNNNNNNNNNNNNNNNNNNNNNNNNNNNNNNNNNNNNNNNNNNNNNNNNNNNNNNNNNNNNNNNNNNNNNNNNNNNNNNNNNNNNNNNNNNNNNNNNNNNNNNNNNNNNNNNNNNNNNNNNNNNNNNNNNNNNNNNNNNNNNNNNNNNNNNNNNNNNNNNNNNNNNNNNNNNNNNNNNNNNNNNNNNNNNNNNNNNNNNNNNNNNNNNNNNNNNNNNNNNNNNNNNNNNNNNNNNNNNNNNNNNNNNNNNNNNNNNNNNNNNNNNNNNNNNNNNNNNNNNNNNNNNNNNNNNNNNNNNNNNNNNNNNNNNNNNNNNNNNNNNNNNNNNNNNNNNNNNNNNNNNNNNNNNNNNNNNNNNNNNNNNNNNNNNNNNNNNNNNNNNNNNNNNNNNNNNNNNNNNNNNNNNNNNNNNNNNNNNNNNNNNNNNNNNNNNNNNNNNNNNNNNNNNNNNNNNNNNNNNNNNNNNNNNNNNNNNNNNNNNNNNNNNNNNNNNNNNNNNNNNNNNNNNNNNNNNNNNNNNNNNNNNNNNNNNNNNNNNNNNNNNNNNNNNNNNNNNNNNNNNNNNNNNNNNNNNNNNNNNNNNNNNNNNNNNNNNNNNNNNNNNNNNNNNNNNNNNNNNNNNNNNNNNNNNNNNNNNNNNNNNNNNNNNNNNNNNNNNNNNNNNNNNNNNNNNNNNNNNNNNNNNNNNNNNNNNNNNNNNNNNNNNNNNNNNNNNNNNNNNNNNNNNNNNNNNNNNNNNNNNNNNNNNNNNNNNNNNNNNNNNNNNNNNNNNNNNNNNNNNNNNNNNNNNNNNNNNNNNNNNNNNNNNNNNNNNNNNNNNNNNNNNNNNNNNNNNNNNNNNNNNNNNNNNNNNNNNNNNNNNNNNNNNNNNNNNNNNNNNNNNNNNNNNNNNNNNNNNNNNNNNNNNNNNNNNNNNNNNNNNNNNNNNNNNNNCGCUGGCGCUGCUCCCCUUCGUUGCUGGGGGUACCUUGUUGCUGGUGCUGGUGGUGCUGGUGCUGGUGGUGCCGCCCAGUGCUGGCAUCACGUGCCGCCACCGCCGACCCGGCCGGUGCUGCUGCUACCGGUGCUGAACCCCCCUGGCGCAUCAGGCGCUUCCGCAUCAGGCGCUGCAUCAGGGUCAGGUCAGGGCCUCCCUCACCCCCCUCACCGCAGUCCGCAUCACUGCGCCACGUCAUCACCGCAUGCUGCCCGGCAGCAGCAGUGCCACCAGCCCUGUUGUCAUCACCAUCAUCACCGGCUGCUGCUGUUGCUGCUGCAACGGCCGGCGAGAUCUGCCCCAGCCCCUGGCCCUGCUGCAUCCGCCUGGCCAGGGGCUGGUCCACCAGUUCCCGGUCACCCCCACACAGCCCCGAGCCGCCCCGAGGCGGCCCCUGCUGGUCCAGGACGAGGGAGCCGCGGUCCAGACGCAGUCGCUUGGGUGGCGGCAGCGGCGCCGCCGGCGCCUCUGAGGGCGUCACCUCCAUCGCUUCUGGGCCCCAUCGCUGGGGCCCCGAGGAGGGCGGCUCCAGGGAGGGCGGCUCACUGCGGCAGCGGCUACCCACACCACCACCGGUACAGGAAAGGCGGGCGGCCGAAGCAAUCGGCUGUCCAACGGCUGCCGGUGCCGGUGCUGGUGGCGGUGGUGAGUCUACAACCAGGUGGUGGUCAGCGGGCCGGAUGGGAGUGGGGUUGGGGUUGGGGUUGGGCUCACCGCUGUGUCGGAAAUGGUGGUACGUGCGGCUGUUUUGGGCGCCGCCGCCGCCACCGCUCUGUAGCUGAUUGUAGCGAUGGGAGGGAGGAGGGGGAGGAAGAGAGGCUAGAGAGCCGUGCCGGGUUUGCUCUGCGGUUGGAUGCUGCUGCUGCUGCUGCUGAUGAUGAUGAUGGUGAUGAUGGUGAUGAUGAAGGGAAAUGCGGUGGUCGUGGUCGUGCUGCAGUUUUGCAGCGCUGGGUCCUCCAGUGCAGGCAGCCGAAGAUUCAGCCGGGCCCCUACAACCAUCUGCUGCUCCUCGCCACUGCCCGGAAUGGCCAUCCGGUUGCAUCCCGCGGAAACAAGUCGGUUGUCGCUGAGGCAACUGUAUGGAAUCAUGAUGACGGGGUGAGAAGAUCAGCCGCUGCUCGGGUGCCGUUUGUAGCUGCGGCAUUGGAGGAGUCUGGUCUUGCACGGGCUGACACGCAUUCGCGCUUGGUGGCUGACGCCGAGACGCCGGAGCCUGAGCAUGUGCGCUGCCAUGCAUAGGUUGCAGGAUUGCGGAUGAAGGCAGUCUGGGUCCUUGACGUGCUUGUCCUUCAGGGAACCGUGCAGGAGGUGAUGCGACUGCAACAACAUUCCCAAGCACGAGGGCAGCUGGGACUUCCUUUUCCAAACGCUGCGCUCUUUUAGCGAUACGUUUGACGACAUCCGCUUCCCAUAGCGGCGGCGCUGCAAAAACAUCCAUCAGCCAUUGUGCACCGUUAACCUGCUCGUUGGCCAUGCAAAGCCUACGAUGUGAAAUAGCCGGCAAAAAUCAUAGCAAUAAAAUAUCCGUGGUUCGCUCCUUCACAGGACGUGAGAGCUUUGCAGCUCCAAAGCUCCUCCCGCCCAAAAGUAUGUCACAACCACCUCAUGAUGAAGCCACACGCGAUCUCAGCGCCGCUCUAAUGCAAUAAACACAAAGGUAGCCUGCUACGUGGUCAAGCAUCGGUCGAGCGUCAAGGGGAUCGGAACCAUGGCAGUGCGGUUUGCUCGUCCACCGGUUCCACCCUCAACUGUUGCGUCAUCGAGCGUCGAUUCGUCGAUGUCAUGUAUCCAGUUGAACGAAGCUCAUCAGAUGUUAUAUGAAAAAUGAUGAUUAUCUAACGUUUCUUGGAUUUGUAAAUUGAAUAACCUGUUGGAAAUUUUCGGUCAUUACCAGAACAUUUGUCAUACAAUCAACUUAGCAAUCAGGUCGCAUUUUCAGUAUGCUCUGCCCCGGCAUGAACGGGAACAGCAAGACAAGCUUGCCCUGAUGCCCAGACAAACAUGGCCCCGCAAAGACCAAAGGUGGCGCCGGGCACAUAUAUACUGCUGGAUCGGUUGAAGCGGCCAUCUGUCCCUCGACUGUAGUUCCAGACGCGUUGGACCUGCAGUGACCUGCCGGGUACAUGCACGGCUGAGUUAGCCAGGAGGAAAGGAGGCUGAGUUAGCCAGCGGGAAGUUAGCCAGCGUGAAGCUAGCUAAUACGGGCUGUAGGAGGUUGUGGACUGGCUUUUUAUGCAAGCAUUGUUCGCGGGAUAUCGGACCCAGGCGUCUUUGCCCAGGUGCGUGCUGCCUGCCCGGCUAUACGCCUCUGGUCCUUACGGUGCAUCGUUUAGGCCUCGAGUGCGCCGCCUGGCGCUCCGAUUCCCAACCCCUGUUCCUCAACCCGCAUGUAACACAUAGUCUGUGCGUCAUAAGAAAACCGCGCACCGAUAGCGCUAGUGGCUGUGCAAACAGCUGCGUCUACGUCCCACACCGCCAACAGCAAGAAUUUUGAUCUGGGACCCUUUUCCAAUCACUGAGGCCGGACAUCAUUUACAGUGAACGACCAAAACGAGGUGAAGUGCGUAGGAGGUGUGUGUAGCAAAGCAUCCGCAGCCAGCAGCAGCAAGCCCUAAUGACAUGCAGUGUUCAACGAUGGAAAUGUACAAAUGCGAAAUGAAGAAUGAUGCAUAUGCAUAUAUGUGCACAAUCACGCGGUUCAGAAGCUAGGAUGAGAGAAACGAGAAUAAAAUUGGACCCGAAUGCAGCAGUAGGGUAGGGUAGGGUAGGGUGCAAGUACAAGUCGGAAUAUGGAUAUGUAUGCGGCAACGUUUAAACCACACAAUCACAAAUAAAACCGCAAAACCUCAACACGCCCCAUAGUUCCACAGCAUGGUCACAGAUUUAAACGUGACUGGAAGUCAGCCAAAUCAAAGGCGCCUAAAAACCAUGUGGGAUCCUACCUGUGGGCCUCGACAACGCCAAUACAUGAAUUAUUGCUACCUACGCAUCGUAUGUAUAAUUCAACAAGCACUACACACCGCACAUCAAUGCAUCAACAGCUACCUUGUACCCGUCCUCUGUACACAAGCCCGAGCCGUGUGCAUACACUACCUUACUCCUCGAUAGCUCGCGCAUACAGCGACAGGAAUAAUACGCUCCAGUCCCCUUGACAACCCACCCUUGACAACGCACGCCAGGCUUGCCCCGGCCAGUGUUCACUUAUUAACACCACCAUGAUGCAUCAUCAUCACCAUCUCACACCUACACCUGCACACCCCCGACACCUACACACGCGCGACAGCAUUCCUCAUUCAUCACGAAUCUAGGGACGUCAGUAGCGCAACUCCUCUGAGGAUCCAAUGUGAUUCAGGCUGGGAAGAGGGGAGGCCCACAUCACAAACGAAGUUCGUGGAGUGGCCUGUCGUCGACAGAACUCCGCGCCGCUCGCUGGUUUUGUAGAGUGGGCACGAGUACAGCACCCAACCCUCCUGCAGCUGUGGCCAACAACAGCGGCGGAAGGCAACAAGGAGUGAGAAUUAUCGUACGGCAGAUGCACGCUGCAGGGCACUUGCUUUCAGGCAUCAACCACACAGAAGGCAACAAGGUGCAACUUUACCUGUAGGUUCUCGUUCUCCUCCCCAAUCUUAGCAGGGCAGAAGUGGACUGGCGGCAGCUGGACGAAAAGGGUUCGCGGUUCGCUCUCACAGAGGCGAUGCCCCACGAUGUCCCACGCAGCUGCCUCCAAGAACAUGCCGCUGCACAGGACGCCAUCCUCGGGCGCCCUCAAGGCGUCGUCAGGCCCAUCGCAGACCACGUGCUGGAAGUCGAUGAGAUCUAUUGGUAGACGAUGCUUGCGUGCGUAGUUCUGCUUAGCUCCGGUCAGGAAAGCCUGUGAUAACAUUUAAAACCAGGGUUCAAGCCCAAUCUAGGCACCCAGUUCGCAUACAUGGCUUAGCAUUGUUGCGUGCCCUAGCAGGUCCAGCGCCAGCUGUCAGCUUACUCGCAUGGCGGUACAGAGCGGCGUACCUGCGUGAAGAAGAAUCCACUGAUCCAAAAGACGACCGGCGGGCCCUCGUGAAGCCACGUGAAGAAGAAUUGGACCCUUUCCAGGAGCUCCUUGACGUACGGGCCCAAGGGCUUCAAGGAAGGGAAGGACUUGGCCAACCACAGCUCCGGCACCUUACCCGCAUUCAAGGAAUGCGAGACGCGCUCCAGCUCACUGCUCAUCAAGACCUCACCACGCAAAGCACGCGUGAGCUCCUCAAGGCUGGUGCGGAUGACCUUCAAAAUUAAAUAAACAAAGCGGCAGGUUUGAGCCUAUGGGGCUCUAUCGCGACAAGCUCUCUAUGUUCAAAGCGGUCAUGACAGGAAGGAUGAUGGGACUGGCGGAUCCCCAACCCCACCUACCUGUAAGAGCGUAUUGACCCGAACCAGCUCCUGCACGAGCACUGUGUUCAUAGACUCGAGGUAUGUGACAGGGUACUUCUUCGAAGCCUCCUCGAUAUCAAAGUUAGCGGGAAGCUUUGCAAGAAUUUCUGCAGUGAUGGCUCUCAAAACCCCCCCACCAUGGACGACAUCCCCUCCAGCAGGAGAUGCUGCUUCUUCACCGUGCUGCAGACCUGCAGGUGAACAAACUUCAAACAUGUUGGUAGCUGUGCCAAAAAAACAACAGAGAAUCUAGCCCCCUAAUGUAGUUCAUUGAUAUGGCUCACAUCCCAUUACAAGUAGGCCACUCAUAUGGCUCACCGUGAUCUGCAGCCGUGUCGCUGGUCGCUGCCAACGUGGCAGUCGUCAGCGCAAGGCUGUCCAGCAGCUGUCGGGCCUCCGCCAAAUCACGCGUAAUGGCCGCAUUCUGAUGGAGACCAAACACCUCCGGAGGUGCCUCUCCAAGGGGUAAAGAUGAGAGCACUGAAAGGUAGUGAGCGUAGUCACCUAGUCACCAAAAAGUGUCGGUACACGCACUCGGUUCAGUACAGUUGGUUGAACACGGCUUUUAGCAGUGGCUAUAUACUCUAUAUCGUGGUGUAGGUAUACAGGAGCAAAGAUGCCCAAUUUCCUCCCUUCCCCCCUUUUACACGCACUGCAACGACGCGUUAACAGGCGCUCAAGUGUUGCCCCACACAGUAGUGUCCGGCCGCCACACCGUUGUUGUCCCUAUUAUCUUAUGUGUGUAACAGGGGGUAUAUCUUCGCCCGUGGCAGCUACCCUGCGAAACCCUGCCUUCCCCGGUAUUUCGGGGCACCCUCAUCCAGUCACCCUAGUCAACUUCUCAGUGGAUCGCUCAGGUUCCGCACCCACCACCAGCAUCCAAUGGAAUCUGCCGGGUCGACAGCGGCCCAACUCCAUUCCUGGUCGGCUCGCAGGUUAACUUUAUCCCAGGUCACCACCGUCAUCAACUAGGGGCGCACACCUUCCACCAUCGGAAGGAUUUUUGACCCUAACGGGUAUCGAUCCCGGGAUCUCCCGGGGGCAAUGGUCGCGCGUUACCAGUAGUGCCAAACCCUAUCUAUUACUUCUAUGCUACAGGCGAGUGCCAACCAGCUGCUGCAGUCAUAGAACCACAAUCUAUGAAUGAACACCCGGUAAUAGCAAACUAGGUGCGAGGUGAAAGGGGCACCAAACCCCCACCCAUAUAGCGACGACUGUGGAUACGACACCUCCCCCGGCAGCGUUUGGCGGUGCACUCCACAUAGAGGUGCACAUAUGACGGCCGACAGUUCUACGUAAGAAGGCGUUCCCAACCCAGAAGUUGUUCAAACAACCCAUUUCUAACCGUUGUUAGGAUUCGUUACAGAGAACAGCAAAGGGGCAAAAGGAACUGCUUGGCGCUCGAUGCCAUUCCUACCCACCGAGGCGAGGGAUACGGUACGUUCCACUUGGAGUAAACUUCACGUCGCCAUUCCCAGCUUGCCCCACAUUUGCUGCUGCAACCUCCUUCCGGUAGUACACCGCCAGCAGGGUCAUCAGCGUCCGCCUAUCCUUGGCGUCCGUGACCUGUUAUACCGGAAUGGACCAGACGUGCAGGAUGUAAGGGAAAUAACGUUGCCGCCCCAUGGAGGCCCUUAAAGCGGCAUUCCAGAAGGAUUCGUCGAGGUAAGAGAUGCAUAGGCACUUUGACGUUACAGACAAACAUACACAGAGACAACACCGUUUGUUCCGCUUGCAGAAUGAGAGCCAUCAAUCCCACAUCCGAUUACCUUCCCUCCGUAAUUGCACUCUCCCGCUGUGUACAUCAGCAUCCGGAGCGGCGGUGUCUCCGACUCGUCCAGGAAUGCCUUCAACUGGCGCAAGCUGAUUCGCAGGUCAUUCUCAUUGAAGGCAUAGGGGAUGUUCCAGCCUACAGGGCCGUAGUUCCUGUGAUGCGCAGAAAACGUCCAAGAGUCGCACACAAGCGAAAGGCGGUAUACACCCCCCAGGUACACAACUCUUACAUACAUACAUGCGCACACUAUUGGUAAGGGACGGACCACUGCCCCCGGGAGACCCCGGGAUUGAGACCUGUCAGGGUCGAAAAUCCUUCCGAUGGUGGAGGGUAAAGUGCCCCUAGUCGAUGGACGGUGGUGACCUGGGAUAAAGCUGGCUUGCGAGCUGGCCAGGAAUGGAGUCGGGCCGCCGUCGAUCCGGCAGAUUCCGUCGGACGCUGGUGGUGGGUGCGGAACCUAAGCUAUCCAUUGAGAAGUUGACUAAGGUGACUAGAUGAGGGUGCCCCGAAAUACCGAGGAAGGCAGGGUUUUGCCAGGUAGCUGCCACGGGUGGAGAUAUACCCCCCUGUCCCACACAUCAUACAGGAAAGCAGAGCCUCACCUCCUGCCGACAGCAACACAGUGGAAGAAUGCCAAAGCAUAAACCAAGUUUUUGAAUGCUUGCGGCUGCCGUAUGGGUCCGUCGAGGAAUGUCUUGUCAGACAGUGGCUCACUCUUGUAGAUGCGCUCCAUCCCUGGGACAGACAUGUCGCAGUCAUUAGCUUAGAAGGCCCCCAUCGGUAAGAAGGCUCCUAGCCCGCAACCUAGGAAACCCAUCCGCCUCAGAGCUGCUUGCCGUCUCGGCACCCGACGUUGUGGUAAAGCCCAUAGCCCACCCACUUGUGGUAGUUAUUAUUAGGUGGGCUAUGGGAUUUACCACAACGUCGGGUGCCGAGAUUGCGGCUAUCAGCACACUGUGGCCUCACGUGCCCUUGCCUCGAUAUCCACACAUACACACACACACACACACACAGACUGACAGCCAAACCUGCCAGUGUGGCCUUGGCCCGAGCUUACCAGCCCUGAGUCCUUUCGGUGGCUCGUUAGUGAUCUUUAGGCCAUUUUCCAGUACCGAGGCUGGGAAGAUGUCAGACGGGUACGAUGUAAGCCAUAAGCGGAAGUCUGGGUGGACGUCUCCAGCUGUUAGCUGCUGCUCACAAACGAUCUCAAGCCGAGGCAGGAAUGACUUGGCCAGAUGACAGUUCUGUAGGAUAAUAAUAAUACACAAGCAAGCAACCGGCGUCAGUUACGGGACGAUCUCAAAUCCUCCCGUUUGUUAGAUAUACACCUGGGACAUCCGUCUAGCCAAGGGCUGUAAAGGAUUCCGCCCCUUUGUUCAGCGAGAGUCCAUUGGCCACGUGCCUUGGGUGUGUGUGUCCAUCAUUGCAGGAUUGCAGGGCAUGAAAGGGACGGCGGCAACUACGUAACAAUAUCCUGUUCACAGCUGCACCUGCCUUACCUGCAGAACAACCCAACGCCCAUCCUUGAUGCCCUGAGAAAUGUACCGUUCCGCGAUUGGCCCUUGGCCCUGCCCAAGGCUCACGGCCUCGACCUGCGUACACAUGACACAACGUUCGCUGUGUUAUUUGUUGCUUGCGGCGCCGAGGUUGGUGUCCUAGCAAGCUGCUCCUCUGUUUAGGUUAUCGUAUGUUUUGCAUUUACAACCGUCCGUCGGCCGACACACCUGCUUCCUUUUCUCCUCCGCAAAAGCAAGCAAGUCGGCCAUUGGGUCCGUCCCAGGCGAUAAAACAAACACAAUUGGCACAGAUGACGUACUGUCCAUGAAUAUGGAACUCAGCUUGAAAUCCUGGGGCUCGAUGUACCUGAUGUGAUGGGGCCAAAGUGGUAUGCAACAUCAACAUCAGCUGGGCUCGCCGCAGGAAGCAACACACAACUCCUUUUAGGACCACGGCAUGGGUGAAGGGGCACAUUCAGACAUAUUAUCCAAGCUUCCAGUGGGCAACAUCUUCCGAUACGUACCGUGUCCCCAUGCUACCCGCCACGUAGGCAGCGGCAGCAGGUAACAAUUUGUCAGGUGAGAGGCACCGGAUUAGCAGCAAACGCUGGAACGGGUCCAGCCGCUCUUGCAUUCCUCCAGGCAGUUCCUGCAAACAAAUACGGCAGCAGCACUAUUGAUGACGCAGGCGGAUGACCAAAAAAAUGCUUUGGAACAGAUUUAACAGCAUUCAACACAAAAGGACAGCAAUCCAUGAACGCGUAUCUUUGGUUGGACGUGGGACGGGCGUGAUCAUAUUCGAUUCGGUCGGCCGGGGGGAAUAAACUUCCAAUGACUCAGGGUUUUACAGAUACAAGAUAGAGCGGACCUAUAAUAUGACGGACCUAUGCGCCGGAGGCGACCCUUUGGAAAAACUGCAUACAUGCACACCUGCUGAGUGCCGUUAUACACUGCGUGCCACUGCUCAUUGUGGACAGUGAUGCUCUCACGAAGCCCACUGAAGGCCUCUCCAGUGCCUUCCAGCUCGCAUAAGUUCGACCAAGCUUGGUCGCUCAGCCAGCCAGACGAAGGGUUCGCAUGUGGAUUGUCCAUGGAACGGGCCCCUACAGCAAUAUAGGGCAAAGAAGCUCACAAUCAGUAUUAGCAACCCACAUCAUCGUUGUAAACCGCCCACGCCCGUGAAAUUACCAUCAUGCCAUCGUGCAUGUGCACAACGCAGGAUUGCCGAAGCUAUGCAUGCCACCGCACCUGUCACCAUAAACUGCACCAGCUGGGGUGCCAGUGUGCCGGCCGCCACCUGGAUGCUCAUUGCCAGCAACAAGGCAAAUAGCAACUUGUCCUUCUCGAACAGUGCUCUGCAACAAACAGGGAUGUCACUGGGAUCGGAUCGAGGCGCACUGGCAGUGUGCUAUGAUUCAUGCCUCCACAUCCCUGGAUCUGCCCCCCGACGGGAACGGGACACUGUGGAGGCGCUAAGGCCGCCCGGUGUCGCGGGUUGAGUGCAGCCGACCCGCGUGUGCCGGGCCAGUAUGGAUGAGUAAGAGUAAGCCCCAGCCGGGUGGUAGGCCACGUGUGGGUUAACCCAGCUCUCGCAGCCUUCAUCCUAGAGUGCUUCUAAGGUGGUUUCGGUGUCCGUAAGUCAUCGGCUGGCCUGAUCCAGGUGAUUCAUGCCGACCUCUUGACCGGCCAAGUUUCCGAGAGCCCUGGGCCUUCCAAUUGUUAGGGGAGUUUGGUGGUAGGUCGCUAAUAGGGCUGGUUGCUUGCGCGUGGCCGUUUCCCCGAAAGUCUCAUGUUGAUAAGGCAUAAUAUUCAUGUACGAUCGACCCACCUGCAGACAUUCGCGUACAGGAAGAAAGUGAAAUGGUCCUGCAGAAGCGCCAGCCGCUUCGGCACCAACGUGUGAUGUUGGCUCUCAUCGAUAGAACGAAGGAACAGCUGAAUGAAGUAGGUGAGUGAGAACGCGUACAUGGGAUCGAUGUUGAGCAGCUCAGCAACGCAGAAGUACAGCACAGAAACGUGCUUUGCGAUCGGCUGGUAGGCAGUGCGCGCCUGCACAGAGACGCCGAGUUAGACCCAUGAAGCCAUCCAGUUAGGGUGUACCGUCUGCGCACACAAACCUUAUCGAUAGCUUGUUCUGUUUUUGCAGCAUCUUGUUGCUUGCUGGCAAUCUCGUCGCUGAGCUGCUUUGCUUUCUGCAGGACUGUGACUGCCUCUCCAUCGUCGAGGAUUGACCCUUGGUUGGCUGAUAAGACUGCUAAGAUUUGAUCCUCUAUCUCAAGCAGCUUACGGGAGUUCUCAGCACCUGCGCAUGAUUACCACACAUUAAGCAUUUACACUUUACGGUAGAAAGUUUCUGCCAUGCAUGCUCUGUCUGGGGCUUCUCCCAUACCAUACACGCAGAUUCGUGUCAAGGAUCCACGCAGCGCACCUGCGACGAUGAGUUUGUUUUUUUCCUCUUCGAGCUCUGGUCUCUCUUUAGCAACCACAAUCCCAAGAAGCUGAUCUUCAAGUCCAGCUGGCGUGAUGCAGAAGUUCAGUAGGACCACACGUGUGCACACCUGCGUAAACACAAUCAUGCCAUUAUUAGUGAGCAGGACUACGCUCCUACCAUAGCAAAGAACGUUCAGCACUGGUUCCCAGCACGCUGAGCCUGACUUCAAGAGUAAUCGCGUCUUCUUCGAUAAGACGGACUCAUUACACGUGAUGUGCAGCAGGCGUCACGUACCUCCGGGGGGUAGUGAGGAUUUCGGAGCUUCGUUGUCAUGUAGAGUCGGAAGCCUGAACCCCACUCAACGACUUGGUCGCCGAGUUUGACGCAUUGUAUACCAGACUGCAAGCAUGCAAAAGGCAUGAAAACAAAGAUGCUGUCUUGCAGGGGCACACGUACAUCGCGUCCCUAGGAGACAAACACACGCAGUACACAAAAGACUGAAGUAGUGGCAAGUGGCCUUAAAGUUUCAUCAAACUAUAAGAAAUGGAUUGAAGGGGGGGCAUAUAUACAUUUCAUUGUCGUCCCCAGACCAAACCAACGGUUUACGUUGCCACCAAUUGGAUGGGCACGUCCAUGGACGUAUCCCACAGGGGGCUUCCAACUAGGUUAUCCGGCAUCCACUGGCGGCUUGCCUCGACGGCAAUGUUAUCAGGGUUAGGGUUGGAGAAAACUGCCAGAUGGAACACCCUAACGAACAAGUUUUAGGAGCUCAGGCGCUAGAUGCUAAGGCAGCUCUCGUAGGUGAAAAAGAUACUGCAUAUGGAUGCAAACCCAGCAAAGCUCCCACAGUAAGAAAACUUACACUUUUGAAUGUGUGUUUCAGCAAGACUGGCUCCAGCGAAGCAUCAAGUCUUUCUCCUAGGCCUUCAAGGAGCACCGGCGUACCCAAGGGCAGGGCUGCUGCCAGCGAUCGCAGGUAGUUGGGAUCAGCAGCAGGCUUAAGCACAAGCAAAUGGCGAGUAGCCUCCAUGUUGCGGAUCCAUUUGUUUGCUUGGCCCUGAAGCAGAAGUCGGAUCCCAACAACAAUUAGCAGGGGUGCAUCAGCAAGUGUGUGACCGGAAUGCUUUUCGAUAUUCAGGCACCUCAAUCAAGUCCACCGCAGCGUUGCAGGACUUGGAUUCCGAACAAGAAAUCGUCAAUGCCCAAUAUUACCUGGGGGUCGAUGCACAACGGCCACCGGGAGCUCUCCAUGACAAUAAUGCCGUUUGCCGCGCUGACAUCGUCUUUCGGUAGGCCCCAAAUGGCCCAUUGGCGCAUGGAGACCGGGUUACCCAAUGCACUUAGCAGCGAGAAGACUUCCGAGCAGGGAAUAGCUCGGGCCGCACACUGGGUCACCCAUGUGCUAACAGCUUGUGCACGGUACUCUGAGCUGAAGGCGCCCAAGUACGCAAUUACACCAGCAGAAAGAAGCAUGUCACCUGCAAAAAAAUGAUAGCAAAUGGCGCCGGUUGCUGUUCGGCUGCUAUAGCAGCUGUCGUACAGUAGGCCACAUCUACCACAGCUGCUGAUGCACAACAGCCGCGGGACAAGCUACAACCGCGCAUGUGUGCGUUUGCAAAACGUUCGGAUUUCCGCAGUAUGGGCGCCGCCAAAACCUUCACCGUUAUGGGUGGGAGAUGAGGUUGAAAUAGGUUACGCACAUUGUUAUCCUGGACCUAGGAUACUGGGGCCCAGGAUACUGGGGCCCAGGAUACUGGGGCCCAGGAUACUGGGGCCCAGGAUACUGGGGACACAUGGACUAUUCGAAUCCACCGCUGGCUUUACUUCCAAAGUGACACACUAUCGACCCAACAUUUAGAUUAUUUACAUAUCCCCCGAAUCCUGUAUUGCAUUGUAUCAUCACACGAAAAGGAUGCGUCCAGUCCUGCGCCGAUGUCGCUUUGAUGCUGUGUUUCAACAAAAGCUUCUGGGAUCCGGCCGGCCAGCUUAUGGCCGGUACAGGCGUGCUGUAAUAUCACCUACCAAUGAGACGGACAAACUGGUCGCCCAGUUCGUCCACUUUCUGGUUCCACCUUGCUUUCUCUCCGCCAAGCCCGGCCAUCAACUUCGUUGCGCGAUCCAACUUCUCCUCACAGAGCGCUACAUCCGCUUCAAGCUCCGCCUUCCUUCGUUUGGCUGCCUCGAGCUUAGCUUGGAGACCUGCGAGCCGAUCUGCAACAGCUUGCAACUCUGCUUGUUUUGCAGCAAGCUGCUGUUUGACCACCGCUAGCUGCUCUUCCGCAACCUGUGAGAGGCAGACGUGGCAUCGAAGAGCAGAGGGACGAUGAUUACACAAAACAUCGUGAUAUUGAGUACAACUGCAGCAUGGCCGUUUCAAUAAGCCGCCGUUGCGCCCAAAAGCCGAGUACGGUAUGGCACAUUGUCAACUAGUAAACAAAAACGGACGUCGCUGUCUUGUAUGCACGACUUCCCCUCGACUGGCAGGCAACCGUAGCCCACACUGCCAUACAAUAUAUCCACUCACCUGUAAGGCUUUACGCUUUGGGGCAACAAUCUUUGCAACGCGGUCAUACGUGUCCAUAGCCCGCACCCAGCUGCACAAUCCAAAUGCCGCUUGCGAGACCUUCUUGAUUUUGGCAGGUUGAAAGUCUGGGUGUGAGAGGAGGGGCUGUAGUGCUUGAAUAAUCUCCGGGGCGAUGGUAUCCUGCGUAAAUGGUUCGAUACCCAUGGGGCCCAAAGGGAGGUCACAUGUAAGGACACGCAGGCAGUUGUCCGCUUGCCUCCGUCAGGCCUUGUGCUACAGAUAGGCAGGGGUCCCCUCUACCUUGUCAAACGUCAUCAGGCUGUCCAAGAAGCCCAUGUCGCUCAACAUGCGCUUCGAUGUCUCCCACCAGUCCAUGAUGAACUUGCCGGUGUUGGUGUCCUUCACCUUGGUAGGCUGCAAGCCCUUCAGGAGACACACAGCCUGCAUGACAAGCCUUACAGGCAUUGGUGGUGCUUUCAUGCCCUUGACCUCGCUGAUGUCGUUCUUGGUGAGCGUGUUCAGGGCCUGCAUGUUAAGAAAGUACGGCGAAACCACGCCUCGUCAGGAGUAUUAUCAUGUCAGGCAUUUUGGUCAUACGCAAACCCAGGUCGGCGUACCAAGCUUUUUGGGGUGUUCCUGUCUACAAAGCCAGUGCUAAAAGGCAAGCCUGGAACCUGAUUGGUCCCGACCUUGGCAGCAAACGUUUCACCUCACCUUGAUUGCAGCAUUGUAAGCGGGCAUAGCUUGCGCAAGGUCGUGCUCACAUUCCUGCUUUAUCACGCCGACUUUUCGUGCCUCCUCUUUGGCCUUGGCCUCCUCAGCCUGCCGUUGCCAAACAGGUUAGGGAAAACCAUAAACAGCUAUGGCCAGCUUCUUGAAGCUCUUUUGUGGGUUUGAUUGGUAAAAAACAUCCACAUGGUACUGAUUUCCCCAUACUCCCGUGCGUGUAUGACGUGUGUAUCCCCAGGGCAUGCGCGACUCACAGGGCGAACAUAAAGGCGGGCGAACAUAAAGGCCGUCACUUUUGUAGACACCACAAUUCUUACCUCAACCAUGGUCUUGACCUUAUCCGCCUCCACUGUUUGCGUUUCCACCAGCGCAAUUAGCUCCUCCGUCUCUUUACCACUAAUAAUCAAUCGUGGCUGCUUCUCCUCCAAUUCCUUGCGCAUAAGCAGGACCUGCGCCAUAAGGAAUAACAUGUCUAGUCGAUGCAGGGUAUGUAGACAAUAAAUAACAGAAUUCGCACCUGCUCUUCAGUCGCGGCGAGCUUUUCCAACCCGACCUCAUACCGCCGCCGCUGAGCAGAUACUGCCUGUUGCUGGCGACGAAGAAGUGCCUUGAAGCAAUCAAGCAACUGAAGGUAGCUGGUCGGUGUCACGUAAUAGUGGCGCUUGGCCUCACGGCGGUACCUGAGAAGACAGAGACAAAGAAGCGGAGGGUCUUGCCUCUCCUUCGCAGCUCCGAAGUGGAUGCUACACAUGACACACAAUCGAUGUCACUUCAAAACCCUAGAACCUCAAACCCUGAAAAGUUGGGACGUGGGCAGACGAUAUGGUGUGCUCACAUCGCUGUCAGGCGUCAAUGAAUAAUACACAACCAUUUCGUACCACAACGAGUGGAUGAGCCCAAUAACACUAUUCUUUCGGUGAGGACGGGUUCAUCAAUGGCGCAAUCAAGGUGAGAAGAAACGGACCCGGAGAAGAAGGUAGGGACCCGAACAAUUACAAAAGGGCGGCAAAAAACAAAGAUGAUACCCAAAGGAGAAGCAUCCACAAACCUCGCGAACGGACAGGACAGGAGUGAGCCCGGAAAGAACCCGGGGGAAAAGCAAGCAUAACCACAUGGAACAGGAACCCGAAGAGGACGAAACCUUUGCUAUUGCUAGCUACUAUGGCACAUGGGGAACGCAUCCUAUACAGUUUUGCCUUGAAGCAGACAGGAUGCGCAGAGGCACCUGGUCCGAGGGGAAACCUAUACCUGCUCUAGGAACACGUAACAGUAACGGGAGAGGCCGCCGAUGGACGAUCAGCUAUCACCUAUUUUUUAUUCUUUUUUUGGUUUCUUUUUAUUGGGAGGCUUUUGGGGCUCAGGCCUCAUCUAGUAACAACGUGCAAGUUCUUAUCAGUAUUUCCUCAUGGGCCUUCUGGUGGGGGCCCGAAGACUUUUGCCACUUAGGAGUCUAAUGGCAAAGUCCCCAGUGGUUGCGGGUUCUGAGCCUUUCCUUUGGGUUUGGUUUUGGCUGUCUAGGUGACUUGCGUUGCCUGGUCUGGGUGGGAGUCUUGUUUGCCCUCAUCGUAACAGGUGCAUUGCACGGCCCGCUGGCCCGCUGGCUCUACUCUUUGUGAGUCUGGAGCCACUAUAACAACCACACAUACACACACACACGUAACCGCGGUCAGCAGACGGCUCGAACCGCGAGCCUUAACCCGACCUGCCCCGCAUCGUACCUGUCAGUCAAUGCUCGUGCCGUAAGGUGGAAACGGACGCACUGAUCGGCUAGCUGAUGACGCAGUUGUUGCUCAAGUGCCAUUUCGCCGAGGGCCUGCUCCGCCACUGAAGCCAGGGCAUCAUUUGGCCAGACCGUAAACCAGUCUAUAGUUGUGCAGGUAGUCAGUGAUGGAAAUCGGCGCAGGCGCUCUCGAAAAGCGUCACCGACCGGGCUGAAGCAGAGCACCACACGCAAGUGUUGUCGAACCUGUGAACGCAAAAGCAGCCCUCAAGUGCGACAUUUCCUUCUUAGUGUUCCCAAUUGCCCGGGUUAGUGAGUAGCCAGACACUGACCUGAUUCACGAAAAAGUUGUUGAUGUCCGCACGGCUGCCGUCCAUUCGAGCUGUUCGGGCGCGUUGGCGCAACGUCUCGCCUAUGGCAAUCAGCUCAGAAGCAUCAAAGAGGUUUGGAACUUCGCCCGUGUUCAAGAGGCUACUGAGCUCCUCGACCUGGAAGAGGGUUAGGGACAACCACAUGCGUUUCGGGUAGGCAGCAGGUAGGCACGGGCGACAACCUGCAAACAUCUCAAACAAUCUCACCCACCAUUGUUUCGUCCAAUAUCUGGCUGUCGCUGAACAUGAAGACCGCAUUUUUGCCCUUCUCGCCGGCCGUCCGCAGGGCGAGUUUAAGGUCGUCAUGCCAGUUUGUCAUUCCGUAGGUGCUGCUGACCUCGAUAGUGAAAAGCUGGACAUGCAUGGCACGGGGUCAAUCGAUUAAAUAGGGUUUGAAUGCAAGUUCAAACAUUUGCAUUUCCGAUAGCGUACGGGUUGAGGCGCGUGACACCUGGGUGUCAGGUGAGGUUGGCGGCGUACAGGUGGUAAUUGCAGACGCCCUCCACCAUCUCAUGUAGCUGCAUCUCUAAGUGCUUGCCACAAGGUGCAAUGCUUCGCCGCCCGUAUCACGCAACCCCAAGCCUAGACCUACCAGGAAGUCUUCAAUGAAAGCUGCUAGCUGCGUCACACUCUGACGACCGCUUCCACCCACACCGACGAGUAACGCAUGACCUCCAGGCUGGCGGAUGGUACGUGCCACUCGGCAGACGUGUUCCAAGCAGAACUGGAAAAGAACCAAGCUCAGUGGCUUCUUGCUGCCUGCAACACAAAGAAAUUAGAUAAGAUUUCACCAUUAUGCCAUCAUCCAUGCACCACCCAGACAGGUAUCGUGUUUGGUACAAUCUGAACGUCAUUGUGGUUGCACGUACCUGCAUUAAGGUCUGCCAAAUACUCGCCGACUACCGCCGUCAACCGCUCGAAGUCCAUGACCUCGUCAUAGCGGCGUGGCUCCGCGCCGGGGAUGAGGAAAUCAGCAAACAGAAGGCGGCGGAGCUGGGGGGCACCUACGUGUACCGUGCUCUCGUGGCCUUCAUCCGCUAGGCGUGACAGCAGCUGCACGGGUUCCAGAGUCGGUUACACCUUGCUGCCACAGGGCAGUAUAGCUUAAGCAGUUGUGCUGGACCUACCAAACUGCACGAUAGCACAUCGGGCCCAUUCUUACCUUAUCAAAGCGACUGCCAAAAUGGUCCUCGACAUUUGCACGUAUCUGCUUUGCAAUCCAGUUACGAUCGGCGUCAUCCACCAACCUGUCGUGGUAGACGCGUAGUGCUUCGUGGACCCAUAGUCUCUGCAGCCGCUCAGGGUCGUUGUCCAAUGCCUCGCCGACGAACGACAUACCCUACAGGGGUGUGACCUCCGUUCACAGAACGUAAAAAGUGAUGCAAGGGACGACGCUUAACCACUUGCCUGGAAAAGCUUUGAGAGGUCGCGUAGGUUGAACACGUAAUGGGACUUCAUUGGGGUCGGAAGCAGAUUUUCCGAAACUGCAAAAUGCAGCUUCAAACUCGCCGCGACGAGUUUGUCCCGCAGCCCAACCACUUCAGACUUGUACCUGGGGUGGAUCAAAACCACACAAUCUGGAAUGACUCCGUUUCAUGGACAAGAAAGAUGAUUCGUCCGCAUUGUGGAUAAUUCUUCUACGCCUUCCACCCUAGUAUGUAGGCAACCCUGUCCUUACAGAAGACACACACCCGCAGAUACGUACACUUACUUGCACCGGCUGAACCACCAGUCCGUGAGCGCGCCGAAGAUUUGCUUCAAGGACGCAGCGUCAAACUCAGUGGCGUGCACCACAUGGAAGUGACGCAGGUACCGGUUCGUAACCGGAUUCCGCCCUCCGCCCGGGGGUCCCAUGGCCGCGAGGAACUGCAGAUCCACAAGCUUGCGGAAGCUGCAUGACGUGUACAAGUACGCAAUACGACUUAGGGUUUUAUGACACGGUAAUCCACGAUCAUGUUAAUAACCUAGAGGGCAGUGCGCGCGUGUAACAAUCAGCAUUUCUGCUGUGCCUUCCAAGGCGCACCUGUUAUCUCGUCUGUCGUACCACCCUGAGUGGUCCAUGGCCUGCCUCAGAAGCUCAAUGGGAGGCUGAGCACCGUAACGGUCUAGCUGUGGCAUGUUUAAGUCGUCCACAAAUAUGGCGCAGCGCUUGCCCACAGGCGGUCCGUAAACACCCUUGCGGCGUUUAUCUAGUUUACCAUCAAUGAUAUCCUGUGGUAAUGGAAAUGUCAGGUACACGCAGUCCUGAGACAACGGACGAUCAGGCGUUCUCUAGGUAAACUGCAACUGCAGUAGCAUCACUGAAGCAAAGUAAACACAACUGACCCCCCCUAAGCCAGCGUGGUGAACAGCCUGCAUGCGAAAUGCCAGCGCGACGUCGCUGCAUUGUAGACCUUCAGGCCCACCUGAGUCAUGUUCGCACUUGUUUGGGCUGAAAAGUUGAAAACCAUAUGUACCCAUGCAGACCGGUCGAGCUUUGAUGCCAGGAAGGACUUGAUGUAGACCGACUUUCCAGUGCCGGUUGGCCCAACGAAUAACAGCGGCACAUAGUUGAUGACCUGGAGUUCUAGAAGGUAGCUGUACCGUACGACAUCAGCAGUCGUGACAAUGAUUGUGCUGUAUUCGGCCUCAGGGCGUAUCGGUUCACUCUUGCGCAAAUCCAUCCACCCUGAAAGCACGAGCCAGGUGACGGGGUGGGUAAAUGACACGGAAAGGUGAAGGCAGCAGGAGGAGAACCCCUGGCGCUUACGGACGUGGAACCUGCUGUCGAAUGCCGUUCCAGCAGCAAGCCACACAAUAACGAAUGCACGUCAAGGAAUGCACACGCACAUGCAUAUGCAGUUAUGUCUUCAUGUUUGCGUGGUAACGGCGAACAUUAAAAGUUGCUAGCUAGCAAGUGUGCAACACCAUAGGAGUUGCCAGUAGCACCCUUAGCUGAUAGCCGCUUAUUCCACCACCGGGCCAUCUCGCAAAAUGUUGAAAACUCCCGCGACCUAUCACCCAAAUCAAGCCCACGCCCCUGCAGCUGCAUUUUUGAUGAUAUACCAUGUAACUAGGGUUGCAUGCAGAAGUUUACCUUUCCAGGACUCCGUCGCCGUGUCAUACACCCAGUCAUACACGCUUCCAUCGGCUGGCAUGGCCUUCUUGACCGGGCAAGCAUUGCCUGUGACGUAUGCCUUGUAUGCCCCAAAGUCUCCGCGCAAAAACUGCCGCAAGCUGUUGCUGAACGCAGACCGACCAGCCAAGUCCACGACCGCUCCAACACUCCAAACAAGCGAAAAGAUGAACAGGCAUUCUACCGUGACUAAAAGAUUCUCAGGCGCCGCACGCUCUGCAGGUCGUGUGCCAGGAGGCGGCGGUGGUGGCUGCAGGUGAGGCAGCAAUAAACCUUGGAGAAGGCGGGUCAGACUCCUGACCAUGUUAAUGUCCUGGACUGCUACCGGCUGCACGCAGUCCUUGCCAACAAGGCGCAAGCAGGGCGGGAUGAGCCAUUCCAGCAGCAUGUUGAGGUGAUCCCUACGUGGGCACCAAAGAAAGCAGAGAAAGCACAAAACAAUUUGCAGGUAUCCAAGAGAGUUGUGGAUGGGAUAUAUGAAGGGACUGCCUCAAACUUAAGCUUUGACGGACACCCCCGCACUCGUGCGGCACUUGUAACUUGUAACUUGUAACUUAAGAGGCCCGACAUAAUUAGCAACUUGCAACAAUGCAGUCCCAACCACCCCCCAUGCAUUCAGGCAUCGCCUGUGCCUGGACAUAUAUAUGCGUACACGCUGUACAUGCAGUUUGCCCACGAGGUCCUCCCUUGCGUACGCAAGGAGAAGCAUGACGCAAAUGUAUAUUAUCGGAGGCUACUUACUUUAUCUCCUGUGUUACAACGGAGGGCAGCGUAUUCAUCCAGGACUGCACAAUCGGUCUCCAGCCUAGGAGGGAAGGCUGCAUAUAAACCAUGCCACACCGUGACACAGUUGCCGGGGAUGCCACUGCCAAGUCUUGCACCUCGAAGAUCAUGUUCAUCAAACCCUGCGUAGAGUGCGCGGUACGGGAAGCAACCAAUUCAGGUUCCUAGGCACGCAGCCAACUGGUUUAGGAGGCCACGUGCACAAAGACUGACAAGUCACGGAAACAGAAAAGCCAUGCUGUAGCGAGACACCUUCGCAACCACAGAUAGCCGUACGACGGAACCACCUUGUGAUAACGUGCAUGCCAGACAUUGUAGCGAAAUAGGCUGCUGUUGUGGAGUUUAAUACGCACUUACCUGCAUCGCGAUAAUUUCACCACUGUUAAGGCACAGCUUCUUGUUGUCGUCCAGUACCGUGUUCAUGUUUUCAAUCCAAAUCGCGUCAACUGGACCAUCCAGUACCACCCAUUUCCGGUCAGGUGACGUAUCACGCGCCGCGGUCCUGCACAUUCAGGCCGGCCAUACAUGGAUUGCGCGGGGUCGUGUCGUUAGCAGGUGUUCCACGUUGUCAUUUUGACAAGCAGGCUAAACCGGGUAUACUGACCGAUAUUUCAACGGUAGCCGUUCGAAGGUCCCGGUGUGUGCGGACAGGCAUGCAGGGGUGCAUACCCAUCAGAACCACUUAAGUUUCCAUGAGGAGCCGAUGAAUAACCGCAUCAGAUCUGCAGCUGAGAUGCGUUGUCGCAACCCUACUCUGCUCACCUGAAGGCGACUGCGAGGACACCAUCCGUCCACUCCUUGGACAGCGGGUCGUCCUGCCCAUACAGCUGGCCCAUUGUGACAGCCUUCGGGUUGAUUGUGAACGUCUUGACCUUCUGCUCGCCAUGACCUGCGUGACAGGAUAGAUUGCAAACCAGUGCGCUAUCAGGGCCAACGAGGAAAAGUACACCUGGUACCCUAUACUCCACUCCAUCUUCCCAUGACACACAUACAUUUCCAAGGUGCUAUGUGCAGCCAUGCGCAGGCCAGGCUUCGCCAGGCCUAUGUUACUACUGGUGCCCGUAGCCAUGGCCUCUGAGCCAUAAUACAAGAGUUGCUACGCGAUUUCCAACCAUACGGUCAACAGGCCUUUGUGUCUUACAGUACCUGCUGCACACAUAUCGCCCAAAGCAGCCGCCAGGACACGUAUAGCUACGGUCUUCAUGCUGAAGGACCGUCCCACGAGCAUGAGGCCAUGCCGUACGACGAUCAUCUCGUAUAACUGGAUUGCUUUUUCGAUGAAGGAGGGAAGUGGCUGAAGGUUAAGGGCACGCGCGUUGCGAGUCAGAGCUUCAGUCAUCUCGCCGUAGUCAACCGCCGGUAACGAGACCCCUGCAACCCGGACCACGGGAACAGAUAAACAAGUCUGUUAACUCCUGCUCAGUGAAUGGCUGUAGGAUGAGAUCCUCUUUGAUAAUCCUCAGCCCAACCUUCCGAAUCAGGCAUGCGGCUACCAGCAGGCUGGGCGUUUCUUACCUGGGAACAAAUCCGAGAGGAUGCCUUUGAAUAGAGGCACGUCUUCGUCAAGGAACUUGGGCAAGUUGACCUCCGUAAUUGCACGGAGCAUCAAGAUUGGCUCCCCGUAGGUAUCGCCGCUGUGUCCCGCAUAUCGGCGCUUGAGGUUGCCGGCGGCCCGCAGCACAGCCAUGACAGCCCGCAUACCUGUCAUAAGAAUGGCAUCGGUAGCACAAAUCCUCCCGUGAAAACAGAAUUACCAACUUAUGAUUGAGGCAAAGUUCCUGUGCCUGGAGCAAGCUGAAAUGCAUACCAAUGGGCCAAACUAGCAGCUUACCGUAGUCGUAAUGAUCUUGGCGGGAAAGCUGCUCAGAGCAGAGACGGUAAGUCUGCACCAGCUUCUGAGCCAUGGCACGUGCUUCCAAAUAGCCGUACGAGUAUAAAAUGAUCUCGCUGAUAAGCGCGUAGUCAGGAACCAUCAUUGCAACAUCCCGGAAUAGGGCCUGGAGCGUGGCAUAUACGGGACAAGGACCGCGGCGUAGAGAAGUCAACCCAAAAAAGUUGCUUCAAUGAAGGCCAUUUUUUGCCAAAAAGCAGGAAAGCGGUGAAGAGUCGGUCCUUACAUGCGCAACCGCUCAAUCACAAUCCCUAGGGACCCUAAGUACAUAUUUCCAGCAGCCCUUCGACUUUCCAGCAGUCCCAUUCACAAAACUAAGCGACUCACCUUGAGGUUGUCAGGCAGUUCAGACCGACCCGCAUAGCCCGGAUUCAUGGUAAUGAAGACGUUGCAGGUCGGCACAAGAACCAUGUCUGUACCUUCAAAAACGAACCGCUUCUUUCCCGCAGCUUUUGCUCGCUGGAUGGUUAAGACCUGGCACCAUACAGAUGCACGGCAGGAAGGUUUUGGUGGUAAGGGUAUGGGACGGGAAUUGUUUCUAUGUGGAGUCGGAAACUAUUGGUAUGAACUAGCUCGCAACAGUAACACCCUGAAACAUGCAAUGCAUGAUAUGGAUCGCGGGACGUUUGGCAUUCUCAAGGUCGAAGCAUGCACUCGCGCGGUCCCCCCAUCCAUUAACUCCUAACAAACACCGUUCUAGACUGCACCAUCUCGUACACACCAGGGGUGCGCGGUCUUAUGCGGUGGUCCAUAUGCAGCGCGUAUCAAGCAAGUAACGGCAUAUGCAAAACGGAUGAUCCUUGAAAAGGUCUCUGCAGACGCUGUGCAUAGAUCUUACUGGAUUACAUUAUAAUUGUAAGGCCAUAUUUGUACGGCAUUCUCGAUCUUGAAAUCGUCCUCAGCAGAUACGCCGGAUUUCAGUUCUGUAUCCAAUACAGCUGUACACAGGGCACGUAGAUUAAACCAUACCUGCUGCGCCACGACGGACAAGACCUCCAGCUCAAUCCGGUUGAACUCAUCAAAGCAUGCCCAUGCACCGCUGGCGGCAAGGCCUUUGAAAAACCGACCCAUGGCCUGUAAACAGCACAAACAUGUAUUAAGCAGUGCACGUCAUGCAUUGGUAACCCUACAAACAAAUGCUAGGAAGCUUAGAGGCUCGAGUCAUGCAUAUAAAUGCACCCACCAGGUAAUCCAGGCCGUCGGAGCAGUUAAACACCACGCACUGGAUGGCCACUGCCUUAGCCAGGUCUUUGGUGGUUUCAGUCUUGCCCGUCCCUACAAUCAUGCGCCACAUGGAGAAAAGCAUACAUGUAUAAAGGUUUUUUCCAUAGCGCUGUUACAAACAAAAGCCUAGGUUUGAAUGCACGUACGGGAAGUGAGACAUUGCUGCGCUACAGCAGUCGAGCUGUCUGGUUCACUCGUAAGCACGUACCGGCAGGGCCUGCAGGGGCACCUCCAAGGUUCAUAUGAUGAGCUCCCAACAGCGUGCGGUAGCACCUGUCCGUCAGCGGUGUGAUAACGAGUCUGGAGCUGUUGCCGAGGUACUCGUAGCCAUACGUGCACUCCGCGUUCAGCAUCCGUACAUGCAUGGUGUUGUUCUCCCAGUAGUAGCGCAAGCGACUUUGCCAGCUGAAGUCGUCAAUACUGGAAACCUGAAUCACCGCAACAGGAGGUCACGGCUACUUGCUCAUCCGCUCCAUACGAAGGACGCAACGGCAUAGAGGAAAUGCUUAGGUCUGCUACACCCAGUUGUACGCACCUUGUCGUUCACCAUUUCGGCGACAACGUCGCGGGCAUGUACGUCCAACACGACCAAGGCCCCAAUGGUGGCCCGCUCGAGUGGCUUCAGGUGACCACGUACUAGCAUGACCUCCUCCAUGAGGUCACGCCGGCACUGCUCUCCGUACUCAACCAGCCCAAAGAGGCCGCUUGAUGUCAGGGCUUCCACCACGCCCAUAGUCCAGUAGGCCUGUGCCACUGCCAGGACCACCUGGCCCGGCCACUCCAAAAUCCAGCUGGCCCUCGCAGUAGUUGGAUAUGCCUGCAGGUCGGCAGAUUCACAGCAAAGGGAUCUUCCUUACAGCCGUUGAAUAAAUUUUGUUGGGGUGCGUGUUUACGAUCUCCGUUCCUCGGGACGCGGCUUGGGCCCGGUCCGCCAGGAUUGAGCGAUGUGUCGGAUGGUCCCAGAUAUUUGGGGGGGGAUUCAUGCCUCCACAUCCCUGGAUCUGCCCCCCGACGGGAACGGGACACUGUGGAGGCGCUAAGGCCGCCCGGUGUCGCGGGUUGAGUGCAGCCGACCCGCGUGUGCCGGGCCAGUAUGGAUGAGUAAGAGUAAGCCCCAGCCGGGUGGUAGGCCACGUGUGGGUUAACCCAGCUCUCGCAGCCUUCAUCCUAGAGUGCUUCUAAGGUGGUUUCGGUGUCCGUAAGUCAUCGGCUGGCCUGAUCCAGGUGAUUCAUGAGGCCCACGUGCCCAUCCUAAACAAGUAAGUCUAGGACCGUACGCGGGGUGAGGGUCUUGGUGGUAGGUGGUUAGCGUUCGGGGACAAAUGGUUAGGAGUUGCCCAUACUUGACCACCCCCUUCUCUGCUACCUCAAAACCUCAGUCCCAGCCCGCACAAUCGUACGCCGUGCCUGGGCCGUCCUUCACGAGUCUGGGCAAGGAACUGACACGGCUUGUUUCGGGCUGUAUAUGCCGUGAUACAGGCCCCUUGUGGCCAGACUGGUGUCUGGGGGUAAGAUGGCAACUACGAGGAGGCGUUUUGGAGGCACUUUGGAUGUAUUUGCCAGGAUUUGGAACUAACGAACCACGGAGGAGCAAUCCUUAAUUUUACAUAAGUCUUCGUAGCUCUCUGGCUUUAGAGUUGAAUACAAUAAAAGUUAUACAUGUAAUUUGGCAAAGUCUAUAGGACAGAACGGCGUGCCGUACGUACGACAUGGUGGGUAAGCACGAGGGUCCCUUCAUACGAAGGAUCGGCGUUGAUCGGCGUGGGAUAUGAUCAAAAGGAACUCUUAUCCCAUCCAUAUGAUUCAAGGGAUGGUUUGAUUUUAACGGAGGAAUUAUUACGGAUGGUCUAGAAGUUUCUGUAACCUCUAAAACUUUCAUUGUUCGUGCGCGAACACCCAGUACCGACCUUACCUUGAUGGCAUGCCGCAUGACCGUUGCAACGCUGACGCGCAUCUGCUCCUCCACUUUAAUGAGCCAAAACUCGACACCAGACACCAUUUCGCUGCUUGUAAUGACAGGGCGGUCGAACGGUAUCCUCUCGUCUUCCACACUGAUCAAGGCUGUAACCUCCUGCGCCGCGUUAAACUCGAACUCCCUGUCCAGGAAUGAAAACCGAGGUUAUCCUGGAACAUGUCAAGACUGCACUGGGCACAAGAACGCGAAGAUUAAUACUCCUUAACUCACUUGACAGCCUCGAUGAUUUUCUUGGCGAACGGCUGUAUACGGAGAGGCUCCUUCGCUUCGCUGAGAAUUUCGAUAAGUUCAUCAUUUGAUAAAAAGAAAAAUCGCGGAAAAAGGAGCUUCUUGGAUUCCAGGUAGGCCGCCAAAGAUCGUUCAACAAUGCUGAAAGACAUAUUGCAGCUCUGCGAGUGCAAAAUACGAAAAUAUGUGAACAACAUCAGUGUGCGUGUUCAUCCGAUUAGCUGUGAAUGGGGCCACAUGCACCCACCUGCAAGUCGCUUAGCAAAUGCUGUGUGUCUGUGAACGAAAGGACCUCUGGGCUCUUCUCCACAGCCCGCAUGAUAAGCCUGAGCCGCGCGUCCGCAGCCUGGAACUCCCAACGCUCCUGCAGUCAGCGUUACAAAGCGUCGAUGGCAGUAAUACCGCCAGCCCAAGGCACUUGCAGGGUAAUGUAGUAAACAUACGCAAGCAUGAGCCCCCCACAAGGAUCAUGCAUCAAGGCAAUGCCCCCCACAGAAACGCUGUGGGCGCCAUAACCCAAAGCCAUAUUGGCAUACUUUGGGCAUUUGCUUGGCGAUCUCCUCGCUGCCAUAGACAGGGCCGAGGAACAUCCACUUCUGCUGAGCCACCAUCCAGGCAUCUAUGACAUCCUGCGAUAAACAUGAGCAAAGAGACGAGCACACUUUUACGUGAAAUACUACCAGCACCAGCAGCGGAAACUUCGAACAUUAUUUUUUUGCUCUAACAGGGGAGUAUAUCUUCGCCCGUGGCAGCUACCCUGCGAAACCCUGCCUUCCCCCGGUAUUUCGGGGCACCCUCAUCCAGUCACCCUAGUCAACUUCUCAGUGGAUAGUUCAGGUUCCGCACCCACCACCAGCAUCGAACGGAAUCUGCCGGGUCGACAGCGGCCCAACUCCAUUCCUGGUCGGCUCGCAGGUUAACUUUAUCCCAGGUCACCACCGUCCAUCAACUAGGGGCGCAAUACCUUCCACCAUCGGAAGGAUUUUUGACCCUAAUUGGUAUCGAUCCCGGGAUCUCCCGGGGGCAAUGGUCGCGUCACCAGUAGUGCCAAACCCUAUUAUUUGCAUGAGAACGGUGGUCCAUAGCCACCAUGCUUCGAAAGCUCUACAUACCUGCAUGUUGGAGAGCUUCCUCACCCAGCCUUCAAUACGUUCCAGGAACGGCGCUGAUGCCGGACUGCUGAGCAUGGCCUGUGACUUGACCACGUGAUCAUCCAGGAGCACUUGUGCUUCCUCGACACUGCUGCCCUUGAGGAUUGUACCACCUACGGCAACCGUGUGAGGAGUAUGAGACAUGAUCUUCUUUGAACCUUCACUGAACAGAUGAAAUGCUGUCAGUCCUUGCUGCCAAUCAUGGAACUCCUAAACCUCACAAAUGGACGUAGGUGAGUAUAAAACAAGUGAUUUGAAUAAACUACCGACGCACCCGUAUUUUUCCAGGGCACGACUUCAAACUUGACCCCACCCCACUCAGCCACCAUGCGGUCCAAUGAUCGCUCAAGAGCCAUCUCCCGGGACGCCGUAUCACUCAACUCCUGCAGAUCAAAAAUGUGUUGGUUGACGAAAUCAGCAACUACAGGAAGGCGGCGGGAAAAGUUGCGAACGGUCGGAAGUACUUGCCUGCAGAAGCUCGAGGUGGGACGUUAUUCCCAAGAGCAAGAGCUUCUGGAGGUUCAGCUCGCCGUCAGCACCCGGGGAUACACGAGUGCCGAGUGCCAUGGAAAGGCGCUCCCAGUGUCGUCCACGCAUACCUACAUAGAAGCAUCCAACGUCAAUGAGAGAAUGGAACUCCGGUCAGUUUCAAAACAAUCCCUACCGGGAUUGCAGACGGCCAUUAUAAUUGGGACAUUCUCCUUAAACUCUUCAAGCCGUGCACGGGUAGUCUCUGCCAGGGUGCGCAGCUCCGGCCGCGGAAGGCUCUUGCUGAGCCGUACCAUCUGCAAAGGCAGGGGGCCACACAGUAACGGUUCCAUUCCAGCGAAGACGUGCAGUAGCGAGUACACGGCAUACAAGAAUGUGUGAAUGCCACGCGCACCUUCUUGAACCAUUCACCAACGUUGUUCUCGACCUCUUCGGCGUUAAGGUCCUUGAUAGGGCCAAAAAGCCACUCCUCGUAGCGAAGCCCAAAAUCGUUGGUUAUGCUGUACAAUGAUGCAUAGGGCUCCAGAUCCGUCGACAGUUCCCGAAUGGCAGGCCACUCCGUAACCUGAACGGAGCGUAGCCACAAAGGGGAUUUAUGUCCAAGAGAAUGCAGCCAUCCUGUGCGUGUGCAACCUGUUGUUUCCCACAUACCUCCCAACCAAGAAGCGCCUCGUCCUCGUUAAUGCUGCCGGCUGUAUCCGAAAGCUGCUGGAUGCGCGCCAGGAGCGACUCGCCCUCGUGUGCCAGCUCCGACUGCACGGUGAGGUGAAUGCGGUGCACGAAAAGCGGAAACAAAUAUUGGAAUGGUAAGGCGGUAAAAUAAACGCAACACGACAACGUGAGAUCCAUGAUCCGUAGGGGAACAUGCCAAGCAGACGAAUAUACACGUGUGCUGUCUAGGUAAGUUCGCUGAAACGGCACACGGAACACAACGUAAACAUAAUUUCGAUGAUACGUUGGUAAAAAAACAAUUUGGUGCAUCUUCUAGAUGAGUGCACCUCCCUGGGCAUUUCAAUCUAACCCUCUUAUACAAGCUGCCGCCAUUAUCGACUGGGACCGAUAACGUGCCAGAUCCUGUUGACCAAAAUCUGACCUACAGCACGAGCUCCAAGGGUAAUCUACAUCGAUUUUUAUCAGUAUUGGACGCGAUCGUAGACAACGUGCCUGCUAGGCAUGCAUUACAUAUAGGAUGUCGUACAAUACGGCACACACCGUUAGUACAUAUACGCGCUACAGCGCAUUCCCAGCAUCUCGGUAGGCCUUAAUGGGGCCCAGCUGCUAUACCGCAGCCUUAUAGUCUUGAUUCCUUAUUGCGCCGGUCGACACUUAGGAUCUGCUUACCAAGUCGGUAAACGUGUUGAUUUCCUGAAAGACUUGCACGGCAAGGCUGAUGUCCGUAAGAUCCAUGGACAUCUUGUCACGAGCGGCGCGGAGUUUGGACUGGAAGGAACGGUCCUCCUCCUUGACUUUCGACCAAGCCCUGAGUAAUGUUAGCACAGUAAGGUAGGAAUUUCUCAGCUGCGGGAACUUAAUGCAGGAUUUUAAGGUCGAUACGGCCUGUCGUUUUCCCAUAUGAAAGCCACGAUCAUUUGACGGGUCAACUGCGCCUCAGUGAGCACCCACGGCAGGAGGCGCUGCGCCACAGCGGCCUUUAGUAAUGCAUGCAUAUCGCCGCGCAUUUACCGCCCUUCACUUAAAAAAGGCAUUACCUAACUAGGCAGGUCCCCGUAAGGAGAUGCGGACCGCUCGUAUCCCCAAAGAGCAUACCUUUCCAACGUUUCAAACAUGCGCUUGGGCCACGCCUGUGCGUUCGUUGCAAUGUCGAUAUCUGCCUCCGGGGUAGAGUGACGGUAAGCAAAGCGCACAGCGUCCCGCUCGCGAGAGGUAUGAAGCCACGUCAUCAUUUCCGUCACCUCUUCCUCAGUCGCAUACAGUUGAGCCUGUAAAGAGACCACAUCAGUUAAAAAGUUGUCAAGACCCACGAACAUGUUUAGAUAAGUCACGAAGAUCCCAUUCGUGCUUAAGGUAACAGAACGGUAGGCAUGAACCCAAUAGCAGGCAUCUGUAUGGCACCACACCAAUAAAACGCACCUUUAACUCCAGCACGCUGCGGACAUUAGUACAAACAGCCAGAGCUUUUGCAGAUAGCUCCUCACAGCGAUGGCAAACACGCCUCGCCACCUCCAUGGUCUUGGCCUGCAGCUGAUCAAGCAGUGCCUGCUCCCCUGCUGCCGCCUUGGACGCAAGCGCAUGCUUGAGUGGUGACGUGUCAACGAGCAACAACCCACCGUACACCUACAGACAAGGUUGCAGAGCGUGCCGUUCGCUAAUAAUUUUUGCGAUCCCACCUUGGUAUCUAGGAUUCCGCUACAGACCUUCGUCACUAUGGACCACCCGCCACGUGACUGGGCGGUCUGUGCACACCCUUCCUCCGCACGUGGUCUCGGUGACUCUGUUCCACAUUGGGGCCGUCCUCUGAAUUUCCUCCUCUGUCAGGUUAUGUUUCGGACAUGGGUUGCCGAUGCGCUUCAUGCGCAUGGCCGAUUGUGUUUGAUGUCUGCGCUGACUGCUGCUUGUUGGUGGUUGCUUAUUGGUCGUUGGUGGUUCUUUAUUGAUUUCGCAAAGCCCGCAAUUAUCCCAUAUUACUAGUUGGUGUGCUGUUAAGCAAAGAAAUUGACCUGGAGUGCACCUGCGCCUAUCCAUAGGGAGCGCGUUAGAGCGUCUAGCAGCAGAGUCUGCGUUUUGUUAUAUAGAGUGCACUUUUAUAUUACAAGUCCAUUUGCACAACUCGGUCUUGUAGUAGUUGGGGCUCGUUCAUUCAAAAAACAUCUGAGCGACCUUUCGGCCCGCACGAUGUGAUCCUCGCGGAUUCGUACGAGAUCUUUCAUGCCCCAUGCUACCAGGGAUAUGAUGUAUGUGAUAUACGUCACGUCGUAACUCCCUUAAGUCAUUCUCCUUUGAUGCGUUGCAUAUAACACCCUCGAUGCAUUUGAAUAACAGACACCCGUUUGUUUGGCACGCAGGACCCCAGCAGAGCCUGCCCGAACUUAUAUCUGCAUCUGGAUCGCCAAGACGUACCUGUGUUGGAGCUGCGGUGCUGGCGGCAACUGCUGCCGCUCUGAACGCACCAAUCCACUUGUGGUAAUGUUCAAGCGGGGUAGAAAGCGGCUCCAGUUGCCUUAAUAUGGAGGGUAUAUCCACAGACAGCGCUUCAGCCGCUGUCCCAAACAAAACUGCGACUUCCUCCGCUCGCUCAAUUGCUAGGGCCAUAGCGGAGCGCACGCGCUCCUUUGCGUCGUCCACUAAGCGGUCAUUGAUGAGCAUUUCCGGAUGGCACAGGGGUCCGACUUCGCAUCCAGGCUGGUCAACGUCGAAGUCGGCGAACUCCACAAUACUCCGGUCAGAGGCGCGUGACGAGACGAAGAUGUUUGGAAGCUGCAGAGAUGCCGUACAAGGAACGCGCAGUUCGGCCAGCAGGGGCGGCAACCAACAAGCAGCCGAACCAGCACGUACGGCACGCAUCUAAACAAAGCUGGGAUAGACACUAAUGCAAAGUAUUAAAGCUCCCACACUGCGUUGUGAUCAGGCAACGAACAAGAAUGACAACAGGACCGGAAAAAAAGCUCGUUGCCGACGCAUAAGCAAGUGCCAAGACGCAUUAUUGAAUAAAUUAUUCCACGCACCUGGCCCAGGUCCGACACCAUGUCCUCGAAGAGCCCGACGACCACAUAUUCCAUUUCUUCAGCCGAGGGAGAGAGCAGGAUUCUGUACGUUCCAUAGCGAACUUCGGGAGGUUCAGCGUCUGAGGGCUCCUUGGUACGACCUCCGUCGUCAUCGCCGUCAUCAGAGUCGUCCGCCUCCCGUGGAGGCUUCUCAGGCAGCGGUUCCGGAUCAGUAUACUCGAGCAGCAGUUGCACGGUCAGGAACGUGCCGUAAGCAAACAUCUCGCGGAUAGUCCCAUACGGCGCCUGAACAUCUUCGGCCGUUGCCACUGACGCCUCAUAUUUCUGCAAGGGCCAUCGUUCGUGAUAUGCCGUACAGCAAGUUACAACUAUGCCUACCAUUCAGACCAUUUCACAAUCAGUAGGAUGAACGUUUGGUCGCGAACCUAAUUUACUUACAUCUCACGUUAAUCCGUAGAUGUCCGUUCUGCUAGUGCCACGAAGAGGUCUUCAGGCACCCACCCAGAUUGCACGCGCAACCCGUCUUAUUGCGGAUUUUUGACGGCAGAAACGUGCUUCAGGAUAGGUUAAGUUAUAAAAUAGCCAUUACCUGAAAGUUUUCCAAGGUUUCGGCAUACGCGCAAGCGGACCGCUGGAGGAGGUCGUGUACGGAAGCGGCCAUCUGCAAGCCUAGCCGCCGCAGCAUGCUCCUGUGAGCGUCGCUUAUCGGAUCCUGCUCCUGCGGCAUUAAGAGGAGGUAUGUGCUGGGCUUCAACCCCGCCCUCCGGUGUACGUUCGGACACACCUAGCAUGACUCCGGACAGAGAUAUCCAUACCUCUGGAGCCGCUAACAUUACGACAGGCGGACUAAAAGUGGCAAAGGCUGGUGUAAAGUGGCAAAGGCACACAAACCCUACGGCCCACCCUAGAAUUCCUCCACCAGCGAGCAGGAGGAUAGCAUGCUAGCUUGCAGAAACCCAAGGUUACUGCGCCUAUAGGAGGACAAUCAGUUUAUGCACCAAGCCACGCAACAGCACCGCGCAUGCUCGCGUCAUGUCGUGAGCACGGCUUCCAAAGUGGGAAAGACUCGCAAGAUGGGCAGAGUGGCCCUGUGCUUCCAGCUCGGCUUAACGUGUCAGCGGCUGCCUUACAGUUUGCAACCACCGACAUCCAAAGCCAUGAGAGUAGCUGGGUCGCAUAUACACGUGCUUGCAUCGCUCAAAUUAAUUUCGGUACCUACAGUUCCCUACUAAAUAUAGCAGCGCGUGCUUCGCCCACCUCAUAUAGCCUGCCGUCGUUAAGGAUUGUAGCAAGCGGCCCAUCCCGGAUGAGAAGCCCAAUCGCCUCUAUCAUCUUCUUUUCAGCGAACUUGAGCACUCUUCGAAGGUGUGCAUGCUGCAGUGCCUCGAACUUCCGCAGUGGGAAGGGCAGGGCACCUGCAUCCUUAGCAUCGAACUCGUUGCCCCCCAUGGCCUGCCGAUCAAGUGGAGAGCACCAAUCCUUGUUAACAAACUCAGCUUUCACUACACCAGAAGACCAUAUAUGUAUAGCACGGGAUGCUGCUAGCACGCCCGCUACCAACUCUUCAUGUGCUCAGGGCAUAAUCGGUAUAUGCGUGGCCCCUCCUCGCUGAGAAACGCGUAUGGCAGAUGCACCAGGGUAACACAGCGCAGCACCUCCGUCCACGACGUCUGCAGCAUGUUGUAGCCAACUUCUUUGCUGGAAAUGAACGGGCCCAUCAGCGCACAAGCUUCGUUCUCAGAUAGUGUUACUGUGCUGCAGUAACUGAUAGGCCUUACACUUGAGGCCGUGGCGUGUGUCGCUCGGCAAAGUUCAUUUCAUGCUUUCCAAGCAAGUCAUGUACGCGAAACAUAACAAGCCCAGGCUGACAAGGCGGGGGUUUCAAUGCGUGUUAUCGUGGUCCUCGUGUGCAAACGUGUCCAUAUCUCCCGGUCACUUCUCCACAAGGAUUACAAUAUAGCAGCAUGCAAACAGGAGAUCCGUAACCGUUCCAGGCAGCAGUGCAGCUGGGCGAGGUCAAGCUGCCCCCCCCCCUCUUUCUGGGGUUUGUUCAACUUGCCUGCUACUACAUCUACGGCUUGGCGGGAUAGGAUGGUCAUUAUCUGCUGCAAAGAACCUAUUCAGGUACCGCCGAUGCUCGCAGGACAAGAUGAUGGCUUCUCGCACCACGGUUGCUCGGAUCCAUGCAUUUUCACAGCUAACCAUGAGAGUGGAUAGGGCAGCUGUCCAUUUUUUUAAUACCAAGCACAACAAGAUUGUGUACUAUAUGCAAGCCGUACCUUGAAUGCUUCCGACAUGGGUGCCAUACACCAGAGCGAUUGCUCCCCGACGACAGUAGCAAGAUCCGACAGCGCCACGAGUGCUGUAUGGAGCUCAGAAAUUGCACUGAACAUGUUCGAUCUGCUCCAUGCCAAGAGGUCGCCAAAAGCAACUACAGGCUCCUCGGUGCCCUCAGGAACAACGGGGAGCAGCCCAUGAUGCGGUACGGGUGGAUUUAAACGCCGCUCUGGAAGCCGCAGCACCUUCAAACGUCCCUCUUCUAGCGGGUCAAGUCUGCGUGCGGUGCACCGGCACAUGGAGAUAAGCAGGCCCUUACGACCUUUGGGCGCUUUAAGGUGACACUGCUGGUUCACAUGCUAGCGAGUCCUCGUAGCCUUGCAGGCAUGGCCAGGAAAAACAGCACGCUACCAGGCAUUCACAAGCAUGUAAUGAAAACGCAGUGGGCAACCAUGGUCACCUGCGGUAGUCUAGCACUGCUAGCUUUACAGCCCGCUCGAAGUAGUCAGCUGCAUCCUCCAGCAAGUCCGGCGCCAAGCGAUUCAGGGUUUCAGCACUAAGACCUUUCACCUGCGCCGCAGGCCACAACAGGUAUGGCACGGAACGCCUUGCUUUGCAGUGUUUUAUUUCCUGGACUUUGCAUCCACAUACCGGUUGAGGGGCACCCAUUCGACCGAACAUACAGAAGUUGAAGAUACGCAUUCGAGUGAUUAUUGUCAGCGAUGGAGUCAAUACACAAGAGCGUGACAUCCACCCACCCACACGCAACACAGACCCGCAGGUCGGACGCUUUCUAGGACGACGCCUUUGCGCGGCCUGUUGGUGCUGUUGGCGAAGUGUUUGGCCUACACACGCAACCUCGCGUGCCAUUUCACGCGCUUAGGUGGCGCGUACCAGUACCAACGGAAAAAAAGAGGUGCUCAGUCACGAAUUUACGGGCGACGAAAAGGCGAGGCUCCCUAGGUUCUAGCGCCAGCGUACAACUAUCUACACCAACAAGCUAUGAAUUCUCGGACCUGCUCCAAAAGCUCUUUUGACGCAAUUAAAUGCUUAACAUAAAUGACCUAGGCAAUCUGCAGGGAGGAGUCAGUCAGAGGCCUAGGGUGUAGGCUUUACGUGUAUAGUGUUCGGUCGGAUGGGCUCGGGGUUUAGGAUGAGAGUUUUUCUGCCAGCUAGCGGGUGCUACUUGAACCUCAACCUCUUCCACUUUAUCGGCCUUUAAGAUAACGGAUGCUGUGUCUGGUCCUGACGGGCUUCCCAGGACAUUGCACCAAAGCACGCGAGGUAUCUACGCUAAGCUGGGAAAACUCCUCAGACGGACUGCAAGCGACUAUAAGACCCCAAGGGAAACCCCCGGUGUUUGUCAACACCUUCAAUAGUGGUCUAGUCGCUAAAUCUGUCUACGUUCCCAGGUAGGCUUUCACAAUUCUCCUCAGCGUACCUGGAGAGCUGCACGCUGCAAGGCUGUUGCAUAGUUGUACGUGUGCAGUACCUCCACCAUCGCGAGGCUGUCGAUGUAGAAGAACAGGCGGAGCUGUUCCUCCGCCUCCUCGCGUGCCGCCUUGGCGUCAAUUAAGCGCCGCUCGAACAAUGCGGGGUCUUCCUCCUUUGGUGAAGAACGCACACAAGGAGGUGCAAACCUGAACGAUCGUGCUCUGUAACGCGUGGAAAAUUCGUUCUCUAGGACGACACUAGCGCCGUUAGGACGCGCCCCAUCUUCAAGUCCCUGGACAGGCACGCAUCCGAUGCGUGUCGGUCCUGUGCGCUAUGAGUAACGAGUCGUGGCGCACAGGACUGCCCCAAUAAUCACAUUUGCCGCAUCCAGGGCAGCGCCAGGUGGAGCAGUAGCGCGUGCAAGCACCCUUUCGCAGCUCUUGGCAUGCAUGUGUGCACUGCAGUUGUUUAGUGCAUCAGAGGCCGCCGUUGGAGCCGAAACAUCUUCGCCACCCUCAAAACUACACGCUGCCCCGAUGCAGCGCAUGUGAUGGCGGCACGAAGUUUGAUUUCUCACCUUGAAGCGCAAGUUGAGCCGUUUCACCUUCUUCGUUUUGAAUCCCGUGUUAGAUGCAUUACUGAAUGUCACUAUAAACAGCCGGUCCGCUUCGUCCCAGCCCACAACGCGGCAGUCAAUCCAGAUAUGUGAAUCUGUGGCGACAUUAUACACGGUCGUCUCCGCCGGCGUUCCCUGAAGGGACCGGGUGCACGGAGACCAAGACUGAGGGAGCGGUACUGCGCAGCAGCGUUCUGCAGAUUCGUGGCCACCUAAGGCAGGCGCCUAGUAUUGAUACCAUUCAGCUUGACGAGUAUAGCAUGCAGGAUAUCCUUUCAAUUGACCUUGACUGGAACCUGGACAGGUUUCCAGGGCACGUGGCCAGUCAUGAUGGCAUUCGCGUGGCCCACCGAAGUGCGGCACUGCAUAACAUGACGGGAUGCUCCUGGCACAUGGGCUUCAGGACAAUUUGCCAGUUGUGCCAAGAUAUUAAACCGAGGCCAGGCGCUUUCAUGGCCAACAUAGCGCAAACUUGUUGCUCGUUGUCUCCCCUGCCAAAAUGUUGCCCCGCAAUCUUCCUCCUUGACCAGGGGCGUCACGACAUCUUCCCAAGCAUUGCAAGAGCGCUUGCUUACCCCCUCAGCCGCGCCGAGUUUCACCCACUCCGCAGGGGUGUGCUUCUCAUACUCGAUGUUAUCAAAAAGCUCGAGCGGCAUGUAACUCAUGUGCUUGCGUGCUGCCGUGUGGAUGCCAUCAGCCUCCGGCACACCAUCCUGAACCUCCGGAUCGUCUACCUCACGCCACGCCGGAUGCGGCAGUGGCCCCAGUGCGUUAGGCGAUAUACCACCUGGCGAAAGGAUCUCCAAGGUACGCGGUGACAAACCACGUGCCCAAGGAGAAAGGUUAUUGGCAAUGCGCUCUGACGGCGUUGGAGUGUUGAUGUCAUUGGUAUACGGCGCGCGGGGCUUGCGCGCGUACGUGGUCGCGACACCGGAGAUCGCUGUGGAAUGCCGCGGGACAGUGUACUUGCGGAGGGAGGCCGACGCAGCACGAAGAUGCUGCACGGCUCCCGCUGCCGCAUUGUCCGACGUGGUUUCUACAAGGCCAGCGCGCUUACUCGUCCACGGCCGCAGAGCCGCUGACGCCAUACCGCCGCUACCUGCAGCCACGCUGCUGCCACGACCAGAUGGUCCUCCUUUACUGCUACCCUGCUGCUGACCUUUGUUAACUGGGUAAGCGCUCCCGGGCCUGCUCCUGAAUGCCAGCUCGUUGGCAAAGCGUUCAUCCUCACCAACAUCCUGGAUGAAAGCCGCAAGGUCGCUGGGAAGAGCACUGGUGGGUCUCCCUGCUGCUGCCCUCCGAGCCACCGUCGCGGCGGCAGCAGCGGCCAAAGCUCCGCUAGGGCCAGCAGACCCGUAGCCCGCCUCAACCGUGUACGUGCUAGGUGACGGGAUGCGGGGAAGCCUAGUUCCCCCUCCGCUAACAAAAGCCGCAUCUGUCCCCGUGGAGGCUGCACCGGGCGAAAGGCUGCGCAUAGAUUUCGCUGAGCUGCCAGAAGUCACUGAAGUCACAUCCAAGCCUGCUGCUGCUGACCCGGCGGCUACGGUGUGCGCCACGGUGAUGCGGGAGUGCAGGCCCAAGUCAAGCGCUGACGUGGGCCGAACCCUGAGGCACAAAUCGGAGUUCACAAAGAAUGAAAGAGUUUGCGCUACAGCUUACGUAGGAAGCUAGGGACGACCCUACUGCUAUAGCUCCCCUAGCGGAGACUCAAAACAUCUGAUAUGGGCCCCGCCGAGCGUGAAGUCCAUUGUUAGGGACCCCUGCAAUCAGGAACGGAGGGCAAUCACUUCCGGCCUUGCUACUUCAGCACUUACUCGGCUGGAUGUCGUGGCUUGCCGGGGCUUACGGGACGGGUUUGCUUUGUGAGCAGCCAAUCCUGUCCGGGGUUGUUCAGCACUUCCACAAACUCCGCGGGCCGAUCCUUGCCACCUGGUCGAGAAAACAUAGACGCAAUGUGGGGCAUCACGAAGGACAUGCAACUGGAAUCGGAAAGCUUUUUGGGGGAAUGGGUCCUUACCAGGUGGAGGCCGGCUAAGCACGCUGCUGGGUGUUGGCCUGGAGAAUGCCCCUGGGCCAGCAGCUUUCUUUGCUGUUGGCGGCCGCGCCGUCGGCGGAAUGACAUACGUGGGAGCUGGCGCUGCUGCUACGCCUUGAGGGGGAAGGUCCGGUGGGUGCGUGGUGCGAAGGACCUGAAGCGGCGGACCGGGUUUGGGCGCAGAUGCCGGUAAGGAUGCCACAUGGGAAGUUCGGCCACGCCGAAACUUUACCAUCGUUUGUCCGGGAGCCCAUGCUGCUCCCCUGUGCAGGUCGCAACGUGUGCGGCGGCUCAGCCCUGUCCCCAGCACUGACCCUAAAAGCAUAUGAAGCUUUGUGCACCGAGCCCCUCCAGUACUCGUAGCAAGGCAGCGCAACGGCCCAUGCUUGUUUCCAUCGGGCACGGUCAGACCGACCAUGGGUGUUUCCGCCAGAGCGAGUAGCUAAUACACACCGAGGAUGCGCGACGACCUCAACGCAGUUCGCUAUGCAUUAACCUUACAACUGCGCCACCUCAUGUGUCCAGCGUGAUACCCCAUGUCCUCCUGUGCACUGGUGGCCUGCCUGCUUUGGCGACGGCAAAGCCUUUCUAUCGUCGUUCCCUCCGCCCUACCAUCCUGAGAUGUCCCCAAGAUAGUACCUCAGGAAUAAAGACGCAUUCCGAUGAGCGCAGCCGUUGAGCUGCACGGAAUUCAUCCUUGAACAGCCCCACGCUAGCUGGAUUCUGCCGCAAGGCCUGCGACAUCAAGCCACCGCGUACUGAGGCCAGGACCGAGCGAUGCCGAAAGCUGCUAAAUGCAAAACGACGUACAUUUGGAAGGAUAGCAUCUGGAACUGGCUCCACCCUAUCCGCCAAAGAUACGUUUGAAGACGACGCCAUGCUUCUAAGUCCAACGAGGGGAUCGAGCACCCCUGUAGGCGUUGGUUAACUCAUCGCUAUGUCCAUAUAAUUAGCAGACGGUGGACACCGUUCUCCUGGCCAGGAAAAAAGUCAACCUGCUGACAAAAGCAUUCAGCUCCAAGAACUUUAACUAUGCCUCCAAUAAUACAUUUUUCAAGUAUAAGCUACUUGCAAGCAGUGAACAUGGCUAUUCAGGCGAAACCGCGGUCCGCUACAACUCACAAUACAAAAGCCGUAACAUAGCUGUCUAAACUAGGGAAACCUAUAUCCGUUGUUAUCCCUUUUCGUAGAUAGGAGUGAUCCUUUUCGCCAGUAAUUUGCCAAGGCACUCUCCAAGGCCAACUAACUCAACCGGAGGUCGGCCGACGCUUGGGACGCUUGGCAACGUUUGUGGAGGGAGGCAACGCCCGUCAAUAUAACCUAUGGAUUACUUUGGCUUCCUUGCUAAGGUCUUGCAAGUUUAAGCUCGGGUACAUUGCCCUGACUACAUGCCGGAGCUGCCGUACAUCGAUAUAAACCAACCACCAAAAGCAAUUAGAGCACUUACCUGUCGGAUUUCAUUUUUAAGCUUUCAACACGACCGAGCCAUGUUUGCCAAAUAUUUGCGAUUCCCGGUGUGAUACCCUGGGCUUGUAAAACUAAACAGAUAGUAGAAAACCAUGACAGGUUGUACUAAUUUCGUUGCUAGGCUCCAAACCUGUGCACAGCGCGCUGUUAAGCUCCUUAGAUAAGCAUGACUUCCUGCUUGCUCAACUGCUUCCAGAACGCAAUACUGCUUCAUUUGAGGCCCCUGUCAGGUGUAGGCAUGAUUUGGCAUGAACUUCAUGCCACGAAUUGAAUUCGUUGCUUUUAUCCACAAUCUUUCCCUGUACACAGAUAGAAGCCUUCCUUGGAGAUGAUUUGCCACCGUGAUGGCUGCGGUGGGGUAUCAUGGCAGUGUGGUCUGUCCGGUUUGGACGGGUUUCGAAGUAACGCACACACACACACACACACACACACACACACACACACACACACACACACACACACACACACACACACACACACACACACACACACAUAGAGGCGCACAAGGCAUGUGCGCACGAAGGACUAUUUUAGACACUUAUGCAGACGUGCGUUGACGCGGGACUAGUUUAGACACUCAUGCAGAAACAUAUUUACAGUUGUGUUGUGUACUGAACAGGAUGCGUGUACGGGUGUUCCUUGUCGGCGGUGCGCGAUGCGUCGCAAUCAGUCAUGCGCUUCCAAGCGGAGCAUAUUGGUGGCGUUUUUUCGCGGCCCUUGUGGGUAGUUAUGUUUGUGAUGAUGAACGUCCAUCGCAGCCCACACUCCUGGUGCUGGUGGUGAGGGCCCAAGCACCAGCGGGGGCCAUACAGCGGUUCGAAAGCUUCACAUGGGCAGUGCAGCUACACCCCGCGAACAUAUAUUUUUUGCAUAAAAGCGUAUUUUCCACACAUCCACCAGCACAUAGUUGUUACAUAAAAGCGAAAAGUCCACAAAAUGAAGGAGGUCGCUCAGGGCGUCACAGCGGAUCUCACAGCGGACACCCCACACCGGAGCUACGGUGAUGCCCAGGGACCGGUUGGUGUGGUCGUCUUACGGGUUACCGAGAUGUCAUGAGAGUGUAAUGAGGCGCCAUGUUACGCAGGGCUGCAGGCCCUCGGGGCUGGCCAGGCGGUACUGAUGGACAGUACAUGUGUCGCAAACAACACUGCCGUUAAUUAAUCUGCUGCCGUACAACUAGCUGGUUCCAAGAUGCUCAGAGCUGGGUCGUACAUGUACUGUAGCAGGAGAAAUGGAGUUGCAGGGGUUGGCAAGCGCUGCGCUCCUGCAUUCUCCCCCCCCCCCACACACACAUGGGUAGGGGAACGCUACGCUCUGAAGCACAUUGCAGUGCAUAGUGCUACCUAGGACCCUGGGUAAGUAAACCUGGUUUGCAGUAAGCUGAUGCCCCCACGCGUGGCUAACGCCGGCGCCAGGUAAGGCGUCAGCGCGUUCAUUGCGACUUUAGCCGUACAUAUCUGGUUAGGUUCAUCCUAGUGUGUGUUUUCUAUCCGGUGCACAACCGUGAAUUGCACCUCCGUCCAGACUACACGCAGUCGGGUUGCACCCAGUAACAUAGACGGCGAGCUGCAUCAAGCGAGCAGCGGGCCACGCGACAGACAGCCGCGGUCCACGUGCCCCUUGCUGCUGGAAAUUGCUGUACCACUGUGUUAGCUGCCUGCUAAAAGUCUGCUACUGCUGGUACAUGUCGCCGGCUUCAAAACUACGUCAGCAUGCGAUAGCACGGCAACUGAAAUUGCGGAGUCCAUUGCAGGCGCUACACAAAUCCGACAAUGUACACACAUCCAAGUUCAGUUUUACAACUUUCAACUUGGGAACCCCAGGUCGGAUGCAUGAGAGCGGGAUGCUGACCGGCCAGCGCUCAACUGUCAGGGGGUACGGAGGAAAUGGGCUGCACGUUCACCUUCAGUUCGAAUCGUGGAUGCCAAUGUGUUUCUGUGCCUCGGAGUCAGGCCACUGCACACCACUAACCUGGUUUCAACGGCCGAUCCUUCAUUCCUGUCCGUAUAACACAAUUGGACCAGUGCCAGGACGACAGCGUACGAACACGCCAGAAGCGAAAUGUAAUUGACAGGUUCACCUAAUGGUGAUCACGACCGCACGGCAUUACCGUGCCAAACUCGUUACAGCGGGUCAGGGAAAUACAGACGCACGCUGUGGCAUGGACUUUCUUACACACAUAAUUAACGUCGAUCCCUGACCAAGCAAAGGAACUCCUGAUGGGGCAUCGGAACAGCUUCCCAUUACAAUUAUCCUCGUAAAGGAGGGCUGCCAUUCCGACGCGAUCCGUACUCUCAAGCCGUACGGGUUCCAGUCCGCUUCCCCAAAAGGCACUUCUGUUCAUGGAGUGGAUGCGGCUCGUUACUCACGGCUUGGCUGCUGCUGCAGUCGCCGCAGCAGCAGCGGCCAUGCGCUCCAUGAACUCCUUAUUGAUGUCAUAGCAGGCAUCCCGCUCAGUUCCGUCCAUCACAGCGAUCUCAAUGCCGGCGCGUUGCAGAGUUGCAAUGCCUUCUGAGGCGACGAGGGGGUUAGGAUCACCGACGCCGACAACCACCUGCAGGGAGAUGGCCAUGCACCUGGUGUAUGUCACACGAAAGCCAAAUAAGACCCGAGAGAUGCGCCGACAGGCAGCUGCGCGGUGACUUGUUAAUUAAACGCAUCGGGCAACAGCAGCAUUGUGAAGGAAUCUCGCCUUGCAAAUGUCGUAGAUCGCAAUGCAGCACCUGUGCACUAGUCAGUCAAAUUCCUGCCAUGGUACUUAAGGUGCACAUAUUUUUCGCUGUCGGGUGGCCUUAAGCUCGUGCACACGCACCCGUGCCACGCGCGCAUCAACCAAGGCCCUGCUGCAUGGCGGUGUCCGGCCGUGGUGGUUGCAUGGCUCCAGAGUGACGUAGGCUGUUGCCCCUUCAGCUUGGUUUCCUGCAAAGGAAUCCAUAUUGAGGACGGGCAGGAAGCACUGAGCAAACCAAGGUAAACACCUUUAGGUGUAAUUUCCGUAGGGCGCAUACUUAUUUUUGUCACCUGCUCCACGAAGAGCAUACACUUCCGCAUGGGGCUUGCCCGCUUGUGGGUGGUAACCCUCGCCGACAACCUGAGGACGCCACGCAGAAUCACAGGACCGCAUGAUGCUCUCUUAGAUGGGAACGUCAGCUGGAUUGAGGGUGCGCUGGCCGGGAUGGUUUGUGUGUUGCAGCUGGGGUACGAGCAAUGGGACCCCGACACAUACCCGGCCGUCCUUCACAAUAACACAGCCCACGGCUGGAUUGGGGUACGUCUUCCCCUCUGCUCUCCUUGCAAGCGAAAGUGCGCGACGGAUGUAUUCCCGGUCCUCAUCUGUCACUGCACACACACACAUCCAUUAUAUCACAAGUUAAAAGGCUGCACACCCGUCGUUGAGCCAUACAGACCUAUCCCAGUCAUAUUAGCUAGACGACAGCAGGUGCGGGGCUUCCGCGAACAUGGUCGAAAUGGUGAAUUAGUGAAUCUGCUGUACGUUUGCAUGCUGCGCAAUGUUAUGCUAUCAGACCAAGAUUUCUACUACUGUAUAUAGAACAGUGUACAAUUGAAUAUAAUAAGCUGCUAUAUGACCGGAUGUAAUCAUAAAGUACUACGUUGGCCCUGCGCCUUACCUCAUUCCACCAUCUUCCGGCACCCUCUAGACUCCAGGAAGUUUGGAUAUAAUUAGUAAAAUGAAACAACACAGCUUGAAGCGCAGAUUCAUGAGAAGCCAUUGUAUUCGUUGACGCAUCCAAGCUGUCUGUCACUACCUUUAUGUCAAGUCCUGUGGAUGCGUCUUAGCUGCAUUUCAUAGGAGAGGAUUUCCCCAUUGUUACGGAAAUUGAGAGUUGUCCUAAGCAGCUAAGGCGAAAUGGGUGACGGGGAGAAAGUCUUCCUUUAUGUCUAUGACUUGACAAAUGGACUCGCACGGAGUCUGUCACCGAUGCUACUUGGUCAACAGGCAGGUGCCCUACUUGGGCCAUGCAAAAACGCCAACUUUCUGCAACUCGCACACGUUUGACGCUUCAUGCGGAACCCCAGAUUGAUGCGAUCUAUCACACCGGCGUGGUAGUCGGCGGUAUUGAGUACUUUUUUGGAGGCGGUGUACAACGUUGCAUCGCUGGACAGACCCCGUUCGGGGCUCCCCUACGUACUGUGGAGCUUGGGUGGGUGGUGGGUGAAAGCGACUGUAAUGCAUCCGUUGGCGCACUCUCACGUCGUCCGCAUUUUGGCGCUGCGCGGUACACGUGCAUCCACUUCACGCGUGGCCCAACCAAGUCUUCACCCCUCCUUUGCCAGCCUUCGCGGCACUCAUGUGACCGCCAACGGGGGAUGGCGAGCAUGGCCUGAGUGACAGAUGCCUGAUAAUCUUGUUAUACUCUUAACUUGCGGUCUUGGACUGUAUGCAGAGUCACCCAUAUACCUAAGGACGUGCGGGAAGAGUUGCUUGCGGACUUGAGUACACGUUAUAAACCACAAGAUUACAACCUUAUCACUAAGAACUGCAACCACUUCUCCAGUGCCUGGGCGGAGCUGCUCACCGGAAACCCCAUUCCGGUCAGUGACACUGGCGCCGCACACUGGCGGCUUUGGGAUCAAAACGUAGGGGUACUUGCGUUCUUAGCAGCCUUACAACAUACACCGUGUUGCUUGCCUCAGAUUUAGGCGAGUAGGUCUAUGGGUCUAUGCGGCAUUCCACUCAGCAGAUUGUACCAUAGGGAUGCUGGAUCGCAUGCAAGCAAAGGAGUGUAUUGUUGGAUCAUGUAUUACGCGGGCAUGUGUCUGCAGUCCUCUGGCAGGUCCUGGUGCCAUGCAUAAGUUUUACAUGUUCCUCCGGACAUGUUGUUCUGCAUUGUAGGACGAGUAUGUCGGCCAAGCCCAGCGGAUUUUGCAAUCGCCCAUUGGGCAGAUGCUGCUGCCCAUAAUGGAGCAAAUGGAACAGCAGUACGGCAACGUGACAGCGGCUGGCUUCCAGCAACCACCAACAGGCGGUCGGUAGGGGUGUGAAGCACAUCCUUCACCUUGUGGCCAAGGCCGCGUGCGGCCCUUGCGGCUCUAGGCACGUAGGUCCAAGGCAAGAGGAACGUUAACACCAUUUACAGGAGCGUCUUCAUUCAUUCAGUAGUAUUCCAGUCUCCAUCGGACCUGUGCUGCCAGGGGCAGAUAGCCUCUGCCCUCUCGUAUGACUGCGGUGCUCCCAAAUUGCCGAGUUGUACUAGUGGUAGUGGUAUAAUGCGUCGUGUGCAGUUAUACUUAACACCGUGGCUACCCAUCGCAGGCAGGAUAACGACACAAAUUUUAGCCGCCGCUUUGUGUGCGCGUGCCAAGGCAACGCUUGGUGGCGGUUGUGGAACGGUUCCGGAUAGUUUCGGUUGUGGAAUGGUUUCCGUUUCUAACUGGGCGGCACAAUCGACGGGUAGGUGAUGAGACUUGCUAAGAGCCGGACAGGUUCUGAACAUUGAACAGGUGUUCAGACACAUCUACUUGCCGCAACUUUGAGGACAUGGCCGGCUGUGGAGGCGCGAUGCAUUCGCACCCGGAUUGGCGCAGUAACAUGUAGCAGCAGCUUGCGGCACCUGGACCGGUGCCACACGCUGGCGCGAGGUACUGCGAGGCACUUGCACUUCCGCCUUGAAAUCUUCAAACAUAUCGGACGAUGUUGGGUAUAUGAAGGAUGGAAACCUCGAUUUUGUGGUAACUGUGGUUUUGGGGGUGUUUGUGGCCAAUCAUUCGGUCAUUCGAAGAUUUCAAUUUCUUCCAUUGCCGGAAAUCAGCUAUGGCUCCCUCCCUAUCACUGAUGGUGGUAUAUAUGGGUUCGCCUCUGCAUACCCUUUAAAAACGCGCGUGACACUAUGUUCGUAAAUGCACGGCUAAGCAAUGCACUCGGCGCAACCCAUGACAGUGAACAACGUAAGCACUCUGCAGGUUUCAGCCUCUCCACCCACAUGACGUAUCACCUUACCGGUUACUUCCUUCCUAUCGAGCCGAUGAAAAGCAAAAUGUACAAAACGAUUAGGGGUCAUCACCUCCGUUACCUCAAAAAGCCGAAAAAAGCUCGUUACUGUCACUCCGUGUUAUUACUGAACGAGAGUGAACAUGGCCAUACAUGCAGAAUUUGCCCAAUAUUAUUGAGUAACCCUGCUUAACUGCACAGCUUCUGUUUCCUUCCCUGGCCGAAUCCACAUCACAAGCACCAACAUAAUAUACACCUCCAGCCGCCAGUUCAGCCAUCUAUCUGCUGCUGAAUAUCGCCAUGGCCUCCUCUUCAACCUCCAGUUAAUGGCGCUGAAUUCGCUCCUCUAGAGGUUCAAAUCAGAUAUUCUUCCGCACAUCGGCAUUCUUACCAGAGAAUCGAGGUUAUCUCAAAUGUACCCGUUUCGCGCUUAAAGCUACUGCAUCCCGCCUCCUGACAGCUAACACUCCCUAUCAUUGGUGCCAUCCAGCGAUAUGCCACCAGCACGGCCUCCUGCAUUUACAACCUCAUGACAUGGUAUCGCAUAUUUGCCUGACACUCUCUCAGCUAUCAACCCUCGCCUUUCCCGCUCGCCAGUCUCGUAUCUGACGCGCGUGCGAGCGCUUUCGACAGCGACCCUUGCGACAGCUUGCGGAGGUGUAUGAGUGCUGCGACUCCGUCCCUCAUUAGUAGGUUCACAACGCCCUCCGCACUAUGUGACAGUGCACGAAGCGCGGCCCCGGCACGGUCGGCCGCGCUCCAAGCCGGCACAUGCCCCUCAAUGAGGUCGGCCGCACACUGAGGCUUACACGACUGCGCCUGCAUCACGGCUCGGCUGGCAGCCCAGGCGGCGUGGUGGCCGGGGUCAUUGAGACCCCGUGAAAGGGCCAACAUGUACCCUGUUGCAAAGGUGUCGCCGGCGCCGUUAGUGUCCCGUACCUUAUCCACCUGCACAGGGCCCGAAAUACACACAAGUAGGAGCGGAUGGCAAACGUGUUGCGGGUCCACCUAAGGAGGUGCCAGCUAGGCGGGCUGUUACGGUAGUCCAGGACGACCACGGGUGUCCCCGGGUCACGAGUUAAGGGACAGUGUGGUCUUAAUGCGCUCCGAGCUGUCUUACAAACAUGCAAACAAGCAUGUACGCAAUAAAAUCGAGCCGCAGUGGAUGACAUGUACAAGCCAAGAGCUGAAACAGGGAUCGGCAACAUACGGGGCUGUGAUAUGUAGAAAGGGAAGGACUGCGGCAGGUUGGAUGCUCCUGAUGCUCCUGAGCGGCAACUCAGCCAACUGAGCAUGUACCCCGAUAAGCUUUUGGCAAGGGGUGACGCAUUUCACCGCCAACGUCUUUUGCUUUUGACAUGGGGUUCACCUGGUGGUUAUCAUCCCAUCCUCACCCGCCCGCAGCCCUUACCGGGACAAUAUCGAUGGUAUGCACACCGGUGUCGUUGUACUCGGUGGCACCCUGGCUACCCCGUGUUAUGAUCACACGCUCGGCACGGCUCACCACCAGGCCCAACCAGUCUUCACUCCAAGGGUCCGUUUCCACGUCCGAUAGGAACAGUGAAACUCGCUGCCAUCGCCCCAAACCGGCCUGCAUUGCAUUAUAACCCCAAAGCACAGCUAUCUGUGCUCCGGCAGGCAGGGCCCAGUGUGAUCCUAGAUGCAUCCCGAGGUGGCGUUGGUGUCUCAUGGGACCAAACCCGAGUCCCCAUUCGUGUGGCGGCGAAGGCGGAUGCUGAGAUCCCCGCACGGCCCUUCACGAAUGGUUCAAACGAGCCCAUAGAUAGCGACAGCCCAUACAGCUUCCCAAAAUCAUUAAAUCACGGAGCGCGCACCAGCACGUACGGUCCCCCCCUCCCACAGCUACGCACCAGCAGCUGCGGCGAUGGCGUCAGCAGCGGUAGAACGCGGCCGUCUGGCCCGAGGCGGCGCUGAUAGCCCUGCGCCAUGAGCCCAAUGUGCUGUCUGCCGCGGUAAAGCUGGUCCCACAGCCCUACGUGGCAGUGCAAGUAAUGCCAGGAGCAACAUGGGGUGGGUCACACACAUGGCGUGGUCUGAGAGGGGGAGCUGAAGAACGAGGCAGGCCAACGGCAGGCAAGGCUGCCAGCUCAGCUCAGCUCAGCUCAGCUCAGCUAUCCAGGAAGUCAUUAUGGCUAGCUGCUGAGAUGUGGAGUUGAGAUCACAGUCGAUGGAUCGAGAUUCGCACGCUGGAUUGGUGGCGAUUGCUGAACCCUCUAUCUCUGCGGAUGUUCGGGUGAAUGGAUGAGGAGGGAUCCUAGAAGGCAAGAUCAACCGCCUUGGACUUCCAGUUCGUAUGGCGUAGUACAGAAGCCUCCCACUCUGUAACAAUUCAAUUCAAAAUAAGAAGUCAUCACAACCCCUCUGUCGCAGAAGAAACUCAUUGGUGGCGGCGCUGCCUUACACCCGUACCAUCAUACUCGAGGAAAGAGGCGGCAUCCAGCUCAUGCUGAGUCAGCGGUCCUAAAAUGACCGUGCGUGCACGUUGACAGUGCCGCGGCACAUGGGACCUGGACAGCGUGACGUUGGGGUUGGCUGUCACUCGCAAUUUCCUCUGAUGCCCUGGAGCAGCGGGGAAACGGCACACGGUUGCGGCGUAGCGUAGUGUAGCGGCGCACAUUGACUAAUGAGUCAGCCUGCUGCAACGUCCGUCAUCCUUGGGUGCGGAUGUCUGGGUCCAAGGUCCGCCAGGUCCCGCUUCCGAUGCCUUAGAGAGGCUGUUCGACACGCUUCUGAGGAAUAGAUGCCCCACCCUACGUGCGUCGGAUAUAGCAAUGGAUUGUUUGGGGUGCAUUGUGAGGCGACUCAUGUACAUUCCCCUAAACCCCUUAACAAGGGGGGGCCCCAGCACGUCUUGUGGCGUGGGGUCCCACUGCUAGCGCCUGCAACCUCCAUCUACUGUCCACAGCAGACCCCCCCCCUGCUGCACCAAGAUUACCAAGGAGCCGACUACCGGCGGAGGGGGACGUACCAAACCAGGUGUAAGUGUGCUCAAAUGUCAAUGUUGACGCUGCGGGCACAACGUGGAGUUCGUGGCCCUCAAACACCGAUAGGUCAGCAUCCGGACCAGCCACUGUGCAGGCGGCCGACAGGGCGUCACAAUGGGUGAGAUCAAGCAGCUCGUCGUGCCACAGUUUAUGCUGUGGGAUUUGCAGCAAUCUGACCCUUGAGGUGAAACUGGUGCAGCCUCCCUGUCCCUGGGUCGCCCGGGUAUUUAAGCAGUUAACCCCGUACAAGAUACCUGUAACAACGCAAGCUUUAAUUCCAUACGCUCGUACAGCUGCUGCUGCAUAGGAUACAGCCCCUCCCUGCGGCAGGAAAGCUGGAGAUGACCACUUGAUGGCCGACAGAGAGCGAAGCCCACUCCCACCACCUACCGCUGGCCGCGAGCCAUCAUCCACAACAUCUAUUGUGACCGUUCCAACAAGCAGGAGGUCCGGUCUGCAGAAAUCCGGAUAGGUGAAGUCCUCUAGCAAAGAGCUUUCAGUGCAAAGCUGCCCCGUCUUACCUACUAAUUUCCAAAACCAUGUAAAAUAUAAAUGCUAAUAAAGAUACCAAGAUUACAGCGACAGACCUCAUCCUAAAGCGCAUCUCGCAACACCUCAACUAAUGGAUGCGCAUAGCUAACAUGUAAAAAUGCGACGAAAUCCCAACAUUCUGGCCUGCUGCAUUAGGCACAAAUUAUUACUGGGAGGUAGACUUUUUGUGGGCGACUCGACAAGCAUCAAAGCAUGCCGUACAAUACAUCGUUCGCAGAGUCAUCAUCAGACUUCAACAGUCCAGGACGACAUGCAAAGCCAGCAGCAUGAGCCGAAGACGCUCUUCCUAAUCUGUUCGGCAUGACCUAGGCAACCUAAGUAGGUUAUCCUAACACGACGUUAACCAUCAUUCGAGGUGUUGGGCUUUUCAUCACACUGCUUAUGUAUGCUAAGAAACAGGGGUCUGUAGAGUGAUCCAAGAUACGAGAAGCGGAAGAAAAGUACAAGGCGUUCUCACCUUUCGACUGACAGACCGUAACAGGCAUUGGAUGUGCAAAGCUGCACAGAGAUUACACCGUCUUUCCAGAAGCACAGAAUAAGUAACAUAUAUUACCUUCACUUCAUGUGAUUAGGACUGAUAACCCUACAUUGUCAAGCUUGACAUAGGGCUAAUCAUAUGGACGCCUCCAUUUUAUUAUCUCAAUAAACAAUUGAUAGAGCUUCCAUACGGUGGGAGGAUCGGUACUAAUGAGCUGCGGGUAGCAAAGGCAAUCGUUGCGGUGGCAGUUGCACCUUGUCGUUGCUGGCUUGCUUAUGCCUUCUUUGGGAUGGCUAACAACCUAAACACCAAUAUUUGGAUGUUUUGUAACCUAAAAGCUCAAAAAAUCUAUCGAGGUUUUCAGGGAGCGUAUGGGACGCCAGCACGUGCUCUUGGGACGCAUCGUGUUCGUGGCCAUAGCGAUACAACAAGGCUAACUUAGGAGGAGCCGCAUUUUGUUUAUGGCAUUCGUCAAAGGCAUACUGUGAUAAGUUAUUCGGACAUGUGCUCGGGCGCUCGAGGCCUGUACGGACACGUACGCAACAGGAAAAGUUAAUACGCUUGAAGCACGAAUACUUUCCACGUUAGAUACGGUUAACGCGUGCAAUAAGCAAUAACUCAUGAUUGAUGUCAGAAAUGUGACGCAACCCCUUCCCUGUUGCGAGGCUGAUGCUUUCCGAACUCGGAAGGGGUUUUAACAAAGAGUCGGUUGGUUUUCGUUAGUGUCGUUAAGCCGAAGCUUGGUGCCUUGCGCCUAGAGGCGCACAUAACCUCAAGAAAUUCUCUGUAAGAUUUAGUUUUCUCUAGAAGUCUCGGUCCAGGCCAUGUGCAGGUUGACGAUAGCUACCGUAACGGUGUAUCCGUCUGCUGUUCAAGUGAGAGCAUAUUGCAAACUAGCCCCCUCGAGAAGUCCUAUUCCAUAUAUGAGUUUUUUUUCUUGGAACCAGUAUAAGACAUUGCAGUUUUGCUUCCUCGAGGUUUACCUUUUUAGGAGCAAUUAAUUGUGGGAUGUCGGCUGCUCUGAUAAUUAUCAAUUAAGGCAUCAAUUGGGGCCCCGCUGCGCAGCCCCUCUUGCACGCUAAAGUGAUUAUCGCCUGCCUGGUUGCCCUGCGGAUAACGGUACCUCGCGCCGCGAGUCAGGCGGGGAUGUAGGAGCGGCUUCGGCACGUUUCAUUGAUGAUGCACACGACAUCGAAUGCCGCCUGCGCCUUCCCGCGCGGUGGGCCGUAGGCCUAGGGGAUCAGAGUGGGUCACUGCUGGUUGGGGACGAGCCCACCCACCCGCUUUUCGUCGAUGAUGCAUCCCUAAUGGCAACCGGGCACUAGCGAGCGCAGCAGUGCCCGCUCCGCUCUGGCUAGAUCAUUACUUCUCAGGCGACUGGCAUGGCGGCAAAUACUGCAAAUACUUGUAAAACAAUCAUCCUUGGGGGAACAUAGCGCGAGUGCAAUUAGGUCAUGGAGGCAACAGCUGCUGUGUGUUCGUUGGAUAGUACCAGGCUGCGUGGAUUGACCGGGAGUGACUCUACACCUGACCUCGGGGGCUGCACUACGGGCCGGGACAGCACUUCACUGCCUGCACGAAGCAGCAGCUGUUAGCCGCGGGGAAGCGAGUCACAUUCGACCUCACCGCAAUGUGCCGCAGUAAUGAGGCUACUGCGCCUAAGCUUUGCAUGGGCCUUUGAACACCCCUUGUCAUUCCCGUCUUAUCGUACGGGAUGCAAUGUAAGCUUUGAAAGCGCUAUGACUAGCCCUAUGGUCGAGGAACAGCGUGCAUUCAUGCGAUCUGUGGUAGGCGCGCGAAACCCCACACCAUAAUCAGUCUCUACCGUGACCCGUCUCAGCGGCCACUGCAGGCCCACGGGGCCAACCUACUUCUUAGAUAUUGAACCCCGUGGUGGAGAGGCCCGGCGGGACAAUAAUGUGCCAUGGAGCGUUCGUUUCAGACCUUGGGCUUGGGCUUUAGGGUACCACUGAUUGUUGGUCGGAAAAGGUACUUGCCAUUCUGACCAGCAUGGCAGCGUUAGCACCUGUGAGGGCCUACAGGGCGGGAAUUUGGUUUCUCAAUGCUGUUGCAGCUUUUGCCUGUCGGUAAUAUUCUCAAGGAGUUCCCCAUGCGGCUCGAUGCGAGGUGGACGUGUGCUGACACCCUAUAUGGGUUUUAAGGUAAUGCAUGUGUAGCACCACGGUGGCACUUGUGGUGUGUGUCGUGUUAGAGGUCUGUUCGGGGCGAUCAGCUCCACGAACUAGCUCGCAUACGCGUGAAGGACCCCCCUUGGAAUGGCGAUGUGUGCGUGCGGAAAGAUCACGCAGCUAAAGGCUGUGUACGAUACUUCAGUUGGUCUGACUGCUCGCACCGAGUACGACCUGCAGCUGAAGCAGGUGCGCAGUUGUAUUUGGUCCUAGCGCUGAUGAGCCUGGCCUCUCCAUUGGACAAGGUGUGUGAGCCUUCGAGUACCUUGGCCGGGGUUCCAUUGACGUCUGCUCCACAUAUGGGCCCUGCCGACUGUAGGCUCAAGCAGCGCCGCCAGCUGGACCCAUCGCAGCGGGCUACGACUGGGCCGUGUACGGCAGCAACGUGCGCCACAACGUGCGCCACAGCAGCAGUGUUUGGGAGGGGCAACAGUCCACUGACUAAAACACCACCCAUCCACAAAGCGAGGAACUCAGCAUGACCAGAGCCGUACAUAUGAGCUGAUGUGGCUGGUCUAUGCAAAUGAGCAUAGGCUGCUUUGUGCCUUCCGCGGUUUAAUGAGGCGGACUGAUCGCAUCCAGUCCUGUAACCCCUCGACCGUCAUAUGCACGUGCAAUCUUCCGGCGAUGACUGGUUUGAUGCAGCUCCCCGUUCCAUGGGGGGGGGAUCACCAGUUCGUCUAGUAUGGCCUCAUCAAUUUCUGGGCGGACUGCAACCGGGGGGGGCCAACCAGCGGUGCAACCGGGUACCAGAAGGGUCCAGAGCCCACUGACCACCUGAAUGUGUAACAAGAGAAAAGCUAUGCUGCGAGAUUAAGUUGCGACAACCCGGAGAGAGCCACCCGUCCCUAUGCAUCGGACCUCCGUAUGCCAGUUGGCGUCGUAAAUGAGCAGUCAUGUGAUCGCUGGACCUGAUUCUUUGCCGGCACGGAGUGGCGCUAGGACGCAGGUUCGCCGAGGACUUGGUCCUCGCGGUCUGCAGACUGUCCGCAGACUUAGGACUCGGGAGAGGACUGUCAACCCAAUGACUGUCAUGAGGUAGCUUCGGGGCGGGGCAAUGCCAGCUGCACAACUUCACACCGGGACAUAUAUACAUGGGAUUCGUCUUUCCGCGCGACAAUCCGUCGUACACUCUUGAAUCUCGAUGGAGGAAACAGCAUCCCCAUCCUCACGGGGAAAUGCACAUCCCCGGCGGCCACCGCACUGUGCUGGACCAGGAGGUCUGCACAGGAUCAUGUACGGUGGGUAUCAGUUUACAGCAGUCGCAAAGGGAUACAGCACCGUCAGCAAGCCAUCAAAUUUCCGUAGAGUCGGACAAACCAAAUCAAUAACAACAAAAUGAGAAAAUUAAGGUUGAUGACGUUGCCGCCUGGUACGCACCCUCAUGCGCGGAAUGGCCGUGCCGGGGACAUGGAGGUGUUGAGCUGUGAGCUGUAGGAUGGGAGAGUUGUGUCGUGAAAUCUAGGAGCCUAUUACUACUCCAGGCGCUUUUUCGAGUGGACAGCCCACUGCAAUAUCCAGAGUCAGGGCUCUGACUUUGAAUUUGCAAAGCUUUUCAUAACCACCAUAGCGAUGCUGAGGUAAAGGCAUCGCAAUCUCCACAGGCUUACCACACCUAGGCAUGCAGUGUAAUGCGAGUCACGACGCAUUGCGAUUUUCUCCCAAGAUAUGGCCAUCCUAUCAGGCCACGGGUAUCAAGCACCCAAGCAGUGGGGGUGACCAAUAAACCGCAAACACCAAGGACCAACUGCACCAAGCAAAAAAAACUAAUGCUAAAACCUCCUAAAGCACAACAACGCGUCCUGCAUGCCGGUUUCCAAACGCCUCCUACGCGCGCAAAUAAACAUUUAUACAGAGGCAUACUUAAAGCAGCUUGCCAGCAAGGACACACACGCGCAUAUCUGCGCGUUACGUUAAUCGAGCAGUAAGUGGCAGCGUCACUUCGGCCCACUCAAUACUCACAUCGGCGGAAGGACUCCAAAACAACACCGACCGACCACUGCCGUCAGCACACACGCAUAUGCCCUUUAGCUCUGGGAGUACAGUUCGGCCACACGCAUUGCAGCCCUACAGCUCAUUGAACGCAUUCUCACCAUUCGCAAGCAACUCCUGCUGAUCUGUUGCCAUCACAACACACCAUUCGCGCGAGGCCAUCCUUCGCUGACCUUCAUAUUCAUACACGGACGCCCACAUCCCCCCCCCUUCUAGGAAGGAGGCAGGGAAGAGCUGCUCCACCCCCGGGCAGGUAGUAUCCAUCACCAAUCACUUCAGUGCUGGGCACUCGUUCCUAAAGGUUCUAUACUUCACCAUCAGUUCCGGCUCACCCAGCUUGUCCAGCUGGGUGAGGAAAGUGCGCUGCGCUAAGUACAAUACGGGUUGUGCUGCCAGGGGCCCCUCACGUAAAGCCUUCGCCACGUCAGCCGCCUUCACGUAGACAAUGCCCUGCACCAAUGAGGGAUUGCGGAACGAGAAAAGAGCCCAAAACCUGAACGUGGGAAUCCACCUAACCGGAUUUGCAGCCAGCCGCCAAUCACAAUAUAUAGCAGUGUGGGUAGUGCGUGUGCGGGCAUGGUGCUAUGAAAGUGACAUAUGGACCCAAUUCGGGGGGAACUUGGGCAUCAUAAAGUUUACGCUUACCGGCUUCGCCCCACCCAUCAUUAUGGCGACAUAGUUGUCCCCGGUUUUCCGUGGGCGGUUCCCAACAAACUGCCCGUCAACCGCGAACCAACAUGCAGGAAACGGUAGCCGAAAACGGUAGAGCUGUGUGACUGCAAAAAGUAACGAGGUCUCAAAUGCGGCGCGCCUGCAGGAGCUAUCCACCAGGUUGCUCUUGCUGUUGCGCCCUCCCGACUAAGCACCCAUCAACACGUCUCAGCUUGAGGUCUCUUGUAAACACCUUAAAAGGCACCUACCCCGCGAGCAAAGAGACAACAUCAAACAACUCACCUCGGCACGCGGGGGCUCGUCAAACAUGACUGGCCGCUCGCCACGUCCGUUGUCAUCGUAGUCAUCAUUGUUCUGCAGGUGCACUGUGUUGUGCGACCCCGGCUGCGCCACUGACGGCGGCAGCACGCGCAGCAGCAUCUCGAACUCGACGGGCAACAGUCCACGCGCCCCCUCGCGUCGCGGCGGCUCCGGAACCUCAUCCCUGGCAACCUCAGACGACUCAUUGCGCCCGCUGUUCAGCCGCUCGAACAGACACUUUUGGUGCAGCACUACAGCCGGUGUGCACAUCAGUCCUUCCCCAAACGAUCCGUGGGUCAUAAAACGCAAGUUCUGGUUGAGAGGUAGUGCGCGGCGUGACCCGGGAUUUGGCUGCACCCACUUGCUCGCGCACGGCACUGCGGGCCACACGACACGGCGCCCCGUCAGCAGGGCCAGCUGCACCAGCCCACGCGCCAUGCUGGUCCACUGGACCUGCGUGAAGGUGGUGGUGUCGACGUCCGGCAGCAGCGCAACCACUCUCGGCACUUCCGAUGCAUUCGGGGACCCUAGGAAGGGAAACGGCCCGCCAUCCGUGAGCGCUGCCAGCUCCCAGCUGUACUCGCCGUACUGCAUACGCACGGCGUCCUUGCCGAUGCUGGUCGGUCCAGGGGCUCGCACCAAGUGCGCAAAGACCUGCAGGCAUGGCGGCGGCAAGGACAUGUGGGCCGGGUGGGGGUUUACAUGGAGAGGCACAGAUGAGGCGAUAACUGCUCCACCCCCGGGCAGGGGGAAGAGCUGCUCCACCCCCGGGCGGGGGGAAGGGGCGCUCAGGGCGCUGUUACUGAAUGUGAGCUCGCCCAUCCCCGAAAUGGCUAUACACGAUGGCUAUACACGCAACCAAGGCCAUGGGAGCGCAGGAGGCAGCAUCCCGACCACACACAGGGGCUCACAUAGUGCAUAACACGGCCGGAGGGGGAGCGGAGCUAAGCAACGACUUGGGGACAUCACUUGGGGGCUUUCUUGCUUUCUUGAUUUCAUGUGGCGGCUCGGCUCGGGGUGUCCUAUCCCUCAGCAUCCCUAACUGACCUGUCGGGGCAUUCCAUUCGUGAGCUGGGGGUCCCAGUAUCCGAGUACUCCUCGCUGCGUCCAGCCGCCUACCAGCCAGUCAGCCGCAUACGCCAGCAUCUCCAUCUCCCGAUGCAGCGGCGGCAAUGGGCCAUCUGUGACAACGCUGCUGCCGCUGCUGCCCUCGUUAUUACUGUCGCUGUCAUCACUACUGUUGCUAAAACCAUUCUGCUGCAAGCGCCUGAGUGCACCGCCCGUCCGCGACCCAGCAGCUCCCAGGGCAUCUCUGCGCCGGACAUCCGCUGCUGCCUCCUCCCCAGCCAGGUGCCUGCUACUGCUGCUGCAAAGCGCCGUGUCCAAGCUGCCCUGUGCAACAUCGGGUUGGUCUUCGGUGCACCGCGACUUGUCCACAGCGGUUCGUAGACGCCUGUUGCUGUUCAUGGAGCGAAGCACGGACUGCCGACUGGCCCAGAGGUUGUCAUCGUCGGCCAGUACGCGCUGGAAUCUGGCCGCGAAGCCGUCAGGUAAGAAGGGGGGUAGCCUGUAGCUCGGCUCGUCCGCUAGCAGCGGCUGUGGGUCCCGGGGCCUGGUGAGGUUGGCCCAACUUGUCAUGAACGUGUCGGAGCCCACCAGGCCGAGCAGGUCUGGGUCCGUCACUGGGGUGACUUCGCGCUGCAGUUGGAGAUGACAGACAAGGCCCCGAGACGGGAGGGGGCGGGAGGGGGAAGGGAAAGGACCGGUGUUUCGACAGCCAGAUAAGGGUUUGGGUGCAGUCGUCGAUAGACAAAAACACGCAACAGUACAACACAGGGACCACCUAUGCCGUACUUACGACUACAAGGCAAUCCUGCUGUGGUCAGCGCGCGAGUAUGCAUUCGCACCCCUCCCGGGGGCCAGAACGAUAUGCACGAGGGCCAGGACAAGAGAACCUAUCUGGCACCCAGUGCACCUUCACACACUUUGUGCGGCGCUCCCCGGGAAAGCGCCAAGUGGUGCUCAGUGUCAAGGAACACAGAGUCAUUGCGUUGGCUCUUGCCCAGCAGCGCAUGACGCCCAUACCUCCCCAACCAGGUGUGAUGCAAAGGUUGAUAACCUGGGCGAGACUUGUCACUGGCCAUCGAACGGCUCGCUGGAACCCAACGUCCUGAUGGAACAGCUUUCGCCUCCCGACUAUCGAUCAAGGCUGUUGCACCCUUUUGCCCUGUCCAUAAUGCAAAUAAAUCCCGCCCUAGCACCCCGCUGCCGCCGCUGCCGCUACCUCAGCACCGGUAGCAGCAGCAGCAUGCGAUCAAACCACAGCCCAAACCGGGAUGCACCUAACCAUCCCGGAACCCCUACCCACCCCCAGAAGCUCUGAGGGACCUUGUCUGUCCGCCAGUCCCAGUGCCGUACGGUGACGCAUGUUCCAUCCGCCGCUAUCGUCGUCACUGCGUCGAAGCAAGGGUCUGCCGUACCGGUCCGCGGGUCGCGCACAGUAGUACAGUGACAUCUUGCCGGUGAUGCUUGUAAGCACAGCAUCGCCAAACAGAAACUGAUCCCAGCAGCCUCUUCGGGACGCGUCGUGCGGCGUCAUCAGCUGGUGGGCGGCCGAGGAGGACUUAUCCGGUGUUAAAGCUGCUGUUGCUGAGUUCUCAGUCGAGUUCGGCGCCGGUGGUGGCGGCGGCAUGUCCAGCCACCUGAGAUUGCGCUCCACUGCCUCGGACAGCAGCCACGCUACCGGUCCAUUGCGUGACACGUUUUGAAAGUACAUGACUCCAGUGUUGACGAUACUGCCUCCGCGAACACUCUUGCCCACUACCAUGUGCGCGGAGCUGUACGGUGGGGUCUUAAAAAAACUGUACGGCUCACGGAACGCGAUGACGUCCGUGUCCAGGGAAAGCACGUUGUAGCCGUGGCGCACAGUACGAGCCAACAGCAUAAGUCGCUUAGUCAUGAGUCGCCGGUGACCGCCGAACACGUCUGGAAAGGUUUCGUUGUACCAGACGCAACCCAGGUCAGCAGAUGAGGAUGAGGAUGAGGAUGAUGCGGCCGCAGCAAGGCCGGCACCCGCGGCGCUGCUGAUGAUGUUGCGCCGCCCGCUGGCCGCGGCGUCACUAGCUGCCGCGAGCGCAGCCAUGGCAGCUGACACAUUCAGGGCGGGAAGUGCCUGUGCAUUACGCAACUCCCGAGCCUGCCGGGACAAGGAUAGCUGCCCCUCCCAGUCCUGGGCCAUGGAAGUGUACGGCACUGACGCAGACUUUAGAGCUCGGUGGGCAAGGGUGGCGUCUGCGAAGGCGCCGGGCUGCUGACCAUGCAAUUUCGCCCGUGCAAGCAAGAGCACAUCUGCUGCCGCGCAAAACGCCCGCGAGUUUGUCAACCACAGGAUGUGUGCAAGGCCGAGCUGGGCCAAGUUGUCGUGCAAUUGCACGGCGGCCCGCGGGCGCGUGUCGGUGAUGAGGAUCAACUCGCGCCUGAACGAGCGAGCCUCCAGCGCUGACGUAAGAGCUGCCGGGGGUUGCACGUCGCCGGUGAAGGGACGUACCUUCCCAAGGCUAACGUAUGCGCUCGGCCGAUUUGGAUGAAACGGUCGCUUGCGUUUCGCAGCUAGCGUGCGACCUCGAGGUUGUUGUAGUGAGGCAUCUACACCGCCCACCUUCGGCACGAUGUGAUUGUAACUCAAUUCAGUUAGCGAUCCUUGCGAGAAUUCCUCAGUACUACUUUCAAGGUUUCUCAGGCGUCGCUCAAUCACGUCAAGGCCCGCAGCUGCCUUUGAGACCACCGUAGCAUCGCCGCUGCCAGCCGCAUUUAGAGUAACAAUCAGUAAUAUGAUAACAAACAUCCCUACUUUCGUUACAAAAAUAUAUUCUGCUUGCCACCAUAAUCGCUACCUACAAGGACAUGAAACUCCUGAUCCUACAAGCGCGUUAGCCCCUACAGUAAUACCAGGAACGAUUUGCCAAUUUUGCGCAGUGCUUCUCCGCAUUAAGAUAUCAGGCAUCUGCCAGAUCACUAAACAAUGCAUGCACACUCCUUGUGAGAUACAAAUAAAGUGAUCGUCAUGAAUAUCGUUGUUUUCGUGAAAUGAAUUUCAUUCCAGCACAUGGUGGUGCGGAAAUCCGUUACCUACCUACAGCCUGGGAAUGCCGUACUGAAACUGCGAAAGAGGGCUCAGCUCAAUCGUAAGGCACUCUCUUUAAGCAGUCAUUGAACACUUCAGUGUACAAGGAUUAAGCCGACCUUGCCCAGCAGGUGUGCGCGCCUCGGAAUGGUUAUACACUUAUCUACGGACAGGUGGGUUUUGCGUCACUCCAUGAUCCAUUAACGCGUUGCAAACGUCAGCUAGGAAAUACAAACACGCAGGAAGAAGGAUGGUGAAGAGUUAUUCCACGAAACGCGCAGUAAAUUCAGCGGGGCGGAGUGCAGCCCAGGACCACGGCUGCUCCCCCAGGACUACCUUUUACACGCGCGGCCCCCGCGAAUUAACGUGAGAGCUUGUCACAUUGCCCGCGAUGAUGCACGUAGCUAGUUUAGUACGUUUAGGCAUUCAGGUCCAUGGGGCCGGUUUCGAUGCCGCAGUCAGGGCCCUGGUACUGUCGGGCUUGAUGCUGAAGGCGGACCUGGUUCGUCGUGGAGUGGAUUUUCAUUCCGGGACCCUCUAUGUGACGCGAAUUCAUUGCUGGCUUGGCUUGCACACUUGCGCACCGCGCCUGUCGCAUCGUUUUUGCUCUCAUUGAAUUUGGUUUGGCGACAGGGGAGACGCUUCUGCGUUGUGACAAUUCGCGGGCUCAGAGUCCUGGUUAAGGUCCUACAUCGCGAAUGGCGUCCAGCUGGAUGCAUUGCGGCCUCCGGAUUCGGGUGGCGGUCCACUGCAGGACCUCUGGCACAGCUUGCUUCCUGAAAUGACAUCCCAUGGCCCCUUGCUCGAAAGAGCGCUUUGAAGCCCAGAAUACGCUGGAAGGUGCUAACGGACUGCGGCCAGAGGUACAACCUCUAUAUGUAGUCAUGGAUAUGCGUGCGCCUGCGCGCCUCAAAAAGGGCAGUAGGAUUAAAACAAUGUUGGGAAAGAUGUUCUGGUUUUUAACUCUUCUUUAAUCUCCUUUUACUGGGAAGUAGGUGUAGGCACCACGUCCGCAAUUUCAAAACUAUAAUCAUGCAGCCAUGCACGCAUGGUGGGCCUAACGACGGGCCGCACUACAUUAUUAUAAGAAACGUAUUGCUAAUAAUCCAACAUGCAAUUAUGUAAUGAUAAUGCCCAUCGUCGCACAAGAGUUUGAAAGCACCCCCUUUCCCAGAUCGCGUACAGCUUAUACCGUAAUGGAUUCUGGUUCUGUCAAACUUUAGCAGAAUCCUAGCUACCAUUUCAAUUCGUAGAUAAAAAAAACAUUGCCAAUGGUCCGCAUUAAGAUACGUACUUAUACCUUGUCUGCCCCCUCGAGAUUGCAUAUGAACAAUAAUUGUUGAUGUACAGAACCUGCGACUGUAAAUAUGUGCUUUAUGCUGCGUACAUAGAACUUUACGCGGUGCUGAGCUAUUCACGUCCAAUUGACAGGUACCGGGCUCUUAACGGAAAUAUCUACGUUCACACCUUGCAUUUAAUAAGUGUUGUAAUAUUACAACAUACGUUAACAAAAAUACUCGCGACAAAGAAUCCUCUAACAGCAAUGCUGUGCAGGGCUAUCUCGUUGCUGGCUGGUAAGCUCUCUGUUUUCCCAGGAUUUCACAAGCAAAAUGUAUAUAGCACACAUAUAAACUUCCGGCUCAUACACAGCUCUGGUUGCAGUGAUACUGCUAUUUGAGCUCGGUCGCACUGCGCGCACGUCAGCAGCACGGUAAGGGCGUGUGCGCCUUUUAUCCUGGCGGGUAAUUAUAUCUGCGCCGGUGUUGCAAGCCCUAAGAAUCUCCAGAUCGGGUUUCCUAAUCGUAAGCGAAUACUGCGCACUGUGAUCAUGCUGGCGUCUCGUACAGGUGGUUGCCAACGGCUGCCGAGGCGCAGCAGCGUAUCGAACUAGCAGGGAACUCUGGGGCACGGAUGUUACUCGCAGAGGCAUAUAGCACUAUGGACAAUGCCUCGCAAGUUGCGAGUGCGCCAGACGCUUCCCUGCUACGCAGAAGGCGGAAGCCACCGCCUGGCCCGGACCUUUUGCAGCCUGAUUCAGUGAUGUCGACACCUGAAAUCCGUGAACCCCCUAAUUCUCCGCCACCUCCUCCCCCUUCACUGCCGCCACCGCCUCCUCCGUUGUCGCCGCCUUCGCCACAACCACCGGCCUCACGUAAGCCUAGGAAACCGCCACCCGCGCAGCCCCCACCGCAUCCUAGGCCUCCUUCCCCCUACAAGCCUCCAUCAUCCCCAAAGCCCCCGUCACCACCGAAUCCCCCUCCCCCGCCCAAGCCCCCGUCACCACCGAAUCCCCCUCCCCCGCCCAAGCCCCCGUCACCACCGAAUCCCCCUCCCCCGCCCAAGCCCCCGUCGCCACCGAAUCCCCCUCCCCCGCCCAAGCCCCCGUCACCACCGAAUCCCCCUCCCCCGCCCAAGCCUCCAUCACCACCGAAGCCUCUACCAUCCAUGCAAUCGCCACCCAAACCGCCCGCACCCCAGCCAUCCAGCAAGCUACCACCACCACAGAAGGCGUCGCCCAGUCCCGUCCCUCCGCCAUCACGUUCAACACCACCAUCGCCCAGGCUACAGCCGUACAGUUACUUGCCAAUGCUAAAGCCGGGUGCAAUCCGUAAGUACUGAUGAACGGUCGUGGCAUGUCUUUAAGCAAUGCGUUUUAUGGGGGAUGUGCUUAAUUCCAGGUUCGGACCUGGAAUGUACCCAUUCCCGGAAGAACAGCUUUAAAAACAUGUCCUAGCCUGGCGGACUUAUCGGCUCGCUUAACCUUUGCAGUCGAAGCCCAUAACAAGUACCGUUUAUGGAGUGGAGUGCCUAACCUGACAUGGAGUGACGAGUUGGCUGCGUCAGCUCAAAAUUGGAGUGACAAGUGCAUUUUUGAGCACUCGUAUGGCCAGUACGGCGAAAACCUUGGUGAGACCUCACCGCCGUGUCGUUGUUCCCGUAGCUCGCACGGAGAUGUUGCUGCUGGCCCCCCUUGCACGAUGCCGCAGCAAGAGUGUCUGUGCACAUUGGACUGCCUUGUAGCAAACUCACAUGAUUCCCAGUGUAAGCCUUGCCCAAAUCAUGAUUGGAUGAUACAUCGUCACAGCGGCAGUGGGGCAAUCUAAUCGCCAAAGUCCGGGUUUGGUAUGUACUUUGUACAUGUCAGGGACCCAGUGUGGCUCCCGUGUGCCCCAAACUGUUCCCAACACACCCGUACCAGUUCUGGGUACGUUCAACACCAUGGGUGAAAUCCUGUACGGCAUGAGUUUAUGGACAAUCGAGAUGUGCUGGUAUGACUUUGACGCGCCAGGCUUCAACGAAACGACCGGCCACUAUACUCAGGUAAGUGGUGAGCCCCAAGGCACCCACUGGCAUGGCGUUGCUUAGAGUUGUCGGUAGCACUUAACUGCAUGCUUAGGCAUGCAUUUGGGGCAUUGAAGUGUUCACUCUCUUCCAAAACUUCCGCUGUCAAUCGGAGAGCAAAUGAGCGAGCAAAUGAGGUACAGCUUGCACCCUGGUCUUGCCGUGGCCGCCCUGGCUGACUGCGCCGCUGACUCGCGUAUAUAUAGAUGGGUAGGCGGCGAUGCGCCGCCAAGUUCCGGUACCAGCGGUCAUUGCAUUAUAGCCACAAUUUCGGGCCCCUCAAUACCCACAGGUCGUAUGGAAGGAUACACAGAUGGUUGGCUGCGGCUAUAGGACCUGUAAAUCAGUCUCCGGAUUCAGCGGUCAGUGUGACGGAUGUGGCGUUGUCACGUGCCAUUACUCGCCGCCAGGUGGGUCGUUAGGGAGCGUAGGUGCGUGAAGGCGGGAUAGGUGGCGGCGGCCGGCCCGCGGUCGGCCUCCUCCAUCUCGGCUGCUGACGUUUUCGCCUUGUAUUGCGACGCAGGGAACUACUUGUCCGCAACCCUGUUCCGUCUCAACGUCCUGAAACCCAUCAAGUCAUGGUGCCCAGGAGCGACAUGACGUUGGGGAUGGGCGUGAGGUGCCAAGGCAGGUGCAACUAGGAAAGCUGUCCUAAGAGAAUAGUACGACGUGGAUAUAUCGUAACCACCCUAUGACUAAUACGCAGGCAGGACAUGGCAUGGCAUCAUAUAGGAGAUUCAUACACGUAUAGGAAUUAUUGCGAAAAUGUACAGAAUCGGACGCGAUCCGUUUACAAUGCAGGGAAGCAGGGGCCUGAGGUAGGGGGGGGUCCACUUAAUGUUAACGUCACGGAUUAGGGCACGGAAGUCCUUGGUAGGAGCUUGAAACGUAGUUUCGCUCCACAUGGUUGUGAAGACGGGGUAAGUUUGCCAACAACUUAGCCGUUUGCGCAACAGGUAUUAAUGGAGAGCUGGUGGGCAGAGGGUUAAUCCGCGACCUUAAUCCUAUGUGGAAACACUCCCUAAAAACUGUGUGCGGAUGGUGCAGGAUUGUGCAAGAGGGGAGAAUGCAGGGCUCCCCUGAUGUGCAACCUUAUACAGGGACCUGCAGGGAGUGAUAUAUGAUUACAAUACCUGACUUAUUUUACCAUGCCCGCCAACGCGGCAGUUUUGUGAAAUUUUUCAUACGUCAUUCAUUGCUGGCUGUUGCUGUGUACAUAUAACGUGUUGGCUCAUGGAUGAACCAAAAUGGUUCCUUUGACUGACGUGAUUUUUGGUAAUUUUUUGAUUUCCAACUUGUUAUCUAUGUUGUUGCUGUUAGGCUGAGUAACAGCGUGAGAGCCGAUGGCGAGAGUGCAGGAGAAAAUGUGUAGAGUGUCGCUGAUCAGGCAGCAUUUCUUUGCCCAGUUUGGUUGCGCUGUGCUCCUUUUGACGUGGUAACAGUAGCCGAGAGAGAGGGGCUCGGGACCUACUCUCAAACUAGGUUAGCACAUAAACAAAUAUGGCAGUGGCGGGAAGUCCGAACCGCUGCGUCUGCCAACCCUGCCCCCUAUAAGCUGCCGCUUUCGUUUAUCAGCAGCAUUCAGUGGCUGCACCCUCAAUUCACUUGAGAAGACCGCAACGUAGGAAUUACAAUUGCCUGGUAAGUUAGUUAGUUAGAUACAUUCUAGCUUUUAACACAACCAUCAACCUUCAUCGCUGGCUCCACACCAACGCAUGUUCCACUACUGACCCGGCAUCCUCGUUGUCACAACAUCCAGCAGCCCAAAAUAAUCCAAUAUGUUUAUCCAACUAAUUAGCACUUGCUUCGACACAUGCCAACAGCAAUGCACCGAAAAACUGGCACAUUACUUUGGCAGCAGUGCCAGCGCACUCUGUACUCCCCACUUGCACACAAUACCGAUUAGUGUGAACAGACCCGCGUAAAGCAGACUGCCACGCAUACGCUUAUCCGGGUCGCCAGUGGAGUAACCCUACGGCGCAGUCGAGACAAUGUAUAGUGUUAGGGUGUCAGGCUUCGUCGUCACUGAAGUAUUUACUGUGUCGGGUGCAGUGCUAGCGAUGGUCACUAACCGUCGUCUGUGCGUGCGUGUGCGUGUGUGUUGGUUACCUAAGUGCUGGUUACCAUUGCUGUCGACGCCCCAGCGUCACGACCAUCAUAUAGUCUACACUUGCCAUGCCCACGGGGGCUACUGGGUUCGGCUGGUCCUGCUUGCACAGGACCCCACCUGAUCCGUUCACCCAGACACAUGGUGAUGCCAAUCACACAAACAACGGCAGCGACCGAAUGCUCCGCACUGCCUACGUGUUGGUACAACAGCAGCGGUGGCUUGUGGCCGCAUUUCACAACUCUACCACCAUCGUUUUACCGGUAAUAACAAAAGUGCUGGGUAUGAUAACGCGAAUACCCUGGCUUCUCCCUUGCGAAAGCCCUACCUGCAUGUACAUAACGCGUCCCACCAAGUAGAUGACUCCGGCCGCAGCAGCAGUGAUUGGGUGCUGCGAGUCGGGAAGAAGGUACCGUCAGCAUACGACCCAUGUCUCGUCUGGGACACUCCCUCGUCUCCCUUAGUUCACCCCCCAUACGAUACCCCUCUGAGCUUAUUAGUUACCUUAAGGCCCGCAGUGACAAGCAAAGCCAAGAAAAUGGGCUGGUUCUCCAGAGAAUUCUGGUGGCCGCGCUGAACGCAAUUGAACGCCUUACGGUGCCUGAAAGAGAGAGACGAUUCAAGUAGUUACAAUUUACAAGGCAAAGGUGCUGACAGUGCUACAAGGUUGCUGCGAGGUGCGGGAAACAAACAGUUAUCGCUACACGUCCGGACAUACAUAUACGCGUCAAGGCGUACUUACUCUGCGUUCGCGCAAUUCUCCGACGUUGCAUACAGCGCUGGGUAUGUAACGUUAUACCUGUAGUUCACAUGCAAUACCGAAGCGGUAAAUAACCUCACUGUGAUCCCGUACGAUCCAGACCACAGCUUACAAUCUGCCUCACUUUUUCCUUGCUUGCAUCACUUUCACAGCCAUGUAGCCAUGAUGCCUGAGCACCACGAGCGGGCAAUUUCAUGUCAGCGUCAUCAGUCGGCUUUGGGUACUUCGAUACACGUCACACAGACUUACACCAUCCACGAAGCUGCAACAACGCCAGCCACAAGACCAAACUCAUUGGAUAUAGCUGGCAUGGCGACGGUCGCUGGUGAAACAGUCGCGUGAACGCGGGCCGGAAAGGUGCUACGAAGUAGUCUGCGAUCCAAACUCCCAGAUGGAGGACGUAAGGUUGAAUGUUUUGGUAUACCAGUCUUCAUCUCUUGGGGCUUAAUUGCUGGUUUCAGGGCCACCAACCAAGCUGACGCAUUUUUAGGUAUGCCGUACACAUGUAUUUGGUUCUCAAUCACAUGGCGAGCACCUUCAAGUGGCGAGCACCUUCAAGUGGCGAGACUGACAAAGCUUACUCAUAAUACGGUGACGAAAAGCCGAGUGAAUCAGUAUUGAUACUUCAAAGAGACCGCAACAACGGGACUUGAUUAUAUUGAAGCGAAGUGAAUUAGAUCCCAUAAAAACUAAUAACGGUCUUGAUGUCUAAUAGGGGUCUUGCUGAUUGAUAACUAUCCUUGUUGUAGCCGUCGACGGUGGCAUCGCUUGACUGGAUCUGUCUUGCUUGAUGCAUUUGCCUGACAAAUAAUUUGAUAUGGCAGACUACGGUCGUCUUCAAGACAGGGAGCGUGGUGCCACAAUACAUACGCAAAACCCGGCCUUUGAAGGUUACGGAUUGCGCGAUUUGAGUGGACACAGGAAGAAGGUCAGUGGUGGUGGCCAGGGUGCACAGGGAAGUUGACUCUGCGAUGCACGGAAUCCGCCUUGCCUCCGUUAAUCCCACUAUUCCCUCUGCCUUGUUUUAGGUCAACACGGUUGCAUGGAACUGCGAUGGACGACGGCUUGCAAGCGGUGGGUAUUGGGUUAGGGGUUGGGGCUUUGAGGCUUAGCUUCGGACCGGCUGGUGACGCGAGAAUGGGAAUGACGGGUGGGCGGACGGGUAAAGGGGAGGGCGGCCAUGUCCCCCCCGACCAGCAACACGGGCGUAGAUGGAUAUCGUGGGUUACCCGAGGGUCCCCAGGAUCAUCAUCACAAAGAUGUCCAGGUAUGGUAUUUCCUGCGAGGAGACGACUGCACCAUUCCCCGGGUAGAUCCCCCUUUUCCCGCUGGCACAUUCCUAAGCCGUCGCUGCUUCCCGUUCCUCAUUAUGUGUUGAUUGGUCUCCAGGCUCAGGCGAUCGUAUGAUACGCGUGUGGACUGUGGAGCACUACGGGCCUGUGGCUAAACCGGAACGUUCAGACGCCGAGUACAACUCGCAUAAUGAUGCCAUAAGCAGCCUGGAGUGGCGGCCGGACCACCCCGACGUGCUGGCUAGCUGCUCAAACAGCAAGAAUGACACCAACAUACGGUGUGCGAGGCCUUGUCGGGUUAUUACAGGACGUCUAACGAAAGCGGCAGUCGGGCGGUUCCAACCCGAGUCGCUUUGGAGACGCGGUGGAAUCACGAGUAGCGCACGGGUACACUGUAACAAACAAACGUUAGGCGCCCACGGACGGGCAAAUAGGGCCGCAGACACGCCCACGGGCUGUGGACUUGAGGCUGCCGGUAUUCCCGUGCAGGUUUCAUGACGCAAGGACGAACAAGCAGACAGCCGCUGUGCAGCUCGGGAACGAGAAGAACUUGGUGUUGUCGUGGUCACUGGACGGCUUAUCGGUGGUCAUUACGUGCUCAAACGACGAGGUCGUGUUUGUGGACACGCGCAAAAUGCGGAGGUCGCGGCAGUGGGGGCUUUCUGGACAUACGAAGGUGCGUGGCCGUUCCACCAAUAAUGUCUUGCGGAUGGCACCUGAAGCCCUGGUGAUGUUAAAGCAAUGGCAAUUCAGCGUCAAGCGCCCAGGGAACUACUUUUUUUUUGAAUCCUGUUAAGCCGCAUGCCAUUAAGUCGCAUUGCUUUACCUGUCGGUUAAGGAAACCUGCAGCGCCCUUUUAACAAACACUAUUGCAGUUGUCCGAGGUGCGCUGGGGUCCCACACAAAACCUCCUUACAAUGGCGCUUGACGAUGGCACCGUGCGCAUUGCGCCCCUAGCCAAGUUGGACAGUCCCAUCUGGCGUCUCAACUCCCAUGCCAGUCAUACAACGUGCCUGGCGUAUUCGCGUGACUACAAGUGAGAGCUGCUGUGAUAUGUUGCCAGGUUUGGAUCCUUUAUAAGCUGAGCAGGGAAGAACGUUUUCGAGGAACAAUCACCAGACAGAGAGAUCGGGAGCCCCUGUGCUGAACAUAGCCGUUCCGUGCAAUAUAUGUGAUAGUGUGAAGCCAGCUUGGGAGUCCCUACGAGUCCCUAACCCCCCUGAUGCUUUCGGUGCCCUACCCAUGUGUGCCAACUUCUGCGGACUCAGUAACUUUGGGGUUCAGCACCCACCACCACCAGCAUGCAGUGGAAUCUGCCGGAUCAAAGAGGCUGGGAAAUCGCGUCCUGUUACACCUAACGUUAUUCGCACGCUGCUCACAGGUACCUGGCAUCUGGGGGUUCUGACGCGCUCGUCAGUCUCUGGCAUAUGGAGGAGAUGACUUGCCUGCGCACUUACAGCAGGCCCGACCAGUCGGUCCGGACGUUGAGCUUCAGCCAUAACAACAACUGGCUGGCAUAUUGCAGUGAAGACGGGUAUGGGACCAUCGACAUCGUGAGCACGCUGACAGGUGCGUGCGACUUUGCACACGGUUUUAACCGACAUGCUGCAAUAUGCAUGGCGCUACGUAAGCCUCAACGCCGUUGGCAAUCUGGGUUGCCAAUCUGGAUACGAUAACGUACCAUGGUACAUUGCUUUUUCUCUGUAUCGCAUGCCGUCGCUCGGCAUUCCCCAUGCUAGAUGUUACAUACAUGUGUUGUUACGUGUGGUUGGCUUCCCACAGGUGAUGUCGCCAGUACGCUGAACUUGAAGAGCUACUGUGAAACGGUGGCCUGGUGCCCAUCUGCACCAGUGCUUGCCUUCGCAGGAGACGAGAAAGAGGGCUAUGGCGCAGUAAGCAUCUGGGCUCCACCAAAGCCAACAACUAGCUGAUAACUACUACCCGACCGUCGCGGGAUGGACAAACUAACUCAUAUUCGUGCCAUGACUGGGCAUCUGGUCAGGGUGUCGUGCAUUGGCAGACACGACCGGGAUGUGACUGCCUCUAUGGAGACUGAGAAGGGUACGGUGCUUCACCACGAUGAGAUGACAGUGACGCCAUUUGGUUCAUGUUCAUGUGUCACCAUGGCGCGUCAACGUUGUGUUGAAGUCAGGUGGAAUUGUGUUGUUUACACCAUAAGGCGCCGAGUACAGCCGAAGUAAGGAGUUACUGCCAUGUCCACGGGUACUGUUUAUCAGACGCCUUUGGCUGCCACUGCGACGGCUGCUCUCGGACCACAGCCUGUAAUGAAGGUUUAACCAGCAGGCAUCGUAAUAAAAAUGACUGCGAGGCGUUGACUAUCUACAGAACAUGUGCUAUGUGUAGUCUCACCUGCGCGUCGGUGGGUGCCCAAGGGCACACGGAUGAUGGCCGGUGUGACAUCAUAAUUGGUGUUGGUGGAAUGGACGCAGCAAUGGAUGCGCCACCGCUGCUGAACAGAGGCUGGGACGGGCGGUGCGUGUCUCCACGGCUGUACCAGGAGUCCUGUGAGAGCAACACCACGCAUCGAUUCAGGACCAAUGCUGGUUAUGACAAUAGUGUCUGAAGCCGCGCUGGAAAGAAGUCUGCAACUUUUUCGCGCAGGGUUUGAUCAGGCAAACAUUUUUCUAGAAACACCGUACACAAAGACACAUCUUCGAGCUUUCCUCAAAGCGUUACCUGUAUGACGGGCUGACGCCUGGCAUUCUCCUCCAACAACUUCAGCAUCUCCCUCUCCCUGGCCAGCCGCUGGUUUUCUGUGGCAAGGAUGCAGGCGCCAUGCAUCACACUGAGACGCACUAAUCAAGAAACCCACUAUCCCCCACAAGACUUGAGAAUGGGCACUUCAUUGAAGGUGGGCUGUGGCGUGAAUUUCGUGGUAGGUGGCAUAUAUGGAUCUCAGGCGGGCAAGUGCUGUCUGGGGAAAAGCACUCGCCUGCAGCCACUUCAGCUGCAAAACGACGCCGAGCGGCCUCCUCCUCCGCCAGAGAGUAAUGUUGGGUUGCCAUAGAAUGGUGCCACGGUCUCGCCCCAUCCGGCAACCCGUUGCUAGCUGGUACCUGGACUGCCGAGACCUCCUGCUCCGGAAGCUUCGGGCUCCUGGUGGGAUUCGGCGUAAAUAUACGGUGUUGGAUGUAGUGCCCUCAUCACCUGCCGCGGACCGCCUAGUUACUCCUACCUACCUGCUUGCAAGGGUUGCGUUGCUCGCAACCAGCUCCUCCCAGACAGCCGCUUUAUCCCCGGGCUGCAUACGCGAGCAGGUUGUAAUGCAAUGUCCCUGCAGGACUGCCGAAGAUGUGGCUUGCUCUCAGAUGCACACGCCAGGACUCUACCUGCGGGUUCAAGGACCGAAGGAGACGCUGAUGUGUUUCUUGCUGUCGCUCUUGCUUAGCCUUCAGCAGUGCCUGCUCCCUCUGAUAUUGUGCCUCCAAAGACUCCUCAUUUGCGCGACUAGGUUCUGUGCGCUGCCGACGAUGUAGGAUUGAUGGCCUAUGAACGGUGUAACUCAUUGUAACAAAUUGCACUGCACUAGAAGCAAAACAAUGACAGGGCCCCUUAUAAAGCUCUUCUUGCGGGAGCUGUUGUGUAUGAGUCAAAAAACUUUUCUUUCAAAUAAAGCAACAAGAGUUGUUGCGAAACGUCAGGUUUGCAUAGCUAAAAAUAACACGACAAGCGCAAAGGUGACAAAUCGCGAGCUGCAAAUGCGGGGCCAGGUCCUAUGCUUAGGUGAUUUGCUGAUGCGGCCUUCCAGCACGUGGGACCCUGCAGUUUGGCGCUUACACAUAAGCCGUCAAGAAUCAUGUAUUUUUGCUAGCAGGCAUUGUGGUAUCGGGUAGAUAGUUGCAUAAAAAUUGUUCCCAGUCGACCCCAAAUCCAUCUCAGAGGCACCCUUCGAACCAAAUUUUGUAAAACAUGCUUCGCCUUUGUGCUGAUAUCUUGCGGGCCCGUGGACUUGCAGCCAGCGCGUGCAGUAAAGGCUUCGCAUCGCCCACCUUUACCCUGAGGACAUCCCUGUUUCAUACGAGAAAUGCCACUUUACAUCAAUCUGAUUCCCCUGCUGAAGAUCAAGAAACGUAAGUUUGCGCCGGAGACUGCUGCCUGCAAAAGAUAGUUCCCGAUGGCAAACCCAGGAAAAGGCGAAUGUUCAGGGUCCAAAUAACAUACGUCGACAAAGAAGGCAAGGAACACACAGUUGCUGCUCCACUUGGCAAAAACUUGUUGGAGGUGGCACAUGACAACGAAAUUGACCUGGAAGGUGCGGAACGGCUGUGUGAUGUCGUGUGAGGCCGUUGAUGAUAGACCGGUGGGGUGAACCAGCUUGGGCUUAGUUGACCGGUCCAGCAGCCUGUGAUGUCAGGCGGGCGAGCAACUGACACGCCUCUUGUGUAAUUUCCCGCUUCCAGGUGCCUGUGAGGGCUCCCUAGCAUGUUCCACGUGCCACUUAAUCUUCGAGGUAAGUGCCCGCACCUGUGCACAUGUCCGGCACAUACGUGGUUACACUGAGAAGGACCUUUGCGUGCCAAACUAGAAGUCUGCUGCCUUCACGUCUGCAUGGAUUGCGUGCGGCAUGGCAACCAGACGCCGUCCACGUGCGGCCGUGCCGUAUCAUGACCUUUGCAUUAGUGGUGUGGAAAAAACGCUGUCGUCCCAUUUACAAAGGACGAGGACUUCUACAAGAAGGUGCCGGAAGCCACUGAGGACGAGUUGGAUAUGCUAGACCUCGCUUUCGGCCUCACAGACACGUGAGCAAAAUCCGGGUUCAGUGAGAGAGGACGGGCAACGUAGUUUUGAGGGGGUUUCCCAGCUGCAGGUGCUAAGAAGAGCCAAAAACAGCUAAAAACGAGCCAAGCCUUGGGACAGCAGUUCGGUGCCCAUCACCCCUCAACAUGGCCCUGUACAACACGCGGUUCGUGCUUUAUUGGGGAACGCUGGCGCCAUGCUUCUCCUAGAUUGGAUAGAUUUCCCUGCUCACAUAUUUUCCGUCCUGCUAUAUUUUCCGCCAUGCUAAAAUGCACUCCGUUCUUGCAGAAAGGUCCGGCACGACACACUCGUUUCCCCGUGUUGACACCCACACCCCGUUUCCCCCUCAUUUCUCCGGCUUGCCGUGCAGCUCCCGCUUGGGUUGCCAAGUAAUUGUUACCAAAAGCUUGGACGGCGCACGGGUUCGCAUUCCGGCCGCGUCACGGAACUUCUACGUGGAUGGUCACAAACCCAAGCCCCAUUAGCGGUCACAUCUUACUUCACCAAACGAAAUACCCUACGCCGAUUGUUGUCAGUGCCCAAGUAGUAGCUGUUUAGGCAUUUCCAGCUUGUUUACGUGCGCGCCAUUGGUGUUUGCCAUCACGGACUGAUGUAUGCUGGGCGUGUUUGCUGCGGUUACAUAAAGACUCAGUUGUGAUGCCGUUGGCAGUGUUUCUUGCUAUGAUACGAGGCCUGUGGGGCCCCAGUUUUUCCCAUCUGCAGGAGUGCACGUUUCGUGUACGAACGAGGUCAAAUUACGAUUACACGAAAGGAUUUAAUAUGUGAUAGGUAUCUGAAGCCGUCUGGCUUCCCAAAGCCAUUAUUUGUUGAAUGGUUUGCAGCUUUUAAGGGCCUCGUAUAGGGGACACAGGGGAAAUCCCGCUGACCAUUUGAUUUGCGUGAGCCCGCUUAAGCUGCAAAUAUAUAAACCAGCAUUUCGUUCCUCUUGCAGACAGUAUGGUAUGCGGUAGGGUGGCCACGGCAUGAGGUUUGCCAGGGAUGAUGUUCAACUGUUGGCUAGCGUCCGCGGACACAAACGGCACACUGGGCCCACAAGCGUGUGUCGCGCUCUUGGAGGAGUGCACGCAUCGUUAAACAAAUGUGGCGCAUAGACCAUCAAAAUGUUUCAAAAAAAUUCAAGCUGCAAUAAGCUCCGGAAUUAGUAUGCACAUCCACGAGGUACGGAGUCCGGUGUGAAUGGAAUGAUUUGCACGGGUCAAUCCUUAGAUAAAGAGCCUGCAUGUCGCGACCCGGUUAUUACCCCACCACCACCUCACGCGGCUCCCUCGGCCUUAUCCGCCAACUGCUCAAUGAUGUCGUCCUCGCUGGUGCUCAUCAAGCUGUCGUACGCCUUCUGUAUCUCCUGGAACUUGGCCUUAGCCUCCUCUUGGUUGUUAGGGUGCUUGUCGGGGUGCCACUGCAUGGCCAGCCGGCGAUAAGCCUUCUUGACGUCCAAUUUGGAGGCACCCAGCGGGAGCUCAAGCAGCUCGUAGUCCUGCCGGCCGAGGAACGAUGAAAGUGGACAGUGGUUGCCAAAAGUUAUCGCAUACAAAAGGUGAAACGGAACAAACCGGGCUACUGCCCACCUGCUGAGCCCGGCGGCGUCGCACAACGCACGCUGCCAUGUCAUAGCCUGAAAUUCUCAGAUUGGCACAAUCGCGACGCCUUCCUUGUGGGAAGUCGUGAGGAUUACGCUGACCGCGGAAAGCAAAUGACUUGCACAUGUGGGGGCAACGAAUGCUAGAACCCUGACACCCGAUUGGGAUUGAGGGCGCAAGCGUGCGGCCUAAACCCGACGUCGUCACCAAAUCCAAGCAAGGUCGCCACCCACCUUGGCAUGCCGCAGGUGGUAGAGCAUACGCUCCCGUCGCUUGGCCUCGCGCUUACGUUCGUACUCUUUCUGCCGGUUCUUUUGCUUCUGCUCUUUGUUUUCUAUGGCCUCCAUGAUCAUGCGCUCAGCCAUCUCCACUGCCUUCUGGUCACCAAAUAGCAUGAUGGUGGCCAGCUUCUUCUCACCUGCAACAAGUAAAAGAGAUUUCCCAACAUGUAGGCCGACAGAUAAACCCAAAUAUCCCUUCUUAAGGCCGGCAGGCAAAUGCUAGCCAGACAUCGCGCGUCACCUGCCCACCUGCCUGAACCAAAAUUUGCCACAAGUGCGAAACAUGUACACAAUAGGAUGCCAUCGAAAAGGUUGCGGUCGGCAAUGCCCUGACCCGUCACCUAAGAUCUGCUUGCUCUUCCCUAGGCCUAAAACGUCCAGGCCCCACCUUCAUGCAGCCGCCACCUACCCAUCUGCAUUAGGUCUUCCACGUCCAGCUUAAAGCCAGCUCCGAAACCCCGAUUGAGCUCCUUCUCGUCCUUCUUGACCUAUGGUACAGACCCGACAAGGUAGCACUGUGGUCAAAGCCAGCAGAAUGGCAAGGCGCGAUUGCAUGAAACCAACCCACAACGGAAGGUGCCUAGAAGAAAGGCAACCCCCCAGGCCUCUCCACAGCUGCCAACACGCCUCUGUGGACCCCUCAAAAUGAGCCUCAAAGGGACAUUCUCCUCCGUUGCCCCGGGUUAUUCCGCCCGCUGCAGCCCGCCCGAAUACCGCUCGGCCUUUCCGCACGAAGUUAACUAAUUUUCGGACAACCGUCAAAAUGCGGCCGUCGCUCCCCGCCAACCUGCAAAGAAUCUAAUGGGCCCAUUGUCCACCUGCAGGCGCCCUCUAGUAUACCCACAACCGAGUACCUCAGCGCACGAGGCGCUGCAGCGCCACACCGCCUCCACUCUGAGCCUGACCCCCCUCCCAGAUACCCCGGAUAGCCCGACGACAACUUCCCCGGGACACCGACCACAGCAGCUACCUGAAUGCGGCACUUGGAUUUCUUCUGGAUCUCCUUAAUCUUCUCGCCCCCGGGCCCAAUCAUCAGUUUGACCUUGUUGGCAGGAAUCUGAAGCUCCAUGUCGGGGUUGGCGUCCGGGUCGUCGUCGUCCGACUCCUCCAGAACCUUCAGGGGCGGAGGAGCUGCGGCCGGGGGCGGGAGCGGGUGCGGGUAGGAUGGGAUUGCGCACCAUGUAAAGACACCUGUUUGUGCCACCCAGGGGGCUGCUGUGCAGGCCGGUAGUAACACACUAGCACACGGGCCUCAGUUGGCUAAUCGGGAUCGCCCGGGGGACGAAUGUGAGGCGCCAACUGUAAAGCGCAGCGUACAGGAAGACCCCACCUCGCCAUUCAUGCCCCUGCGCAGAUAGCCACGACUACGGACUACAGACGACCUAGGCCGGCGUUGGGGUCCCCGUACAACCCCCAACAGUAUUUCCUUCAAGGGAUUCCGGCAAGCCGUCGUACCCUCCUGCCCUUUCGCAUGACAGACGUCUGUGCCUCCGCCAAGCUGGCAUAUAGCAAUGGACAUCCAAUUGUUUGGAGUGCUUGGUUGAGCAGGUUUGCACCGUGAUUCAGCCUGACCCGCCAUCCAUUCGUCCACAGCCAAUUGCCACCUUUUCAUAAGGUCAACUUUAAAGCAGGUGGACCUCCUACUCUGUCCGGAAGCCCGCGACAGGCGCAGUACCACAUCCCCAACCGCCGCGUCUUCUGAGCGCUCAACUCAGACCCUGACGCCGACCAGCACCCGAAUGUCUUCCCUAUCUCGUCGCUCACUACCUCGCUCCUUCAAUAACAAACCUCACACCCACCUUUCCCAGCCGCCAGCUGCUCCGCCAGCUUGCGUCGCUGCUCCUGCCGCCGCGCCUCCUCCUCUGCCUGCAGCUGCUUCACCUCCGGCAUCACUGCUGCCGCCAUGAAGGCCUCCAGGGGGUCCUCUUCGUCACCGUCAGCAAGCUGGCGGGCGAGGUCAUCCGCCAUGUCCUUGGCACGUUUGGCCGCCACAUUGGGUGGCACGUAGUUGGGAUCAUGACGCAUGCGCUCUCGAAUGGCGGCUUCGCGAGCCUGCGCGGCAGCCACCGCCGCCGCCGGGUCGUCCUCGUCCUCGUCGUCGCCACCUAGCCCAGCCGCUGAGCGGGCCGCGGGGACUGAUGUGACAGGAGCAGCAGCGGUGGUGCCGCCGCCACCGCUGCCGCCGUCCGUCGACGGUGCAGCACCUUCGGCCGCAAGGGCCGCGGGGUCCUCCCAGGGCAUCCAUACCUUGGUUUCAGGCGCAGCAGGUGGGUCUGAAGCAACUGUGGGUGCGUCAACCGGUGCUGCUGGGACGGCAGCUUGGGCCGUCGUUGCGUUAGUUGCAUCUGUUACUGCUGCCUGACGUGCUUUCCAGGCCGCAAGCCGAGCAAGCCUGUCUGCUUCGGCGCCCCCGCCCUGCUGCUGCUGCUGCUGUAGUGGUGGUGGUGGUGGUAGCGGCUGUGAUGCCGAAGAGGUCUGCGCAGCUUGACCACUGCCGCUCAGCUCCCCAUCCCGUGCGCUCCGUGCCCUAUCCCGCUCACGCUCACUGUCCCUAUCCCGAUCCCGGUCUCUGUCUCGGGGCCGAUCUCGGUCUCUGUCAAGAUUUCUAUCUCUAUCCCGCUCGCGAGUGCUGCGGUCUCGGGAACGAGAGCGCCGGCUGCGGUCCCGGCUUGCAGAACGUGACCCGCUCCGUCGCCUUAGUACGAGGUUGGGGAAAAAUGAGACGGAAAAGCUGCUCAAGAUUCCAUGUUAAGGAAGGGAGUGAAUCAUGUUGCCUGACGUGCCAAAGGUUUACGGGGGAAGACCUCCCUGGCCGCUGGGCUUUGUGUACGGCAGGAGAAAGACAUGCACAAAAAACGUGGACGGAGGCCACGUAUUGGGCAUUGCUAUGCGAUGGCGUCUGAGCUUACCGAUCCCUAUCGCGCCGGUCCCUGCUGCGGCUUGGGCGCCGGUCCCGAUCGCGCAACCUUUCACGCCGGUCCCGACUUCUGCUCCGAUAAGACCUUUGAUCUCUGCUAGAGUGGCGCCUGUCUCGGCUACGGCUUCGGCUCUGACUACGCCUCCCCAUCCGGGGGAAGAUCCCCAAGGGGCUAACUGUGUAGAGCUAUCAAGGAGACUGAAACACGCAUCCGCUUAUUUGGCAGGAUAUGACUGCGGCUUAGGUACGAAGCAUACAGGAAUUUGUAUUGCGCGUAUGCGAUACGUCAGUAACGAUCACGGACACUUUGGAAGCGCUAUAAGCGUAGUCCGCAGGCAAUUAUAGGAUUAUCAAUCAUUAGUAACAGCGCCAGUUCACAAAUGGCACCAUUUGCCCGUCGUCCUUUCGCCGUACGGUGUGGUCCGUCCUCAACCCUCACGGCUAAUACCGGCCUCUAGGAUUAGUGAGCUCCUACCCGAUGAGAAUAACAAAUCACAGUAAUAGUAAUCAUUCUUGGUUCCUUGGCCAGUGUGUUGACGAGCCUUAUACACUGAGCCAUGUCGUCGAUAAAUCUGGAAAGAGAGCUACGGUGCUGACCCACUACGUCUUAGGAAGCGGGCAUCUGAUACACCGCUUAAGCAUUACAGCGUUUGGCUUCACCUGUGGGGGCUGCAUACACGCGUAAGUAAUGAACAGAAACAAGUUAUAAGCCUGCAACCCACUUAACAUAGGGCCAGCUGAAAGGGAACAACCAGGCCAUUUGCGUAUUGCGAGACGCUGUGCUCGGGUGACCUCCGUAACUGACACUGCAGAGUUCACUGGUAGCGCACUCUCGAGUUUAGCAUAUGCUUUGUGCAUUUUACUACGGAUUAUGAUAUUUUCCUUCUGUCUCUACCUCUUUUAUGGUAACUUCGGGUGCGCUUCUGGCGCCAUUCCUGCCCGGACGCAUCUACUGCCGCGUCGCUAUGUCGCUGAACCCACGAUUUGCCAUCCCUGUUUUACACAAGCACAUUUGAGCUUAUUUGCCUGCGACGCUGCAACCCAUUCCAGGCAGGUGGCAGCUCCACUAGCCCUACGUACCGCGAGUAGCUAGGGAACGGACGACGCUCUGCCCUUCUCACUGGACUUCUCAACCCCAGACCAGUAAUUCACAGGAGCAGCAGCAGCAUUUCCUGUCGUUGUAUUCCCACCAAGCCAUUUCCCAACCGAAACCCCACCGGCACCACCCGGACAGCGCUGUGGACGACCAGCGAACGAAGUCGGCUCGCCAGCCCUUCGGCAAUCUUUUGCUUGAUAGCGACGAAAAGACCUUCACACCCCACCGCCUAGACCCGAUUGCUCGGAAAUGGCAGCUGCGCAAAAAGACCGGCAGUUCAAGGUCCUCAAAUUCGUGGGAAAAGGCAGCUAUGGCUCCGUGUAAGUUGAAGCGUGUGGCCGUUCCGAUGUUCCAUUCUUCGCGUUGUGGACCUGAGUCGCAGCAGCUGCCGUUAAUGAGCAAGGGAGGCCACCCGAUGGUGGCAAUGUCCAUGGGGGGAUUGUUGGAGCGGGACCGGGCAGGGAAGGAAAGGGAAGGGAGUCGGGCGUGGUGGUGGUGCUGGCGGUAGUGUGGGUGGUGUGGGUGGGGCCUGUCCUCAUGGCCUUGGGCAUACAUAGCGGUAUGCCUGCUCCACCCUGUCCCCUGGGUGCAGCCUCCAUUAGGUCCCACUUAGGGGCGGCCAGAGCCUUUCCUCUCACUCAGCAUCAGACGCGGCAGUAGCAACCACCACAGCAACCACCACAGCAACCACCACAGCAACCACCACAGCAACCACCACAGCAACCACCACAGCAGGAGCUGCACUAAUUGGCAUUAGGGUGUUUAGAGGCCCCAGGCAGCUGUGCCCCCCUAGGCGGGUGGGUGGGUGGGUGGGGGGUCAAGUAAGGACGGGAGGGCGCGGCCCACUCAGCCAGCAUCAGGGCCCGGAGGGGUGAGAGCGCCCCUCCUGAUGCGCCGUGACGAGCCAAGAGACGUCCACACAGCACCGCCCAGUAGUAGUAGUAGUAGCUGCGGGUUUGCUGGACCUUACAGCACUGGCGGGUUGCACGAGGUUUGGGGCCGUGCGUGUAUCGUCCUGCUCACUGCUCACGGUGAAGUAUGGAGGAAAGGUGGCUGGGGUCCCCAGGACCAGACAGGGUGGGGAAAACGAGCCGGGACCCGAGUUUGGGGGGUUGGGGGGAUGCGGAAGGGUGUGGACGACGUGGAGGAGAGGGCGCGUCCUCGCACUGCUGACAGACAGCGAUCGGGGAGGCCACCGUGACAGCACCCGGCGGCCCGGUGUCCCUCAGCGCUCCCCUCCAGUUGUUCUCCACUGCCGCCUAGCAGCAGCCGUGCAUGUCCGGAGCCACCAGUCACGUGGGCCCUCUCGACCAGCACCUUUCCGCAAUUAUCUACAUCCGCGCCUCCUCACCGCCUUGCCUGACAUCCAAGACAUCCAAAACACCCGCUACCAUCAUGCGCCUCCCCUCAAACCCCUCCCCAGGCUGUUGCUGUCAGCUCCCACCACCUCUGAACCCCCUCCCCUCGCCUCUUCUCCCUCUUGCCGCCUCCACGCUUGCGUACCCCUAUGUCUGUGUGUCUGUCUAUCUGUCUGUCUGGCCUCUCAGCUUCCUGGUUCAACGUUUGGCUGACGGACAGACAUACGCACUGAAGGAGAUGGACGUGCGAUCCAUGAGUCAGGCGGAGCGGGAGGACUCGAUCAACGAGAUCCGCCUGCUUGCCUCCGUGUCGCACCCUAACGUCAUCUCCUACAAUGAGGCGUUUCUGGACGGCAACCGGCUGUGCAUCAUCAUGGAGUACGCGGCGGAUGGCGACCUGGCCAAGGUCAUCAAGUAAGCCAUACGGGCCACUACUGGGAUGGGAGUGCAUGAGUCAAGGGAGGGCAGCUGGGGGAGGGCUGACAGAAGUGAAAGGAGCGAGGGAGGAGGGUAGGUGGAAAACCUACAAACCUACAAACCUUAAGACAAGGAUUGCCGAAUAGUGUUGAGAGUGGCGGGAGAGAGAGGAAGGGAGGUAUGGGCAGGGAGAGGGGUGGAGAGGGGUGGGGUGGGGUAUUAACGAAAUCGGGAGGGGCCUAGAGAGGGGCGGGAUGACGUAGAAGCCCUAAGGGUUCUUCCCAGCGCUAGGUGCCCAGGGGGCGCCAAAGCCGGCCCCUUGCCCACACCCCACCAACAUGCAUGUAUCAUUCUGUCAUCCCCACCUCUCAACCCCGCUGGCUGUCCCCUCUCCCUCCCUUUCCUCCCUCUCCGGGCGUGGACCCGCCCUUCGCCCCCGCCCCAGAAAGCAGCAGCAGAUGCGGCGGCCCCUGCCGGAGGACGUCAUUUGGCGCUACUUCAUCCAGGUGGUGAUGGGGCUGCAGGCGCUGCACAAGAUGAAGAUCCUGCACCGGGACAUCAAGCCCGGGAACAUCAUGGUGUUUGAAAACGGAGUCGUCAAGAUCGGGGACCUGGGCAUUGCGAAGCUGCUCACGAAGACGGCAGCGGCCAAGACCCAGAUCGGCACGUGAGUGGUUCUGUGUGUGGCUGGGGGUGUGCAUGGGUGUUGGUGCGGGUGGGUGGAGGUGGGGAAGACUGGCGGGAUGGCGAGUUUUCCCAGACCGCCUCACCACCACCGCCACCACCACCACCACCAUCAACGGUUCUGUACUGCCUGAUGCUCCACCUCCCUGUCACGCACUUGCACCACUCAUCCAUUCCUCCCCGUCCACUGCCACCACCCUCACAUCCAUCCCCAGGCCGCACUACAUGGGGCCCGAAAUCUGGAAAAGCCGGCCGUACUCGUACACCUCGGACACGUGGGCAGUUGGCUGCCUGCUGUACGAGCUGGCCGCGCUGACGGUGCCCUUCGAGGCCCGUUCCAUGAGCGAGCUGCGCUACAAGGUGCUCCGCGGCGCCUACCCGCCCGUGCCCGGCAGCUACUCCCGGGACCUGCAGCAGCUGGUGCGGGAGUGUCUCGACCCCAACCCCGACAAGCGGCCCUCCAUGGACGACAUCCUGGCCCUCCCCUCGGUGGUCUCGCGCACCCGGCAGCUGGUGCCCCAGGAGAGCCGCAACCCCCCCACCACGGCGGGGAGUGCGCUGGUGGAAACCAUCAAGGUGGGGCGGGGUGGGGGAGGGGCGGGGCAGGGGAGGGGUGGGGGAGGGGACAACCAACGCAAACGCAGACCAGGUGGGGUGCGGGCCCCAAUGAUGUAAGAGAUAAGGACUUGGGGUUAAGGACUCUUGCCGGUUCUGGAGUUAUGUGAGGUGGCUGAAAAGGCCGAAACCUUGAUUUGCGAAACAUAGAUAUAUAACACACAGGGACAGGGGGGUAAUAUGGAGAUGGAACGGGAUGUGAUUGUGUGCGAAGUAGGGGGGGUGUAUAUAUGGGUUACACAGAGGGGCUUUCCAACCUAUGGUGGUGGCCACCCACCCUGGACGAGCAUGCUGGCAGUCUCCACCGUCCCCACCCACCCACCCACCCGCGAUGUGGCCUCCUUCCCGGGUAACAUCAUCAUCAUCAUCAUCAUCGUCAUCAUCAUCAGUCAUCAUCAUCAUCAUCAUCAUCAUCAUCAUCAUCAUCAUCAUCAUCAUCAUCAUCAUCAUCAUCAUCAUCAUCAUCAUCAUCAUCAUCAUCAUCAUCAUCAUCAUCAUGAUCNNNNNNNNNNNNNNNNNNNNNNNNNNNNNNNNNNNNNNNNNNNNNNNNNNNNNNNNNNNNNNNNNNNNNNNNNNNNNNNNNNNNNNNNNNNNNNNNNNNNNNNNNNNNNNNNNNNNNNNNNNNNNNNNNNNNNNNNNNNNNNNNNNNNNNNNNNNNNNNNNNNNNNNNNNNNNNNNNNNNNNNNNNNNNNNNNNNNNNNNNNNNNNNNNNNNNNNNNNNNNNNNNNNNNNNNNNNNNNNNNNNNNNNNNNNNNNNNNNNNNNNNNNNNNNNNNNNNNNNNNNNNNNNNNNNNNNNNNNNNNNNNNNNNNNNNNNNNNNNNNNNNNNNNNNNNNNNNNNNNNNNNNNNNNNNNNNNNNNNNNNNNNNNNNNNNNNNNNNNNNNNNNNNNNNNNNNNNNNNNNNNNNNNNNNNNNNNNNNNNNNNNNNNNNNNNNNNNNNNNNNNNNNNNNNNNNNNNNNNNNNNNNNNNNNNNNNNNNNNNNNNNNNNNNNNNNNNNNNNNNNNNNNNNNNNNNNNNNNNNNNNNNNNNNNNNNNNNNNGGCAGCAAAGACCAUACGGUACGUCGUCUUGUGGGUUUUGCCGCCGAGGCCCCCGCGGCCCCCCUCUGCCCCCCGUGGCCCCCCUCUGAGCUGGGAAACAGCCUCGCGGCACGGGGGCUGAAGCCGUGUGCUGGCCAGCUAUGGCAGGAUGGCCAUCCUCCUCCCCAAUGCCUUCCGGCAACGGAAACAUCUAAGCCGUCCCCUGAGGGCUGUGUGUGUAUUGAUGGUAGCACCCUUGAUUAGCCACCUGUGCACCGGCGCAGUUAAGGAGCUUCUGAGAACACUCCCUCCCUCCCUCCCUCCCUCCCUCACUCNNNNNNNNNNNNNNNNNNNNNNNNNNNNNNNNNNNNNNNNNNNNNNNNNNNNNNNNNNNNNNNNNNNNNNNNNNNNNNNNNNNNNNNNNNNNNNNNNNNNNNNNNNNNNNNNNNNNNNNNNNNNNNNNNNNNNNNNNNNNNNNNNNNNNNNNNNNNNNNNNNNNNNNNNNNNNNNNNNNNNNNNNNNNNNNNNNNNNNNNNNNNNNNNNNNNNNNNNNNNNNNNNNNNNNNNNNNNNNNNNNNNNNNNNNNNNNNNNNNNNNNNNNNNNNNNNNNNNNNNNNNNNNNNNNNNNNNNNNNNNNNNNNNNNNNNNNNNNNNNNNNNNNNNNNNNNNNNNNNNNNNNNNNNNNNNNNNNNNNNNNNNNNNNNNNNNNNNNNNNNNNNNNNNNNNNNNNNNNNNNNNNNNNNNNNNNNNNNNNNNNNNNNNNNNNNNNNNNNNNNNNNNNNNNNNNNNNNNNNNNNNNNNNNNNNNNNNNNNNNNNNNNNNNNNNNNNNNNNNNNNNNNNNNNNNNNNNNNNNNNNNNNNNNNNNNNNNNNNNNNNNNNNNNNNNNNNNNNNNNNNNNNNNNNNNNNNNNNNNNNNNNNNNNNNNNNNNNNNNNNNNNNNNNNNNNNNNNNNNNNNNNNNNNNNNNNNNNNNNNNNNNNNNNNNNNNNNNNNNNNNNNNNNNNNNNNNNNNNNNNNNNNNNNAACACCCAGUGCCAGCCCAGAAGAUGCCACCGUGGAACUACGGGGCACAGGCCGCACCCCGUAAGCCCGUGAGGGGGCAGCCCGCUGGGGCGCGCCCUGCGGCGGCGGCGGGGUACUAUGGCGGCGGCGACGUGGGGCAGCAGCAGGGUGACAUGCCCCGCUACCCGCCGCCGCAGUGGGCGCCAAGGCCCUCUAGGUGGUAACCGCAGUAGCAAUAGCAAUAGCAGCAGUAGCAGUAGCAGCAGCAGCAGCAGUGUCACAGCGGUAGCACCCGUCCUGAGACCUGUGUAUCCACAGCUACCCGGAGCUAGAGCCGCUGCUGUUCCAGCAGUGAAGUGGUAGUGACAGCGACAGCUGGCGGCUACAGCCCCCGGAUGGCUGGUUUCGUGGGUUUGGUGGGUGAAUGUACAUUUGGGGGUCUCAAAACAGACACGUCCCUGCUGUGCCGUGUGGUGAUGCGGUUUGGCAUGACAUGACAUGACAUGACUUGGAGCAACGUGUCCUGUUUCACAUCAACAUGGCAUAUGGCAUAUGGACACUAGCUGAAGAUUGGUGAAGUAGUGAUAUAAGCAUGUAUGGACAUUCAACAUGAAGACGGCCUAGCCGGGCACCGUGCCCGUGGUAUGGAUUGUGUGUGCGGUGUGCGUGACUCUGUUCCAAAUGGUGUGCCGCAACAGAGAUCUGGCCCUCAGCUUUCGCAAAUGGAAUGUGAGCCCCCUUUUUCACGAAUUGCCGUACAAGGCUGUGGCUUGAACUGCAGCGUCCUCUGGCCGCUGAUCCAGUUGUCGUACUGCCUUCAGAGGCGAGCGGGCUGCACCCCCGUGUGUGUGUAUUGCUGGUGCCGUCGGCUACUGACUGACUGACGUGCUAACGAACAAACUGCCCACUCCGGUCCAUUGCCAAUACCUGCCACGGUCAGGCAGGGAAGUAAUCAUACGUAGCUACGUUUGGUCUGAUGCGGUGUAGAUCCGUGGUCCGAUGAGCGACUUGUAGAUAAAGGACUGCAACCUGGGCCAAGGAGGAGGGCGCUGACUCAAAGACCUGACCAGGCCAAACUGCUUUGACUGACGAACUGACUGACAGACUGACAGACUGACAGACUGACUUGGCCAAGUAACUGGGCAUGCACAGUAGACCACGACAGAGUGGGCAGGUAGUGGGCUGUGGUGGAGAAGGAGGAAAGGAAAUGGACGAGCCUCCCCGCCGGCAAUCCGCCGCCUGACAUGGCAGGGAAUCGGGCGCGCUGCGAGGAGGACCGGUCGGGGGCGCAGCGGGGCCUGCGGUCCUGGAUCGGCUGGUGGCAGGGCCGCGGAGGGCAGCCUAGCUGUGGGUGCGAAGGGCGGAAACGCACUGUGAUGCUAUACUUCGUAAGGUGUGUAAGAGCCACGUAACAGCGCUCGUAGGGUUUGUUCAUGACGCGGGGUUGUCGCCGGUAAUGCCUGGCAAGUUGAGGCCGUGGUGGCGGUGGCCGCAGGGUUAGGGGCGGGAGGCCGGUUCGAGCACGGUGGCGCUGCGCCAUGCGGUGGUGUACAGGACAAUUGGCGCGGAAGGGGGCACAUGGACGCAUGGCAUGAACGGGGCAACGGGCCGGCAAGAGAAUGGCUGCGGGCAAUAAAGAGUAUGGCAGCGCACUCCUUGGAUAGGUAUGCCGCUAUCAGUUGCCCCAUCUUCCGACUACAACGCAAGCAACAUCCAGACUCGAUACACCGGUGACCGCCAAGUGACCACUGCUGCACCCAGUAAAUAAAUAGCGUUUUGGUUGGCCGGUUGGCAAUCCGUCCUUGGCGUUUGGAUUGCAUCCUGUUUAUCUAUUCAUAGCGUGUGAGUUGCGAACGCAGUGAUCGGCCUGUAGGGUUGCUGGUGGUUCCCAGCUAGGGGAGCUUGUGUAGUGGAGCCUGGUUGCGUCGGUGUACUCACCACUGCUUGCGCGUGUGCUGUGCUGCUUGCGCGCUCUCACUAGGCGAGGGUCGGCUAGGACAAGUGGCUUUUACCUCCUGUCAACUGUGGCACUUUGGACAGAUGCUAAUACAGAUGUGUACAUACUAACUGCACGUGCAUGUUUCGUCGCUUGCGUCUUCCUUGCGGGGGAAGGAGUGUCCCCGGACAUCUCCCCGGGCUGUCUGGCGGGUCCCGCGUCCCCAUGGGGUGCGGCGCUGAACUCACCACACAUGCAAGUGGCGGAACCCAUAUACCUGAUGCGGUAUAAGGGAGACUCAUGAAUGCGGCACAACGCUGGUUCACAGCGGCCUCGAUGCCGCGAGCGGUUUCCAGCAGUUGUGGAGGUUGGCGGGGUCCAUUGCCUUUUGCUUGUUUGUGACACACACUGCCAACCCGGGCGCGGUAUGGGGUCUUCUGCUAUAAAACAAGCAAGAACCUAUAAAAGUGACGCAGAGUUGCAGCCUUUGCAUCUCGCCUGGUCCCGCCCGGCCAUUAUCCGGCCAAGGUGCCGGCGGCCACCAACUCACCGGCAAGGCAAGGCAAGGCAACAUGCAUGCAUGCAAUUGGUCACAUGCAUGUACUGCUUCGUACUCAGCUUGCGUCACGGAGCCGGGUCACGGUACGGGGUACAACGGCCUCCGACGCAUAACUGAAGCCAAAGCGCUCGUCCACCGUACACGACCAAAGUAGCUGGGCGCACGCCAGCAACGAGGGCAGCAUGUAAAGUACGUUCCACUGUUUCCCUUCCCCUGCUGCCCGCCCCGCCGCCGACAACAAAAGGCCAUGUACGGUAUAAGUUACGGGUAGCUGGACAAAUCUAAGAAAUCCAAAGAUCUAGGAAGACAGAGGAAAGGGAGGGUGGGUGGGGUCGUCAAAGAGCCGCGUCCGACUUUGCGCAAUUUGUUGCGGAUUUCUCCUUUCAGUGCAAGUUGUAGUGAUGAACCUUUGGUGCGACUGGUGUGGACCGGUCCCAGUAGGCCUGCCGCCGCCAACAGCCCCGAGGUGAGGUGAGAGACUUGAUGGAAAGUCAAGGAUGUACCGAUGCAUUGAACGUGACGUUGCAUGUACAGAUUGCUACCGUGAGUUUGGACCGAGCCGGGGCGCCCGGCUCCACAACGCGUUCCCAAAGGCCGGCAGCGCUACCAAGUAUCUCGGACCCCAUCGUGGCAGCCUUCCUUCACUCGUUAGAGGGUCGGCCUGGAGUUCCCCAAAUGCCCAGUCCGGCACUGUUAUCUGCGUAUGAGACCAUAUGCCAGCAAUGGACCCUGACAGCUGGCAUAAGAUUCGGACGCAGUCGUAUGAGCUGCAUAGUUGGCUUGCACAGCAUUGGUCUUGGGUGAACCUACUGAACUGUGAUCCAGCGUCACUUUUGACAUUCUUCGAGGAACAUUGGAUCACCGCCACCCAGGCCGGGUUCGUGUAGAUCGCCGGCCUUGCCCUGCAACCUUGCAGGGAGCGAUCUCCCACCUGUCAACAGCUUUUAACCUGCUAAAUCGACGGGGUCCUUACGAUGCAGCGGCAUCAACCGGCAAUCCGUGCGAGUGCUCAGCUAUUCGUGGCUAUGGUAAGGGUUAUCGGCAAAUCCUCACUCGGCAGGGUCACACUGAGCGGGGUGCCAUACCUCUUCCCUACGCCAAAUUGCUAGAUCUAAGUUCGUAUUUGCAGCGGAAUGCUAGCAACACCGCAAGUCCGAUUCCCCGGAUAACUCUGCUACGGGACCGGAGUAUCUUCUGCCUGCUGUGGAGCAUGAGCAUGUGCAGGCAUGACUGCGGAGAGCUUCGGAUGGACGAUCUUCGGGACCCUGAUCAAGUUCGGAGUCCAUUCAGAGGUCUUCAGCUUCCCUUGCCCUGCGUGGACGGGCGAGUCCCUUCCACCUGUCGCCUGCAAAUUGCGAAGCUAGGAAUGAAGACGUAUCGAGGAGUCCGAUCGCCUGGGCAUGUGGUGGAGAGAGGCACUGUUGUAGUGUAGUGCAGUGCUACUGGCCCGUGAAGUAUGUCUCAGGCCGGCACUGCCCCGACCACGGUAUAAGACCGCGCUCCGAACGUGAGUAGAAUAUGAAUUCUAAAAGAACCCACGUCCGUUCUGUGAGCAAAGACGAUUUCAGUAAAUUUAUGGAUUUCGGUAAGGCUGUCGUAUAGAUUCUUGAUGUUCAGUUCCGGUGAAUUCUUACAAACGAUUCUUGACAGCCAGGUCAGUUUUCAGAAGAUUUCAUGUUCAUAAUUGAUUCGCAUAUUUCUUGAUAAGCUCAUCAUUACUGUGUAGCUAUCGCGCUACAACAGGCACUGAUCCCGUCAUCUGUCCGUUGGGCGCCCUUUCAGUGUAUCUUUCGACCUGUUCGGUGUACCAACUUCCUGUUACCGACUACCUCUUCCGGCCCCUGGACAACGACGGGCGCCGAUUCAAGGAAGCCCCACUUUCAACGGAGGCUUUGGGGUCCCCCCUUAAGCAACACUUAAGCGCUUGCGGCCAGUAUGGAGGAGAGAGUGUGCAUAGUUUCCGUCGUGGUUGCUUACAGCAUGCUUUCAACCAGGGUGUGCCCCCCAGUGAAUUGCUAGUGAAAGCCCAAAUGAAGUCAUUGGGCACCUUAUGGCGGUACCUGGAUCCAACCCGUCAUAUCCGGGAGCGCGGGAUAGUAACGAGUGAAAGUGAUAGCAUGGAAGAAUGAGUGCACCGUGGUGGGUGGGAAGGUUUGAACAUGGAACUGUUCAAUCCCAGCAUGUCUUGGAUGCAGUGGCAACUUUCCUUGAGGUUCUCCAUACAAGGAAUGGGAGGGUGUGGUGGCGAAAUGAAGCAGCCGUUGAAUUACAGAUUGUGGGUGACACCUCGGAGAAGGCUUAUGCAGCUCAACGGCGAGCUUGGAGAUGCAGUCAUGCGGGUUCCCUUCUCCAAGGACGAGAUUCAGCUUCUGGCGGAGGGCCGCCUCAGCAGCACGGUGCGAGAACUACAGGCAGCCACGUUUGCAUUGGAAUGGCUGCAGGAGCAGGCACCAGAACUGAUCCGUGGACGGUGAGUGCAGUACCAGACGGAUAGUCAGCCCGCUCACUUCUGUAUUCUGGGACAGAAGAGUGCAGGUCAAUGCCUGGAGGAAGUGGCACAGCUAUAUAGAGUUAGUGCUCGUUCCGACACGGAAUUUGAGACGGUGUGGUACCCCCAAACAGCAGCAGCUCAGCAGCAGGCGGAUUGUAUCAGCAAGGAGGACGACGUCGCCCAGUGGAGCUUGCAUCCCGAGGUUUAUCAACAGCUCCUACGCCGCCCCUCAUUGCAGGGGCGCAACCCGGACAUCGACUGCUUUGCGGAUGCCACCAACACCAAGGUUCCUGGCCGUUUCUUUGCAGCACGGUGGAAUCCGGGAUGCCUUGGCGUUGAUGCCUUGGUGUUGAUGCCUUCACACAAUCCUGGGCCUCCACGAGGAAGGACCUACCCUCGCUUCUCUAUAUGAAUCCCCCUUUCUCCCAAACUGGCCGGGUGCUGGCCAAGGUUCUCACGGACAAGCCGGACUGCAUCAUUAUAUUGCCUGUUUGGCCUAGGUGGUGGGUAGCCCUGUUACGUCGCUUGCCGGUGCGUGAGAUAUGGCGCCUGCCGCAUCGGAAUGACCUGUUCCUGCCAGGGGCCUUGACUGUACGAAGGCAGCCCCAUGCAACCCACUGCCAAGUGUGCGCAUACAUUGUUAUCUGGUAGAGGAACAUCUCAGACACUUCCCUUUCCCUCAACUCAUCCAAUACAUGUGUGGGACCACCCGACUUGCUUUCACGCGGCUUUAGGCCGGGUGGUUGGGGGGGGAGAGAGAAGGGGUGAAGGGGUUGAUGGGAUAAAAGGGAGAGAGGAGGAGAUGUGUGCUGGGCGCGGGUGGCUGGGGCGGUGAGGCAGGCAGCAGGGGAAGGGAAACAGUGGAACGUACUUUACAUGCUGCCCUCGUUGCUGGCGUGCACCCAGCUACUUUGGUCGUGUAUGGUGGACGAGCGCUUUAGCUUCAGUUAUGCGUCGGAGGCCAUUGUACCCCGUACCGUGACCCGGCUCCGUGACGCAAGCUGAGUACGAAGCAGUACAUGCAUGUGACCAAUUGCAUGCAUGCAUGUUGCCUUGCCUUGCCUUGCCGGUGAGUUGGUGGCCGCCGGCACCUUGGCCGGAUAAUGGCCGGGCGGGACCAGGCGAGAUGCAAAGGCUGCAACUCUGCGUCACUUUUAUAGGUUAUUGCUUGUUUUAUAGCAGAAGACCCCAUACCGCGCCCGGGUUGGCAGUGUGUGUCACAAACAAGCAAAAGGCAAUGGACCCCGCCAACCUCCACAACUGCUGGAAACCGCUCGCGGCAUCGAGGCCGCUGCGAACCAGUGUUGUGCCGCAUUCAUGAGUCUCCCUUAUACCGCAUCAGGUAUAUGGGUUCCGCCACUUGCAUGUGUGGUGAGUUCAGCGCCGCACCCCAUGGGGAUGCGGGACCCGCCAGACAGCCCGGGGAGAUGUCCGGGGACACUCCUUCCCCCGCAAGGACGACGCAAGCGACGAAACAUGCACGUGCAGUUAGUAUGUACACAUCUGUAUUAGCAUCUGUCCAAAGUGCCACAGUUGACAGGAGGUAAAAGCCACUUGUCCUAGCCGACCCUCGCCUAGUGAGAGCGCGCAAGCAGCACAGCACACGGGAUAGUAACGAGUGAUAGUGAUAGCGCGGAAGAAUGAGUGCACCGCGGUGGGUGGGAAGGUUUGAACACGGAACUGGGUGGGAAAGCGGUGCACUCAAGUUCUGACCGCCUCCCACUCUAACACUUGGCCUGGCUUCUGCCGAACGACACACUCCGACUGCCUAACCGGUACAUAUAAUUUCUGUAAUAGCACAACGCCUAUCGCACUCCUCUCCUCACUCUAAACAAACAAACUCCACCUCUCCUUGGACCCGUACAACCUUAGCAACCGCCACUACCGUAUCCAGUACUUCUGAAAUUGGCAGAGUACUCGUACGAAAGGGAUGAAAAUUGGAUGUGUUGUAGACUGUUCGACUGCAGUACUGUCCCUUGACACAAGUACGAGUAGCCGUUGACGUGAUGUCACGGCUUUACGGGCGACCUUUGGGUCAGUUUUAGGACUACAAUGCAGCGCACAUCAAUCCAGUCCCCGAGCGUCAUCGUAAUUUUGUACAGUCGAAAGCGACAUAUGCUCAGUCCUGCCCAAGCCACGAUCUUCAUGUUUUAUGUCCCUGUGCAUGUGCGAUGCCAUUUCACCAGUCCAACGGCUUUUACCGAGGAGUAGUCUUCGACUGUUGAAUACUUCUCGUAGUGUGCGUGUGCGUCUGCGGAAUAAAUUUCUUUUUCAAUCUUGUUGGAUACUGUGAUCCUCCAGGGGCUGGAAUUGCGGAACUGGGAAAACCUGAAAUGGAAAGGCCAUGUGACUACCGCCCACCUAAGAACAUUGGAGGUGCAAAAACAUGAAUACAGUUAUGCGUGAAUUUCGAUUAUCGCUCGUUCUUGGCAUAAGGAAACGGCUUUUGUUUUUUAUGUGCGUCGGACGACUAACCGACGAACGAUACGAUAGGCAAAGAGUGACGGCGAAAACCCAAGCAUGGUCGCAAAUUAUCACAGAGCUGUGACCUUAGACAUAUUCCAUUGCUACACCUGUAAGAUGGAAGCUUUAGUGGAAGUGGCAUGGGAGGUGGGCGGUGGAAGUUGCGAGAAAUGCACAGCGUGCAGGCUGCAUCAGUCUUGAGGAUCAUAGAAAUGUAAUUGUAAGCACGAUGCAAGCUAUAAUUAAUCGUGCUGGAGGGUGGGCUAGAUUUCCGCUGUAGAGUACUCCCGUCCGUCUACAAAAGUUUGCCCGGGAGGACGCUCUACAGGGCCGAAAUUUUGCAUAAAAAACAUGAAUCGGAAAACUGUAAAUUUUACCGAAAUCAUGCGACAGGUUUUGACCGGCCAGUCGAACCGCGUGGUCUUCGGUCUCGGUACCUUGCGCGGUUUCGUUUUAACUCGUUUGCGUGGCUACGGGAGCCUCUAAGGGCUGUGGCCAGGUAACGUGCGCUCGCGACAUCUCUCGGCCCAAGCCCAAGCAUCUCCGCACCUGGCCUCGAGCCGGCACAGGCCAUCAGCCCUCGGUAACACCAAGUCUACCCCUUCCUAAAAUCUCACCCGCCGUCCGAUGAAAUCUACAGCGACAUUUCAAAUAUGGCGGACGGUAAUCGCAGUGCAGCGCUAACGUAUAACGUGUUGACAAGGGCGAAACCAGUGUUUCCAUGAUCAUCAUCACACAGCAGUCCCGGUAUAACAUUCAAAACCGUAGACCACCGGUGAUGGUACCAGACACCUCAGUGUACGAACUGCCCACACCGAACACGACAACGGAUGUGGGGAUAAAUAUCCUGUGUGGGGCGUAGCUCGCAACGGGAUCGGGAGGAUGAUGUUCGUUGUCUAAGAACGGCAGUAUCAGACAAUAACCCGUGCCCCAUUCGGACACACGAACCAAUGGGGCUGUACGGCGACGCGCCCAUGGCAUAGAUAGCCACAUUUGGAGGGCCCAAGUACGCUGUCCUUAGGGGCAAGCUACCAAUAUCCACUGGCUCCUUUUGGGGGAGAAUUCACCGCGUCCUGCUUUUGCUGCUUUCCGCGCCAACUAUGAGUGAGUCCAUCCGCAGCUCAGUUCCCGGUUCCCGGGACAAUUAAUUGCGGGAGUGAUGGGUAUGGGCACUAUGCACUCCGUUUUCAUCAGGGGUAUGCGGCUUCCAGCAACCUCUACUUGGUACGGGCUACACCGUCGUGUUUAGGAAAACCCUUGCCUGAGCUCCCCACGCCGUGCUGGUCUGCUCGGAACUAGCCAAAAGGGCAGUGUACCUGGCUAUGGAGAAGGGGCGCGCUGUUCAAAGUGGGUUAGCCUCCAAAGGGUGCCUCGUGUAGCUGUCGGUUGAGGCAUAACAUCGACAUCAGCCUUACUACCCCGUGGUAGUAUGGUAGGUUGCGGCGAUGUAUGGGGCGAGCAAUUCCCCCUUCCCCAAACCAGCAAUAGUGGAGCAGGAGUAAUGAGGUGGUGGGUCAAGGUGUGAUAAGCUGGGUCCGUUGGGUCAUGUCGAGCUGAUCGCAGAGAAAAAAGGCCUACAUUGCGCCUCGAACGGCAUGGUUUGCUAUAUUAGUGCAACGGGGAGGGGAAAUGCAGUGCUGAAGUUGGGAAACUUUACCGUGAGCUGCCCCUUUCAAUUAUGCCGUCCAUUGCCCGGGUUCUGAAGUCCAGUCUUUCAGUUUCAAGUGGACGUGGGGCUAAGCACGGCUCGGAACGGGUCGCGUGGUGCGGGAAUGCAGAAGCCUAGUGGCUAAAUGAAUGUGGAUAGCUAAAAGGGUCCUCGUGCAUUUCGUUUCCCGGCGCCGUCGGGUUUAAAAUGCUGCCAACAGACUCCUUAGCCGAAGGCCUGCAGUUUGGCAAGAGUCCAAAUGUAAUUCGUUUACGGCAUAAGUCUUUCCUUUUACCCUUUAGCUCCACUCAUCCGCGCUCCCUUUUCUAGAGCCAGCGGCAAGAUGGCCGACUGCCUGCAACCCUCAAAAAGCAUUUCGAAAACUAUCCACGUACUAAGUUCCUCAUAUUUUUAAGGCAGUGUGCGCAGAGGGGGCCGGGACCUGCAUUCCACACCGGAAGUACAAUAACGUAUUCGUCCUGAGCUAAUGCCCAUUUAUGUCCCAAAGUAUUCAGCUUUAUUGCAUAGCUAUUGGACGCGCGAGGUGUGUGCAGAACGACAUAGACUACGAGCUCUCGACUGUAAUACCAUUGACAUAAGGCCCUUGAACGGUGAGCAGUUUACCAAAGAUAGUGUUUGGCCCCAAUUAAGGAACAGUGGGCAUAGGGUAGGCGCUCCUAAUCACUGUAGAGCCCCCCUGUAGACACAGCGUUGUCAGUUUCGCUUUGUAACGCUUUUGCGGGGUUUGUUCUGUCAGGUCAUCCAGUGUUAGCCCUACCGUAGCGGACCACCACUGGACACCCUGCCACGCUAAGGCGUGGAUCUUGCGGCGUGUGAUGGCCGCCGUGAAGGAGGAGGAGCAGGCUGUGCCUAGCGGAGGGUGCGCGUUGCUGAUGAUCGCUCGUUAGGUGAUGAACUAGCGGUCACUGGCGCAGUUUCCGCAAUGUCCACAGGUCGGCCGGUGCCAAGCUCUUUCUAGGCGGCCUGUCAUGGGACACAACUGAAGGUGCGGAGCUUUGUUGUCGGAAAAGGUUCUCACAGUCGAACGCCAUACGACCCGCGGCUGAUUGUGCGGGUUGGGGUCUUGCAGAGAAGCUAAAGGAGUACUUCUUGAAGUAUGGGGAGGUCCACGAUGUGGUAGGUCAUACGGCGAAGUUUAUAAAGCGAGGCCCAGCCAGGUCUGGACGCUGAUGGCUCGGGGGCAAUUGCUCUGGCAGGUGGUGAUGCGUGACCGCCAAACCCGUCGACCACGUGGAUUUGGUUUUAUUACAUUUACGGAUCCUGCGGCGGCACAAGCGGCGUGCGCGGAGUCCCAUACGAUAGACGGCAGACAGGUGAAGGCGCAUUGGCGCAAAUACAAUCGUCUUUGCCGCACGUAACGCUUGAUCGGCAUGCGUGGCGCAGAUUGAUGCGAAGCCAUCUGUGCCACAUGGUGAAGGUGGUCAGCAGCCUCGGAGCAAGAAGAUUUUUGUGGGCGGGCUGGCUCCCGACACCGAAGACGGUGCGCUUGUUGGUUGCUUGAACCUAGCUUUUUGCACCCGGUUUUUCAAGGAUCAAAACAUAAUUCUUUUUUGCUGUUGCAUCUUUGCAGUCCACCUUAAGCAGUAUUUCGAGCAGUAUGGCACAGUCGUUGAGGCGUUGGUCAUGGUGGACCACAACAGCGGCCGGUCGCGCGGCUUUGGGUACGUGUGGGCCUUGUGAAGGGAGAUCAUAUGUAUCUUAAUGUGUAUGAGUCAUGUGUACCCGAAAUGGCUUUAUAUGGCCAGCUAGGGCAUCUCCAAUAGCAUGUUUCAUACCAGUGCGGCUGCGUAGUGGCAAGCUGCAGCACCUGGCUCUGCGUCCUUGCUUUCUGUUCAUUGGCAAUUUGUUGCUUGCUUGGAGGGUUAAGGUACGCCUCGCACUCACAUGUACGGGCAUAACCCGGGGGCCCCCUGGGUCUCAUCUCCGUUCCUUUUGCCUUCCCCCAAGCACCGCCCCCAAAAUCCCAAUCGGGUCGCCUGCUGCCUUACGUUCCAUUAAAUGGUGUAGUGAUGACAUCUUCGUUGUGCUUGGUUUCUGGGCUUUUUCGUGUGCAUCUUUAAACCUUCGGGCUUGGUGCGUUGGCCAUUGUUAUGGCACAUGUUAACAUUCAUGCAGCUUCGUAACCUUCGGGGAGGAAUCGUCUGUUGAGAAGGUGUUCGCUGCGGGUCAGAUGCACGAGCUGGGCGGCAAGCAGGUCGAGGUCAAGAGCGCCACGCCCAAGGGUUCAGGCCCUCAAGCAGGUCGAGGGGGGGGCCGUGGCCCAGCGGCAACAGGUAGCUACGGUGGCCGCGGCUAUGGAGGCGGCCGCGGCGGCUUUGGAGGGUAUGGCGGAGGCUACGGGGCCUACGGUGCAGGUAUGGCUUCAACGAUGAAACUUUAUGCCUAGGGCACGGGAGAGCUGUCGCUGUGGGAACACGCCUUAACCAGAAGACAUGGAUAGUGGAAACAUCAAAGUUCAGCAGCAGGCGUCUUAAUUCCCCGUGUCCAUGAGAGCUGGAUGCAGUGCUGGGAUGAAACCUCAAGAGCAACAGGUCUCAAGUCCUAGGCCCCCUGCCUGAGAUGUAGCAGGAGUUUUGAACCAUUGCGGAGAGGCACUUGCCGCACGCUUUGUGGGGCAGUAUCGCCAUCGGUUAGCGUUUGGAUCAUGGGCUAAGUCGGUGAUGCGUCCAGCGCGAUCUUUUUACCACGUCAUGGCACCAUUGGGGUACAUUGGACUAUCGCCAGCUGUCGACCCUGCAUGAUGUAGUUGUCGGCAACAAUCGCCGGUGAUCGGCAUCAUGGUUUGCCGGCGUAUUCUGCGGGCGCUCCUCUCCUUGUAUCGCCCGACUUUUGCCGAGCCAGCUAGCUUUCCGUUCCGCAUCCAAUCUCAGUUGUCAAUUCUUGUGCUCUCGCUUGCGACUCAGGGUUACUUGUCUGGGGUUCUGCACUUGACGGUGUGCAGCCGCAGGCUUCCAUCAAGGGAUCCGCAGGGGAGAUAGUGUAUUAUGGCAGCUGGCAGCCGGCUGGGCCAGUAACUAUAAGCAAAGUUCUUUCGUCGUAGAUCAUUUGACAUCUGUUGUGUAUGCGUCAAAUGUCGCCACCUGCCCUUGCACAGGAGCCUACGGCGCUGGGUUCCCGGGAUACGGAGCUCCGUACGGUGGCUAUGGAGCAGGUGGGGCUUUGGGAAUCAGCAGCAACCUCACCAAUCUUUUGCAAUCUUGCGUGCGCACAUCUAGCCCUUGCUUGAACGACGAGAAUGGCAUCCAAAUACGCCUUAGUAGCGUAGGAUAACCUCCUGCCUUGCACCUUGCUUCGUCCAGAAAUGCUCGUCCGCAAUAUCUGAACCUCUGAUUCUGAUUCAACCUUCAGGCUACGGAAAUUUUGGGAUGAUGGGUUACGGCGCGGGGUAUGGCGGCAUGGUGGGCUACGGUGGCUACGGCGGCUACGGCGGUUACGGAUAUGGUCAACAAGCACCGUACAGCCAAGGGUGAGCGACAGUCCGAGGCACGCCGAGAUGAGCUGAAUCCCUAGCGAUCUUCGGCCAUGUCGCGUGCAUCUAGCAUAUGCUUGAGCAACGGGAAAAUCCGCGGAGGUUGACCCGUGAUCUGGAAGGGCUGCCUGGUUCUAACGCUGCCCACAGGUGUUUGUGUACUCUGCAGCCCACAGCCUGAGCCAUUGAUCAGCACCCAGCAAGUCCGUAUCCAGUUUAAGGUUGCGAAUAGUGUCCGAUAACGCGGUGCUUCAUCGAGCCCGGGGAGCUGUAACACCAUCCAUUUGAGUUUCAUGAGCUCAGGCCAAAAUGCCCCCGAUGUUUGCACAGCGUUCCCCGUCAGGCGCGUCUGAAAGUACGCUCCCCGUGACAUGCCUCCUGUGCAACAGCGGCCGCGGCGGUGGUGGAGAGGGGCAAUACUGAGGCAGCAUGCAUCUGGUAUGAGGCAGAGGGAGGAAUGGGUGUGGGGUGUGGAACCCGCUGCAGAUCAGUUUGAAGAGCAGCGUGCGUGUGCUCCACACUGCGGUAGCCCCCUCGGCAGAAGUUUAAGCUGUGUGUGAAAUCAAGAGGAAGCCGUUGGUUGCAAGGGCUGUGAUGUGAGAUCAUCCAGCGAGUUUGUGUUGUGUGAAAGCCGAGGGCAUGUCCUGCGUGCCUUCAUGUACAGGGAAGUGGCGUGCGGGACAUUUGGGGAGUGGAUUGGUGCGACGCCAUGGGAACCGGCGAGCUCUGGUCCGGCUGCGCUGACCCGCGGGGUAUGACAUGUUUUGGGCCUGGUCUGAGGUGGGGAUUGGGGUUCUUGGGAUUCAAUGGAAGGGUCGUUGUUGCCCGCCCCGUGUCGGAGGUCUGGCGAUUUCCUUACGCCCGCUGUUUCAGCCAAUCAUUCGCUUGGUGCCUGCCAGUCUAAUCCUGAUGGGCCAGGCCGGGCGAAAUGCAUCGGGGCGUGAGGGUGGCACAUUCCCGUUGAGAGCUGGGGCCGUAAAGGUGACUACCCUGCUUCCUAUGUAUUUGGGAAUCCGGGGGAGCUCUUCCAGAGCUUGAGUGGUCGUGGUUACGUCUUGACCGUGGUCUCAUGAUUGGGCGACUAGCCAAGGCCGCGGAUGGGGGAAGGGACGUCCUGUUUACUUUUUAGCUGGUAACGUGUGGCUGAUCUGUCAUCAGUUCAAUGCUUGUGUGCGUUGGGAGGGGUUGUCUGCGACAGUGUAGAGGCACCGACCUGGCCGCAAGAAAGAUGCUGGGGGCCAACACGGCUGUUCAGAAUGCGCUCUUAAAAGUUGGAGGGUCGGCCGGCUUUUCGAUAGUUCAAUUCUGAUUCUAGUUUCACGGGAGUCGAUGAUCAGAUGAAAAGCCCAAUUGAUUUACAAAGAUUGCCGGUUGAUCGUUCGGGUCACAGUUUAUUGGCGCAGGUCGCCAUGAUCCGAGCAAUGUCCACGUCCGUGUGCCCUAGUCGCGCAUCCGCGCAAUGCCCUUAAUCCGAGAGCGAGACACUUGAGAGGUUGUGAGAGAGCGUGCAAGAUGCACAGUUUACAUGAACUAUCGAUUUACCUUCUACCCGCGUGUCAUGCGGGUUCUGCUGUUGCGUGGAGAUUUGGCAGGUUUGGCCGAGUCUGGCAUGCAUAUGUUGUAAGAGGUGGAAGCAUAUACCAUGUUUGUUAUGAAUGAAUUCGAUGCUGCAGCUUGGGAAAGGAGAAGAUGUUGGUUUCUAGGUUGUUUCGUUAUGUAAAGUUAAAUAUGCAUCAGGAGUCACGAUGGUGCACAUAUCAUGGUGCACAUAUGUAGUGACAGAUUAAUAUGCGCAGCACAAUCGUUCAUUUCUAUCAUCAAUACAUUUUAUCAAAAAUAUGACACGUGCCUAACAUUAUUCCUAAUUAUCAAUGCUCAUACAUAUGCAACCCUUCUUCAGACGCUCUUAACUUAAUCGGACUGCUACUUAAUUUGCCACCAUACUCCGUCAAAUGACCAUGUGCACGAAAUUACACGAAACUAUCCAUCACCUGGCAGGGGAGAGUGUUGACCAAAACCCUCUUAAUCGCCCGCAGUUCCCAGCACGAACGCAUCAACGCAACACAACAAGCCAUCGACACUGACACCUGCUGCAGCUCAGAAGAAACGCUACAAACCGCAGCGCAUCCAGCAGCAGGAUGCCGAGACUUUCAUGUCUCCUAUCCUACGGUCUCCCAACACAUAAAUUCAAAACUUACCAAAACCACUUCGCAUUGCACAAAACGUUCCACUAACCUGCACUUCAUGUUCGCUCGAGACAUACUACGUAUCCUUAGUCCCCGCCAGGACCACCUACACGCGCCUGAACGGCUCGAGGAACGGCCCUCGCCCUCACUCAAACACCACUCAUCACUCCUCCCCCCUCCACCUGUGUCCCCUCAAGCCUGCAGUGGCGUAAUCCUCAGCAGACGGUUCUCUUUGGGGUUCAACAUGGUCUGCUGCAGCUUCCAGCCAUUGCGCUCCGCCUGGGAUAUGAAGUCGGGAUACAGCACCGAAACCACUGCCUGGGCCCGCUCCAUGGUCACCCGCCAGCCCUCAUGAUGGGCAGCUCCUCGGCUGGCGGUAUUUAGUGGGCCCCCGGCCCCGCCCCCACCCUGCCAUCCCACCCCCUGGUCCUGUACCUGAUGUCGCCCCUCCGAUACCCGGGUUUCAGCGCACUGCCGUGACCGUGCACAGUCUUCCUUAGAUGCGUCGGAACUACGACACCCACCGCCGCCACUGCUAGUGAUGCUACUGCUGCUGUCGCUGCUGGCAACAGUUGCGCAACAGGAGGCGCCAUUGCCGUUGAGGACGCUGCUCUUGGCGAUCGCCCCCAUGGUGGUGGUGGCAGCGGCGGUUAGUUGCAGAGGUGCAUGGCUGAGGGCGGCCCCGUCCAGCAAGUGCAGGAAUACGUGUCCGAAGAAGGACGCCUGAAGGCAAUCCAUACUGGUGGCGCCCUCGCGUAACAGCACAUAGGCCUUCUUGGUGUCGGGUCUGGAGGGGUGGAAAACAAUUGAAAUACAGGGGAGGUUGGGAAGCGCACGCAAUGAGGGAGAGCGCGACCUAUGUGAACCAUCGAAUAUAGGCUCUGAUUUUGGUUGUGCUAAGGCCUAGGGCGGCGCAGGCUAGUCCGGGUUGGCAGAAAGGAAUACUUUUGACAUGACUAAUGUGUCGUAAUCGUAACGUGCCAAGUUGAGUUGGAAAGUCAAUGCGCGCGACAUUAGGAUUGUGGGCGCAUGCGAAGGCGGGCAAAGGCGGGCGAGCGAUACCCCCAAGAUUGCUAUUCAAUUUUGCGAACAGUCAAGACAAUUAAUUUACACAAUCAAUACUAAUCAAAGUUUGCUUAUAAAACCGAAGUUGGCCUGCCAGACUCUGGAAAACAUGGCGAGCCUACGUAAAAUGUUUUAAACGUUAGCGCGGAGUAUCGAGCAGUCCUUUUGUGUCGUUAGAUAUAUCAUUUCAAACCCUAUACGAAAUAAGAUAUCACAGCAUCGUUCCUUCUACGAAGCACGUAGACGCUGCUGAAUUGCGCAUCGCUGCCAGGGCACCAAUAGUCUGGCAGUCCCACACAUCUGUCCGGUCGGCAAUCACUGUUGCCGGUCUCGUAGCUUCUUGUGUUGAAAGAACAUUAAUCCAAUCGCCUCCGCAAUAGGUUGGUUUUACUCCAUCAGUGACCUCGUCGUCGCCUGCCUAACCCAGCCACAGCGUUUCUUUCCAAAGCUCGACAUGACACCACCAUCAAGGUAAGAAAACUAGAACCUAAAAAUUGGAUCACUUUAUUGAAACAAAUGAUAUUUGGGUUUUCCCCCCUUAAAAUAACUUGCGCGCUAGCACAAGAAUUUCCCAUCUAUACUCGCGUAAAUCCGUCGCGGCGGUGUACGGUCUAAGCGGCCUUAACACGUUUAAGUUGGCACGCAAAAGAUGCCACCGAAAAGGCGUGCAAGGAUCCCGAUCUUGGUCCGCUAAGAAGCCGAAGCGGCAUUCUGUACAAAGUCACGUUGAUUCAUUCGCCUUUUAGUUAGUCUAAUGGGACCAAACAGCGCUUAUCACAGACCUCUAACAAGGAUUUCCAUGACGGCCCCCCGCGAGAUGAUGCCCUCGUCCGCGAGCUCACGUGUGCGCGGCCCCUGGGGCAAUCAUGACCCGAGCCCGCAACCCUAAAAGGACCCGCCGCGAUACGUUCCAGUGCUUAAUUAAGGAAUAAAUGCCUAUUAAUUGGAAAAUUUGGUGUUGGUCUUCGGCCCUCUUUGGUGAAAAGGAGCGAAUUCACGUCCGGCCACACAAACAAGAGUCGGCCACAAAGUCUGCGUCCUGCCAAAAAGCCGGAAGAGCUGAGACGCGACGGGUUGAGCUGGACAGUCCUUGAAACGCUCCUACCAGAAGUAAGCGAUAGAGGUCUUUCAAGGACUAUCCUUACGAGCAAAUCCUGACAAGGCCGCGCACGGCGGAGGGCCGUGCGCUAUACUAAAAGGUUCGCAACGCAAGAACCACCUGAGGUCUAUGACCCGGCUUCGCAUGAAAAGCUGGUCAUUUAUGGGAUUUAUGGGGAAUUCUAUUUUGGGGACUUGAGCAAACACCCCGCAACUCACAGCUAAGGAAUACCGUACUGCCACAAUACGUUGGUCUUCAGUUUUUCCCAAACGCCUGUGAAAAGGUACCUGGAAAUCCUAUUUGGUGCCAUGCAAUUUUGGUAAGGAUUAAGAUAAGGUAUUGCAGUUGUGAUACAGAUUUCGUGGCGCUCCAGGGAACCUCCGCCCGUGUCUCUGCGCGCAACGACCCGCCGUUUGUUCAGCACUGUUACCGAGCGAGCAAAGCAACGACGCGCGACCGUAAAAGAACAUCAUAGAAUUUCUUAAAGAGCUGUAGCUACAACUAUAUAACCGUGUGCAUGUUGGUGUGCACCCACGUAAUUUGGUGUCAAGCAAAUUUCCAGGCAUGCCUUAGGGCUUUUUUCCACUGGCGCAGCUUUGGUGACCUCCCACCACUUGGGUCGCGCCAAUACAUCGUGGCGGUACGGUAGUUUAUCAGCAGCCUGACAUGAAACUCAUUCCUCGGUUUGGAGUAAAACUCUGAUCCCCCUAAGAACCCCUUACCCCUUAAAAACGCGGAGGGCGCUGCGGCCGAGCUGUUGCACAAAAUUACAAACCGCACUACGCCGGGUCCCAAUCCAUUUGGCCCCGGGGAAUUUCAUUUCCCGUCCUAACCCAGAUCCCAGAUCAAGACAAACUAUGUCCCCCAAAGCCUCCUCCCUCCCCCUCUCCUCUCCCUUCCUCUCCCUCCCUUCUCUCCUCCCCUUCUGUCCCCUCCCCUCUCCUCGAAGCGCCGAAACCGCCGGACCUUCCCUGCCCCUAGCAAUCCGUCAGGAGCCAGGAGCCGGGAACAAACCCUCCUGAGGGGCCCCACAUCGCACACAAGGGAGAUACCUCCUGCUCACCCGUCCACGCCCGCUCACCCGCCCCCUUACCCGCCCCCUUACCUAUACGUGACGAGGUAGCGGUACUCCGGCUCGGGGAAGCGCUGGACUGCGUGGGCCAGUUCCGAGGGCCCUGCACAAGCGGACUCCACUGACGCCCCCAGGACCAGGCGGUUCUGGUUGUGACGGCCCCACGGCAGCAGCGGCUCGUUGUGGUUGGCCUCCGCCACGCCGGGGAUGAAGCCGUCAGACAGGUAGCGCUGCGUCGCGUACGCCAGGCGAGCGCGGUUCAUGUACGGCAGCUCAACGCUGUCUACUUCCUUUCGGGAGGACAGCAAAUACCCUGGCGAGGGAAGGAGCGCGGGGGAAUGAGGGGGUUUUAGGUGCGGUAUGUGUGUGUGUGUGCGCGCGCGCCUGCCAACACCGCUGCUGCACACCUCAACUGCUUUAUAGCUUUUAACACCUAUAUCCCCACCACAACCACUACACAUAUACACACAUGCGCACACAGCGCGACCGUCCCCGCCCCUCCCCUCCCUUUCCCCCCCCACCUCACACCCCGGCACCCUCCCCCCCUUUCCUUCAACCCACCUAAGCCACCACACCCUCCCCGCCCUUCAGCCCCUCAUCCAUCCUACCCCACCUGCCGACAGCACGCAGAACGUGGGCAUACGCGGCAGCUUCAUCCUGGACAGCGCAAUACCCGCCACCGUGCCGAGGAUGUCAGCCAGGUUGGCCACAGACUCCCCCUUAGCGGUGAUGUCGGCCAGGUUGUUCUGCAGCGCGAAGGUGCGGUAGAUGGGUGCACGGGUGGAGGAGGCUGCCACGGCAGCCAGGUUCUUGGACAGAUUUGCCGUACAGGCCAGGGGCAGGAAGGCGGGGGGGGCGUAUACGGUGGCGAGCUCCAACGCCGCACCCGCCUCCAUCAGCAGGUCGCCUGAUUGGAUGGGGGGAAGGGGAGGGGAAGGGGAAGGGGACGGCGGUCAACAGGGUAGGGGUGGGGGGAAACGUACCAGGUGGUGCUGCUGCUCCUGCUGGGUGUGGGGCUAGGGGGUAAAGGGAAGGGGGCGAGUGGGGGUGGGAGGGCACUGGUCGCCAGGGCGGGUGGGUAAGUGUGUGGGUAAGACACGCCGCCCAAGAAGUCGCCGGACAGGUAGGGGACGUUUCUUGGCGGCAGAAGGACUGCCCCGCCGCCACCUUGGUUCCGGGGCAACCAUCACACUACUCUAUCAGAGUUGAGCGUAUUCUCAGGCGUGCAGGUCCACCAUACCCGCCCUUGGCCAUGGCUGGCAAGUCAAAACCCAAACCCAGCUGGGGCCGCAUCCUGACGGGGGUAAACGCCCCCAAGAGCCACUUGCUAGCCUAGGCCCCUGACCCCCGCUGGUAGGCGGGCCCCCGGGCCCCGGCGGUGGGAACCAGUGCAUGGUGCAGGCCGAAGCUGGGCGACCAUCCGGCGGCCCAGGCUAUAGUCCAUUGACCCCGCCUAGCGGCCCCCUGCGUUAGGGCCCCCUGCGCACACACACACACCUCGGAGCUCAGACAGGGGCUGGAUAGCGCCGUGCCCUCUCCCUCUGCCCCCCGACGGGAGGACGGGCGGAGAAUGCGCAAGGCCGGUACGGAGCCCGCACAGCUAUGGGUCCGCACCUGGCCCUCAGCGCUCCUCAGCACCUCCCCGCCCCUCCCCACCUCCCGCCCCAGCUUCCCCAUCAACAACAACCGCGAUUAGGCCCUGAGGGCAGUGAGAACCUCCCGCAGCGCCCCGCGGCCGUCCCGCCUCAGCGCACGACCGCAAGGCAGCAACCUCUCCCCCGUGAAUCCCCCCGUCCCUCCUCAAACCCGCCCCCCACACCCCAGCCCCUCCCCCAGGGGUGAAGCAACCCACUCUCCCCUCCACGCGCCCUUCUCUCCAGCUCCCAGCUGGCUGCGGCUGCCAGAUGCCCCCUCCCAAGCCCAGCACUCCCUAUCGCCCUACCCAGGAUAGAUUGCACCCUCCUCCUCCUCCUCCUCCUCCCCCUUACACACACAUGACCACCACCACCUCCUCACUAGCAACCCAGUCCCCAUGGCAAUGAGCCUCCAGCCCUUUCGUAACCCACUACCCCACGUGGAGCUCAGAGGGGCAGCUCUGAUGGCCUUCCCCGGCACAUACACACACACCCCUACCCCGCUUUGGCUCGGCCCCUUCUCUUCCCCCCACCCCAUUCCCCUCCCUCCCUACGGCUCAGCAAGUUAGCUAACAUGGCACACACACAUACAUACACACAUACAUACACACACAGAUGUAUGUAUGUAUGUAUGUAAACCCACCCGCCAGCCUGAACUGCUUUAGUUCGCAGUCCAGCUCGCGGCCCCAGCGGGCGAAGAGCAGUCGGCCCAGGCGACCCGCACCGUCCUUGAUCACCCAGUUGAUGGCCGCAGCCGCCUCGCCCUGGAAGCGGCCCGCGACGCCGAGCGCCCCAAGCAGGGAUUGCGUCGUAAACACGCUGAUGGCGCCACCGAAGAAGUACUGCACGCCGCGCCAGGCCAUGUACGGUGCGUACUGGGGACCUACGCUGUCCGGAAAGCCGUUUGGCAGCAAGUAGGCGUGGAUGAGGGCGCGGAAGUGGUCCUCGUGUGUUUGGCGCUCGUCCACGAUGUCGAAACCCUCCCGGGAGCCGGCGUGCUGGGAUGCGGGGAAAGAGGACGAGGUGGAGGGGUUGAAGUCGCCGCGAGCUAGGUAGACGCGACGGCGGCGGCCCGAGCAUGACUCUACUGCAAUGCUGCCCAGGUCGUCGACUUGGCCUUGCUCGGCCAGCACGUGUCGAUUGGAGGUGCCCCUGUGUGGCGUUAGGCCCAGUUUCUUCCACGGCGGAAACCUAGGUCGGUGGUCUACGGGUUGUCCGUCGCUUUCGUGCGGGGAUUGCAGUGGCGUCAUGUGACAGGAGUUGGGAGGCAGCUGGCGUUUCGGUGCUUCAACCGGAAUGCGCUCCACAUUGUGUCCACCCAAGGCGUCGGUGAACGCAAUACUGAUUGGCGCGCUGAUGACCGCUAACGGCGGAGAGGAGGUCCCUGAAGGCUGCCAGCCAAAAGACAGGCUGGGCUGGUAACCAGUUUCUUUGUCGGGGGCGCCGCCCGGCAACGGCAACGACACAGAUGCGAAGGUCAUGAUUUAAACUACCAUGUUUAAUCAAAGGUUUGGCUUAUGGAAUCAUGUGCCCUUUGGAAUUGCAUCCUCAGUUUGUGUAAACGCUUGCAAUUGGCCGCCAACCAGCAGGCCUUGAAUUGGGUCAGAUGGGACGGAAUGCAUCAUUCAAUGUUUCAUUAGUGCAUUUCGCUGUAUGCCCGCAAUUGGUCAACGCUCGACGGUCCCGAACGGCUGUACCGUAUCGUCACAGGUACGGAAGCAGAAUGACUUGCUUGGGUGCUUUGUGCGUUCGAUCGCCCACAAAUGCAACGUUAUUGCAACAUCUUAACAUGGCAUCCGAGUCCAAUUAUGAGGUUCGCAAACUACAAGCCUCCGAUUUCGAUAAAGGUACAUACGCACAGCGCAAUUGCUUUGGUAAAACUUGGCCCCGGAAGCAGAGCUUGUCGAUCUUUCUUCAGGGUUCUUGGAGCUCCUUGCACACUUAACGACUGUUGGUGAGGUUACCCGGGAAGCCUUUGAAGGUACGUGUCUUCCGACAGGUGUGCCUGUGGGUUCCAUCCCUGCAUCAAUAGAUUUCAUGUCUGCAAGAUCUAGCUUCCAUGCCAGGAAAUAUUGCACGCGCACGUGUGUAAACAACAUUCCUGCCUGUGUGGUAAAAACUCCAUUAAAAUCCCGGGCACCACUCCCAUCUCCCAAAGCUCUGUACCGAAUCCUCGGCGCCAAGCUCUGCAACCUCCCGCAGAACAAGUCACACAACGAAACUCCGCGGGGAACUACUAUACACUUGUGAUUGAAGGUAAGCGGUGCAGCGGCAUAUGCCGCCCUACAAUUAACCACUUUGAAGCACUGAAGCACUGACGAGGCAAGGACCAGCCUUCCAGCAUAGGGCCUGCCUGAACAAGUUUUAAAACCCCCCGAAAAAGACUCGCCCACCCGUUCCCCCGACUUCACCCGACCCCCCGCUCAGCCGCGGGCAGGGUUCCAUGGGUGCCAUAAGCAGACAGCCGCUGUUGAUGUGCCGCGUGCCGUCAGAGUCACACACCCAUACGCCCAUAUGCCCUUGGAGUGUCGAGGGGGGGGACACACGCUAUCUGGCCACAUCAUGGCGGCAGCUGUGAACGCCCGAAUAUACUACUGCACUGUGCCCCGUGCCGUACGCCGUACGCCGUACAAACCCCGGCUUCCACACGUUGUAUUGCUUUUCCAUGGCACGGGAGCAGCGGUCCAGUGCUCUUGCACGGGAGUCCAGUUGGAUCCAACUUGAAUCAGCACAAAGCCCACUAAUCAACCAAAAGUGCGACUGUAAAAGCUGUGGCAGCGCUCAGAGCAGUGGUUCAAGGUGGACCCCAGUGCAGGUCCCGGCUCCCCUGAGAGCGGCUCCCUCAGGCCCACCCACCCCCCUGGCCCCGCCCCGCACGGCCCGGUCCUGCACCCCUCCACUCCACCACUGCCAGAUGGAGGGCGCGUUAUCGCAACUGCGGCCAUGAUUGUGGAGAUCAAGUUCAUUCACAACUGCGGCAAGGUGCGUAUGUAUGUGUGUAAAUGCAUGUGUGCAAGUUUAUGUGUGUGUGUGGAUGGGGAUUGGAGAGAGGCGAUAACGGAGGGGAUCAUUUAUAAGAAGUGAAGCCCUAAACCCUGACACUGAGGUUAAUGGGAGGGUGGAGGCUGGGGAAGUGAAGUGGAGAGGGAGGGGACCCCGCAUGGGAACCUGUCAGGGCGCACGACAGGGGACGACAUCACCGGUGCCGGCUUGCUUGGAAAGCCCCGGGCCGCUGCCUGAAUAUCCCACCCGGUAACAUGUGCUGCUGCUGGUAGUUGGUAGUUGGUACUGCUGGUAGUUGGUAGUUGGUACUGCUGCACCCACCCAGACUCCCCCGUCCCCGCCUGGCCCCCUGUCCUCUCAACCGGCAAGGCGUCGUGUGGGGCGCAGUGCAUUGCAGAUUGCACCCGCCAGACCGUCCCUUCAAUGUGCAACAGUGUGUACACACUCCUCCUCCUCCUUUCCUCUCCCGCCUCCCCCUCCUCGUGGUGUGGUUUGACCGGGCAGGUGGGCCACAUCGAGGAUGUGGUGGUGGACCCCGCGUAUCGCGGAAAGAAGCUCGGGCUCAAGUGGGUCAUCACAACAUCUGGGGGAGGGGAGGGGGAAGGGGUGGGGGAGGAUCAUAUGCUGAGAGGAUACCAGAAGUGAACUGCCGGAAUGCGUCCAGAGUCCGGUACUGGCCCCGUGGGUCCCCGUGAGCAGUGAUGAAGUCAUCGGCCCGUGUUUCUGGAAGUAAAGCCCAUUACGUUUCCGACAUUUAUUUUUGGUGUAGGGGAAAUGUGAGGGGAUCUGGGCCGCGCUGCGGGCGGGGAAGAUGGAGGAGGUCGAAAAGACCUCUUACAGGCGAAUAGAUGCUCCGCACGUGUGUUGAGGCCCCAAGGUGGUGACCAUUCAGCGGCCCAGGAGAAUCUCUUUCCGGUGGAUCUGGAUCUGGAUCUGGAUUUAGAGGUGGUGUUGAUGGAAAUGACGAUCUUCACGAUGUUGUUGUUGUUGGUGGUGGUGGAGGUGUCUGUUGUGAGAGCAGCACUGGCUGUUUAGAGAGGUACAGCUGGAGGUGCACCUGGGGAGCUGGCUGCCGACCUGGAGCGGGGGAUCCUGGCGCGUGCGUGCGCGCGUGGAGGACGUGGCGGGACCGGGGUUGCUCCGGGGGGUGAUGUAACUCCCAGCCGCCAAGUGAAAAAUGGAAAGACAAUUGACCCCAGGUGGGCUUUAAACACCACGAACACUCUUCGUUGCGUACCUGCUUACAUGCCCAUGUAGGGGUGCCGCCUCCCGCCAAUCUUUCUGCCUUUCCUGUCCGCCUUCCCUCCCCUCCUUCCCCCUUGCAGCUCAUUUGCCUCGUCUUGCUCUCCCCCUUGGGAUGAUGGAGUGUUUCCCCCCUCCCCCCUCCCCCUCCCCCCGCUGGCCCACUCGGCCUAGUGCAGGCUGAUCAGUGCACUGGUGGACACGGCUCGUGAGGCGGGGUGUUACAAGACCAUUCUGGACUGCAGCGAGGACAACGCGCCCUUCUACGAGAAGUGCGGUCUGACGCGGAAGGGGGUACAGAUGGUGGGUGCAAGGGGACAGGAAGGGGAGGAAGUGGUGGAGGAAGUGGCUGACAAAGGGGCGGGAUGAGGGGGGCCCAUUAGGGGGGCGGACAAACGCGCACGGCAUGCGGGAGGGAGGGCGUGGGGGAGGGCGUGCGGGAGGGCGUGCGGGAGGGCGUGCGGGAGGCGGGGUGAACACACAUGAUGCCUGUCUUUGGUGUCCGCUCAGGGGGAAGGAGAGAUCUCAGGCUGAUAGCGGCUAAUCCUUUUGAGCGACCUCUAGUUGCGUGUUUUCUUUCAGCUAAAGGGUUGAACCCUUUCCUGCGAGCUGCUUAGGCCCUAAGACAUCAGCUGGAACAGGUGAGCCGGGUGCGGUGCAGCCGCCUGUCCGUCGGCCCCCCGCUGACCUAGGGCGCCGAAACCUCCUUCGCCAUCAUCAUCGCCAUCAGUGCCCUCAUCAUGCUGCUUGCUCCCUGAUGUGAUGGCCGCAGGCCAAAUACCUGGACCAGUGACCAGCGAUCGAUGACCCCGCAGGCAGCACUGCGCGUAUAGACCCUUUUAGAUCUAUGGUAUGCAAAAGUUACAAGUUCCGCACAAGCACUUGUGCGGGGGUGUCCGUAAAAGCCAUGGGGGAGGGGCCGUGGACGGUAAAGUGUUUUUAGUGCGGUUACGCGGUGGACCAUCGUCGUCCUCCCUCGUCCGUCCACCGUCCCGGUAUGUAGAGCACUGCAGAGCGGCGGCGGAGGGAGCCAGGGAGUCGGGCCGUCGGAAUGUCAGAACGGAGGCAGUCAUCCCCGACAGGGCUGCGGUACAGAGCACUGCCCCUGUCAGCCCAGACGUAUGUGAGCACCCGGGGGUCCCCAGCUGCUCCAGGCGACAUGGGGUGUCAGGACACAGCGUCCCGGAUGCGGUCAUGUGGGAACUGCCAUGGGAGUGGAAGUGGAAGAGGGGGGAGUUGUGGGGCGGGUGCGGGGGCGGACGGUUGGUGGUUGCAUCCGCGGGCUUUGCUGCUGCAUAUCCGGAUUGGACUGGACCGAAGCUAGCUAACGCUCGGGGGUUUUGGGGUGGGACGGCUUGCUAUUAAGGUUGCGGACAGGAUGGGCGAGGGAGCUGCUUGCCUGCUACUGCCACUGCUGCUACUGCUUCCCAGGUCCAUAGUAUGGAGUUCAGAGCACUUAGGUGGCAUUGCAUGAAGGGCUGCAUGGUACUCCACUAUGGAGCUGGGUAUUAUGCGGUGAUCUUGUAUUCAGAGACUUAUCAGAAGUAAAGAGGAGUAGCGUAGUUGAUUGCUUGGCUGAUGUGUGCCGGUUCUGCCAGCGAAAAAACAGCUGUUUCCCGGCAGAGUGACUGUAACGGCAGGGAGCCCCAAGGAGUGGAUGCUCUUAGGAGGAACGAUAUGUGUCCAGGUCGCUACGGGGACCCGGCAAACCCGGCAUGUGCACAAGACCGUGGGAACGGAGAAGGGUGCCAUGGCUAAAGUUAUAUCCGUGGGCUUCAGCCCCGGAGAGGCUAAGGCUUGAUGGGCGAGGUUUUUUCGUUCCUUGAAACGGGUUGAAACAGGCGCCCAGCUUGCCACACGCGCGCCCGUAUUCAUGGGAUGUGCCAUUUAUUGGACAUACUGUUAACGGGGUCUGGGUUUUAAAGGCCAUUACCGCGGGGCUUGAUCUGGCCAUGACAACGUUAGAACCGGACGGUUUCUUUCUGAAGACCCAUGGACCGUCAACUGGCGUAGAACCUCAAGUCAAUGGCUUUCGAAUGGCAUGACAAAGAAUAUAGGUAUUAAGUCGUGAGUAAUAUGAAAGGUCUGGAGCAGGGCAGCGUGUAAGCCAGGAUGCUAAGCGCCUUGUCUUGUCUGAGGAGCAGCUCAGAAGCAGGAUGAAAGCAGCUGGAAGUUAAACUAUUAAUAUACAGCAAUGAAAUGUACCGGGGGGUCAUGCAACACCAAAGAUGGGCCCUUGGGGUUCAGAAUACAGAAACUCGUCGUCGGCGCCAACACUCUUGAGAUGAGAGCUCAACGUUUUUUCCAAAUUACUAUCUAUUUGCAAUUGCGUUCUUAUAAAGCUGUGCAGGUUACGAGUGGUCUACAGCUGCAGGCUUCCGUACGGCAAACUUGUUUUGUGUUUGAGAGUAGCAAUGAACUGCGUUGUAUAGCAAUUUCACACAGUGAGACGAAGCGUGCUAACGAGCUGCUGCUUCAGGCCUAACACGUGAAAGAGAGGAAGUCCUCAGUCUAGGUCGCCGAAGGGAAGGAGCAGACCUGUAGGCCCGCAGGGCCAGCGCGGCGCCCAUCUUGGACGCCUGCUGUAGCCAAGAUGAAUCCUGAGUAGUAGGUCCAGCUGGGACUUUGUUGAUCCUUUUGACAAGAAUUUCUAACACGAUCCCUCCCUCCGACCCUUCUCAACGCUCAACCACAGCGAUUACCUGUUCAAGGUGAAAUGGCACUUUAGCAAUGUACCUUUCUCCUCUUCCAUAGCUAGCUGUCUUACAGGCUAUUCAUUAUCUGCGCGCAGCUUCUGCUCAUCGGCGACUCCGGCGUGGGCAAGUCCUGCCUGCUUCUGCGGUUCGCGGUAAGCCUUUCAUUGCAAUUAGACUGCGCAUAACGUAUCUCGAGCUUAUUUGGCGUUGAGAACUUCUCUUCUUCACAGGAUGACACCUACACCGAGAGCUAUAUCAGUACCAUCGGUGUGGACUUUGUAAGUUCCGAACGCAGUGUAGCUUGCUAGUCACCGCCUCCCAGGCGUUGAUUCUUUGCUUGGGUUUGCAGAAAAUCCGCACUGUGGAGCUGGAUGGAAAAGUGAUCAAGCUGCAAAUUGUGAGUAACGUGGCGCGAAGCUGUCCGAUUCUAUCCUUCUUUUGUACAAUGGGUUGUGUGAGGCCUACCUCGUUGCACUGACCUAUGUGCGCAGUGGGAUACGGCUGGGCAGGAGCGCUUCCGGACUAUUACCAGCAGCUACUACCGUGGCGCGCAUGGCAUCAUCGUGAGUGGGGGCUCUCGACAACCCUUCUGCUACAGUGUCGUUUGGGUAUGGCGAUGCACAUACCAAGGGUGGGGCUACUUUUGUAGGUUGUGUACGACGUAACUGACCAGGAGAGCUUCAACAACGUGAAGCAGUGGCUGGCAGAGAUUGAUAGGUACGCGAGCGAGAAUGUCAACAAGUUGCUCGUGGGCAACAAGAGCGACCUCACAGGAAAAAAGGUCGUCGACUACCAGGCAGCCAAGGUAAGGGUGACCUAAGUCAUGCUCUGCGCCACGCCGCGUUACCCUCUUUCUAUGAAGAAUGGUAUGCGUGUGGUGUGUUUUUGCUGUUGGCAGGCCUUUGCCGACGAGAUCGGCAUCCCGUUCCUCGAAACUUCCGCCAAGAACGCAACGAACGUAGAGCAGGCUUUCAUGACAAUGGCGGCGGAGAUCAAGAACAGGUGGGGUACAGCUGUUGCGGGGUGGCAGGCUGUAACAUCUCGAACAAAACGGUAGAAAGUUUAUGUUUGGGGUGUUCAUUGUUUUGCAUAACUCAUGUGAUUGAACUUCCUGUGUUCGUUGUGGCAUUUGCAUAUUGUAGCAACACCACAUAUGCGGCAAUGGAAGCGAAUUUGAAGGUGAUGGCACAUCGAGUUUUGGGGAACUCGUGUCGUCAUAGCUAUGGGAUAUUACACAUGGUUCUCUGUAUUGAAGUACAGUUCAGGACAUCUGGUGCACACAUACAUACACUCUCGGCUGCUAUUGCGACUGCUGCAACCCUUUGCCUCGACGUCACAGGAUGGCCAGCCAGCCCGUUCCACCCAAGCCCGGCGGCCCCGUCGUUCGGCCCACGGAGGGCAAGCCAAUUAACAAUAAGUCGUCCUCUUGCUGCUGAGGAUCGGUUUGGGGCUUUGCCGUGAGGCGGUGAGCGGAGAAGUGUGUGAUGGGAGUGGUGUCUGGACCUAGGGAUCUGGGCGGGGGCGGUAAGGGGUGACUCGGUAAGCGAAGAUGGUUGACUGGACAUAAUCUGACAGCACAUUAGAUGCAGAAAGACGUUAUGAGGUUUACGUUAGCGGGAACAGGCAGAUUUAAACCUGCAUGCAUGGUAAGACUCUGUAACUCCGCUGUGACUCGUCGGCGGUCCGCCAAGUACAUUUGGAAGGGUUGGUUGCCCUGUGUAUACUAUCGCGGCGCUGGCGUUCGUUUACCGUAGCUUUGGAGUCGACGGCCAGAUCCCCAAUGAGUACGAGGCUUUCUCGUGAGGGCGGAAUAUUCUUCUGUUGUGGCGCGUAGUAUGUCGCCCCUAUUGGUUAGCGUUGGUUUCGGAGUGUAGUUCCUGUCCUCCGUGUCAGGCCUAAUUACCUCUUGUCCCGGUCUGUUAAAAGGUGAAAAGGUUUUUACAUCCCACCCAUACGUAGUAGGAAUGCAAAUAGACCGCCCGGCCUUGGGACAAGCCGUCGAUAUUAACUGUCAAAACAUGCCACAGAAAAGCUAGAUGCUUACGUGCAGCUCCAGAAACCAGAUUUGCACGCCGCCUGCCCAGCACGGAAUUCAGCCCGAUGCGCCAGUAUCUUCAGGUAGCAAGGCUAGUGCCUCGCCGUCGACAAUGACCUGACAAAUGUCCUGCAGUUCUGCAACAGUCCUGAAUGUAACUCGGCGCCCGCUAAGCCUCUGAACGGUAACCGUUGCCUUCACUGAUUGCCCUACCUGCGGGGAAACGAUGUUUAAAGAUGCAGGUAAACCUAGCAACUUGCUUCCUGGCUUUCCACAUCUCACCAGAACUGGCGCUCGGAACCGCAACGUUUGUGUGGCAUACAGUGUACCUGGGAAUCUGCUGCCGAUGAUUGCGGGAAAUAAUGAGGCAACGAGUAUUCCGGGUAUCACUGGCGCACCGAAACCUGCACGGACCCAUCCGCCCAUAUCUUCUUUUUUUGGACUAAGUGGCACAAACACACCUCCUGGUUACCUGCUUUUUUCGCAUUAACUAAGUCAGUAUGGAUCGGGUUAGAGUCGCCCGUCAGCUGAACGAAGCUUUGUACCGCGGCUGCAUCGAAAGUCCUAACCUCCGAUGCACUCAGCCUGUAAAGGAAAUUAAGCACUUCAAAAUAAUUUAAAACCGAUCAAAGGGCCGCCGUCUGAGACACACCCGACGUGCAAUGUUCUUGCCCCAUAUGGUAUUUUGCAAUGUCGUGAGAUAGUAUUUAGGAUCAUCCUGUUAUUGACAUGUGCACGCGACGUGCGUGUAGUAAUCUUAAGAUUUGGAUGCAUGGUAUCAAUAACCAAGUCGGUCACUAGCCGUACAGGCACUAGCGGCACUUAAGUGCCUUACAGGGUGUUUCCACUUGGCCGAACACUAACAAUAAGUUUGAAUGUUUUUCGUCCUGGACUCGUCUCUCGCCGUUCUAAAUGCAUAUAUUGAUACUACUAAUGAUAGUAGAAAAUAUUCAUCAAACAAAUUGGAGGUUGGGGCACUCCUGGCGGAGAACCGUAAGGCCUAGUGGAAACACCCCGUACACUAAGUCCACACUAGCGCACACUAAAGUUAAUUGGACCUCAGACCUGCCAUUAACUUUAGUACCUAGCACUAACUAUUUGGCGGGCAACUUUUAUGAGCUGGAUUGUCCCUUCUGACCACAGACUUUAGACGUAAGCAGCUAUCUUUUUUCCUUCCUGCAAACGCCGCGUUGACUUGCGCACGCCCAACACCGACAGCCUCAGAACACCGCCAUUUUGCAAUGGAGCCCUCCUUCAAUAACGUUCAGCAAACAUAUACCGCUAGUUUGCCUUCCUUCGCUGGCCGGACGUUGCCAAUGCACCAUGCGGACUUCAUGGCGGACAUCAUGACGCAGGCUGCGCCGCAGCGGAUCCUACUACGCGAAUUCUUACAGACCUUGACAAUUAUCAGCAAUUAAUCCCUGGCGCUAAAACGUUCAAAAUACGAAAACAAUUUUGGUUUCGGCGCUCCUUAGUGCCGCUAGUGGAAACACCGUCCACACUAAGUCCACACUAGCACAUAGUGUACCGAAGAUAGUGUUCGGACAAGUGGAAACACCCUGUUACUUCCCGUACCGGUUACAAGCAAGUGACUACAUGCGGCCUUUGUGACACUGGAGUGGCCUUUGUGACAGCUCGCGAUAAAGCGAAACCAUAGCCUGGCUCCUCGCUCCUACCACUGACCACUCCUGCGUAUAUGUGCGCUGCUCCUGCACCAUAGGGUUCGCCAUUGCGCUCUCGAAAUUCACACCAAGAAAAUCAGAUCCCCAAACUUGCGCCCCAUACGAAAACACCGGCACAACGAGCGCGUUAUAGAGGGACAAGCACAGCUUAAGGGUACAAAUUUUCUUAUCUCGACACAGGGCACUGAGGCCAAACGUGGCCCGUUUCCCAGCUGCUAGUAGUUGUUUGGUGCAGGCUGAGAGCUGCGUGCCUGGGCCGUAAUGUAGCCCGAGUUAUUGUGCCGUCUCGUUACCCGUCAGUACCCUCAAACACGCCCCACAUAACCGGUACUCGGCUUCCACAAGGCUGCUCCCGUGCUGUGCCCCAAAAAAUGAGGACUUCACACUUGGCUGCGUUGGCGCCCAUUCCCGUCGCCUUGCAAUAGGCCUCAAGGAGUCCGAGUAAGCUUACACCCUGCUCACGGAGGAUGUUCCAUCGGUCAGGAAGGCGCACACGGCAGUCGGUAUCGUGGGCCUGGAUGUAGUGAACGAACACCUCAAUGAAUAAUCCGAAAAGGGUGACACUAAGGGGGCACCCUUGCUUUAUGCCCCGCCCCACGGAGAAUUCAGGCCCCAUCUGACUACCCAACUUGACUCGAACUUUUACGUCUGCGUAGCUGGUCUUUUAAGUGGAGGUUUUGCUCGUCACAUGGGUUUGGCGAUUCACCCGUCGGACAAUGUACAUCCCAACCUAACGGUCACUUUGGGUGAUGGUGGGACUGCGACUUCGGUAGGGUUUGCCGAGGUACCUAUUCGCUUGGACAUCAUACAACCCAUCAGCUUGACCACACACACAUAUACAUACACUCGGGGGGGCGGCUGGCAGGCGGCUGGCAGAGGUUAAGGCCUGACUUCUGCUCCCGGCCGACCCGGGUUCAAAUCCGCCAGCCGGCUCCUCGGGUGUUUGAGGAGUGUCGAAAUGGGAGGUGGCCCCCCAUCUUAUGGAUGGUGUAGGACGUGAUAAAAUCAACUUGCGAGCUGACCAGGAACAAAGUUGAUGCGCCGUUGAUCCGCUAGAUUUGGUUGGAUGCUGGUGGUGAGUUGCCGAACCCAACGAAUACAUUCUGAAGUCGGAUGGGGUGACGGAUUAGGGUGCCCCUCUAGCAGGGGAGAGCAGGGACUGCCUCGGGAAAGGGGGCCGCUGGCGAAGUUAACCACCCUGUAACAACAUACAUACACUCUCUUGCACUUGGAUGUGUCGGACCGUCUGUCUUGCAGCCACUCUGUGGACCACUAUCAGGCUACCGCAGCUCGGUCGCCAUCAUGAAGGCAGCUGCUGUUUUCAUUUUGUUACUUGGUGUUGGGAUGACAGCGCUGUGAUUGAGCUGACCUUGAACUUGUUGGAGCAAGGGAUGGAUGGCAACAAGUGAUAGGGAACGGAAAUGUGGCGGGUUGGGCUAACGGGCGAGGGUGAACGGGAUGGAUAUAGGGUGGUAGGGAGCUGGGCGGGGCGCGAUCUCACUGCUCACAGCAGUGCUGGGUGACGAUGACGGUGCUGGUGACAGCGAGGGUGAGGGCGCCACGCUCGUUAGCAUCCUUGUCAUUGUGUAGGUGGUUGACGAUGACCUCGAAAGAAGUAGCAACGGAUGGGUACAUGCAGGUCAAGAAAAAGAGGAAGUCAGGUGUGGAGGGGGUUCCGCAACGUCGAUGUCGAUGUCGGGUACUUCAAAAGCUCGGCCCCAGGUCACCGAGGAUGGUAUUUCAGAGGACGGCGAGGCCAAUUGAUUGGCGCUGGGGCUGCAGGGAUAGUCGAUGAGCAUUGGAAUGGCUCCAGUUCAGAUAGCGACAUGCUUUGACGCCGGUACUUCUACUUGGGAAGGUGCGUGGGUCGCCUAGGGUAUCCAGGCACUCCCACCGGGCGUCGAGCGGCCUAGCAAACUCUUUAAGUAUGCUUCCCACUGGCAACCUAACGGUGGCAUAAUGCGCUAUGAGGUCGUCACCACGCAGACCGGCUGGGGGCUCAGCUCCCAAACUCCUUAGGAAAGCUAGGACCUUGCUCCUCGUCCCGCACUCAGCAACACCCCCCCCAGCCAGCUCAAGGUCGGCAAUGAAGGCCCGGUGGCGCAGUGUCCCCGGCCUCCUGACAACUGAGUUCUGUUCGUUUGGUGCAGGCUGAGAACUGCGUGCCCGGGCCGUAAUGUAGACCGAGAUAUCGUGCCGUCGCGAGAUGUUACCAGUCAGUACCCUCAAACACCUGGCCUCUUGAUAGCAGAGUUCCAGAACCUUAGCCCCAUUGGAUUGGCCCCAUGGAACUGGAGCGGCAUUGACCCCAUGGAGAAGGAAAGCCCAAAAGGCAUCGCCAAGUAGCAGCGACAUACAGAUGAACCAGGUAUCCCGCAAUCCGAUUGUUGAGCAGCAGUUUAGUUUGUAUAGAAGCACACACACAGGAAAAUGCCGUAAGGGUCCGCCAUGCUGCCGUAUUGACCGGAACGGAGCCUCCUCUCGAAGUCUCAAACCCAACCAGUAAGGCCCACAGUGCUGUGCGCGGUUUGCGCUCGUCACGGUGCUGCACUUGAGCCGUUCGGGCUCCAGUGUAACUAAUGCUGCUCCAUGUGCUGACUCUGAGCGCCUUCCUUCCGCACAUCAUGAGGACCUGGGCCCUACGAGCCAACUUUGUCAUUGUCAUGUCGGCUGGAUGCGGCACGAGUACGGAAACGUUCGGAUCAACCCCCCAGCUCUGGAUCCUUGGUGGAAGCUGAAGCACUAGGGCGCAUGCACGGAUGCCAUUGGGGCAGCUCGAGAAAUCCGAGGGUGAUUCACGUGUUGUUCAAAUGGUAUCCAAACUGAACUUAAACUUGUCGAGCCCUAAAACCCUUCUCCCAUCUCCAAUACAAAGCCCUCCGGGUGCCCUGCCCGUCAGCUCCGACGCAUGUGUGCCCCAUGUGGCGCUGCCCCAGUGGAGGAAAGACCUGCACACAAACACACACGUACACACAGACACACGUACUCACACAAUUAGGACAGCGUCUCGGGCAGUAUCGCAAACCGUUGCCAUUGCGCCCUCAACCAACCAAUCAACGCCUCUCCAGGCAACAUACAACAGGCCGCAGGGAACAACUUCCGCCACCACCGCCAUCAUCGUCAGGCCAACAGACCCCCCCUUUACCGGCAGUGGGCCAGAUGCAGUAAGACGGUACAGGGUACAUUUACACACGACCCGACAUCGCUUCGCUUCGCUCCCGAAUUGCGUGAACUGGUGGACGGACGCUGUCAAAACACCCACGCACGCGCGAGCUGCGGUGGUGCGUCCUCACUCGCCUCUCACACAACGACAAAUUCUCCGCCACCUACACACCUACACAAAAAAUAUACAUACAUAUAUACAUACAGGAGUACAGCUGCGGUAGAGCGAUCCGAUGGGCAUUCGAGCGGCAGUCCCACACGCGUGCGUGGAAGGGGGAGGUAACGGAGCAUUCUGUGUGCCUGCUAAAAUGCUGUAGGCGCUAUAACACACAUACACACAGCUCCCGCCGGUGGCCCGUCCAUCCCCCGAGGGACGACCGAUCAGCCACCGCCCCCCUGCAGUGGCACAAUCCCUGACACGGAGCGGUGCCGGUGCCGGUGCGCCCCCGGCUAGGCUGAUGGAGUGGGCCAACCCCCGGUUUGAGGAGGAGAGGCGGCCGCAUCCCUACAGCGGCCCUACAGCGCCCCAUCACAAGCGCAUCGUGGCGCCGAACUAACACACUCUCAGUCAGUGGAGCAGCAGUACCCGGCGGCAACAAGAGGUCGCACAGUAGCUAGCACUCGCUCCCUCUCGUCCUCCCGUAGCGACACGGCCCCGGUUGAGUCUCUCGUCUCGACCCAGCCCGCCGCGUGCACCCCACCCCACCCCACCCUCCACUCCCCCACCGGUUCCCAGGGGGAAUCUCAGGGGACCCCAGGGAGGGGGGAGAGGCUAGCUCUCCGGCGUCAGUUGGCGGUUGGGAGUUGUGCGUUGCCUGUUCUGUCCUGGUUUGGCAGCUCACCCAACCGCCACCCCGGUGAGGCAAUACCUCCCGCCGCCACUUUGACAUGUAGGGUCGCACAUGCGACGGACCCGACCAGGCCCUCCAGGCACUAUUAGGUCCACUAUUGCCAAAUGCUGCUCUUAGGAAAAUCUGAAUGACAUGAAGAAAGAAUGCCGUACCAAUCCACUUCGAAUGUACGUGGCUGCCCGAAUCGGUUCCACCGUGGCCACCACCACCACCGCCACCACCACAGUGAUGACGGCGGUGAUGAUGAUGAUGAUGACGGCGGCGCACAGGAGUCCUGAAGCCAGCAAGCCAGCAGAAGCUGGCGCCCGUCCACAUCACGCAACAUCCGAAAUUCCAGUUCCUCCAAAUAAUAACCCUUGAUUCGAAAAUCUUCUCCUGUGCGUGUGUGUGUGUGUGUGUGCGUGUGUGUGCGUGUGUGUCUCCAUGGGGGUGAAAAGUAGGCGGGAGAAAGGGUGGGAGUGGGGGGUUAUUCCCGCCAUCGCCGCUUCGAGUAGUGGUGUCGGCAAUAUGCCCUGUACGGAACUCCACCACCACCACCACCACCACCACCACCAUCUCAGCCCAGCCCACCCCCUCACCCACCCGGCCUACAGGGACUGACCCCUCCCCGCAACCGCGCACAUCGCAUCGCCACACCGCACCCGCCACCACCCGCCGCCACCCUGGUUGCCGGGUGGACCCCCCGGGGGCUCCAACUGAGGGCCUUCCACGUCCCUUGCAACCCUUAUAACCUUCCCCUGAAGUGAAGGGCAGCGCAGGGCAGGGCAGUUCAGGGCCAGCUAGCGCCCGCCCGCCCUCCACUGCGCCUCGACGGUGAUGGAAACCUCCGAGCUCUAUCUUGAAGCCACCACGGCACUAACCCCCCCCCCUCCCCAAACGUGAGAUACCAUAGGAAUCCCCAACUAACUAACGAACUAACUAACUCCCCCAAAUACAAAACAGCAUUUUCCCCUUUCCUCGCAUCCAGCACGUUAACACAUACUACAGACGUACGUACAGCAUACGAGUCGAAAACACCUCCUACCCCCCCUCCCCUCCCCGCACAAUAUCCACCUUCCUCCCGACCGUACUAUCGGUCAGGAAACCGCCACCACUACCCCACACGCCCUGCAGACGAACCUCCUGCCACAUCGUACAUGCGGCCGUACCGUGCCGUACCGGCCACCUCACUGCAGGACUCAAGUGCUGUAGCUAUCACCACUUUACCAAUACUUCUAACACUACCAGAGCUGCUACUGCCCCGCCCCCGCCUGCAGCCGUCGCAUGUUCCAGUGCAGGCCCUCCCGCACGCCGCUGAACCAGUCUCGUGAUGCGUCCUUGGAGCACACCGUCGGUACCGGCCAGGCGCUCAUGCGAAUGACCACCGCGUCCCCGGCGUUGAGCGCCUGACGGUCCUUGCCGUCGAAUGAGCACCACAUCUGGGCGCGACUGUUGGCGGGGACCUGCGUUGUUGUUGUUGUUGUUGUUGUGGUGGUGGUGGUGGUGGUGGUGGGAUCGAUCAAUCGAUCGAUUGAUUGAAUGAUUGGUUGGGUGGCGGGGAGGGGAGGGGAGGGGAGGGGGUCUGUGAGGGCAAGGACGGGCUGUGAGGGCCGCAGGGCAUCUCCGGUCCCAGGAGGCGACGCGACAUGAGAUGGAUGGAUAUGUUGGAUAUGUUGGAUUUGAGAGGUCCAUCCAUUUGAGGGAUCAUCGAGUUGUCCUGCCAGCUGAUGUGUAUGUAUGUAUGUAUGUAUGUAUGUAUGUAUGUAUGUAUGUAUGUAUGUAUGUAUGUAUGUAUGUAUGUAUGUAUGUAUGUAUGUAUGUAUGCCUACAGAAACGCACCGCACCGCACCUAGCACCACCUACCCACAACAUGUCCCCCCCCACCUGGUAACACCCCCCCGGGCCCCCCAGCGGCACCCCCCCCGGCCCCCCCCCGCCCACCUGGACGCACAGCGACACGUGGUCAGGGAAGAUGAGGGGGCGGAAUGACAAGCUGUGCGGGCAGAUGGGGGUGAACAGGAUGCCGGGGACCUGAAGAGACGGGGGAACCCCGGGGGGGGGGGGGAGGGGAACGAGGAGGGCGGCGAGGAGGGAGGGGCAGUGGGGGAAUAUGUCACAUACAACAUGUCGCAGCAAUAUCUUCUCCGAGAGCGAACGGGCGAACGGCCGUGCCGACGUCCAUUCGUGCCAUUGAAUUACCGACUGAGCAGCUGAAGGAGCCAAUGUGUUGAGCAGCCGCCGCCGCCGCCGCCACCGCCGCCAUGUGACACGAGGACGCCCAGCGGCCCCUAUGUGGGCGGUACCACCGACCACCGAUAUGUUUUUGGCCCUGCCAUGCGCCUCUCCCGCAUGACAGCCGUCCCCUCAGCGCGUUGACGUCCAGCGCUGUGUCGAAGGGUGUUGCUGCUGCUGCUGCUGCUGUCGUAGACGUGUCGUACUACCGCUGUAGCGAAAAGGAGUUGUGUUGUUGUUACAGAGUGGGAGGCUUCCGGGCCAAUGGAACACAUUGAGGCUGUGUCGUACCCCUGGCCCCCGGCCCCCCGUCGUCUCGGACUGAAACCUGCCGCUACGUGGGCGCGAGGUGGUGUGCGAAGAGGCGCUCCCGCUACCCCAAGGCAACGUAAUACAGGCAGGUGCACAGCCCGGCCGAUGGCGGGGCGCGGACCGUCGAAAAAUCGUGAAGUCUUCUGGCCCCCCCACCCCACUCCCCUCCGCUUCAGGCUGUAAUCCCAACAUAUUACUCCGACUGCUGCUCGCCAAUUCCUCCUCCUCGCCUACCGCCGCCCCCGCCCGCUCCCCGGGAAAUCGCCAUCCCUAUACACACACGUACACACACCCUCCCCCCUCCCCCUCCCCCCUCGUUCGUCUUUCCCCCUCCCCCCCCCACACCUGCGGAUGGACCAUGGACCCGCCGGCCGCUAGAUUGUAGGCGGUGCUCCCCGUGGGGGUGGCCACGAUGAGGCCAUCACCCUGCGGGGGGGGGGGGGAAACAGUGCAGGGGGAGGGGGGAAGGUGUGAGUGUGUUUUACUAGAGCCGCUAGCAUAGAGGCUGCUGGGAAAGGGAAGUGACAAAGAAAGGGGUGUAUGUGCGUGUAUGCGUGCGUCUAUGUGGGGGGUGCUUGUGUGUGUGUGUGUAUGUGUUUUGGAGGGACGGGAGAGCGUGAGGAAGAAAGGUGAAUGUGUGUCUGUUCAGCACGUGUGGCCCCUUACCGCCUUAACCUUCCUCCCCCCCCCGUUCCCGUUCCCGCUCCCCCACCAUACCCCCGGAUGGAUUACUAGCGGAACCGCACCUUCAUCCAACCUUACCCUAUCCCCGCAUUUCCCCCCCAGCACACACACACACACAUACAUACACACGCACACCUGCACAUGCGUCACGAAGGUUCCAUCGCAGUAGCACUCCAGGUUGGUGAGGAAGGAGGAGAUGCCCCGGUCGAUAACCACCUCGUUCAGAACCACCCACUCGCGAGGGGCAACGGAACCAGCAGCAGCAGCAGCAGCAGGGGGAGGAGGCGGCAGGAGUGCCCCGACGGAGGGCCCCCCAGCACCCUCCUGGCACUGGCCCUGCCCAGGGGGGCCCCGUGCGCAGGCUGCUGCUGCUGCUGCUGGCCCCAGGCCGCCGCACUGCCCCACCUCAGCUGCCCGAACUAUGUGGCAGUGCAGCCGGUGUCGCAGCAUGAUGGGGAAGCCGCCUGCAGGGGCCCGAGUGGCAGGGGGAGGGUGAUUGCGGUGGGGGGGGGCGGAGGUUAAGGGAACAACAACUGCCGGCAACGCCCACAUACUUGCUAAGAGGGGGAAGGGGGGAUGCAGGAGCUUGCAGCGGGUUAGAGGCACGCGGCAGCGUGAGGGGCCCGCAGUAAGUGAGGGGGAAGAGGGAGUGAAGGGGGGGAGGGGGGGGAGGGAGUGAAGGGCGGGAGUACAAGGGGGGAGUGAAGGGGGUGAGGAAGAAAGGGGUGAGGGCAAAAGGGGCCGAUGAAUUUCCAGCCGCCGUGCCGCUGCAUCACGCGAGUGAAGGGGUGGGGGAAGGGAGGCGAGGGAUCUCGCCUCCCCNNNNNNNNNNNNNNNNNNNNNNNNNNNNNNNNNNNNNNNNNNNNNNNNNNCCCUCCCCCCCCCCCGUUCCAACCUGUCUCCCCCCUCACCCCCCCUCACCCUCCAUGACGUGAUGCAGCACCUCCUCCGCACUGCCCGGAUCGAAGGGGGUCAGGAAGCCCAGUGAGCCGAGGUUAAACGGCACCACGGGGGGAACGCUCUGGUUGCCAAAGAUGUGACACGUCCACAAAACCGUGCCGUCACCUGUGCCGUACAUGGUGGGAGGGAGCAGGCAGGAGAGUGUGGCGGUGGGGGUGGGGGUGGGGAGUGGAGCUAGAAAAGGUGGGGUAUGGAUGGAACCAGACGCCGUUGGCGGCGCAUUGGCUAGAGGGGGCUUUCCCCCGCCCCUCCCCCCCCCCGGGGGUUCAGGUGACCCGAAUCCCGUCAUGACCCCAUAGGGCCCCCGCUCGGGGGCUGAGAAGUCGCAAGGAGGGGAGGUGGUGCGCGAACUGGAGAACGACGAGGUGUGAGUGUGUGUGUGGGGGGGGGGUAAGGGGAGCCACAAGCCGGAGCUCUGCUGGCUAAUCCCCCGUCCGUCCCUAACCCCCCACUCAACCCCCCCCACACUCAUCCCCCACUCACCCCCCCACUCACCCCCCCCCCACUCACCCCCCCGCGAUACCCCCCCACUCACCCCCCCACUCAACCCCCCCCCACUCAUCCCCCCGCGAUACCCCACAAAAUGGACUCACCUCCCAGCACCACCACGAAGUCCACCGCCGCCGCCACAUCCCCGGGAACCACCUGGCUGUGGCAGUCAUCCCCCUCAUCAGCCGGCCAGCUCAGCAACAUGGGAACACCCGUGUAGCAGCCCGGCAUCAACACGCCCUCCUCCGCCUCCUCCGCCUCCGCCUCCUCUCCACCACCACCACCACCCUCCUCGAACAGCUCGCCCUCUCCUGCCUCCACCCACCCCUCCUCUCCCUCCUCCUCCUCCCCCUCCAUUACCCAACCCUCCCCCCCAACCACGCCUCCGCUCCUUCCGCUACUGCUGCUGCCAUCACCCCGCUCCUGCCCGCUACUGCUGCUGCUGCUUUCCGCGCCUGUGGCCGGCAGCGGCGCUCUGCGCCGCAUGUACGAACUCCCGCGCCGCUGAAGCACCGCCGGCGGCGGCGACGGUGGUUUGCAUGCGAGUCCCGGCCAGCCCCUCAGCAGGGACGGCUCCACGUAGGUCGCCACCCCCCGCUGGUGCAGCCAGGCCAGCACCCGCUCGAAGGUAGGUCGCACCCCCGGACUGGGCUUAGCCACCACCAGCACCGCGGAGGGCGGGGUCACCCAGUACAGCGCCACGAAGGCGGGCUCGGGGCUCAUGGCCUGACAGGUCCGGCAGGAGGGCUCGCUGGGGCCGCCGCCGAGGGGAGCAGCAGCGGUCGCCGCCUCCAGCGGGACGGCCGCCGCCGCCGCCUCCUCUGGCGCCGCUAGCGUCGGCGGCAGCGGAGGACGCAGCAACGUGUCGGUACUGCCGGGUAGCGGUUGCCCCGCCACUGCCACUAGAGGUGGUGAUGGUGGCGCUGUUGCUGGUUGUGAUGGUGGCGCUGCUGCUGCUGCUAAUGGCGUUGACGAGGGGGUACUGGGACAGCUGCGCACAGGUGGCGGCACACCCCGGCUUGGAGACGCGCUCACGUUUUCUACAUCGCCCCCUGACGUGGCCGGCAUGGGCAUGGAACAGGAUCCGAUCCGCGGCGGCAGGUGGUGGUCGGGCCCCGGGUGACCAGACCCAUCACCAGGCGCCGCCGCGCCCUCGUGCGCCGCAGGGGACCCCGCCGCCUCGGAGGUGACGACGCCAAACGGCGCCAGCGCCCCCGCCGCCGCGGCCGCCGGCUCGUGCGGGGGCAGCAGCGGCACCUCCCACCGCGCCAGCGGCGCCGCCGCGGCGGCGGCCGCCGCCGCCGCUGCGCUCAUCAUUCCCCCCCCCGCCCUCGGCGGCGACGCCACUGCCGCCGCGCCCGUGUGCCUUGGCGAGCCCGGCGCCAGAUUACACGUGGCCCUGUUACACCUAAUGAGGUUACUGGACUGCUGUAUGGAGGCCAAGUCGUCCUGCAGCUUGGUGCGCUGCUUGUGGAGGCUGCCGGCAUGCCAGGACAGCUCCUCGUGAAAGGAGCCGCCGCCGCCAGGCACCAUACCCCCACCCCCACCCCCCGCAGCUGCUCCGGGGCCCCCUGGUGCUGCCGCUGGCCCCGUCUCCCUCCGCGGCACCCCCGAGCCGGCAGACAUGCCCAUCAGGGCGGCUGAUAGCGGCGAGCGCGCGAAACCCACACUCUGGGUACGACCCACAUGGCUCGACCCGGAUCCGGAUCCAGAUCCGGGUACGGAAUUGAAUGUCGACGGUGGCUGUGUGACGGAACCGAAUGUCGCGGAACCCGGCGGCGGCGGCGGCGGCGGCGGAGCGCUGGCCGUUUGCUGCUGCUGCUGCUGCGGCGGCGGCGGGGCCGGUGGUGGUAGCGGAUGGUGAGAUGGUGGUUGCAACGGGGAGGAGGCUUCGUGGAGGGUGGUGGUGGUGGUGGUGGUGGUAGCCCCCCGGGGGCCCUGCGGCGCGCGCAGGUGGUGCUCAUGUUGCUGUUGCUGUUGGUGGUGGUGCUGUCGGGCAACCGAGAGCUCCUCCUGCCCUGGGCCUGGACCUGGACCUGGCUCCGAAAACACUACAGUCACGUCCGCAAGGUGAUGACCCUCCUCCUCCUGCUCCUCCUCCCCCUGCACCUGGACAGCUGCCCGCCCGCCCACACUGCGACCACCGCCGCUCACGCGGUCCUCCCCCGGCAACAGCACCGCCCGCCCGCCCAGUCCCCCGGUACCACCACCACCACAACAACAACCAGCACCUCCCCCCCCUUCCCGCCGCGCCAGCUGCCCCUGGCCCUGCUGCACACCACCCGCCCCGCCGUCCCUGUCCCUGUCCGACGAAAACGAGGUGGUCACGGAGCCCCGCGAUGUGGGAGUGGAGGAACAGGACGGAGUCAAGUCCGCCGAGGAACCGGCAGCACCAGCAGUAGCAGCAGGGCGAGGAGGAGGGGGAGGGGGAGGGGGAGAAACAGGAGGGCCCGCCGGCAAAGGCCCAGCCACGGACACUUGCAUGCCCGCCAGCCGGGCGUCCAGACCCGCGCUGGACACGGAAUGGGCUCGGCCGGCCGGAACAACAGCCUCAUCUUCACCGCCGCCGCUGCCGCGGCUGCCGCCGCCACCGCCGCCGCCACCGCCGCCGCCGCCACUGGUCAUCAUCGCGAUGGCGGAUGAGGUGUUGGCGUAGCUCUUAGCGCCCGGUGGGGAGCUUCCUCUCCCCCGUUUCCCCCCACCGGUGGUGUCGGUGCCGGUGCCGGCUCGUGUGAGCUCGCAUGCGGAGACGCUCUCGUGAACCUUGGACGGGCCCGUGUGGGCUCCGGGCCCGUCAGCUCGGCUCGUCCUGCUGCCGCUGCCUGCUGGGGGCGGGAACAUGGCGCCGUAGUUGGACAGCUGCCGCAAACUAGCGGAGUCACCUGCGCGAAUGCACCGCCGGGGGAAGGGUGGGGGAAGAGAAGCUCAAGAGGUAACCUGCAGGGGCGUCCAAAAUCCUAAGUCCUAAAUUGCUCAAGUCCUUAGCGAUGAAGGGUUGGGGGGGAAACACGAACCACAAACGAGUGAAGCUGGUUGGGGGGGGAGAGGGAAACAGCGCGGGAUGAGGGUGCGGGGGGAAGUGGGGUGAUGGUACGGGUUAUACAAAAGACGGCUGCCGGGACGGGAGCCCCUGAUCAAGAGCAGGGUAGGGAAGGUGGUGGGAGACACGGGAACCGAUGCCCCGGCGGCCAGAUGGGGUUUAAGGUUAACAAACAUGAGUGACAUUUGUGUGUAUUGUGUGUGUGUGUGCGUCCAUCCACCCAUCCAUCCACACCUCCCCUGGCCCUUCCUUCGCGCGAACCCCACCCCCCACCCCCAACCCCCAAUCCCCCUCCCACCCCCAACCACACUCACAUCCCACCCCCAACCACACUCACCGUUCCCUCCUCGCAGCACCAGCUUGAACCCCGCUCGGCUGUGUCCCCGAGUGCUGCCUCCCCCGCCCCCUCCCCCUCCCCCUCCCGUCCCCAUGCUGCUCAGACUGCUGCAGCUUGUGUUCCGAGUGCCACUGUCCACCGUGGCCGGGCCCCCUCCUCCAGCGCCGGACGCCCCCUGCAGCAGCUCACUGCCACCGCCGCCGCCAGCACGCCUACUACCCGGCCCAGCAACCAGCAGCAGCCCUUGGUGGCCUGCAGAUGCAGGUCCAUGCCCCACAUGACCAGGGCUCCACCUCAAGCCACCCGACUGCUGCUGCUCAGCUGGGCUGACUUGCGCCGAGAUACUCGAGCCGGGGCCAGGUCCGGGCCCUGGCCCCGGUCCCGGGCUGGCGGAGGUGCGCUGCAGGGCGAGGGAGAGGUCCCCCUCCUGGAUGCCGUGACUGGCUCGCGGGGAGACGGCUGCAAAGGCGCUGAUGGCGGCUGCGCUGGCUGCAGCUGCGGCUGUGGCUACGGCGGUGGUAGAGGAGCAGACCUGGUUCAGGUCGCUGUCGACCUGGCUGCGGGGAUAGCCUCCUGAGAAAAAGGGGGGGUGAGUCGGGCGGUGGUAGAGGAGGGGCGACUGUACUUGGAAGUGCGGGAUACGUUUAGUGCGGGAUACGGAAUGAGGGGCAGGAUGAGCGCGGGGGUAGCAAACACGUAUGCAAGAGAGGGUCAGGGUGAGUUUCUGUGUGUGUGUGUGUGUGUGUGUGUGUUAGGAUUGAUGCUCCCGCUGCCCCUCUCCCCUCUGCCUGCAGGAGAUGAUUCGGCGAGGUGAUGAGGCCUGUUGAGUGCCUGCUGUUGCAGGUGCAAGAGCUGCUCACCUUGCAAGCCCUGCGCGGCGGGUGCGGAGAGCGCGAUUGCCACAGCCAGCAUGGAGCUGAAGUGGUAGGCGGGAGCGUCCGAAUUGGGUCUGCGAAAGGAAUGUACCAGCUGUGCAACUGGGCACAUGGAGUAAAUCAGGGGAAGCCAAGCAAGGUCCGCACCCGUAACGAGUAACCCGACGGAGAGAUGGCGGAAAGCAUUUCGACUGUGAACAUGAUGCAAUCGUCAGCAUGCGGCGCAGCCGCACAUUUCGUCGGUGUUCUUCCUGCGCCCUGCCGGUGGAUGGACCGCGUAAGCCAUUGACGCACGGCUCAUCAGAGCCCAGGGACAGCUUAAGAAGGAUCUGUGAUAAUAACUACCUCGAUCGCCAAGCUUCGCACUCCACGCGUGCGCGGCUUGCCUCCUGCUCCGAACGCUCGGCUGCUUCUCUGUAACCCCGAACAACAUCCAGAAGCUCUGCAAUUAUCAAGUCGUUCAUGAAUUACUUGAUGCUUCUAUAGCAAGAAACGGAACAGAGCAAGCUGCCUCGGUAAAUUGUAGUCACCUUGCAAAGUUGCCCUUGCCUUGUCUUCAAGUUCCAUUGUGACGAUUUGUUGUUACAUGUAGCUACAAAGCCCAACAUAAAUUUUAUUACUAUGGCCGGGGUUAAUCAGGCAUCAGGACUGUUCAGGUCAAUAGAAAGCCGUAACCCUUUUCGUUCUAGGGGCCAAUCAAAACCACCUUUUUGUCAUGCAUCAUUUUGUCUGACAGUUACAUCAAUUCAUCGCCAAUCAUAGUAACUCAUACACCAAUUCUUAAGGGGUCAACUAGCAAUUUCGUGUAUGUCCUUGCAGCACCUUAGUGGUUGCAAACUCCACGAAAGCAACACACACGGUGCAAUUAAAUCAUGGCGAUUUACGGAUUCAGGAUCCUUAGGCAUCUGCCAGUAAAAAGCUGUAUUUUCGUGUUAUUUCACGACCAGUCGACGCACGUUUAUGGUGCUCCGCUCAAGCUCUGAACCUGCGCCACCGUACUCUGGACAUACGAAUCAAAAAGUUGCUUCAUCUCCUGCAAAUCUCGUUCCGCCUUGCAACGUAAAUUAUCCCCCACCGCCAGCUGCUGCUGCAGUUCGGCAAUGUGGGUGGCCGCCUCUGCAAGCAGUCGCCGGGCCGAGGACUCCGCCACCAUCGCAGUUAGGCUUCCGUUAUCACCUCCCUCAUCAAAACUCUCACUACCGCCUGCGGCACCUUCCUGAGCCGGCCCUUCCUCGCCCCGGAUACCCCUCUCCGCUGCUUCCAAUUCCUCAGCCUCUGCCAGAUCCUUUUCCGUUUGAACCAAGCGCUCCAGCAGGGGUCCACCUUGGUUCCGCAGCCUCAGCCCGGUUAGCUCCGCCCGCAGCCUCGAGACCAGGUGGCCGUGGUUGUCCAGGACAGCGCUCAUCCCCUCGAGCUGUGUCUCAAAAUCGUUUCAAAUCAGAUCAGGUUUCGUAGAAGGACACAGAUAAGACCAGGGUUGUGCCGGGGGAGUGCGGGCCGGUGGAGCGGGAGAAAGAGAGUGAGGAACAAGGUCGAUUGGAGAACUCAUGGGAGCAGAAAACGGGUGGGAUGAGAUGUUCGAAGAGCAGGACCGCACAGGCGGCGGCGAGGUAACAGCUCUUGUGCAUCACAAACGCACGCACGUGUGUAUACAUUUUGACUACCUUAGCCGGGGAAGGAAACUGCGAGCCGUCUAUGUGCCGUGUAUGAAUCUUCGGCGAUUGAGUUCCCAUCGACCGCGCUGCUUGAAAAAGGAGAACCAAUGGUGAAGGCGCGAACGCAGGCGCCCCCUUUCCGACGUUAAAGAAAGAAGUAAUUUUUAAAGUAUGCACUCCCCGUGGAUGGAAAAUCACGGGCAACCGCCCCAACAGUAAGCAAGACCUACCUGUUCCUUCCUCCGGGCAGGAAAGAGAGCAUCCCCUUCCGUCCUCCCCCCCUUCUCCCACUAAGCCCUCGCUCACUUGCGCCUGCCGCUGCGCCUCUGCAUCCGCCUCCGCUGCCGCCAGCCGGUUCCGGAGCGCCCACACCUCCCGACCCGUAGACUCCAGCAGCAGCCGCAGCCUCAUGGCCUCAGCAGCUGCAGGGUCCAGCAGACCAGCCGCAGCUGCGGCAGCAGCAGCAGCAGCCCGAGCCGCAGUCGCGUCCCGCGCAUAAGCCUGCUCCGAGUCCAUCAAAUCCGAGCCUCUGCCGCCGCCGCCGCCGCCGCGGAUUCCGCCGGCGGUUGUGGCUGCUAUGGCCUCUCCUCCCGCCGCCAGCAUCAUGUCGUACAGCUGCCGAGGGCCCCCUGGGAAGUCCAUUGAUAUGGCCGUCGGGAAGGGCCCCACAGCCGUGUCUCGUCCGUCCCACGAGCGGCGACCAGGCGCCCCCGCGGACGUCGUACCGCCGCCGCCGGCCGCGUGAGCCCCCAGGCUUGUGGCUCGGGUGCUUAGCUGUAGCUGACCCCCCCUUGACGCCACUGCGGCGCUUGGCGACCGACUAAGCUGCAGCGGGGAGGUGCUGGGGCUGGCCGGCGGCGUCGCGGGCGUUCCGGAACCACCGGAUGCGUACGACAGCAGGCUGCCGCCGCCGGCACCGACUUCGUCAGCGGCGGCACGGCCACCGCUGCCGAACAUUGGUCCAGGCCUGCCGCCACCGCUGCCGCUGCCAGCCACAGACAUGCGACGUGGCGGCAGCGGCGGGAGGUCGUACGAGCCCAGCGGCAGUACGGGUCGUGCCAAGGCGAGGCCGUCACUGAAGGAAGCCCGUCGGGCCCUGUGAAGCCCGCUAGCCGCUGCAGCGUGUUGCUGAGACUGGGACUGGGACUGGGACUGGGACUGGCGCUGCUGAGUUUCCCGUGGAGACGUUUGUUGAUGUUGGUUGAGGAGGACACAGGCGCGGGCCAGCGCCUGGGUGAGCGACUGCACCUGUGUGUGCGGUUGUGUGUGUAAAGGGGGAGGGGGGAGAGGGAAAGAUGAACCACGAACGAGUGAAGGUGCUGCCAAGGAAAGAGGGGGAGGAAAGACGAACCACGAAUGAGUGAAGCUGCUGCCAAGGAAAGAGUGUACCAGACGUAGAACUGACUAAAAGGCGUCCCCCGAAAGAGGGGGAGGGGUGAGGGACGGAUACGCGGGGAGGAACGCGGAAGCAGGAGCUGGCCAAGUUGGGUUGGGGGCUUUGGAGGUAAGGUCGCCUCAUCACUACUACUACUCUACGGCUCAACAACAAUAUUCAGCCAGGUAAGGGAAUAUCAGGAUCCAACACCCGUUAUCCGUUACCCGUUAUAUACACCGCUUCUUAUCUGCACGGUUUCCAACUAGCUGGUACGACAUCCAGCUGGUACGACAUCCAGAAGCAACUGUACGCUGUACGGUCGACAACGUGUUGCUGGAAACCUGCGCUAUCCGCUUCCGGACGACACUCCGUUACGACUACCACUACCGCUACCGCUACUACGACUACAUGUCGGGAUCUUUAGGGAUAAGAAAAUAUUAUCUUGUCCGUAAAGACGGGCCGCGCAAAGGAUUAUAACUCAAACCAGUCGUUCCUUCUUCGCCUUGGACGCCCGGGCGGCGGCUUCGACGCUCCGGGCCCCGGCACUUUCCCUUGGUGGUCCUGCGAUUUGCAUAGCUGCAGAGUAUGAUUCACCUCCCUCCACUUCCCAUCAUCUCUCUCCCGCUCCCGCUCCCCCUCCCCUCGCUGCCCCCCUCAACCCCCUUUACACACACACACCCACACCUGGUCCUCCCUGAACGCCAGCUCCGCCGCCAUCCCCGCCACCUCCUCUUCCCGCCGAGCAGCCGCAGCUAGUUGAGUCCGCAGACACACCACCGCGGAAUCCCGCUCAGCUAGCUGCUCGUCCAACAGCCUCCGCUCGUCCACCUCCAGGGUGGGGACCACCAGUCGUACACGGGCCUAGGCGGGUAGGGGCAGGCGGCGUCACCGAGGGGAAGGCGGGCGGCCCCCCCGACCCCGACCCCGACCCGAAGAAGAGGAAAGUGCGCGAAGGGAAGAUUCCACCAAGCAGUAGUCCUCCUUUCACAUGUGGCACACACAAUCACACACACAAUCACACACACAAUCACACACACAAUCACACACACAAUCACACACAAACACACACACACGCGCAAUCUGGGCAGGCGCCUCCUAAUCUGUUCGCGCCCCCGGCAGCGGGCCUGUUUGGCCUCCACCGCUUCUUCCUCGAACCGCUAAGCCCCCGGCAGAGCCCACCCCACCCCCCUGGGCCUCAUGUCUUGGCUCGCUCCAGAAAGAAAAGUAAAGAUUGGCAGUCCUCCUAGCCUCCAGGAAAGAGGGGUUAAAGAACAAACCUCCUCCUCCACAUGCACAUCCGCGCACACGCACGUCCCCAACUCCUCCCUACCUCCGCCUCCUCCGGCCCCACCACCGCCGCCAGCCGCGCUUCCGCUUCCGCCUUGGCGCGUAAGGCAGCUCGUUCCCGGGCUAGGUGCUCCGAAACCUAAGUGUACGACAAGGCGACGAGGCCCGCAGGCGGAAUUCCCAUGCAAGGAGUGAUUUUACGUCCUGACUACCCAUCCUGGCCAACUUCUUGGCCCCGGGGGUAGGUCCUUUGCAGAGUGCCGUACUACCCCGGAAUGUACGAUAUCAACCCAGGGGCCCCCCAUCCUGCUGAUGGGCGUGUACGUGAGUUUCAUUGAGCUCUAUUCUAAGGAGGUCUCCUCGCCUCCUUCCUGCACCUCCCUUUUCCCCUCCUCCCCUUCUUCCCCGCACUACGCGCGCAUACAUACGUACACACAUACACACGCACUCUCUCUCACUCUCUCUCCCGUACCUACCUGCUGUGUGAGGUUGUUGACUUGUGCCAGGGCAUCCGCCAGGGCCCCCUGGAGCGCCGAAUUUCGUCCUGCCGCCUCCACAUGCAAGGCCCUCAGAGCCGCCCGCACCUCCCGCAGAGCCCCCUCCCUGGAGUCCAGGACCUGGCGCGCGGCAGCCAGCUCCGACUCCGCCUCGCCCAGCUGGGCCUGCGGGAGUGGGGGGAGGGCGGAAGGGAGCGGGUCGGAUAGGGGGGCCUCGUCAGCAGCACAUACACACAGCACGCAUACGGCACAGCAACACGUGGCGCCGUACACCACCAGAAGGCCGCGUCAAGAUGAAACCCCUCGAUAAGGCCUUUAUAUCCUCCCCUGCACCAUCCCCUCCUCCCCUUCCGCCUCCCUGCGCUCAUUCAUUCAUCCGCACACAUACACGGUAAAGGGGGCCGGUGGACAACACAGGCCGCGCAGUCCCCCUCCCCCUCCCCCUCGCCCUCCCCCUCCCCCUCCCCCUCCCCCUCCCCCUCCCCCUCCCCCUCCACCCAGCCUAAGCCCCCUAAUCCCCGGAGCUCCCCCCCCCGCUCACCACCAGUUCCGCAAUUGCCAAGUUAUGCAACCUCAGGGAGUCCGGUGGCAGCCGUGAUCCCCCCCCUCCCCCUCCCCCUCCCCCGCCCCCUCCCCCGCCCCCUCCCUCUAUCCGCGUCAGCUCUCCAGGGGGGUGGCGUGGGGCGGUGGAGAGGCGGCCGGUUGAGGAGGGGGAGGGCGCCUGCUCCACCCCCCCGGGGAACGCCCCGAACAGCAGCUGGCCACCCUCUCGGCUCUGAGCCUGAGCCGGAGCCUGAGGUUGGGGUUGCGGAGGCUGGUGGGCUUGCAGCCGCACCAGCGGGGGGGAGCCCAUCACUCCGAGGGCGCCGCCGCCAUCACCGUCAUUACCGCCGUUGCUGGCAUCGGCCGGGGUGCGAGCGGCGAGGGGCGCGGAGGACAUGCGGGACGCCGGCGGCGCGGCGGCGACGGCAGCGGCAGCGGCGGCAGCGGCGGUGGCUUCGGGGUGCAGGGCCGGUGUCGUGGGGCCCUGGGCCGCCACCGUUCGGAAUGCAGUCCCCAUAGCCGUCACACAGCCGGCGGCGGCGACGGUGUCGGGAUCGUCCAUGUCCGGGACGCGCUUCGCCGCCUGUACGGCAGCUGACGCCAAGUUUUCUGCCACGCACGCCGCCGUCAGGGGCGGCAGGACGCUGCCGGCGGCGGCACGUACGACACCGGAAGCCGCCGCCAGUGACACCGCCAGCGCGGCUUGCUGCUGCUUUGCGGGUGAAAGCCCGACGGAGGUGGCGGUUUGCAGCGGCGGUGGUGGUGGUCGUGGUGGUGAUGCCAGUGCAGGCAGCUGAGAACCAGGAGCUGUCGCGGGUAUGCCGCUGCCGAUUGCCAUGGAGGCUGCGGCUUGGGGACUUGUCGGCGGCGACGUUAUCACGCCCUCCUCCCUGGCUUCCGCGGCCUCCUCCGUCUCUAUGAGCAUGUUUGCUAGUGACGCCACUCGCGGCAGGUCAAUCGCCGCCGCAGCCGUCGCGCCGACGGCGACGCCGGCGCUGUAGCCGCUGUAGUACGCCGCCGCCGCCGCCGGGGACGACUGCGGUACACCCGCCGCACCCAGCGCUGCCCCCUGACCGAUUCCCGUUACUGAAGCCGCCGUCGCGGCAGUCGCCGCCACGUGGUCCAAGUACGGCAUCAGCGCACGUGCACCUGCCGUACGGCGCGGUCGAGCUCCAGCGGCGGCCGGCGUCAUUCCCUGCUCUGCGCUCCUAACUACCUCCCAGGUGGCAGACGGCCCGGUGGACGCUGCCGUCGCCGGCGGAGACGAUGGCGUCACACCUCCGUACGGGCCGCCGUACAUGCCGUCAGUUAUCUCGCUGAUGGGACGCGCAGCGGAAACGUCCGCGACUGCGCCAGCAUGGGUUGACUGGCUGGUGGCGGCGGCCGCAGUUGGGGCGGGUACGGCAGGUGCGGGUACGCCAUGUGUUGGCACCGGCGGUGGCGGCGGCAGGUCCCCUAGGAUAUCAGCCAGGAGAUCGCUGAGGCGGCCGGGGGGGGGAGGGGGUAAUUAUGGGGGCUUGGUGGGGGUCAAAACACGCCGGAAGCGCUCUGCUGUCGACCUCCAAAGCACCGCCACCCCACCCCACCCGGGGGCGAAGGGGCCCCGAGGAAAGCAAGACCGCACGGCUAAACACGGCUAGACAGAGGACAGACAAACCUACAGGCUGACGGAAAGAGGCAUAGACAGACAGGCAGACAGACAGGAAAAUAGACAGGCAGACGGAGAGAGACAGACAGACAGACAGAGAGAGACAAACAGACAGACAAACAGACAGACAAACAGACAGACAGGCAAAUAGACAGACAGACAGAGAGAGACAGAUAGACAGCAAACAGACAGACAGGCAAAUAGACAGACAGACAGAGAGAGACAGAUAGACAGACAGACAGACAGACAGACAGACGAACAGACAGACAGGCAAAUAGACAGACAGGCAAAUAGACAGGCAGACAGACAGACCGACAGACAGGCAGAAAGACAGACAAACAGACAGACAGGCAGAUCGACAGACGGACAGACAGAGAGACAGACAGGCAGACAGACAAACAGACAGACAGACAGGCAAAUAGACAGGCAGACAGACAGGCAAAUAGACAAACAGACAGACAGGCAAAUAGACAGGCAGACAAACAGGCAAAUAGACAGACAGACAGACAGAGAGAGACAAACAGACAGACAAACAGACAGACAAAAAGACAGACAGGCAAAUAGACAGACAAACAGAGAGAGACAGAUAGACAGACAGACAGACAGACAGACGAACAGAAAGACAGACAAACAGACAGACAGGCAAAUCGACAGACAGACAGACAGAGAGAGACAGACAGGCAGACAGACAGACAAACAGACAGACAGGCAAAUAGACAGGCAGACAGACAGGCAAAUAGACAAACAGACAGACAGGCAAAUAGACAGGCAGACAAACAGGCAAAUAGACAGACAGACAGACAGAGACAGACAAACAGACAGACAAACAGACAGACAAACAGACAGACAGGCAAAUAGACAGGCAGACAGAGAGAGACAGAGACAGACAGACAGGAAACAUAAAAGGACACACGGCGAAGCAGUAGGACGGGGCGGCGGCCCUAAAGCGCAUGCCAGCUGCAGAUGUUGCAGGACAGCAGCAGCAGCAACAGAUGGCGGUUGUCGGACCGUUCCUCUCCGCCCCCCCUCCCCGCCCAACACCCCUCUUCUCCAGCCCACCGGCAAUAACGCCGUUCCUCCGCAUCCACCGGAGCUUCAGUCGUACCGCUGACGCUGACGCGGUACGGCCGUACGGGUGACGUUGAUGUCGACCUACGGGACACCUCCGCCGGAGACGACAGCCCCUCCGCCGCCGCUGGCAGGGCUGCGGCCCCGCCCCCACCAAUAGCGAUAGGAGGGCCCGUUACUGACGUUGCCACCGCCUCCGAAGCGAGUUCGGUUCCAAAUCCGAAUCCUUGUGCUGCAGCCGGCAGCCCCAUAGUUGCCCCCGAGCCGCCACCGCUGCCGCCGCCGCUGUCACCUCCGCCGUCACCUCCGCCACCUCCGGCCGCAGCCUCAUCGCUGAUUGGGACUGUCGUUGUCACUGACGUUGUAGUAGGACCCAGUGACGGCGGCACCGCGGGCGCAACCGCCGGCGGAAGCUGGAACUCAAAUCCACCGCCGCCGCCGCCGCCAUUACCUCGCUCCGCAUUGACGUCCCCCUCCUCCCCCUCCCCCUCCCCCNNNNNNNNNNNNNNNNNNNNNNNNNNNNNNNNNNNNNNNNNNNNNNNNNNNNNNNNNNNNNNNNNNNNNNNNNNNNNNNNNNNNNNNNNNNNNNNNNNNNNNNNNNNNNNNNNNNNNNNNNNNNNNNNNNNNNNNNNNNNNNNNNNNNNNNNNNNNNNNNNNNNNNNNNNNNNNNNNNNNNNNNNNNACUCGCGUCUCCAGCUGGCCCUUGUCACGUUGCAGGUGCUCCACCUGGGGGGCGGGUGGGGGGCCGGGUGGGGGGCCGGGGGUAAGUCGAACCACCGGCGAAUGGAGCAGAUGCCCAAGGCGGGUGUACUCCAGGUGCGGGGUUGCGUGCGAUGGGGAGGGCAGUGGUGUAGGGAUUGUGUGGGGGGGGGGACCGCCCGGCCCUCACCACUAACACUGCAAGCGAGACGGCUGCCGAGCGGGCGGCCCCAAUCAGCCAAGUCGGGGUCGGGGUCGGGGUCGGGGUCACAGCCUCCUGGUGGGGACAUCCCCCCGCCACCCCCCACCCCACCCCCCCACCUCACCUGCGCCCUCAGCUGCUCCAGCUCCUCCCUGAGGUCAGAGAUCAGCCGGUCGUCCAGACAGUGCAUCUCCAGAGCGGUGACACCCCCCGCCAGACCGUACGACUCCAACUCGGCCUCCACGGCAGGUCGCAGCUCACCCCCCGCACCCGUCAGGGCCUCCAGCUUCUGUGUGGGGCCCCGGCAGGGGGGGAGGAGGGUGCAGAGGGAGGUGCAGAGGGAGGUGCAGAGGGAGGUGCAGAGGGAGGUGCAGAGGGAGGUGCAGAGGGAGGUGCAGAAAGCGAAACCGCAAUCGCCCAGGACGUUCCAGGACAGAGGCAGGAUGGGGAUAUGAUCGCCAUCAUCACGAGGCCGUAAGGUUUCGAAAACGUCAGAUGCCGAAAAACUGACUUCCAAAGCGGGUGGGUGGGGGGUAGGGGGUUAGGAAGGCCGGAGAUGAUGAUGUCGUGGAGAGCGAUGGAAAGCUGCAGAAAGGGGGAAGAGGAGGUGCAAUAUCGGGGAGGAUGGCGAAGGGCUCCGUCCGGUGUAGGGCAAGGCGACAGGGAGGGAGGAGUGAAUGCGGGGCCCUACAGAGGCUGUCGUGAGGUGGUACGGCGCCUGUCGGCCCCCCGUAACCCACCACCACCACCACCACCACUUGCUACUCGCUUGGCGACAUACAUACCGUAACCAUCCCCACAUAACAUCCCCACAUACAAUACAUAGGCCUCUCCCCCCUCCCCUUUCCUCACAACCAUUAUCAACCCCCUCCCACCUCCCACCUCCCACCUCCCACCUCCCACCUCCCACCUCCCACCUCCACCUCCCCGCCCCACCUGUAUUGCGGCUAUGAGGUCGCUGCUGGGCCCCGGGGGGGGCGAGGUGGGGCGGGAGGCCAUGCGGCUCGCUCCCUCCCCACCGAACCAGCCCAUCUGCUGCUGAUGGUGGUGGUGGUGGUAAUGGUAAUGAUGGGCCGCCGCCACCCCGCCGCCGCCGCCGCCGCCGCCGAACCGUGGCACCGGGGAAUGAGACAUGCUGGCGAGGAGGCUGCCACCGCCGCCGUACCUGCACGCCGUACAAUGCGUAUGCCGUACACUUAAGAUAUUGCAGUACACUGCAGUACACUGCAUGCAUGUCGGUAGUUUAUUUCUCCUAUGUACAUGUCAUAUCUUCAUCACUCUGCCCAACCCCCCGACGCGACCCCUUUUCCCUUCCCCUCAUCACAUCCCCCGCGACCAGAUUGAUCUCUUGGGCGUGCAGGAUGAAUGGAUGAUAACAAUUUUCGCGGGAGGUAAUGAAUGGAUAUGGGUUGUUACGCAACUGCGCACACAACGAACGCAAGUAGCUCAGUCGCAACGGGGGCCCCCUCCAUCCCCCUCAAACGGUGUUUUCCCCCAAACGCCCCGCUGUGCAUCUGGCCCUGCUGAUGCUUCCCUUCCCUUCCCUCCCCGUGCCUUGCCCUGCCCACCGGACCAGGAGCCCUGAAGCCCCCUUACCUCCCCCCUCCCCCCUNNNNNNNNNNNNNNNNNNNNNNNNNNNNNNNNNNNNNNNNNNNNNNNNNNGCCGGGUGGAGCUCGAGCCCAGAGGCUCCAGGACUGCACCUCCACCACCUCCACCACCUCCCGGUGGGGAAUUACAGACACAGGCAGGGUUGAGGGUUGAGGGGCCAGGGGUGAAGGGCAGGGGGUGAGGGCAGGGGGUGAGGGGUAGGGUUGAGGGGUAGGGUUGAGGGGUAGGGUUGAGGGGUAGGGUUGAGGGGCCGGGUUGAGGGGCCGGGGUGAGGGGCCGGGGUGAGGGGCAGGGUGAACAACAACCGGCGCACCUAAACAACCAAAAUGAACAACCCUAAGUUAACAAUUGCAGUUAACCAGCUAACAAUCCAUAUAACGCGCCUCCUGCACCUCCUCUCCUUUUCACCCCUUGAACUCACCCACGGAGUACUGGGAAAUGCGCCUUCCGAUAACGCCGCUUCCUCCUGCGCCUCGGCUCGGCAUCGCCAUGUACAUCAGCCCUCCUCCGCCCUCACCCAGCCCCGAACUGCCGCCUUGAUGACCCGUGGACAUGGAAGUGAGGGUGGGGAUGUUCAUCAUCCCCAUCCCCAUCCCCAUCAUCCCCGCCAUAUCCUCCCCUCCCAACCCCACCUGCACCCCACCCACACCCACACCCACACCACCCGCCGCAGCUUCCAUUGCCGUUGCGGCGGCCGUGUCGAAUACGGACACCAGCCGACAGCCUGACAACGACGGCGUGUCCCUACCCACCCCGGGUGCUGCUUCUGCCAGGCCGCUGUACGGAGGCGGUUGUCCGGACGACGGUGGGGGUGCGGGGCCUGACGGGGCGGUUGGGGCUGCUGCGGCCGCCAGCUCCCCUCCAGGGGGUCGCUGGAGUGGGGGGAGGGCGGGGAGGGGUGCGGGGGGUGCGGGGAGUUGGGAAGCAGAUGCAGAUGUUGGCCUAGGGGGUAGCGGAAGGAGGGGAGUGGGGCCCAAAUAGACGGUGGUGAGGCUGCUGCCGCUGCCGCCGCCGCCGCCGCCGCCGCCGCCCGGCGGAACGGCCACGUCUGAUGCCUCCAUCGCCGCCGCUGGCGUCGCUGCUGCUGCCGCCGCCGCCGCCGCCAGGGAGUUCGUACUGACGGUGCCGGGACCGGAUGGUGGUAGUCGCGGUGAUGGGGACGGGGGGAGGACUGCAGCUGGGGACGACCUCAUCGUGCUGGUGGCGGUGGUGGUGGUGUCCGUGUGGGAGACGAGGGGUGGGGGCCGGGGGCCGGGAGGGGAAGCAGCGGCUGCUGCUGCUGCUGCUGCUGCAUGCAGCGCUGACAGAGCGUCGCACAGUUGCUUUUGCAGAGAGCGCAUCUGUACGGGCGGGGGUUACGGAUGUUGGGGGGUUAGGGUGAGGGCAGGGGAAUGGAGGUGCAUGGGGGGAAGGGGAAUACCCGGGGGGGGCCCAAAAGCGAAGGAUACAACUGCCGAUAUCCGGGGGCAAAGACGAACCCCGAGCGAGUGAAGCUGAUGCCAAGGGAAGACUGCUGCGGUAGACGUAAAGAAAGCAUACCGAACCAGUCGGCAGUUGUUCGGUGGGGGGAAGGGGGCGGGGAGGGGGGAAUCACAGGAUGCAAGGAAACAAGGAAUGGACUGCUGCCACGGCGGUGGUGGUGGUGUCCAAGAGGUCCGAAACUGCCCCUAGGGAGGGGGGGAGUCCUAAGCGGUGUGAUGUCAUCGGUCCGUGGUGGGAGGGGAGGACGGGGCGGAGGGGGAGGGCUAGUAGCUACCGGAACGAUAUGAUUUGGGUUUCCAUGAGAAGUCUCAGUCACAAACCGAAAGGACCCCUGCAAGUACGGAAAGGUAAGCUUCAUGUACGAGUAGGGCCGGUCCGGGCGCACUACCCCGAAGCGAAUAAACCCCAGGUGUACAGAACAACCUACGCUUCAGAACCUUCAGUACUCCCCCCCCCUCCCCCCUAAGUACGUAGCUCUGCGCGCAAAACCCGAAGUAACCAGCACUGUCACACCACCAUCAUGACUCACAACGCCAUGCACGCCACCAAGCCGUACAGGAUCCACUCCGAACUCCGAAUUCCCAAACAUAAAACUUAAAUUAGUUUUUGAACGUUCCGUUACGCUCUCCUAGCAAAGUACCAGGACACUACCACACGGGGGUAGGACAUGGAGGACGUCGCGACAUGACGCCAUGGACGCGGGGGCCCCCUCCUCCACCACCUUCACCUCCUCCACCCCCUUACCUGUAUCUUCAGCUGCUCCUUCUCCGCCGCACUGGCCUUCAGCUGGUGCCGCAGCAGAUCUCGCUCGUAAGUCAGCCGGCGGACCUCAAAACCCGCAGCAGUGACCGCAGCGGCGUCGGUAGCUAAGGCGGGGGGGGCGGCGGCGGCGGCGGCCGCCGCGCCAUCCGGUGCCAUCAGCACGCCCGUAGCCGCCGGAGGAGAUAUCAUCGUACUGUCUGUCGUACCCGCAAACUGUUCUGACUCCGGUUCAGCUGUUACAGCAGCACCAUCAUCACCACCAUCACCAGCAGCACCAGCAGCAGCUUCCUCCGCUGUUGCCGCGGAGGGGGUUGUCGUCCUCAGCGGGGGGGGAGUAGCCAGGUCGCCGGGUGGUGCGGCGGGUGGGCGAGAGGGCGGCUGUUGAGUGUUCAUGAUGGCGGUGAUGGUGCUGGUGGAGCUGCUGCCCCCGAUUGGCUCUCCCUCUUCUUCCUCGCUGCCGGGGGCCCGAGGAGUCAGUCGGUUGAGGGGGGGGUGGGGAAAGCGGCGUCAGUCGGGAAGCGCUUCCGGAAAUCACCAUCCACCGUCCCAUCAGGUGGCGGUGGCAGCGGCAGUGGCGGUGGUGUUGGUGGCGGUGUUGGUGGCAGUGGCAGUGGCUGAUUAUAUAGUUUGGUCGACCGAUAGAAUGACCGAGAUAGACAAAGGGUCGGGACGCCGCCGCCAAGCGCACGUCCGGAUCGCUUCCGGGACCCGCACUCACCCUCACUGUGAGAGGCCCGCCGCCCGCCGUCCAGGAGGAGGUGUUGGUGGUCCUUGAAUCCUGCUCUGCUCACAUAACAUAACAUCGCAUCACAAGCGCGUUGCGCUGACUCAGCCACUUGCGCGUCUAAGCACGCACGCACAGAAGCGUGCACGUCCUGUGCUGUUACUUUGCUAACACAAACAGAUAUACAGAUAUACACAUGCUGCUUACGAUGUAGUCUUGCUUGCUUGGGCAGCCGAAAUGCCUCCGCCGGCAGCCUCCUUCCCUUUUCCCGCCUCGAACAGAUUGCAGCUGAGCAGAGCGCAGACACACCAACGCAGAGAAGAAGAUUAUUUCUAUCUCGGCUUUUUGUCUUUCUGAGGAAGCGAAAUGACGCGCGGACAAGUCCGGAACCUGGGAAAAAAACAAAAAAUCAGAUUUGUGACCCGCGGGUCAGUUGUACCUUCAUCCCUCUCAGUGGAUGCUGCUGGUGCGGACGAUCCAUAAAGCAAUUCUUGCAGCGGAGUCAGAACGGCAGAACGACAACCCAUGAAGACGACGACGCUGUGUACCGUCCUGCAAAAGGCAUUCAUGGCCUCCAUGAACGACCUGAAGGUGAAAACAUUUAUUUCUAAUGUACAUAUGCAAUAUGGCGCACGGGAGGGCCUAACAAUGACAAAAUGGUGGCCGAAAGGGCUGGGCCCUCCUCGUCCCCCGGGAGCUUAGCGACCUCGCACACCGGUGGCAUGUCGCCUCCCAGGCAUCUUCUCGUUCCCAAAUAAACAACAGGAUACCUUUCACCGCUAGUGCACUAAGGGACCAUUUUCUUGCACUCAGGUGGCAGAGAAAGAGAAAGAAGGCGCGAUUCUAUUCAGACGGGCGGUUACAUGAGGGGUGGUCAUGAGCUAUAGGCGCUAUACCUGCUGCUACAGGCGCCGGUACCGAUUUCGGUCCGAUGAUGCGUGUUGCUGCUUUGCCAUCAAGCGCGGCGCCUGCCGCCGCCCCACACAAUUGACCAGGUCAGGGUCUUUGAGAAUGCGGGCACUUUGAUUAUUCCAGCUGGCAUUAAAAUUAUCGGGAUCGCUAAGAAUGCAGAAACGUCGCGUGGCGAUUUACAUGAUGCUUCUUCUGCUCUGCUCUGCUUUGCUCUCCUCAUUAUCGAGUUCCGCCGUUUAUCAGACUACGUCCCAUAAACAUAAGCAUCCUCAGCACAGAGGAGACUUAGAUUAGGUUCGUAUCGGGAAAGCUUAGCGCCGCGUGCGUCCGCCGUCACCGCGCCAGCCGCCGCAUGCUUUGUGCUGGGUGCGGUCGCCCCCUCCCUCGUGGGUGGCUCCUAUGUGGCACAUCACCCGACCCGCGGUACCCGAACACGCCAGCUGCUUCGAUGCCGAACAACUCUAGCCGCGUUGGAAAGAGACUUCGAAUCCUCGUAAGGAUCUGCACUUGCAAUCUGCAUUCCCACACCAACAACAUUUUGUCGUGCGGGCAUCCGAGCCCCGAUCCGCUAAUGGCACCAUAACACAGACAGUAUUUCCUUUGCUUACAUACUUCUGGCGGCGGCUGGCAGAGGUUAAGGCCUGACUUCUGCUCCCGGAGUGUCCAGGGCCAGAUCCGCCUGCCUAUUCCUGGAGUGAUUGAGGAGAGUUGAAAUGGUAGGUGGCCCCCCAUCUAGUGGAAUGUGUAGGACGUUUAAAUAUCAACUUUCUAACUGACCAUCAACUAAGUUGGGGCGCGGAUGAUCCGCCAGAUUUGGUUAUACUGAUGGUGAGUUGAUGAACCCAACGAAUACAUUCUGAAGUCGGAUGGGUUGAAUGGAAUAGGGUGCCCCUCUCGCAGGGGAGAGCAGGGAACUGCCUCGGGAAAGGGGGCCGCUGGUGAAGCUAUACCACCCUGUAACAACAUACAUACAUCUGCCACGCUGACAGGUGGAUGGAUACCUUUGUGCCAAUUAAGAAUGGUGAACACACAAUUGGGAUGCCGUCAGCAAUGUUGAAGCAGAUGUAAUUUCCAAGACUCGUCCAGCGUGGGCGUCACCGCACGGCAAUUUUUUAAUGUAAUGUAAUGUAAUGUAAUGUAAUGUAAUGUAAUGUAAUGUAAUGUAAUGUGUAAUGUAAUGUAAUGUAAUGUGUAAUGUAAUGUUACAGAGUGGGAAGCUUCUGGGCCGCUUUAUCACAUUGUCAGUUCUAGAUCAUUUAUCACCUUAUAGCACCAUCCACCACUACCACACUGUACUUCGCCAUACGAACUGUAAGUCCAAGGCGGCGGAUCCAGCCUUCGGGGACCCCUCCUCAUCCAUUCACCCGAACACCCGAAGAGACGGAGGGUUCGGCAAUCGCCACCAAUCCAGCGUGCGAAUCUGGUCCAUCAACUGUGACCUCAACUCCACAUCUCAGCAGCUAGCCAUAAUCUCGCGCUCCCGACUAAUUCGGGGGUCUCCCCAGGAAUCGAACCCAGGACCUUAAACCGCUAAUUGCAGUAGUGUCAACCCAGACCAGAAUUUUUUUAUAACUUGUACAAAAGCUAAUAAAGCUAAACCAGCUGCUUCAUUGCUUUUUAGAUGAAGAAAUCAAUGUUACAUAUUGUCGAACAUGCUAGCAAGAGGAGGGAAGGGGAAGGGGGAAAAGGCGAGGGGUGAGAAGGGAGAGAAGGAGAAGUGGGAAGGAAGGAGUCUCACAGCCAACUAGUCUCCCAGGAUCCCAAACUUUCAGGCUCCAAGAUUCUCAGGCUCCCAGGAUCCCAAGCACACAGGCCCCCAGUCUCCAAGGCCCUCUGGCCACCAGUCUUCCAGCCUCCCAGUCUCGCCGGCCCCCAGCCCCCAGUCUCCCACUCUCUCAGUCUCCCAGCCACCCAGGCUCUCUGGCUCCUAGCCUCUCGCUCAGGCUCUCCGGCCCUCAGCCCCCAGUCUCCCAAGCUCCCAGUCUCCCAAGCUCCUAGCCACCCAGGGCCUCGGGCUCCAAGGCUCUCCAAGAUCGUGCACGAAAUUGUCCCACACAACUUUAAUGAGAAGUUCAAUCCUGCCUGUAUGCCACACACACAGGGACCAUGCCAGAGCCCAGCCACAACCACUGCCACCACCGAAGGUGUGAUGAACAGUGUUGUCACCCAAGUGCAGCAGCAGGUAUGCAGUGUACCAUAACAUGUCAUUUUGAACAGAUCCUUGGAACAAACAGUGACCCGUGGGGAUGACAGCCGCUUGCUGUUGCUCUGCUGCAUCGGGAAGCCCAGAGUUGCACAGACUGUUGGGCCAUGUGAGGCGAAGUACAUCAACAUCGUGUUGGAGGGCGGCAAGGCUCAGCGGGUACGUAAUGCUACUGGGAUCCGACCAGGUCUAAGAAUACGAAUCACAAGAACCUGUUGUUGCCGUUGUAUGUAGAGUGGGCGGAAGACAGUGAUCGCAUUCUUGCGGGGCGUGACAGCGAUUAAGUGUCCAAUCAGGGCAAUGGCAGAGUACCUGUACGUCCGCUUCACGAUGGAGGGCGAGAACUAUCCAAACCCAUUGUCCUCGUCCUCCUCUUCGUCCCCCUCAUCGGCAACCUCACUGCCAGACUCACUGGACAGUUCUGAUUAUGUAUCGCUGUAGCUGUCCGUCGCCGAAGGGCCCACCGACGACCCACGGCACCCGAUCGGGCGGUCCUAGCGCCCCUAACCCUGUCGGGUCCCCCGACGGGAGCCCUCCGGGCCCCGUCGGGAGCUCCCGAUGGCCGUUUGGCAUUUUCCCCGUUUUUCGUCGGGUCCGCCCGAAAGCAUUUUUCAAAGCCUGUCGGGAUUUUCAGCACAAGUGCCAUUCCUGUCGGGACCCGAUCGGACUGUCGCACCCUGUUACCACCCGUGCCCGCUCGCGCGUGCCCGCUCGCGCGUGUAUGUUGGCCGGUUGCGAGUGUGCGGCCGCGCAUGCUACUAGGUGGCCCCGUGUGUGAGCCGCUUGGGGUGCGGCCACCCGGUUUGGUCGUGGGCGGCAUGGAGUGCCUGGUUUGGCUGUAUUCUUCUGCAGUGUAAGGGCCCUUGGCAGCUGGUCCCCGCUCCCUUUUGUUGCUCUCUCAAAGCACGUUCGUUCUGGUCAAACUUCGGCAGAGCCACGAAAAUACAGGUUAAAAGAAACAGGAGCAUGGAAACAACACAUUAUGGCACAUAAUGAAAGUUAAAUUUUAUAAAAUUUACACAUUUUUAGUUCUCCUGAACCUAUUGAUCGAUCCGGAUUGAAAUUUCACGUCUGAGGGCCUUGUGUUGUGUGGACUCAGAAUUUUUCCAUUAGCAAGUUUGUAAUUCUUAGGGAAUGUUACUCAUUUGACUCUGAUGCCCCUUCUUCUUCAUUAAGCUCCUUCCUAGGUCACGUCAGUUCUGUUGCCGCGAAACCGGCCCAACCCGCCGAGCUGCGUUAGUGGGACGAAGGGCUUUUAUCAAAUCUAACAAAAAGAAGUAUCUCAUCCCCAAGGGGGGGAUAGGAUCGCCAUCUUUCCAGACCUUGCAUUGGUCCUAAAGAUGGUUGAUGCUGCAAGUCAGGGGUUAAAAUGGUGCGGCACGCUAUCGGAUGCCAGCUGGCUGGGCCCAUUCUUAUCUCCCUGCUCCUUCGAGACAAUGUCGUCCACGCUCCUCCUUGCGACAACGCUCAUCUUGUUACUAGCCCAGGGUACCCGAUUGGCCGUGAUGCAGCAGCUAAGGGUGAAGGGACGAAUACGGAGAGGCAUUUCGGGCCUUAACGGCUCGUACAUAGCAGCUGCGCUCUUUCUGUGCGGCACACACUCAAUCCAUUUCGCUGUUGGCCUGGCGGUGCUGCGCACUUGGCCGUUUCACAUUGCCUACCAUGCCUGCUUCGCUCUCUUAUGGUGCACCAUCGCUACAUUUGCAAUCUACUCCGGACGGCUAGCUGUCGGCGUCGAUUUCCGCAUCUCCUCCAUCCCUGCGACACUGGUUUACCUUAUUAGGUGGGAUACUUUUGAAACGUGUGUACGCACGCGGUAGCCUUUAAUGUUGCGAGGGAAUCCUUUUGCCUGUCGAAGGGGGAAAUCCCCGUGCAUGUAACCUUGAACUUUUGCGUGUGUAUGCGCGUUUGUCUGUCUGUCUGUCUGCACACUCUCGUCGACGUCCACGUACAUGUCUAGGUAGAGACUCACCGUUUGCACAUGAAGCUGUUUAUGGUGCUCAAGCAUUUUGGAAAAUACGGCUAGACUUGAUGGCUUGGUCAUGGAAAUGCCCGGCUCAGUGCAGGCGUGGUUAUUACUAUGGGCCACCGAUUUAUGAAUCCAGUCAUACACUACUCCGUCUAAGCACUCUUGACAGUGGAAGUCCUAACACAGCGGUGGUCACGGCGGCGGUCCCCGACCUCCCAGCUCCUCAUACCCAUACCGCCCCGCUGCUCCACUCCACCCCGCCGCCCCCCGCCCACUGCCCCACUCGCUCCCUGCAGCCUCUACUCCUACUUCCAGCUGUACUACGACACCCACGCCAUCCCCCUGCCGUACAUCAAGGCCUCCAUUUGGACCGACAUGCUUCAGGUGGUGGUGGCGGCCAUCAUCAGUUGGUUGGGCACGAGGAGGGUCGCGCGGGAACCUAGGCUCGUGGACCUGCAGGCGCAGUUGGGCCUCAGCCCCACAUUGGGCCCAGAUGGACGAGGGCCCUACCAGCAGCUGCCCGCAGCGGAAGACGGGGGCCGUGCCGGCAGCGCCACCGCAGGCGGGAAGUCGGCGGAGGCCGGCGGGGGGGACGGUGAUGGUGGCGGCGGUGGCGACACCGACAAGAGCACUUGGAUCAGCCUGUUUGUGGACGCCUGCGCGUACGUAUGGCCCGAGUCGUUCUGGCUGCAGCUGCGCGCCGUGAUGUGUCUGCUGCUGCUGGUGGCCAUGCGAGCUCUCAACCUUGCCGUACCCAUCCUGUACAAGAAGGUUGUGGACCGUAUGGCAGAGGGGAGCAGCGGAGGUGGAGCGGCCCAGCCCGAUCAUGCAGCGGCAGCGCGGGAGGGUCGCGGCCUGGGUCUGGACCUGGGCCUGGGCCGGUUGCUGGAGUCGUGGAGGGCUGCUGGUGGUGGUGGUGGGGGUGGGGGUGGUUGGGAAGCAGGGGGCGCGGAUACCCUGAGCUACGGGGCGCUUGUGUGGCCCUGGGUGGUGCUGUACCUGGUGGCGGUGUUCUUCCAGGGCGGUGCCGGGGGCGGCGUGGUGGGCUUCAUCAACAACAUCAGGUAGGUGGAUAGGAUGGAUGGAUGGAUGGAUGAAUGCAGGCAGGCAUGUCUGGGUGGGCGGAUGGGCGGGUGUAUAUAUGAGCAUGUCGACACUCGACCGCGGGAUAACCCAUGGUCCUCACGUCCCCGUCUCCUGUCCCGCACGCCGUCCAGUCCCCGAUCCUCCCCCGGGGCCCCCCCCAGUGAAACUCUGAAUGCCGCUCCGAAUCCCGCACAGGUCCUUCCUGUGGAUCCCCGUGGCCCAGGACUCGUACAGGUGGGUGAGGGGUGAGCAGCAGUAGUGCUGGAGUCGGUGGAGGGAUGGUGGGGGAUUGGGGGAGUUGGACCCCCAGCGACCUCCCUGUCUUUCAAAUCAAUUCAAUUUUAACUACGUAACUUACGGGUGGGAUGGAGGGGUCGCGCCUCUCAGAGACCUGCUCUGCAUGCCGCCCUCAACUCUCACGAUCCGCACCCAGGGGCCGGGGGCCGGUCGGUUGACCAGUCCGGUGGUUACAAGUGUCCGGUGGUUGGCUGCAGCGAUGGCGGUGUAGGUCAUCACGCGCCAUCACGAGCUCCGCCGAUGUCGCUGAUACUGUCAAGAGAUACGGAUACUGACAUAGCUUACCGGGCUUACCCGGCCGGCCACUGCGCCUGGCUGGUUAUCGUCGCCGUAAACCUCCCCACCCCUUUCCCCGCCGCCGCAGACGCAUCAGCAUGCGCACUUUUGACCACGUGAUGGAGCUCGACCUGACCUUCCACUUGCGCAAGAAGACGGGCGAGGUGACCCGGGUGGUGGACAGGGGCACCAACGCCAUGCAGAACGUGUUGUCCACGGUGCUGUUCAACAUAUUGCCGCAGGUAGGGGAUGAUAAAGGGCAGGUAGGGAAGUGGGAGGUGAUAGGUGGUAGGGGACCUCAGUGGGUCGUCGGGAAGGAGUGCUGUGCGCUCAUGACUAGCUUCCGGGUGGCAGGCUGAGGGGGCUUUAAGAGGGGCGGGGCAGAAUCCACUGGAUGGUACUGGUGGUGCUGUUGGUGGUGAUGUGGCUGAAUGAACUCGGAAAAGUCCCUCACUGACUACUCACUGACAGAGGUCGGCACUCUCACACACACACACGGGUGGUGGCCAUGAUGAUGAUGAUGAGGGGGAUGAGGGUGAGGUUACCCGGGGAAGGAGGCCACAUCACGGAUGGGUGGGUGGGGACGGUGGGGACUGCCAGCAUGCUCGUCCAGGGUGGCCACCACCAUAGGUUGGAAAGCCCCUCUGUGUAACCCAUAUAUACACCCCCCCUACUUCACACACAAUCACUUCAGGGAGGCGCCUUUGAGCUGUGAACGGUUGAACACCCGACACAGUCGUCGCCGUCGCGCCUCGCUUGCCGCCCAACCCCUCACCCCCCCCACCCCACCCCAUCCCCCAUUCCUGACCUGACUUGGACUAUCCGUCUACCCCUGGUUUCUGCUUCAAUUGUCAAAGGUUCGUCUUACCCCUACCCCUCUACCCCUACCCCUCUACCCCUACCCCUCUACCCCUACCCCUCUACCCCUACCCCUCUACCCCUCUACCCCUACCCCUACCCCUCUACCCCUACCCCUCUACCCCUACCCCUGACCUCACCUCAUCUGAUCUGACACUGCGCUGUCUUUUCCAGCUGUCCCCACCUCCCAACCAUGUGUGUAAGUGUGUAUAUGUAUGUAUGUGUGUGCCUCCCGGAUGAGCUGCCCACCUCCAGAUAUUCGACGUGCUUGCGGCCGCCACGUACCUGGCUCAGGCGCUUGAACCCACCAUCGCCAUCAUCGUGUUUGUCACCGUGGGCUCCUACAUACCCCUGACCGUCUUCAUCACGGAGUGGCGGGCCAAGCUGAGGAGGGAGAUGAACCAGACGGACCAGGUAGCGGGGGGAGGAGGCUUACUGGGGGGAAGGAGGGAUCGCCGAGUUGUCCUUGAAAACACUAACGGGAACCAAAUUCCUGCUCCGGCUGCUCCUGCUCCCGCUGCUGCUGCUGCUGCUGCUGCUGCUGCUGCUGCUCUCACCCCGCUCCACCCCGGGGCCCCAUCUGUAGGUGAAGAGCGGGCGGGCCACGGAUGCGCUGCUGAACUACGAAACCGUCAAAUACUUCUGCAACGAGAAGUACGUGCGGAGGGUUACGGGGGUGGGGGAGCGUGGGAGGGAUUUGGGGAGGUGGACGGGAAGGGGGGGAGGGGUUUACGGGGCGGAUGCGGAUGUACCCAGAAAUACCUGCUGUAUCCCCGGACUGGAGGGCGCUGGGGGGGCUGAGCGGCUCCCGGGCUCCUGCGGUGGCGGCCGGAGCAGUGGGCCCAGCGGGAAGGGGGGGGGGCAGGGUGAGCCCGCCCUCCAGCCCCUCUCCGCAUCGCACCGGACAACAUAUGACUGACUGCUCUGAGCCCGGAAGCAGAGUCCGCUUCCGGGCCCCGUUCCUCCUCCGCUUUGGCGCCAACCUGAGUGCGCCAACUGCCCCCUCCCGUCAGUUCUACGUCUGGUACACUCUUGCCCUGGCAGCAGCUUCACUCGUUCGUUUCCCCUCCCGUCCUGCCCCCCACUCCCUACACCUACUUCUUUACGGAUUGGCUAUACUAUUCCGCUUUUUUAGUUCUGGCGGCUUAGGUAAUUAGUUUUUCCGACAUCUUCUUCACUUCGUCAUCCCGAGGUCACGGUCGCCACGGACACCUUUCGGUCAUUUCUGCGUUUGUUACUCGCUUGCCCUGGCAGCAGCUUCAAUAGUGUGUGGCUCGUCUUUCCCCCCACUCCCCUACCCCCCAGGCACGAGUCGCAGCAGUACGCCUCCGCCAUUGCUGCCUAUCAGUCCGCGGAGUUCAAGUCCAUGUCCUCCAUCAACAUGCUCAACGUGGUGCAGUCCGCCAUCAUGUUCUGCGGCAUUGCCUCGGGACUGCUGGUGUGCGCGGGUAGGAGGGGGUUGUGGCGUGCGCGGGUAGGAGGGGUUGUAGGAGGGCUUAGAGGGUUGGGUUGCAUCAGUGCCCCCCCCUCCCCUGGGUGCAAGAGGCGAGGAGGCGGCGGCACGUGGGCGAGGACCUUGCCCCUGGAACUGGUUAGGGGGGCUGGCUGACUGCCGGGCUGAAGCCCCGGCCCAUACAUACAUACAUACAUACAUACAUACAUACAUACAUACAUACAUACAUACAUACAUAUAUAUAUACAUACAUACGUCCUCUAUGUCGCAUACCCAGGUGGUGUGUCCGCCCACGUGCUGACGGUGGGAGAUGCGGUGCUGUUCCUCAGCCUUAUGGCCCAGCUGUACGGACCACUCAACUUCUUCGGGUCGUACUAUCGUACCAUUCAGCAGUACAUGGUGAGUGUCGGCGCGCAUGUGUGUGUGUGUGGUAGUGUUCUUGGAGGCGGCAACGCCGUACGUCAGUACUGCCACGACCACACCGUGGUACAGAGGCCGCCUCUGUACCUUAGAACUACCGGGGACUGUGUUCACCCCCCUCCCCCUGGCAGCAGCUUCACUCGUUCGUGGUUCGUCGUUCCCCCCUUCUCCCCCCUUCUCCCCCCUCCCUCAGAUCGACAUGGAGAACCUGAUGGAGCUGCUCGAGCGGCGGUCGGUGGUGGAGGAGAGCCCGGCGGCCCGGGAGCUGGUGGUGACUCAGGGUAGGUGGGGGUAUUGUACGAAAUGAGGGGGGAAGGGGGGGAGGGAGGGGGGGUGGGGGGAGGGAGGAGGGGAGGGAGGGGGGGAGGGAGGGGGGGUGGGAGGGGGUGGGAGGGGGAAGGUGCGUUCAGUGUGUGUGUGUGCGUGUGUGUGUGUGUGUGUGUGUUCUCCCUCGCUCCCUCCGGUUGCCCCUCAACACAUUAUAAUAAACCACAUCACAUGUUGCCCCGCUCACCCCCGCACGCUCUUCCAGGCGAGCUGGUGUUUGAUGACGUGUCUUUCCAGUACGACCGGGGGAAUCUGGUGCUGCGCCGCGUGAGCUUCCGGGUGCCCGGGGGGAGGACCGUCGCGUUCGUGGGGGCGACUGGCAGCGGCAAGUCCACCAUCACCAGGCUCAUAUUCAGGUGGGGGGGAGGGGUAAGGGGGGGGAUGCCCGUAUGUCUUAAUGAUCUGAGUGUUGCGAUGAUGGAAAUGCCAAGGAGGGUGCACGUGUUCGUAUGUAUGUAUGUCUAUGUGUCCUUGGUGGCGCCGUAGAGUGCUGCAGCCGGCCAGGGGUUUCCACCCCUCCGCUGAGCCCUCCCUCCCCCCCGGGGCCAUAUCGGGGUGAGGGGACUGAGCGGCUGCUCCGUGUACACACAUACACAUACACACACUUCCCCCCCACCCCCGGGUGCCCCCUCAGGUUCUACGACGUGUCCUCCGGGGCUAUCCGUGUGGACGGUCAGGACGUGCGGGAGGUGACCCAGGCCUCGCUGAGGAGGGCGGUGGGCAUGGUGCCGCAGGUGGGGGUGAGGGUGGGGGUGGGGGGCCCUCGCCGGGACAUACAUACACACGUACAUACAUACGUACAUACUUGCAUGGGGGAGUAAGCUGAGUUCGUUGCCUUGUGCUCGGCACCCGCCGCCAGCUGCCCGUGUGGUGUGCUGUGGCAUGGCGCUGCUAGUGGGCGGUGGGGGGAGAAGGAAGGAAGUCACCGCCACCCCCAACCCCCACAAGCCUGCACGGCACACGGCGGGGCGGGGUGGGGUGGGGGAGUUGUUGACGGCUCGCCGGAGAGUCGCUCUGCAUUAGGACCAGGUGAAGUUUAUGUGUAUGUGUAUGUGUAUGUAUGUCAGAAGUGAAGUCCAUCCGCGUCAGACAUACGUACAUACACUUACACCCACAUACAUGCAUGCAUACAUACGCAUAUGUACGCACACAUACAUACUCCAAUUUCCUGCUCAGAUUUUAACAUCACCCACACCCACCCACACACACACACCCCUUGCUAUGCUCCGCAGGACACGGUGCUGUUCAACGACACCAUCAUGCACAACAUCCGGUACGGCAAGUUGUCGGCCACAGAUGAAGAGGUGCGCGUGCCGUGAAGUCAGAUGUGGGCUCCUGUGGGGCUGUGUGUGUGUGUGUGGUGGGUUGGAGACUUCCGCCCGCCCGCCCUAUGUAUGUACGUAUGUAUGUAUGUUGUUACAGGGUGGUUAACUUCGCCAGCGGCCCCCUUUCCCGGGGCAGUCCCUGCUCUCCCCUGCUAGAGGGGCACCCUAAUCCGUCACCCCAUCCGACUUCAGAAUGUAUUCGUUGGGUUCGGCAACUCACCACCAGCAUCCAACCAAAUCUAGCGGAUCAACGGCGCAUCAACUUAGUUCCUGGUUAGCUCGCAAGUUGAUUUUAUCACGUCCUACAUCGUCCAUAUGAUGGGGGGCCACCUCCCAUUUCAACACUCCUCAAACACCCGAGGAGCGGGCAGGCGGAUUUGAACCCGGGUCGGCCGGGAGCAGAAGUCAGGCCUUAACCUCUGCCAGCCGCCUGACUGUACGUAUGUAUGUAUGUAUGUAUGUAUGUAUGCUCGGACUGCAUCCAUCCAUUCCGUCGAUGACUUCAUCGCCUAGGACUCCCUCGGGGCAGCUUCACACUUUGGGCGGCGGCAGUGUGUUUCCGGGUUUCCCGCAUAUNNNNNNNNNNNNNNNNNNNNNNNNNNNNNNNNNNNNNNNNNNNNNNNNNNNNNNNNNNNNNNNNNNNNNNNNNNNNNNNNNNNNNNNNNNNNNNNNNNNNNNNNNNNNNNNNNNNNNNNNNNNNNNNNNNNNNNNNNNNNNNNNNNNNNNNNNNNNNNNNNNNNNNNNNNNNNNNNNNNNNNNNNNNNNNNNNNNNNNNNNNNNNNNNNNNNNNNNNNNNNNNNNNNNNNNNNNNNNNNNNNNNNNNNNNNNNNNNNNNNNNNNNNNNNNNNNNNNNNNNNNNNNNNNNNNNNNNNNNNNNNNNNNNNNNNNNNNNNNNNNNNNNNNNNNNNNNNNNNNNNNNNNNNNNNNNNNNNNNNNNNNNNNNNNNNNNNNNNNNNNNNNNNNNNNNNNNNNNNNNNNNNNNNNNNNNNNNNNNNNNNNNNNNNNNNNNNNNNNNNNNNNNNNNNNNNNNNNNNNNNNNNNNNNNNNNNNNNNNNNNNNNNNNNNNNNNNNNNNNNNNNNNNNNNNNNNNNNNNNNNNNNNNNNNNNNNNNNNNNNNNNNNNNNNNNNNNNNNNNNNNNNNNNNNNNNNNNNNNNNNNNNNNNNNNNNNNNNNNNNNNNNNNNNNNNNNNNNNNNNNNNNNNNNNNNNNNNNNNNNNNNNNNNNNNNNNNNNNNNNNNNNNNNNNNNNNNNNNNNNNNNNNNNNNNNNNNNNNNNNNNNNNNNNNNNNNNNNNNNNNNNNNNNNNNNNNNNNNNNNNNNNNNNNNNNNNNNNNNNNNNNNNNNNNNNNNNNNNNNNNNNNNNNNNNNNNNNNNNNNNNNNNNNNNNNNNNNNNNNNNNNNNNNNNNNNNNNNNNNNNNNNNNNNNNNNNNNNNNNNNNNNNNNNNNNNNNNNNNNNNNNNNNNNNNNNNNNNNNNNNNNNNNNNNNNNNNNNNNNNNNNNNNNNNNNNNNNNNNNNNNNNNNNNNNNNNNNNNNNNNNNNNNNNNNNNNNNNNNNNNNNNNNNNNNNNNNNNNNNNNNNNNNNNNNNNNNNNNNNNNNNNNNNNNNNNNNNNNNNNNNNNNNNNNNNNNNNNNNNNNNNNNNNNNNNNNNNNNNNNNNNNNNNNNNNNNNNNNNNNNNNNNNNNNNNNNNNNNNNNNNNNNNNNNNNNNNNNNNNNNNNNNNNNNNNNNNNNNNNNNNNNNNNNNNNNNNNNNNNNNNNNNNNNNNNNNNNNNNNNNNNNNNNNNNNNNNNNNNNNNNNNNNNNNNNNNNNNNNNNNNNNNNNNNNNNNNNNNNNNNNNNNNNNNNNNNNNNNNNNNNNNNNNNNNNNNNNNNNNNNNNNNNNNNNNNNNNNNNNNNNNNNNNNNNNNNNNNNNNNNNNNNNNNNNNNNNNNNNNNNNNNNNNNNNNNNNNNNNNNNNNNNNNNNNNNNNNNNNNNNNNNNNNNNNNNNNNNNNNNNNNNNNNNNNNNNNNNNNNNNNNNNNNNNNNNNNNNNNNNNNNNNNNNNNNNNNNNNNNNNNNNNNNNNNNNNNNNNNNNNNNNNNNNNNNNNNNNNNNNNNNNNNNNNNNNNNNNNNNNNNNNNNNNNNNNNNNNNNNNNNNNNNNNNNNNNNNNNNNNNNNNNNNNNNNNNNNNNNNNNNNNNNNNNNNNNNNNNNNNNNNNNNNNNNNNNNNNNNNNNNNNNNNNNNNNNNNNNNNNNNNNNNNNNNNNGGGUGGUUGGGGUGGGUAGUACCCCCUGUCGGGCAGUGGCGGUGAGGUGCUGGUGGUGUCAGAGGCCGCAGUCCGGGGGCUGCAGUCCAGCUGGCUCGCGUGUAUUUCCCCCGCCCCCUGCCCGACCACUUGGUCGUCUACCACUUCCCCCCCCCUCCUUUCUGGGCUCCCUGACCUGCAAUCUCCUGUAGAUGUAUGUAUGUAGGUAGGUACCUACGAACGAAUGAUAAAAUAUGAAUGAAUGAAUGAGUGCUGGGUCCGUCUCACCCCCCCCCGUUUCACCCCCUUCACCUCCUCUCUCCACACACGCACGUACGUACAUACAUACGUACAUACAGAUGAGGCCACCUCUGCUCUGGACACCAUCACGGAGAAGAAAAUCCAGGUGCGCGUGUAUGUAUAUCCGUGGGCUGUGGGCCAGGGGAGCCCUCAUGGGUUUGCCGUACAAGUGCAGCCAUGUUCCAGGUUUUCCUCCCUCCUUUCCCUUAUUAACCAGUUUGGGCCCAGCCUCUUGAAUGCCGCCGCCAGGCCGGCGGCCUAACAGCUCACGUCAUCCCUUUCUCUUCUCACGACAGUUUUAUUCCUCUUUCGUCGCCUUUACACCUACCUUCUCUAACUUACGGCUUGGCUUUACUGCGGCUUUCCUCCGCGAUCAUUUUAGUCUUGGCAGCUAGGUAGGUAGGUAGGUAGGUCGUCACCGCUGCAUCAUCACUACUCCUCUUCGGUCUUCGGUCUUCUUCACAACCGCCGGCUGGUCAGUUCUGCUUCCUGUACAUCUGCCGCGGAGCACUCUUUCCUCCUGGCAUCAGCUUCACUCUUUCACGUGGUUCGUCUUUCACCCCUCCCCCCCUCCCCCUCCCCCUCCCCCCUCCUCCCCCCUGGUCGCAGUCGGCGCUGACCGAGCUGCGCUCCUCCCGCACCACCGUCAUCGUGGCCCACCGUCUAUCCACAAUCGCCGAUGCGGACACGAUUGUGGUGAUGUCGCUGGGCCAGGUGGCGGAGGUGGGGGACCACCUGGGGCUGCUGGCGAAGGGGGGCCUGUACGCGGAGAUGUGGGCCCGGCAGGCGGCGACAGCGGCGGCACAGGUGGGUGUGGGGGGUGGGGGGUCGGGAGGGGAUGCGUUGUGCUCGCGUUGGCAGUCCGGGGUAGGGGGUUAGGGGGGGAGUAACGGGGGAGAGAGGAGCGCUCCUGCCAGCUCACCCACAUGAUAUACACACCGGUACGGCUCUGGUGAGUGUGUUGCGGCUGCUGUCUAACUGGCUGCCUCCUUAUACUCCUGGUCCCCCCCUUCCUCCUCCACUUCCUCCUCCUAUUCCUCCUGCUGCUGCCUAACUGGCUGCUGCAACCCCCGGGUUACUCAGGGCGGUGAGGACAGCGAGCGAACAACCUCACGGCCGGGCAGCGCAAUGGACCUCACCCGCCUCGGCAGUAACAACAGUAACGGGGCGGCAGUGGCGGCGGCCGGGGGGCCGGGGGGGGCAUCAGCAGCACCCGCUCCAGCCCCCACCCCACCCACCGCCGGCACUGAGGCCGCCGCUGCCGCUCACAUGACGUCCUGGGGCGGUACGGACGCCGCCGCCGCUGCCAGCGGCAGGGGAGCUGUGGCGGCCGGCGGUACGGACACUGCUGGUGUCGUACCGCCUGCUGCAGCGUCCACCCCUCAGCUCCCUCCCCACUCACCCGCACCUUCACCCUCUACUGCCCAGCUGAUUGGCGGUCAGGACGCGGAGUGUGAGGGUGUGGGUGAGGCGCCGGCAGGAGGAGGGGGAGGAGGGCUGGGCAGUGUGGGCGGUCCGGAGGCUGCGGGGGCCGCAGCUGAGGCCACCGCGGCGAUGACUUCAGCAGCAGGUGCCGGGGCGGCUGCGGUAGCGGGACGAGCCACUGAGGCGGCUGGUGAUGGUGGCGGUGGGGGUGGGGGCGGGGCGGCGCGGUUGGUAGCGGAUUCCGGAGCUCAGAUUGGAACAACAGCAGCAGCAGGAGGAGGAGGAGGAGGAGGAGGAGGAGGACCCUCCGGCGGGCGGGGCGGGGGUGGUGGUAGUGGUGGUAGUGGGGGUGGUAGCGGUGGAAGGGGCGGUGGAGCUGCCUCAGGGUCGGGUCGCGGGGGUAAGUCUCGCAAGGGGCGCAAGUAGGCGGCGAGGAAGCCUCCUCCUCCCAAGUAGGGGCCGGAGACCAGCUGCAAGUGGACUGAAGGGUUUGGUGGCAGGUGGUGGGGCUUCACCGCUUGGUGGGCCCCCCCCCCCAGGUGCCCCGCCAGGUGCAAUCCAUAGCGCAACCGCGGGAGGCCGAUGCCCCAUCACUGGCGCCGCGCGUAGCGUAGCGUGUGGCAGGAGUUUGGGUUACAUGCACAUGACCCAGGGUAUAUCCAUCGUCCUUGUGUGUGGGGGGGGAUGAGUUUUGGUGUGGUGUGUGUGUGUAGCGGCUGUUGGGGGUGUUCGAGGGUGCAGGGCCGGAAGGCCCUCGAGGGAGGGAAGUGGCGGUGGCAUGAUGGCUCACGAUAACGAUGAAGGUCGCUCACUCGCGGUGUGUCGCGUGCGUGCACCCCUCUGAUGUGCCCAUCACUACUGCUACCCCGCUAAAGUUGCCUUCCUACCAUGGCCCCUUUGAAUUGUCGAUAGCGUUAUGGGGGCGGCGCAUACAGCGAUGCGUGCGGUCCAGGUCAUAACGAGCUAGCUCUGGGCCAACGGUGUUAGUGGUACGACGGUUACCGGCACAUAAGCCCCACAGCGCGGGGUGGGUAACACGCAGGGGGGCUACUUGUGUGUGUAUGUGUGUAUGUGUCUGUCUGUUUGUCUUUCUGUCAGCAGCGGACAGGGCACCUGGUGCGGUGAGGAGAGCCCCAUAACGAGCAUUUGGUCGUGUAUGACUCCCAGAAGGCCCAAUACAUGAAAUGGCAGGUUGUGCAUGUGUGCAUGUAAUGCGGCUCAUUCGCGCCGUCUGGAGGCCGUCGGGGUCGUUAUGACGUCAUCGUGCAAGGCACUGUACGGCAGACCAGACACGGUUUGGGCCAGAGGAAGAGGGGCCGACAAAACCUCAUUCCGCUGAUAUUGUGGAAAGCCGUGCGUCCAUACAUAUGUACAUACUUACAUAUGUACAUAUGUACAUACAUGCAUACAUACAUGUGGGCGCCCACGGCUUCACCCGUGCUGGCCGUGCUGACAUGCAAGGCAGGCCAUUGCUUCAUGGGCAGGUGGCGGCGAAUAUGUACAGUGAUGCAGUGCGCUGCGGUGUGGUGUGGUGUGGUGUGGUGUGGUGUGGUGUGGUGUGGUGUGGUGUGCAUUGCAUGCGGUGGGAAUUCCUGCAGGAUGUGUGAAUGCUGGCUGCUGCGCAUUUAACUUACAUACGUCGCGGCUAGCCGCAUGGUGCCGCCUCUUCCCACCGGCAUCGCUGCUCAAGGCGCCCUCUUGUGGGUGGAAAAUUGAAACUUAGAUGUAAUAAAAAACCCACAUCGUAAAUAGCUUUAUUAAUCAAAUUAGAGUCCAGAUGGCAGCGGGGAAUUUGUAUGAGGGUCGGCACGCUGCAGUCCGUUGUGUUGUGUGUAUUCAUCGGAUUGGGGGAGGGGUAACGCCAGGGCCAGGUGGUCGCGCUGCAAGGGGGGGGGGAAAUGCCCCAGCUGCCCCUCAGCCCGCACCCUCAGCAGUAGUGGCUAACCGCGCGCGUACUCCUUGCUGCACACCGGCACAACAGGCUGCCUAACAAACCGCGCACAUUCACAUUCCGCAAAUCGUCACCACCCACCACCACCACUACCUACGUGGUUCGCUGCGUUUUCACAUUUACGCGGUUUGGGGACGUGAUCGUCCUCUCACGGCAGACCAUAUACCGUCUUUACGGGCAAGGAGCGCUGCUUGCAACCGACUGGUUGCCCAGUAAGCUGUUGCCAAGUCAAGGAGGCCCCACCCACUGAGUGGGUGAGUGCUGACCAGGGCCUGGAGUGAUCACUCCAUGUUGAAUACCAAGCAUUGGCAUCAGAACAUCAGCAAAAUAAAACAAUACAGACCCAGAACUAAAAAUUUAAAAACGUGCGGAAACAACCCCUCAACGUGGGCAACUUCCAAGGAACGCGCCUGAGCGAAAACCUGGGAAUCGACCCGCAAACCACCCCUCUCCCCCUUCUUCUGCAGUACUCUUUGCUGGCGCCCACGUGUUAGCGAACAAGAAAACUGAAUUGCGCGGCCAAGUCCGGGCCUCAUUCGACCCGUGUCGAUUAGGUCUUUCGACAUAUUGCCGCCGUGUUUGUCGAGCGGUCGAAUCGGGCCCCGUCGGUCGUAUCGUAUUAUCGCUUUACCAGUACGUUUAUAGUCCUUGAGCAGUUUGCGCGCUAGUGUGGUGGUGUAGUGCACUACAAGGCUAUCAUUUAUAGGAGUCAGAAUUUCGCUGAAAUGCGUAAAAAUGAGGGAUUACAAACUUAGAGAGGGUUUUAGGUGAGGUGAGAUUCUUGAUCAAUGAUUUCACGCAAAGCGCAGCUGUGACUCAGCUGGCCUUUCUGCAUACAUUUGCGCAAUAAUAUACGAUGUGUACAGUAAGUAGACCAGCAAGGUUUGUGCGGUUCGGGCCGAAAGGGUUUGCGCCCGCCAUUGGGAUAGCGCUGUGUAGCCGUAGCAGCCGAACGAACGCCCCGAGUGUGUAAAGAUAUUCCGCUCUCGUGUUUCAGUAAAAGCUGCACCUCAUAUGAGACAUGCACACAUUUGUGCGCCAUAAACGACAAACUUCCGCUUUGUAAGCCGCCACAGGAAUGCUUUUGCUUGGCUUUCACAGGAAUGACCAUCUUUCGCGAGAGGCAACGCCGCUCACCGGAAGGAGGUGCGUGGGGGGCACACAAUUGUGUCCUACGUGCCCCGCUGUAGAUAAACGUUUGCUGUUAACACAGCUAGUUUUCUGAUAGACGCGGCCAGCGUUGUGCGCCUCUACGAUAGGCCCCAGGCAACCACACUGCUUGUAAGCGUUCCUUAAUCGCAUCUGCGCACAUCGCCACAAACUAGCUACAAAUAAAUAUCAAAUUAAGAACUGUUCGUAAACUAGGCACCCCGAUCUUGGGUUUGCAGCUACAUGGCCCGGCACGUGCGUCCUCGUUGGGCCGGAUGGGGCUCAGCGUGUAAUGCGCGGGUAUUGCAUUGGAUUGGCCCACAGCAUCAGCAACUAGCACGUUUUUGACAAAAGGCGGGGAUGGAUCUCCGUUGAGUUGUGAAUGUUUUCGGGGAGGGAUAGAGCGCACGUGGCUUGUUCCUGGGCGAUGUUUGUCAUCGAGGUUUCUGGGGUACCCAAUAAAAAGGUCAUCGGGGAUAUUGGCUUUGCCUGAUGACCUGUCGAACCUUUCGGUGACCACACGCAAGUAGUCCAAAACCACAUGGAAAUCCGAAUUGCACGACAAGGCAGCACAUCCAUACGUAAGCCCUCAGAAGUUUCGAUAUGUACCCAUUGAUUAUUUUGAAAAUGAUAGCAGUGGGUACUGUAUCAUAGUUUGCCAGCAUGCCGCAGUGACAAGUUUCGGAAAGACCUGGUAGCCAUCUUUAUUAUCGUAGGAUGUUUAGUUUGUAAUGUCUUGUAUGUUACGUAAUUAGUCGGAAGCCAUGUUGGAAAAUCCCAUCGAGCGUGUGACGACGCGGUCGAUGAGCCGGCAGAAGGUUGCGCAGCUGCCGGAGAGGAAGCCCAGCAGCAAGCGAAACAUUUCAGAAAUAGAAGAUAAAGCACAUGUUAAGUUGACAGAUCUAAAAAGUCCUCGGCUUGCAUCUUGCGCAAAGCCCUUAGCGGCGCCCACCGCGACUACUACGGCGCCCCAGGACAACGGAGGGCCCUGUGGACUGCAUCAGUCAACAGAUGCAACUGCUAUGCGGCCAAAUGGAGACGUCGUUGUCCAAUCCACCGCCAUCGCUAUCUCUGCCGACACAGCAGGUCAAGCCGCCACCCGUAAGCGACAGCGUCGGUAUCCACCACCCGUAAGCGAGCCGCCUCCAUCACAGCUGCUACAACACCCGCUACCACAACCACCACAACCACCACCUCCGGAACCGCAGCAAGGCCCGCAUCAGAUCCAGGCCCCCAGAGCACCGCCGGCCUCCUUCCAUGACGCAUGUCAGCCGUCCUGCUGUGAGAUGGCCACUAUACCUACUGCCGUACACCCACCCUCACUGGCAACCGCACAGCAGUUGGCGCCCGCCACUGCAAACGGCUCCUGUGAAUCAGGUUGGUUAGUUGGUUGAUUGGUUAGUUGGUAUGGCAAAGUGCUGCCCCAGCGCACGUAUGUGCAAACAAAAACAAAAUCGCGAUUUGUUUUCAUCAGCCGGUACAUCCCCCAUAUACCGGAUACCAACUCAUUAUCAAUACUGGCACCACUUGUACAACCGGUACGCAGUUGCAGGCAGCGAAAUCUGCCAUGUAUCCAAUAUGGUUUUCCUGUCCGGCCUGUCCGCCAGAAAGUACAUGAAGGCCUUAGAACACAGGCGACAAUCCGGCUGAAGCCUUUGGCCGGUUUUGCCUUUGCGUGCCGUCUGUCACUCUUUAGUCCCUCUGCCGGUGUGCAGUGCUUUGUUGUUUGUUUGUAUGUAUACCGUUGCUCCUGCUUCCGACCGUUUGGCCCUCAUCCCCCGGCGCCCAUUUCUUCUCCUUCGCUGUCCCACAAUUCAUGCGGCCAUGGAUGGAUGGAUGGAUGGAUGGAUGGAUGGCCAUGCAACAAUGCCUUCAGAAGCUGCCAAGCCACUCGUGGCUGCAGAGGCUCCGAAACCACCACCCGCGGGAGGGCCAGUUGCUAUCGAAGUCCCAUCGCCCCCGGAGGCACCAGUAGAGGUGCCAGUAGAGGUAUCACCGGUACCGGCGGCUGCAUCGGUGCCGUCGGUGCUGCUGACCGCGGUCGCCGGCGGCAUGUCGUCCACGGCGCCCCGCUGCCCCACCACCGCUACCGCUGGGACCCCUGGGACCAAUGCAAUGAACUGCGGCGGCGCCGCCGCCGAGAUACAGCCCGCCGGGUCCAUGAUCUGCUCAUCCGCCAGUGCCUUACAUCAGCACGUCAUCAGCUGCGCGUCAGCCGCCGCCGCCGCCGCCGCUGCCGGCACUUCCGCAUCCACCUCCGCCGCGAGCAGCUGCCCCGCUACUGCCGCUAUUGCCACUGCCCUUACGGCUGUUGGUGCUACUGCCAUUCCCGUUGCUGGUGCAGCCGGGGGUAUGGCUGCUGGUACGGCGGCCGCUGUUGGCGCCGUCAUGAGCAGCGGCAUGGCGUUGUACCUGCAGCUAGUGGCGGAGGCCGCCGCCGCUGGUGGUGGUGUCGGGAGUCGAGGCGGGAGUCGGGGCGGUGGCGGGGAGCAGCAGCGGCCGGCGGAGGGCAGUCGGGUUUGGAUCAAGGUGUGCAUCGAGGUUCGGGAGGGCAGAGGGAGAGGGAGACGGAGACGGUAUCGGACAGAGCAGGCGGGCUGAGAACCAGGGGGGGAAGGGUCGGAGGACAGACAGACAGACAGACAGACAGACUAACAGGCGUACAGCGGGGGCCAUGCAGCGAGGGGCAUGUCGAGCACACAGACAUCGGUAGUGUGAUGAUGCAGCGGGACUGAUUUUCAGUGUUCAGGCGGCCGCGGCGGCGGCGGGGGUAUGUGAGCACGGCCUCAUUCAGGCAAUUGAAUUCAAUGUCAAUAUAAUGCAAUGUAAAGCAGGUGAGGUCCCUGCCGGCCUUACUCAGCCAAGGAGAACCCCAGGGGAUAUGGAUGGGGUGGUUGGGUGGUUGGGUGGUUGGGUGGUUGGGUGGUUGGGACAUGUAUGACAUAACAUAGACACCCGGUUCAACCUCUCGGCCCGCUGGCCCCCCGUGCAACAAACCUAUCAGAUGGCUGGCUACUGCCACUGGCCCGCGGUGGUGUUUUCACUUCGCUACUGCCGCAAGUCUGAGGUUCCCGACCUGCUGGCGAGCUACCAACCCGGUCGUACUCUCGUACAUUUUUACGGUACGGUACAGCAAAUGACACCUGGUGGGAAAUACGGUCUAACAGCUACCUGGAGCCGUUUGUUUGCAAUCGUUUGAUUAUAAAGCAGCGCCGCAUAGCGGCUAUUCCAUUAUCUGGCACUUAGGGCACUUGGUUUGUUUGUUUGUUGUUUGCAGUUGAGUUUUAACAUCGAACGGUCGCCCACCAUUUCUCAUGACAUAGCUGAGCUGAGCUGGGAAAGCUGUACCCAAAUAUCAUCGCAAGUGUAUGAAAUUCGUUUUUUGUCAUGCAUAUUGUUGUUACGUGCAUUACGACAAUUAUUGCGUACUUGCGGUUAAACGUUUCUGCUGCCACCGGCUUGAAGCUGUCGGUGUGGGCGCCGUAAGCCGCGCAACUGUACAACUGGCAAAUAACAGACACAUGACACGUGACUGACCAUUAAUAAGGAUCAGCGCCCACACUGGUACUGCGGAGGCUAUGCGCUCUGAGGAUGUCGCUAUCGCCGGAUUGCAGCAACUCCAGGACACUCCGUAUCGACCGCAUUCGCGACCGCCCCGACAGCGAUGAAGCAACUCCUCCUCUUGAUGAUGACCCUCCCUCGCAAAUUGCACCUCAUUAUAAAGCGGCGUAUAACGCAAUCACGAUACAUUUUUACAUUCUUAGUAUGUUCUUAGUUCUUGGGGUUUUAGGUUUCUUCGGCUUUAGUUCUUAGCCUGGGUGCAUGGGACCGUCCGGACUUCCCCCCUACAUAUAUCUCGUUCACGUACUAGCGGGCACCUCCUACUAACACUCCUACUCCUACUAACAUUUCGCUUCCCAGGCUCCCAUGACCACGUGUGGGCCACUCAAGCAUCGCUGUCGUCCUGGACCACGGAAAGGGAGGUCCGCCUAGCCGCACUCAAGGCGGCGGCGAGGAGGUGAGCGCGAGCUGGGCGACUGAGCGACUGAGCGCGGGCUGCUGAGCGCCAUUGCUGAGCGCCAUGAGUUGAAUGGUGAUGUGCACAAAUCACUGCCCUCAUCACGACAUCCCGUCUGCCCGGUCGAGGUCCUAAGCAGCUGCACCAGCAGCACCAGCAGCACCAGCAGCACCAGCAGCACCAGCAGCACCAGCAGCACCAGCAGCACCAGCAGCACCAGCAGCACCAGCAGCACCAGCAGCAAUAACGUGCUCUUUUUGACCCCCACUAGCUAGCUAGCUACCUAUCACCUGGUCCGGCACUUGUACGCUGUUGCUUGUUGCUGUUGCCCACUGUCAGACGGUACGGUGCUUCCGGCCGAGCUAGGAGUAACAAGGGCUAACUAACCACGCACCAUCGCUCUCAAUACGUUACCUACCUACCUAUCUAACCUACCUACCUACCUACCUACCUACGUACCUACCUACCUACCUAUCUAACCUACCUACCUACCUAACCUACCUACCUACCUAACUGCUCUUGCCAACCGCUUCUGCCAGUCGAAGCUGCCUCACCUGCUAUCUGCGCUAUCGCCUACACAUAUUCCGCAACCCCAACUGUCAUACACCUGACCCCCCCUCCCCUCGCGAUCUCACUCACCCACUCGCCCAUCCAAUGCAUCCAUGCAUCCAAAUGCAACAUAGCUCCAAAGUCGCCGCUGCCACCCUGGCUGAGCUGAGCGGCUCCCUGGGGGCUAAUGCCGCCUCCGACCGCGGGAGGGAGCUCGAGAGGGUGGUGCAGAUGCGGGAGGUGGCGCUCGGACAGCCGCUGGGCGGGAAGGGGGGUGGCGGCAACAGUGGUGGCGGCGGCGGUGGCGGUGGUGGCAGGAAAGGCGGGAAGGCGCAGUGCGGUGGAUGCCGCGAAAGCGGGACGCAGGUGGGGAGCGGCCUUUACAUUACAGUCCAGCUACAUACAUACAUAUACACAACACUUGCCGCUCAUAUGGGGCAUUGGAAAACGCCGCAGCGUGCGGCCCCAGCGUCCUCAUCCAGCCACUACCACGCACGCAGUUCGCCCACCACCGAAACACCGCAACUGCCACCGCGCCUGUCACCACCCACAUCCUUUCCGCAAUGCCGUGCCGCAGGUCACCUGCGCGUCUUGCCGUACCGGCUUCCACACGUUGUGCCUACCGCAGCCCGACCUCAGCCCGGCGCACAUGCUGGCAACCGCAGCACUGCUUUCGGCGGCAACGACAGAACAGACAGCGCAGCCGCACCCUAUCCAACAGCAGCAGCAGCGGCAGCAUUUAGUUGUGGCCGUGUGGAUCUGCGGAGUUUGUGGGAAGCAGAACGAGGUGAGCGCCGGUGCAGGCACGGCACGAGGGCAUGUGUGAUGCAGGCUGGGGCAGAGCAAGUCGGGGGAUGUGCCUUCAUCAAACAAUUUUACAAGGGGGUUACAAGUUCCUGUCUAAUGCGGGCCCCGGCCAUAAAAGUCCCCGUGGAAGAGGGGACCCCCCGUGGACGGUCAGGUCACUAGCCAUUACUGCGGCACCCCGUGUGAGGACGUCGACGGCCUCCUCUCCCGCUCGCCUGGGUUCGGAGCGCCCGAGCGCGAUGCGCCUGUUGGUCUCCUGAGCAUACCUCCGAUAGAGAAAACUAGCCAUACAGCUACAGGGGGGGGAGUCCGCCAUUAUAGUAGCCAUUUCGCGCCGUUGGAAGCCCGCACUAUGGCCCCCUCUUAUUACUGCUGCCCGACCUGAUGCCCAUGUCUAUGUACCACAUAAAGCUGCCCGUCGUCCCUAACACUCCGCCACCGGCAUCAACGCCACCCCGUACAACCCUUUAACUGCAACAGCUGAAGGGACCGGUGCCUGCAAGUGUUGCGCAUCGUACCGCCGCCCCGCCUCGGGAAGGUGGGUGGGUGGGUGGGUGGGUGGGUGGGUGGGUGGGUGGGUGGGUGCGGCAGGUGGGUGGGUGGCCGCAGGCAGCGGCAAGCAGGACAGUCUGGGGGUGGCAGAUGUAGGCGGUUUGAAUUCGUAUUGCGUCUCUACGUAAUCCACAACAUACGUGUGUGCGCGGAGUAGGAUACAUAAGGACCCGUAUGAGCGUCUGCAUGUGCGUCUGUAUGUGCAUCUGUAUGUGCGUCUGUAUGUGCGUCCGUAUAUGCGUCUGUAUGUGCGUGUGUGUGUGGAUGUGUGUGUGUGUGUGUGUGUGGGCUGGACUACUGACUGCAGUCUAAAGGCACUACGGCACUCGCCUGCCACUGCUGCUGCUGCUGCUGGUGUCGACAGCCGACUUCAAAGUCAAGUAACAGCAUGCUGCAGGGAGUUGAUGAUAUGCGCAACAAUGUCGCCCACUUCUGCUGAUAUGAUGCUGAUAUUGUUCUGCUGAUAUGUGCUGAUAUGUGCUAAUAUGUGCUGAUAUGAUGCUGGUAUGCUGAUGGUGGUGUUGGUACUGGUGGAUGGUGGUGCACACACAGGAGGCGGCGGUGGCGCUCCCCGAGGCGGUGGCCGCCCACCGGGAGGCGGGUGGAGGGCGGGGGACGCAGCGGGAGGGGCGUCGGGGGCGUGUGGUGCCGGCACUGGCACUGGCACUGGCACUGGCACUGGCAGCGGCGGUGCCGACCUCAGCCCGAACAGCCCACAGCUGCCGCAGCCGCAGCAGCAGCCCCAGGUCCCACAACACGCGGAAUUACUGGCGCUGUACGAGCAGCUGGUGGCGGAGGAUGAGGCACUAGAGGCCUCAGUGGCAGCAGCAGCAGCAGAAGCACCAGCAAUACCAGCAAGGGAUAUCGUACAGGUAGAUCCUCAAACAGAAUUCGUAACUGCAUUCUUCACUACAGAAAAUGCCUCAGCGGGUGCCGGGAAGAAAAUUGCCGUACCGGUUUCAGAGCCGAGAUCUGGGCCGUCAUUAUUACCGUCAAUCGGCCAACUGCAGCUCCAGCCACCCGCGGCAGCAGCGGCGAUGGGCGCCACCACUUCCGCAGCCGCUACAGCAGUAGCAGUAGCAGCUAGCAGCAGCAGUAGUGGUGCUGUCCCCGGCGGCCAGGGGUCGAGGCCGCCGCCGGGAACCAGGCUCUGGGUAAAGGUGGGUUCGUGCACUAGAUAACCAGCUAACUAUGAAAUGUCCGUUUGUGUCUUUGGGCAUCAUGGCUCUUAAUAUUCAUUGUGCAUGAAUACAAGACAAAUCCGUGUUAAGGCGCGACACAUUUGUCGUUGCAAUGCAUAAUCACUUCCUCUCUAUUUAUGAAAAAGAGCGGAAUGAUAAUGACGAUGGUGGUGAUGGUGUUGAUAUGUUUUGAGGGCCCCCCCUGCCCUUGCAGACCCCGGGCUACUGCCACUGGCCCGCGGUGGUGUUUUCACUUCGCUAUUGCCGCAAGUCUGAGGUCCCCGACCUGCUGGCGAGCUACCAACCCGGUUGUACCCUCGUACACUUUUAUGGUACGGAGUUCCAAAGGAUUUAAAAGAGGGUACGGAUAAACACGCAGUUACAACAGUGCUUGACUUUACGAGCCGCCGCCGCCAACGCUGCCGCCGCCUAGCAUACAUCUAAAUUUCUCCACACACCUCACUACUACCCCUCACCUGAUCCACGUGCGGUACGUGGGCCCCGACGGAUGCAGGGGAGCACAACCACAUGUGGCUGCCCGCAGAGGAGGUGGCGCUGCUGGCGGCGGCGGCGGCGGACCCGCGCGAGGAGCAGGAGAGGCGGGAGGGGCUGGUGGCCUGGACCAGCAGGAGAAAGAAGGGGNNNNNNNNNNNNNNNNNNNNNNNNNNNNNNNNNNNNNNNNNNNNNNNNNNNNNNNNNNNNNNNNNNNNNNNNNNNNNNNNNNNNNNNNNNNNNNNNNNNNNNNNNNNNNNNNNNNNNNNNNNNNNNNNNNNNNNNNNNNNNNNNNNNNNNNNNNNNNNNNNNNNNNNNNNNNNNNNNNNNNNNNNNNNNNNNNNNNNNNNNNNNNNNNNNNNNNNNNNNNNNNNNNNNNNNNNNNNNNNNNNNNNNNNNNNNNNNNNNNNNNNNNNNNNNNNNNNNNNNNNNNNNNNNNNNNNNNNNNNNNNNNNNNNNNNNNNNNNNNNNNNNNNNNNNNNNNNNNNNNNNNNNNNNNNNNNNNNNGGGGAAGGGGGAGGGGGAAGGGGGAGUUCCUGCUGGUCCAGGUUAAGAGACGGGCGGGUAGCCGGCAAUAGCAGGCGAGGCGGUUCCGUGCGUUCAUGGUUCAUGGAGGGGUUGGGCGCCUGUCACUGAGUGUGCUCGCGACCCUUUUUACAGAUGCUUCGCCUGCUGCACCCUGCCCUGCAGGUGCGGGGGGGGGGACCCCAUCCGGAGCGGAACCCCAAAAUCCAUCCCCUAACCAGCAAGCCCUUUCCCACCCCAUCCCCAACCCCCUCCAACUCCCCCACCGCAGUGCCGUCAGCGGCCACACGGCCCUGGCGGAACUGGAGGACGCACAACCUCCUCUGCCACCCCCUGAAGCGGCUGCGGCGGCUGCUACCACUUCCCCUGACUCCACUCCAACUCCAACUGCUGGUACCCCCUUCGCCGCCAUGGCCGAAAUGGGGAGUGACAGCAGUAGUGCGGGACUUAUGGGUGUCGCCUCCAACAGCGACUCCAACUCCAAUCCCACUUCACCCUCCCCUUCCUUCCAACUGCCUUUCGGACAAGAAGUACAGCCUCUACCACCUCCUCCUCCCCCUUCUCCUCCACCUCCACCACCUCAGCAGUCGGUGGUAACCCCGGGCCCAGUCUGGGGGGGCGCUGCCCGGCGGGAAGUGGUGCGGGUGGUGGCAUUGCGGGAGGCGCGGAUGGCGGCGGAGGAGGAGCGCCGGGAGCAGGAGGCGUGGGAGUUGCUGCUCACGGGGGCCAGGGAGGGGGCUGCGGCCACUGCGGGACCUCCAGGCGGCGGCAGGCGGGGAGGCGGAGGCGGGGCCCCGGGGGGCAGUAGCGGCGCUGGGUUUGGGGGUGCGGGUGGCGGCCGCGAUAGAGAUGGGCUGGGGAUGCGUGCUGCGGGAGGUGGCGGGGAGGGCGGUGUGGGCGGGUGGCGCUCCCGGCUGCGAGUGUGUGCCGCCUGCGAGGAGCCCGGAGGCCAGGUGUGUGGAGGGGGAGGCGUGGGGGGGUUCCCAGGACUGUGAAGAGAGGGAUGUCUGGAGUACCUGCUGCGACCCACGCGGUUCUUUCUUUCCGGGGCCCCCAAUGAACCGUGCUGUGUCUGUUGGGGAUAGGGAGUAGUAGUGCUGAAAGCUAGAGCGAGAUUGGGAGAGCGGGUUUUCCCCCUUUGGUGGGCUGGGGCCCGAAGCACCUGUUCUCGGUCAAGUAACACCAACCAUGAAGUGCCCUUGCUUGUCUGUCUGUCUGUCUUCUGUCUGUCCCGCUGUUGGCCACCCUAAGCUGCGUCCGGGUUGAUUGUUCCCUUACAGAUAUGUAAUGCUUGACCUCACGGGCGAUAUGUAUAUAUGUAUGUAUAUAUGUCCGUGCAGGUGAGCUGCCCGCACUGCCGGCGGGCCUACCACACGCUGUGCCUCACACCACGCUGGCUAAGCCCCGCCUUCAUGCCGCCGCACCACCCCUGGACCUGCGCCAACUGCGGUAGCGAGAACGAGGUAGGCCCCGUGUCUGGUGGGGUUGGUCAGUGAAGGGUUGGGGGGCCAAGGCUUGUGUGUGUGUGUGAGGGGCUGGGCUGGGUGGGUGAUGCUGUAGUAGUGGAGAGCAGUGGUGCACCGCACCAGGAGUGGGCGCUGGGCAUUGAGCGCUUGGCAGGGUCCUCGAACCGUUGAGAUCGUUCACUGAGGUACGGCACCCGACUGACCCCAUCACCGCAUGCCACCGUGUUAAGGACCACAGCGGUGGUGGGCGGUGAAGGCACCGCAUGGGGGUCCCUUCACACCUGUACAGCCAGUUCGUUGUACAGCUGCUGCUGCUGCUGCUGCUGCUGGUCGCUGUUGUCGUCUUUGGGGCUGUUGGUCCGCGGUGCUCGUUGUUCGCUUUGGUCGUACAUUGUCGUACAGUCAUGUUGCUGGUUCUUUCCUUCGGUUCCUUUGGGAACCGCUGCUUGGGAACACCACUCCCCUGGGCCUGCCUAACCCUAGCCCCAGCCUUAGCCCUGGCCACCUACCACCGCACACCUACAGGCAUUCUUUAUGUGCACGAGGCCCUUUCGCCUCUUUUGAGCCCCAUGAUUUUACCCGGUCCCUUCUCUUAUUCUCAACCCCCACCCUGCACCCGGACUCCUGCACAGGCCCCCCAGGGACCCCAGUCCAGUGGCGGCAACCAGGAUGGUUCACUGGAGGCGGGUGAGUGAGUGAGUGAGUGAGUGCCCGCGACCCAUAGGCCUAGGCCCGCAGGGGAAGGGUGAUGUCUGGAUGAUGCCGAUAGUGCUCGGGGGAGGUCGGGAGGGGGAUCCGUGUAGAGAGUGUGUGUGUGGGGGGGUGGGGGGAUGGGGGGAUGCGUGUGUGCGUGCAUGUGUGUGUGUGUCGUGGUAGGUAACACUAGGGGGCCCGUUCCUAUGGUGCGUCUAUGUGUAUGUCUGCAUAUGUAUGUCUGCAUCAUGCAUGUCUGUAUGUCUGUAUGCAUGUAUGUGAGCCCUCCUCUGCGCUUGUGUUUAUGUGCACCAAGGACAGGACUAGGAGGGGCUCCCCCGCCCCCGACCCGCCCCACACACUUCCCCCAUGAAACCCUCCAACAAACCCUCCCAACCCACUUUCCCCAACUAAACAGAGCGCAUGGGUCUGACCCCCGACUGGAUCAUCAUGGCAGCGGCCUUCAAGGUCUUCCAGCUCCCGGUGAGGCGGGGAGGGGAGGGAGGGGAGGGUCAGGGGGUGCGGGUGGGGGGGAUGGGGGUGUUUGAAGGCUGUGUUUAAAUGUGGAGUUUUUGUUACACAAAGGAACACCGACGCUUGAAGUGGAUACCAGCGAUAGACCGUGGGGGUUGGCUGGGCUAGGGUAGGGGGUUGGUCAGGGCGGGGGUUGGGUGUUCAGCAAGUAAAGCGACAUCGUUGCUGCGACAUGGUGGCCAUCUGCCACGUGCCACCUAGCCGCGAUGGGCUAGGCUAGGCUAGACUAGGCAACAGGGGCCCCGACCCCGGGACCAGCACGGUUAGCAGUCGGGAACCCAGAACACAACGGGACAGGCGGUCAACCUCCUUAAACUGCUGCAGGGUAGGUUGAAGAUGCGCUUGCCUGGUAAGCUGCAGAGCUGCACCGAUGGGGCUCGCGGCGCUCUCACACUGUUGGUCAUCCGUGGCUACAUCCACCAUGCUUUGUUGUGGCUCCAAGUUCCUCGCCACCCGAUGACUGCCGACUGCGCGCUGCUCGGGGCACCAUCAUCCAUUAGCCAGGGGUGUUAGCCAGCAGGCCAACAUCUCCGGGGCCGACCGGCCAGUCAGCCAGAACGUUUCAAGGACUUGCCCGUGAUCGUGUUUAUGUCGCUUUCUUAAUGACUCUUCCCCCCUGCCGACUCCCUCCUCCUCUCCCCCCCCCCAACCCCACCAGCGCCCCACCGCCUCUGCCCCCUACAUCCGGGGCCUGCUGGACCCUUGCACCAAUAGCAAGGUGAGCAGGUGGGGGUUGGGGAGCCUGGGGGAAGGGGCUGCUUAGGGUAGGCGCUGCUUAGGGUUGGGGCUCUUGCACUGCUGUGCCCUCCCCUCCCUGCUCGGCGCUGCUAGGCCAGUGUUAGGCCAGUGUUAGGCCCGUGUUAGGCCCGUGUUAGGCCCGUGUUAGGCCCGUGUUAGGCCCGUGUUAGGCCCGUGUUAGGCCCGUGUUAGGCCCGUGUUAGGCCCGUGUUAGGCCAGUGUUAGGCGAGUGUUAGGCCAGUGUUAGGCCAGUGUUAGGCCAGUGUUAGGCCAGUGUUAGGCCAGUGUUAGGCCAGUGUUAGGCGAGUGUUAGGCCAGUGUUAGGCCAGUGGUUUCUCUAGGGAGGCGGAAUCAUGUUUGCCCUGCAGCUGGACAGGAUCCCUCCCCUCUACCUACCUACCUACCUACCUACCUAACUACCUAACUACCUAACUACCUAACUACCUACCUACCUAACUACCUUGAAAGUGGAUUUGUUCCCCACCCCCUGAACAACAUUUGGAUACAUUCCCCGGCCGGAGGGCUUGCGAGCCCAUCACGGGAGGGGGAGGAGGGGGCGGGGGAGGGGGAGGGGGCGGGGGAGGGGCUCUUCACAGCGGAGCACCUACGGCUCUACCCCCCCCGGCAUGUCUGUGGCAAUCCCCGCCCGACGGCUUGUAACGGUUUGACACCGCACAUGCACCCAUGCGCAGGCAAAUCCGAAUAUUCCCGCUGAGAAGCUGUACGACAAGUCGGAUGACGGUCUCAAGCUGUCCAACAGCUGGUCUGGCUACCACGUCAUUCUGAAUCCCGAGUACACCUCACAGACUCAGUGGAGGUUCGUGAACCGGGCCAUAGAUGAGGUGGAGAACGGCUGUGUGCCCGCAGUGCUGCUGCUGUGCCGCAACUCCACCGACACAGCGUACUUCCAGAGACUGCGGCCCUACCCCAGAGUCAUGCUCAAGAGGUAGGUGGCUGGCUGGCUGGGAAGGAGGAGUAGAGGGUGGCUGGCUGGCUGGCUGGCUGGCUGGCUGGCUGGCUGGCUGGCUGGCUGGCUGGCUGGCUGGCUGGCUGGCUGGCUGGCUGGCUGGCUGGCUGGCUGGCUGGCUGGCUGGCUGGCUGGCUGGCUGGCUGGCUGGCUGGCUGGCUGGCUGGGGGGUGGCUGGCGGGCUGGGAAGGAAGAGCCCGGGAGGGGAGGGCGGUGCAGCGCGAGUGCGCUUCUAACUGCGUUACCAUGCAGCCUUUACUGCAUUACCACUGCCUACAUCGCAUACAUCUGUUGGUACAGAGUGGGAGGCUUCUGGGCCAUUUGAACACAUUGUCAAUUCUACGAUUUAUCACACCAUGCAGCACCAGCCACCAUUACCACACUGCACUACGCCGAAUAUGCAUUUCCCAGAUGCCCUAUCCUCCGUUCAUUCCCCCGGCCCCACUUCCCGCCGCAUGGCCCCACCCUCCUUCAGGACCAGCGCCCGCUUCAAGGACUAUGAGAAGACCCCCAUCGGCUUCGGCAUCGCGGUGUUCUGUAUCGCCCCGCGGGGCCCGGGUCGGACGACCCUCUACCGGAGAUUCAUUGACGCGUUUGGAGACUGGGGGGAGCCCAACAUACCCAUUGAUGCGGGUGUGUGUACGUAUGUGUGUACGUAUGUGUGUAAUGGCGGGGCCAGGGGAAGUGGGGAGGAGGGGAGCGGGAAGGCUGCGUGCAGUUGCAACACGGGGGUGGCUGAGAGGAGGGGCAUGCGGGACUGGGCUCUGGUAUGCGGUGGCCAUGCGCCUAUCGACGGCCCCACCCUCCCUCUCCCUCCCCCUCCUCCCCACUGGGGGGUUGGGAGGAGCACUUGCAUACCGACAGCCUUUCAGUAUCAGCAAUGCAGCUUUCUCUCCUGGCCAGCAACUUUACGCCACUUUUACGUCAGCACAUUUUUUUCUCGCCGCCUUCACUACUUUUUCUACACCUACUAGUUUACGGUUUGGCUAUAAUAUUUCUGGCGGCUUAGGUAGGUAGGACUUCCAACAUCUACGUCAAUUCUUCAUCCCGAGGUUACAGUCGUCAUCCCGAGGUUACAGUCGUCACAGUCGCCACGGACGCCUUUCGGUCAGUUCUUUCGGUUGCUACUAUCUUGCCCUGGCAGCAGCUUCAAUCGCGUGUGGUUCGUCUUUCCCCUCCUCCCCCUCCCUCGCCCUCCCCCUAGGUUCCCACCCUUCCCAUAUCGCUCAAAACUGACCAGUUUCCAUUGACAUGGGGCACUGUGCACCAACUGCCACCAACUGCCACCAACUGCCACCACGCCGAGCAACUCUCCCUUUCCGCUCUCUCCUGCCCUUGGCCUCAUGUUUCGUCUUUCUCCCAACCUCGAGCAGCCUUCGUGUCCAGCCCCGCCUUUUCGGAGCUGCUGGACCGCCUGGCGGACCACACCACCCGGCACAUGCGGGACACCUGGGUGCAGUGCAGCGCGUGCAGGAAGGUGAGGGAGGGUAGACAGGGGGCUGGGCGGGCAAGAGACAGGGGGGGCCCUUCCCCUCCCCUCCCCUCCCCUUCUUUCUAUCCUACAAAUCUAACGAAUCGAAUGUAUCCUAUGUAUGUAUCUAUGUAUGUGCUACCCCAGUGGCGCAUUGUGCCGUACGAGGUGUACCGGCUUCUGGAGGACCAGCAGCGCCAACAGCAGCCCCAGCUCCAGCUCCAGCUCCAGGACCAGCCGCAUCAAGUUGCGAGCCAGGAGGAGGAGAGGGAAGCGGAGCGGCGGGAGGGCAGCCGUGACGCAGGGACCGGGGACGACACGCCGCCGCCGUCAGCAGGGGUACCGGGCUUAGGGCCAGUUCCAGGUCCGGGUAUUGAAGCUGCUGAAGCUGCUGGCGGUGCCGGUGCCGGUGCCGGUGGCAGAGAGGCAGAACGGGCGAGGGCGGUGGACCGGCGGCCGCUGCUGGCCGGGUCCUGGACUUGCGCGCAACUCGGGUGAGGAGGGUCCGUAGGUGGUCCCAGGGGGGUUACACACGUAGUACGGAUGUACGGAGGGGGGCCCAGGGGGGUUAAGCACGUAGUACGGAUGUACGGAGGGGGCCUCCCAGGGGCCAUAUGAGGGUCGCUCAUGUGGCUGUGUGAGUGUGGCGACCUGCAGCCGAUGUACACCAACUUUUAACCUUCCCGUCUCCCCGCAUUGCCCCCUUCCUCCCCCAAUCUCCUCCCCCCCCGGGUGGUGUCGCUGCUGGCGGUGGUUCGCAUGUGGGGCCUGGUGGGCCUCACCUCCUGUGUGUGUGUGUGUGUGUGUGUGUGUGUGUGUGUGUCUCUUAGCUCUGGCUCGGGCUGUUACCGCCCUCAGAGCCGGGUGGAGGCCGCCGGAGUGCACUACGCCCGGCAGCGGGGAGCCCCGCGACCCCCAGGAGCCCACCGGGCUGCUGGGGCGGGGCCGGUAGGGGCUGGAGCUGGGGGUGGAGCUGGGGGUGGGGUUGGGGGUGGGGGUGGGGGUGUGGAGGGGCCCUUCCCCAUGUGGCCGCAGGAGCCACCGGAGCCACCACAGUCGCCACAGGAGCCGCCGCCACAUCCUCCGGAGCAGCAGCAGCAGCAGCUGCAGCUGCAGCAUGGGGGCGGACCAGCUGCGGGUGUGUGCGGGCCGUUGCCGGAGGAAGGGACUCAGCCGGAGGGGGCCCCCAAGCACCCGCAGAAGCACCAACAGGGGGUUGUAGUGGCAGCAGACCAGGCUGUGGCAGUAGCAGUGGCAGUAGCAGCAGUAGCUGAGGCAGUAGCUGGGGGACUGCUGUCCUGCCUGGACGUGGGGAUCCCCCCCCCAGGUCGACCAGCACCAGCACCAGCACCAGCACCAGCACCAGCGCAGGUGGAGACACUGUCCGGAGGGGGGUCUCAAGGGCUUGCCGGGGAGUUUGGUGUCGCGGUUGUAAGGAGGGCUGAAAGGGGGAUGGUGGGUUUGACGGUGCCCGCAGGACUCCUCCCCGCGCCACCGGAGGGAGGAGCCGCCGUCGCGGAGGCAUUAAUCGGGGAUGCUGGGGGGAGUGAUAAGGGAGCAGUGCCAUCAGCGGCAGCGACGAGCGGCGGGGCAGUGCUACCGGCAGAUGCAGAUGCAGAUGCCCUGGCGGCCCCACCUGCUGCUGCUGCUGCUGCUGCUGUGUUGGUGCCGGUCCCGGUGUUCCCCCUUCCGGACGACAUGGAGACGGAGGAGAAGGGUGACCAGUUGUGCCACUUGGGGGGGUGAGACGCUGACUGAUGGGGUACUUCCCCUGCCCUGCCCUUUCUCUUUCCGCAUCCAUUCUCCGGGGUUGAGGGCGGGCACGGAGGGGCACGGGAGGGGCACUCCCGCCACCCCAUGCCCUCAGAAGACGGCCUCAGAGAUACCGACUCAAGAGGGCCUACAGGUCUGCAGUAGCCGCUGACCGGAGGAGCGCACUCAGGAUAUACAUACAUACAUACGUAGGCAAAUGGCUGGCAGAAGUUAAGGCCUGAUUUCUGCUCACGGAGUUUCCGGGUUCGAAUCCGCCUGCCGACCUCUCGGUGUGUGAGAGGUGCUGAAUUAGGUGGUGGAUCCCCCAUCGUAUGGACGGUGUAGGACGUGAUAAUCAACUUGCGAGCUGACCAGUUGUGGCGCCGUUGAUCCGCUAGAUUUGGUUGGAUGCUGGUGGUAAGUUGCUGAACCCAACUAAUACAUUCUGAAAUUGGAUGGGGUGAAUGGGAGGGGAGAGCAGGGAACUGCCUCGGGAAAGGGGGCCGCUGGUGAAGCUAUACCACCCUGUAACAACAUCAUACAUUGGAACGGGUGGAUUUGGCCUUUUUGUGCCGUGACGGCAACAGGAAGGAGGAGGCGGAGGAGAAAGGGUCGUCAAGGUUAUCGAUAUCGUCGUGGUGGAUGCGUUAAUUAAUGUCGGUUUUUACCGUUGACUCUUGAACAACGGUCGGCAGUUCACAGUGUACCAUAAUACGACAGGACAGGACCUUGUGGAACCGUGGAGAUGGACCGGCAGCAGCCGCCGCCGCUGAAGUCACGAGGGGAGCGGAGGGGAGGGGAGGGGAGGGGACUAUUUGGUCAUUCCGAAUGAUGACCAGCGGGCGGGUGAGUGGUGGGUGAAGGGUGAGUGAUGACCAGCGGGCGACCAGACAGGCAACCCAGUGUACGGCGACAUACAUAUUCGCUGCUACUUACUCCACCGAACGGUACGCCCCAUAUGAUUGGUCGCACACCUACCGGUGGUGCACUGCGCGCGUCGUAAAGUUAUGUAGUUUUGUUCCUUUUUUGUGGUGCUGGUGCGCUCUGAGCAGAGCGCAUUCAAGAGCCAACUGACAACGGGGUCCAAUGGCCCAACGGCGAUUACGUGAUACGUUACAGUGUACGGCCGGUUGGUUGGUCGGUUGCUCGUAGUUUACACUUUUUGUGGGACACGUGGGACAGUUAUGGACAGUUGCUCACUAAUCCGGUGCAGGUUGGCAGACGGACGGUUAAUUUGUUAGUUAGACUGUACGGCAGCUUUUGGGCGAAAGACGACAAACCGGUGUCAGAAACCUCGACGUUGCUGCACUGUCUGCUCACUUGGCACAUACACCGGUUAGACCCACCAUCCAGGAGGCGUCCCGACCCGACCCGACCCGACUCCACACCCAGCCCGGUGUGUAAAUCGGGGUGUAAGCCGGGGGCUAUGGAGCCAAUUUGGAACGACUUUCGUCCCCCCGGGGGAACUCGUCGUUACCUCUAUACACAUGUCAUGUGCUGAGGCUGUUUAUAUGCUUGGACUGGAAUCAUUUCUUUGACGUGGACGGUGGACUAUGGGCUACGACUGCUGCUGCUGCUGGCUAUGGUAGUGUGUCUGCUGGCUCCGCUUCACCCGCGACCAAUCGCGGCGCCCGCUGGACUACUGGCUAUGUGCGGUGCUAGCACCCACCUACACCGCUAGUCGGCCCCAGAUCCGUCUACCGUCCCGUUCACGCCGCGGUGUUGGGUUGUGUUGUAGAUAUCGGGGUGCGGCCGUUGCACCCCCUAGGGGUCCCCCCAGCAGUUUAGGUGGUGGAUCCGUUUCAGAUCCUCUCCAGAACCCGCUACCCCUCAGGGAAAAGGGGGGAGUUAAAGCGGGGGCCAUAUCGUACCUAAAUGGUAUGUGUAUGUGUAUGUGUAUAUGUAUAUGUAUAUGUAUGUGUAUGUAUAUCUGGUGGGGGCCGGUGAUGGUGGGGACAUGCCGGCUUUUCAGCAACAUUCCCUCCAGCGGCGGCGGCGGCAGCAGCAGCGGCCUGCAUAGCGACCCCGGCCACUCGAUCUCCCAGAUGUGUACGGUACGGUACGGUAUGGUACGGUAUGGCGCAGUGCAUCCCCUUUAAGCGAUGGACCCGUGGAUCAGCCUUCGUUCGCUUGGUUGUGAGUGUAUUGUCGUACAUCUUGACGGCUAUUAUAGCGUGGUCUGCCUCCCCAAGUGGCCCUUCUUUGUAACAUGAAAGCGCGACAUCCACGCACCUACUUACAUACAUACAUACACGUGCACAACCCAGCGGACCGAUCAGCACUCCGUCAUGUCUUCGACGUAUGAACACCGUGUUCACUUAUACCCGGGGGGGUGUACGUAUAUAUAGUUAUGUGUAUGUGGUGGUGUAUAUUGUGGUUUAUGUUGCCAUACACAUGGUUGGUGAGAUGUGCAGAUAGGGAGCCGCACGAGAUAGGGAGCCGCACUGACGGGUCGCCACGAGCAACAUCCAGAUAUCAGCUUCCGUUAGUGGACCGUUCAAGUGCCGUACUGGUCACUCAGCAGUGAGCUGCAGCUCGAAGGGGCUUCAGCAACUACCCGCCCUGCCCUGCCCGUUGCAGGGUCCAACACAGCACAUCGGGGUUGCCUGCCAUCCACACCCGAUAAUGCGGUUAUCGGUCUUAUAAACAUUAUUCUUUACUUAGUUAUAGCGUGUAUAUGAACUUACGACACGAUGGUGUAGUUGGUUAUCACAUCUGUCUCACACACAGGAGGUCCCCAGUUCGAUCCUGGGUCGUGUCAUAUUAUGGAACUCCGGAGGCAUCUAUAUUACUAUGUUACAACAGGUCAGGCACUACUGACAGCGCACACACCUAUGCCCCCGGGAGAUUCCGCGCUCAAGACCUGUCUGGGUCGCAAUUCCUUCUGAUGGUGGAAGGUAAUGUAGAGAUCCUGAGAGCUGACCAGGAAUACAGUCGAGCCGCCGUUGAUCUGAUUACGUUGGAUGCCAGUGGUUGAGCAACCCACUGAGAAGUUAACUGGGUGACUGGAUGAGGGUGCCCCAAAAUCCCGGGGAAGACAGGGUUUCGCCAGGUACCGGCCACGGGCGGAGAUAUGAACCCCCUGUCUCACACAUCGUGCAUGCAAGUUGGAGACAUCCAAGCCGGAAGCGAGGGUGCUCCCCUCAGGAAGGGUGGGACGGGGAGGAUGAGGAGUAGGAAGAGGCGGACACACGCACGCACACACACAUGCACACACACGCACACACACGCGCACACACGCGCACACGCACACACAUAUACACACACGCACACACACGCACACGCACACACACGCACACACACAUACACACACGCACACACGCGCACACGCGAACACACACACAUACACACACGCACACACACACGCACACACACACGCACACACACAUACACACGCACACACACGCACACACACGCACACACACAUACACACGCACACGCACACACACGCACACACACGCACACGCACGCACACACACGCACACGCACGCGCGCACGCACGCGGGAACAAUAGCCAGCCAGCCAUACCGCCUGGUCACCCAGGGGUGGGCCCCCUGUUGAUCUACCCAUCUGGCGGGUUGCGAUGGUGUAUUGUGGUGGUGUGUUGUCCUCACUCACUCACCACUCACCCAUCUCCAUGCGCCACCACCCAACUCGCACGGACCGUCGCUGCGCCCGAAAUCCUCAUCCGCCACUAGUGUGUACCCACCGCCUGAUGCCGCCUCAUGUCGACAGUAUCCACCGUCGGUCUGUGCUGUGCAGUGCUCUACGCAACACGUGUAUUAAUUACAUUAUGUAUGUGUGUGUAGAUAUGCUAGACCGCUGGUCAAGAGCGCGUGGAGUCCUUCGCCAUCACCUCCUGCACUCCCAUCCAGCCACACACACACACACACAUCCCGAUCCCUCCCUUCGAUUCGCGGGGGGAAAAGAGAGGGGCGUGCGGUGAUAGCCCGUCCGACUACAACUCGUCAUGCGGUUGUGGCGAGGAGGAUGCCCCCUCAGUAUCAUCACCUUCAGGUUCACUGCCGACGGACGCCACCCCAGCAGCGCCAUCACCAACAUCGGGAUCGGCACCUGCAGCCUCUGCAGCCUCUGCAGCUGCUGGCUGCCCAGCGGGCUUCGUCCGCACCUCCAUCUGCUGCAUGGACUGCGCCAGCCUCUCCCGCAGCCCGGCCUCAAAGUCCGCCUGCGCCACCAUCGCCGCGAACUCGGGCUCACCCGCCAGCAACCUCCGCAGCCACGAGGGCAUGCGGGCCACUCCAUUCUCCCGGGCGUAACGCCGCAGAGACUCAAGGCGGGAGUCCUCACCACCACCACCACCACCACCACCACCACCAGCACCGUCACCGUCACCACCGUCACCGUCACCACCGUCACCACCCCCAGCAACCCCCCCACCCCCCGCCACCUCCGGCUCCUGCUCCGCCGCUGUGGAGCCCUCCUGCUCCGCCGCACCAACAGACCCCGCAUCGGCAGCAGCAGCAGUAGCAGGCAUCGACACCGCCACACUGACAGCCUCCACACGUGACGCAGUAGCAGCAGUGGCAGUAGCAGCAGUGGCAGUAGCAGCAGUGGCAGUAGCAGCAGUGGCAGCAGCAGUGGCAGUAGCAGCAGUGGCAGUAGCAGCAGCAGCCGGGGUGCCUGCAGCCGGAGGGACCUCCUCCUCCACUGCCGCAGAACGGGCAGCAGACGGAUCAGUCUGCUCCUGCUGCUGGCCCCCCUGUAGCUGCCGGUGCUGCUGCUGCUGCCUUGCAAUCCACUCUGUCGCCAGCGCCGCGUGCAGGGCGGCCCCCAGCGGCAGCUGGUCCUCAUCCAUCCGGAAGCGGGGGGAGUGCAGACCCACGUCGGUGCCCUUGGCGGGGUCGCCAAUGCCGAGGAAGGUGAAGGCGGCCUGGCAGCAGGGGGAGGGGGGAGGAGACGGGCGGUAGGGGGGAGGGGGGAGGAGACGGGCGGUAGGGGGGAGGGGGGAGGAGACGGGCGGUAGGGGGGAGGGGGGAGGGGAGGGGUGGUGCAAGGAGAGGGGCAAAGGGAGUGGGGAAGUCCCGCCCCACUGCGCAGAGGUCGACCUCAUAAUAAGAGGUAUCCCUUGCCCGCCUACCCACCCACAAGCCCAACUACAACCCCCUUCAGCUCUCUGACCUCCCCCCGCCUCACCACCUCCCACCCUCCCCACACACGCCCACCCUAACCCCCCUACCUGCGGCAACACCUCCCCGUAAAAUGAAAAGUCNNNNNNNNNNNNNNNNNNNNNNNNNNNNNNNNNNNNNNNNNNNNNNNNNNNNNNNNNNNNNNNNNNNNNNNNNNNNNNNNNNNNNNNNNNNNNNNNNNNNNNNNNNNNNNNNNNNNNNNNNNNNNNNNNNNNNNNNNNNNNNNNNNNNNNNNNNNNNNNNNNNNNNNNNNNNNNNNNNNNNNNNNNNNNACCUCCAGGUGGCCCUUUGUGGCGGGGGGACCUCCCCAAGAAGGGGGCCGACACCGGGCUGAGGGUGCUGGGGGGCCCACUUAACCCAGAGCCACGCGGAUGCUAGAUGAUCUCCCCCUCACCCCUCACCCUGUGUGUGUACGGCCCCUCUUUGACCUGUGUGUACGGCCCUUGUGGCCUGAACCCCCAAGUAACGACUCCCCUUCCUGUACCGUCGUACUGCGCGGCGUGUCCUAGGGAAACCCAGCGGCUUUAAAUGGGGCCCCGAAAUGGUGGUGGGUGUGGUGGGGUGAUGGGAUGGUGCGUGUAUGUAUGUAAUGUAUAUGGGGGGGCCGGAGGGGACGGCCUCUGCAGACCUGAGCUACAAGAGGGGAGUUGGGAGUUGGGAGUUGUGGGAAGGGGCCACCAUGCAGCCCCUGCUGGUCCCCGGACACCGUCCCUGACCACACCAGUGUUUUCAAAACGUUUUUACCGUGGUAAUUCUUUCCCCCGCUACCCCCCAGGGAAAUGGUAAUUCUUUCGUGACCAAGUGGUUACUGUGCGGGGGGUUUUCCUUUCUAGGUAACCACCUUGCACAGGUUCUUCCCAGCGAGUAUGCGGAACUGGAGCCCACUAGAACUGUACAUCCAAAGAUCCAACUUUGACUCUAUGUACGGCUCACUGAAGCAUCACUGCUCCCAUCUAAGCGUCAAAAACAUUUCUAGGUGGUCACUACCACUGCGGGGGUCUGUGGCCCCCAAUAUCCUUGCGACCACCUGGUUACUGGCAGGUGACUCGAAACAUUUCCUAGUGACCACCUUCUGGAAGGGAAUUAUUUUCCCAGUAACCACUUGGCCCCUAGUAACCACUUUUAAAAACACUGGACCACACCCCUCCCACUCCCCGACCCGUACAUACCCGAGUUGGAGGGUACGGCACCUCGCUCCACGUCAUGUUGUCUACGACACAGCCGUACCCCGCCGCCACCCCAGCCGCCAUUUGCUCCACACGGUGGUGCAGGCGGGCGAAGGUGUCGGCCGUAAGAGCCCGUACAGUGCCGGACAGGUGUACGGCGUCGGGGAUGACGUUGGACGCGCCCGGACCGGUGUUGAACCUGCGGGGGCGGGAGUGGGGGCAGGGGCGGGAGUGCCGGAAAAGCUGGACGUCAGCACACAACUAUGAUUACUCAGUUGCAGCGGCUGGGUCAAGACACGCGCGCACUAACAGACAGACAGACAGGCACGGCAGACAAACACGACACGACACGACAGACACGCCACAAAACUGACAUCAAAUCACCCCUUACUGUGUUUUCCCUUUCCCCUCCCCCUUCCCCUCCCCCUUUCCUCUCCCCCCCCUUUACCUGGCCACCGUCACCACCGCCGAGUCCACGGGUGACGUCUCUCGCGCCACCAGCGCCUGCAGCGCCACCACCACCGCCGCCGCAGCCACCACGGGGUCCCGGGCCGUGUGGGGUAUGGCACCGUGACCCCCCACACCCCGCACCGUAAAGGAGAACCGGUCGGAGGCCGCCAGCAGCACACCGCCACGAGUGCCGAUCACACCUGCAGGUGGGGGGAAAGAGGAGGAGAGGAGAGGAGAGGAGGGGGUGUUGGUGCCAAGCGAGGCUGUACGGCAGGGCUGUGUCAAAAUCGAACUGAGGCCCUAGCGGCGUUGCGUCCAAGGUGCCGCAGCCGUCCUCAUGAGUACCCAUCUGAUGCAUCACUAACUAUAACUGUAUCCUGACGUGCCCGUAAGAAAGUGUGCGUACAGUACGACAGGAGGGCGAAGGCGCUGGUGUCUGUCCCCAGACCCCCCCCCCGCUUGUGACGUGUCGUUUGCCCCUUUCCACCCCGCCAUAAUCCCAACCCUCGCUUCCCCCUCACCUGCCGGCAAUGCUGGCCACACAUGCAGCCCGUGUAUUGCCCCCACCCCCCUGACAGCCCCCCCUCGUAUCAUCUCCCGCGCUCCCCCCAUCCCCUCCUCAGCCGGCUGGAACAGCAGCACCACUCGACCCCCCAGAGCCGCCAGGGAAGUCUCCCGUGACUUGAGCAACCUGAGGGGGGAGGGGUUGGGGGAAGGGGGGGGGAGAGGGGAAGUUACCGAUAACGAGGGAGGCACACAAAACCCCUGGAGCCCCUCUGCUCCAGGGCCCAGAUGGCGGGGGUGGGGGGUUACACAGCAGCAGCACAGCAGCAGCAGCAGCAGCAGCACAGGGCCAGAUGCUAACCUCCACCAACAACCCAACUGACGACUCUGAAACUAGGAGGACACAGGGAAACCCUCUCUCUCCCAAAACCAUCCAAGGCCCUCAAGCCUCAACCACUCACUUGGCAGCACCCAGCAGCAUCGCCAUAUGGGCAUCGUGACCGCAUGCGUGCAUGCGACCAGGUGUCUUACUUUUGUACAGCACAUCGUCUUCCUCGGUUAUCGGCAGGCCAUCCAUGUCGGCUCUCAAUGCAAUGGUUGGGGCGUCCUCGUCGGUGCUGCCUGAGGAAAUAGUGUAAUUAUGGGUCACGAGGUUGGGCUCUAGGUGAAGGAGGUCUGUGUUAAUUGUCGCCCGCCUUUAAAACCUAUGCAGUAGCGCUAGCAUCUUGUUCGACACCGUCCACAUGGAAGAUAGGACCUUGUUGCCCUUAAUCCAAUAUAAAUUGCUUCAUCGUGACCUAAUGGCAUGCUGCGUUUGGCCCUGUCCUGUGAACUUCGGUGCGCACCAAACCAAGCAACUACACAGCUCACCAAGUGGCCCAGCACGAAUUCCUGUGCCAGCAAUAGGAUACUCAUACGGGAUGCCAAGUUGAUCGAGCUGUGCACGUAUAUAUUGAGAUGUGUUGAAUUCUGAGAAAUACAAUUCUGGCAUCGUAUGCAGCUCCCGUCGCCAUUUCAACAAGCUGUCAAAUAUUUCAGGACUAUUUGAUUCUUCCAGGUAAGACGCAUAUGCUUGGCCAUGCGCAAUGCACGAGUACUGUGCACAGAGCACCCAGAUGAGGAGCACACUAACUGUAGAUACUUGCAUCGCAGUAAAGAAACUCCAAGGACACGAUGAUUUGAAAUGUAUGCACAUAAACCAUCCCGGAAGUCUACCGAGAUAGAAUCCAACUGAUCGUCUCGCUGUGCGCGAUCACAAUUCCACAACGACCUAAGAACGCAACAAGGGCCUUACUACUAGACAGGGCUUUCCUACUCACCAGCCAUAUACACAGAACUCGUUAUUUAUUACUUUAUAUGUGCCUCUCAAACAGCUCGAAUCGUUGGCCUUCGGUGUAGCGCAAGCAUAUUGCUUGCGGCAGCCCCGAACACUCAACCAAAAGCGAUCCACCCUGCAAGCUUCCGCCUUCAAAUAGCAGUAAGAGUCCUGCACCAGUCACUUUUAAAAUUUUAGCUGAAAUAAGCUCUUCACGAUACGUUGUCGCUCGUCCACCGGCUUGACAUCAUCGUCGCGCACACGCCAUACCCCAUGUCUUCCAUACCGUACAGGAAUAUGGCUCUCAUGCAAACGACCCAGCUUCCUUCCAGAUCUUCCCACCUGCCGACCGCAAAGUGGGGCACAGCAGCUCGCGGCCCGCGGCCCUUUUGCUCGGGAGGUGCGCCCGCUACCUCCUUUCGCCCUCGAUCCCACCGUCCCACGACCGCAUCCGCACUGCCCGCCGACGGUCAGGCGGAUGUCGUCAUAGUGGGAGCGGGUGUAGCGGGCCUCAGCUGCGCGGUGACUCUGGCCCAGCGCGGUGUGAAGCCGAUUGUGCUGGAGGCGAGUGACGGAGUGGGCGGGCGGGUGCGGACCGAUGUGGUGGAUGGCUUCCUGCUGGACCGCGGCUUCCAGAUCUUUCUGACGGGUGAGGAAAGGGAGGGAGUGUGGCUGUGAGGGGUUCGAGCCGAGCCGGGGAGAGGGUGGGUUGUGGGCCCAGACGUGCGGCGCUCGUGUGUGUGCAAGUAUUAGCUGGCGUCAUAGCGGGUUGGGGUUGUGGCAGCCUCACUAGCCGUACCCUGCCGUACCCCACUUCACCCGCCGUUAAUGAAUGGAUGAAUAAAUGGAUCCCGCCCUUCGGAGACGCGAGCAUGAAGAGCUGUUGGACAUACAUGGCAGUACGAUAAUCAUAAUCAUCAUCGUAAUCACCACCAUGAUGACGCCAAUUCCCCUCCGUCCCCACGCGGAGGGGAUCACUACUCCCUCUUCCCUAUCACUACUCCCUCUUCCCUCCCCCCUCUCCCCCACCCCCGCCCCCCCCUCGCAGGCUACCCCGAGGCCCAGUCCUCCCUGGACUACUCGGCUCUGCAGCUGCGGCCCUUCUAUGCGGGGGCCCUGGUCUGGCAGGGCGGCUCCUUCCACCGGGUGGCCGACCCGCUGCGGCACCCGCUGGACGGCCUGGCCUCGCUCACCAACCCGGUGGGCUCGCCGCUGGAUAAGGUCCGGGUGGGGCUGUUUAGGUGAGGUGGAGGGCGGGGAAGGGGGAGCGGGAGAGAGGGAAAAGGGGGUUGGGGCUGCGGGUGUUGGAGCUCAGCCAUCCCACUGGGCAGGUGGGUAGGUGAUAUGAUUUUAUGAAUUCCCCCACAACCAAAACCCUGUCGCUCGCUCUUUCCCCCCACCCAAACCCCACGCCUGAAGGCUGAAGAGCUUGUUGGGCAGUUUGGACGAGCUGCUGGCCCGCCCCGAAACCACCACUGCGGAGCGACUCAAGGUGGGGCUGCGGAGGGAAGUGGGGGGGGAGGGAGGGAGGUGGGAGGCAGGUGGGAGGGAGGGAGGGAGGCCCCAUAAGGCGCCAAUAAGGAUCAGGCAGGGUGCGGGGGCAGGGGGCUCCCGGUGGAGGUGACGAACUCCCCUAAGUACUUACGACACACACUGUACUGCACACGUGGUGACAUGGCCUGUCCCAACGCCCUCUCGCUAACGCCACCCAUGUACCCCAUACACCCACAUACCGAACCACCGGCUUACCUGCCAACUGCCAACCGCUAACUGCCAACCCACCCGCAAUCCUCCCCUACCAGGCCGAGGGCUUCACGGACGCCAUCAUCCUGCGCUUCUUUCGCCCCUUCCUGGGCGGCAUCUUCUUCGACCGGCAGCUGCGCACCUCCUCGCGCCUGUUCGAGUUCGUGAUGCGCAUGUUGGCCACGGGCUCCAACUGCCUACCGGCGGGGGGUAUCGGGGCGGUGGCGGAGCAGCUCGCGGGCAAACUGCCGCAGGGCGCCAUCACACUGAGUGGGUGGUACUGGGGGACGGGAGGGAAAGGGAAGUGGGGGAGGGAAGCGGGGGAGGGGGAGGGGAGGACCCGUCCGCACUCCGCAAGCCUACCCAUGCGGCCAGCGCCCUACUGCGCAUGGAGCCACACAGCAUCACAGCGACGUGGUGGCCUCAGCACCCCGGCCCGCCCGGCCCCCUACCAGUGCCAACCCCUUUCCCCCAUCCCGCCCUGUUCCCGUGUUCAGACGCGCGGGCUGAUGCCGUACGCGGUCGUGAGGUGACCCUGGCUGACGGCACCAAGCUGACGGCUCGGCGGGGGGUGGUAGUGGCGGUGGAGGGUCCGGAAGCCGGCCGCAUACUGGGGGGCGCUCUCCAGGUGGGUGGGUGGGUUGGGGGAGGCGGCUAGGGCGGUUCCCGCGCCUGGGGCCCUGACCCGCCUUUCCCGUCCGGCUAGCCCUACUCCCGGCCCCCUACUCCUGGGGCCCUGCCCGUGUCGGGUGGGUGGGUUGGGUCUGCUAAGGACUUCCGCUGGACACCACUUCCUAUCACCCCCACCCUCACCCCCACCCGCACCCGCAUCCCCACCCUCAUCCCGCAGUCCUCUCCCAGCAAGCCUGAGCCGGGCGUGGGCACCUGCUGUGUGUAUUUCCGGGCUCCGAAACCCCCCUCCUCCGAGAACAUUCUCUACCUCAACGGGGAGGAUGACGGCAUCGUCAACAACUGCUGCUUUCCAUCCACCGUGGCGCCGUCGUACGCACCUCCUGGUCAGGUGGGUAGGACCGUACGGCGGGCGCCUCAUCCUGAUCAUGAUAAUCCGAAUGCCGGGAGAGGGGGGGGGGUGAUGAAUUGAGGGGAAAGAGAGAGAGAGAGAGAGAGAGAGAGAGAGAGAGAGAGAGAGAGAGAGGGAGGGAGCGACAGGCACCGAAGCUCAGCCCUUAAUAUGGCGGAGUCCAGCAACCAAUCAACUAACCAAUCAACUAACCAAUCAACUAAUCAGCCCUCAACCUCCUUCCUCCCUGGAGUCUAGGCCCUCGUGUCCGUAUCCACGGUGGGCACACACCCCGAGCUGAGUGAUGAGGCCCUGCAGGAGGCUGUACGGCAGCAGUUAUCCCGGUGGUUCGGGGCGGCGGAGGUGGCCACGUGGUCCCACCUGCGCACCUACCGCAUCCCAUUUGCACAACCUAACCAGGUACCGGAGGGGAUUGGGGGGGAAGGGGAGGGGAGGGGAGGGGAGGGGAGGGGAGGAGGGGGACAAGGGGAAGAGGGGGCCCCUACCACUAGCGACUGUAUACCUCCCCCUCGCCUACCUCUACCCCUUUCUACCUGCACCCUCACCAUGCUGCGGUCCAUCUCACCUCACCUGCCCUUGCGGUGUACCUGUAUCUUGGUAGUCCUCUCCCCUUAGUGCAUACCUCUGCGCUCGCAGUCCACAUCCAUGGUGUACCACUCCGUCACCCUGCUGCGGGUGCUGCUGCUCGGCAUUCGCUGGUCUCCGCCACCUCUUUGCCACCUCACACUGUGUUUUCUCCCCCGCCCUCUCCCCCUCAGGCCCCGCCCACCAACUUCAGCCGGCCCGUGUCCCUGGGUGGUGGUGUGUUCGUGUGCGGUGACCACCGUGACAGCGCCACGCUGGAGGGCGCCCUCAGGUCGGGGCGCAGGGCUGCAGAGGCGGUACUCAUGAAGCAGUGAGGCACUGGGAUGAUACAAUAGUAGCGGUAAUGCGACGGUGAAAGUGGGGGUAGUGGGGGUAGUGGUGGAAGUGGAAGCGGGCGGGGCGCUCUUGAGUACGGGGGUUCGGGUGGGGAGUGCAAUACACAGUGCGGCCCCCUCUAGCUAUAAGACUAUGAAAGCUGUACGGGGCAGGUGGGAGUGGAGGUGGAUUCUUGUGUGCCGUGAGGUGGGUUGCCCCGCCGGGGAGGCAGGUUGGGGAGGAAAGGUCGGGUGGCGCGUGUGGCGGUUGUUAACUGGUUGUUUGGCAGUAGUAGUACGUUUGUUUUUCGGUCAGUACCAGUUCGUCAUCAAGUGUUUCCUGCUCUCAUUAUGAGAUUUUAUGCAUUUGUGGUGGUGAUGAUGCUUGGUCUGAAGUACGGUAUCGGCUUGUGUUGAUUAACUCCCUCGAUGACCUCCUUGGCAAGUCGGACAAAUUGCGAAAAUGGAAGGUUUGCUACCAGGCGAGCUUAGCCCAGUCAACCGGGUGGGCCUCAACUUGCCUGACGACGUGUUCCGCUGCUUCGGCUGCACACAGCCCGCUUGCCAGGUUCAAAUCCACGCCCAUGUCAAGAUGUCGGUGCCAGACCAAACUCCAUGCAACUGCGUCCUUUUCCCCCAACGCCAAGCGAACCCCCAAGACCUUUCACACGUUCCACGCCUUUUCUUAUAGCAUAAACGCCGCAGCGCAGGGAUGCUAGAUGCUACGCUGCCCCGAGCACAACUAGUGAUCCAACACUGUCCGGCAAAGGCGCGCUGCUGUAGCCGGCCCUGCUACUAUCCCAAUAACGUACAGCACCCUUCACGGCAUCCUCUUUCACCAACGUCGAAUUAUAGCUGCUGGGCUCCGAAAAAACUUUUUACCGUUGCCUUUCCGCACAGCUUCCCGCGCCAGACCUUGGAUUCGGACAUUGGUUUUUGCCUCACAGCACGACAGAGCGGCUCUGCUGAAACACACCACCUCACUCCCGCUGCGCCCACCGAUACCCAUGGAAGCUACCCAUGGAAGCCAGUAGACCCCUAGCAUCUAGGAUUGUUAAGUCGGUUAGGGCCACUCGCUCAAUAUCUCACAUGCAUGCAAGGGGAUGGGGUGUUUACUGGGUUGCUGUCCCCCCUGGUGUUUGCUUCCGAACCAGCCUCUCGUGCCUUGCCUUAGGUGUGAGCCUUAAACGCACAUACCUACAUGCCCUUGGGCCUUCGGCUCGUAUGGGUAGUUUUACAGGUAUGGGGUCACGCACCCCCAAACCAUGUAACACACACAUACAUACAAUAAAAACAAAUACAUACAUACGUACGUACGAAUAUACAGACGCGCAGGCGCUCUGCCCCCGUCGGGUCGUUUGCCCUGACGGCAAGGAAUGUCAACUGUUUUGCCUGGGUCGCAUCAGCAACCAGCUACGGAUGUGACCCACAUGGGAACUAUGUCGUAAACCUCUACAGCCGAUAAUCCACGGACAACAUUGCAGCAGCGAAAGACAAUUCCGAGGAUAUGAUAAUGGCUGAAAGAACUUGCCGCUUCGUACGAAUCCGGCCUUUCAGUCUGUCAACCGUAAUAACCAACUUCCGUACAUCGUUAAUAUCACAUCACAGCAUCACUUGAUGACAUCAUCGCAAUAUGCGUCAGUAACCUUGCGAUGGCAGCCGUGAUGAAAAUACCAACGGUGAAUUAUUAACAAACGCUUUUGAGUAUUUCACUUCCCCUGCACACGCGCGUGCCGUACACACAGGGCCCGGAAGGCUGUGCCGCCAACAAGUGGCGCUUCGCGCCGGACGGCUACCUUCGGGAGAUCCUGACGGCACGAGUGUACGAUGUCGCGGUACGAAUUUGAUACAUUGGUAUGGAAAUACGAGAGGGGCGGACAGGGAAAUGGUUUUUUUCCUAUCAUAUAAAAUUUCCCCUCCUUCCUUUCCUCGUCUUCUUCCCCCCACAUACACAAAAAACAGAGUUCAUUUCUUGUUUUUUGUCAUAUGCUCUCCAACCCACCCACGCACCUUCAACUCAGAUCCAGUCCCCCCUGGAGAAGGCGCAAAAGCUGAGUGAGGCGGUUGGCAACACCGUUCUACUCAAGAGGGAGGACCUGCAGCCCGUGUUUUCGUUUAAAUUGAGGGGUAGGUGGAUUGGGGCAGGGGGGUUGGAGCGGGGCGGGGCGGACGGAAAAUUUUCGUUAGAAAAGAGUUUGGGGAGGGGUGGGGUUUGAAAUGGUUUGCUCGUUGUUUGAUGGAGAGAUGGUUUGCUCGUUGUUUGAUGGAGGGAUAGGUUGCUCAUUGUUUGAUAGAAGUUAGGGUUUGGGAGCGGUGAAAGGUGGUGAGGUGGAGGGAUGUAGGGUGGAGAGGGGUGCGGAUGGGGCUUCGGAGUGUGUGGGCCCCGGGGCUGGCCCAGGAGAUGACAGGAAAAGAUACCACCGGCUUUCUCACACACACAUACAUACAUACAUACAUACAUACAUACAUGCCCUAGCUGAGACUUGUGGACUCGCUCUGGAUAUGGCUACUUCUCCCCUGGACCAGCCCAGGAAGGGACAGGUAGAGGGGGUCAGUUGUUGUAAGGUGGUUGCAAGACGUCUUGUGGUGUCGAGCUCUCUUAGCCUUUCUUUCUUGGAGGUCUUUCUUUUUUGGCUUGUUAGAUGUAUCAGGAGCCCUCCCCUGCCGGGACUGCCCUAACCGUAUUUUUAUUUUCUGUUUUUUUCCCUUGCAAUCCCAUUGUCGUUGGUGGUGUUUUUGGGGGGGUGUUUCAGAGAGCCUUUGACUUUGCCCUAGCUGAGACUUGUGGACUCGCUCUAGCGGGACCUGAGAGCCCUUCGUGGUGUUUUCACUGCAGCGCCAUCCCCGGAUGGAGGGGCUGCAGAGUGGCUGUGUAGAGUGUUGGCAGUCUGAGAUAGGGUCGGGAGCACACGAGACUAACCGACUUGCUGUGUGCUCCCGACCCUUGUGCUGGGUUUCGGCUUCGGCCCCCGGCUCUAGCAGCCCACAGUGUAAUCUACCAGGAGGCAUGGGUCCGGGUGCAGAGGCUGGGGCUGCAGGGCGAGGUGCAGAUGAGUAGGCCGCCAACGGAUCACUGCCGUAGGGGAGAGGAGAGAGGGGAGACCCGGUAGGGAAGAUGAACAGAUUAAGGGGGAGGUAAGCAGUCCUGGACAUAUCAGGGGAAGAGGGGAGGCAAAUGGAGUCGGUAGAGAGUGUGUAGAAAAGAAAGAGGACUCAUAGCUGUUCCUGGCAAUCGCGGAGGACGAGGGGGGCGGGCGAGGGGCAAGAUGACACAGCGGCGGGGUCCAACAGGUUGCCAUCUGAUUAGCAGCUGGGCAGCCUAAAUACGGAAAAACCGCAGGGCCAUGCUUGCCUGCUGUUGGGGGUGGGCAACACAUAUCAUGCUCAGCAGCAUUGGAAAGCUAUUGGAGCAAGUGUCGGUGGCCAGCACGAAAGACGUGUGUCACACUCCAUGCAGCAAACUUUGCGGCCAAAGUGGCAUGCAAUGUCACCGAGGCCUCCGAUGGCCUGUGCGUGCUGGGUGUUGGCAGCUAGCUGCGAAAGCUUGAUUUCUAGGGUGAGUGCGAGACAUAGAACCAGAGGUUGGCAAAAAGGGCGGGUACUGCAGUGCCGUACCACAGUACCCUGCAGCCGAAAUUCGGCUUAAGGCCCUGACUGCGGGUCUCUCAUGACCAAAAUUUGACAAAAAGACGUGAUUUGCAGCCUCGAUUGCGGCCCGUAGGGCUGCAUGCUGAAUUUGAACUCUGUGUUUGACUUUGAAUUUUUUUUAGGUUGUCGUUAGGUAGGUCGUUAGGUUAGUCGUUGGUCUGCAAACCACCUAGUCGUAUUCAAAGUGACCAUUGUAAGAUUCCUAUUUAUUUAUUUAUUUAUUUAUUUAUUUAUUCAUGCUAUGCUUGCGUCAUGAGCCUAAAUCACGUCAUUGUUCGUGAAAAUACCAGAGCUGNNNNNNNNNNNNNNNNNNNNNNNNNNNNNNNNNNNNNNNNNNNNNNNNNNNNNNNNNNNNNNNNNNNNNNNNNNNNNNNNNNNNNNNNNNNNNNNNNNNNNNNNNNNNNNNNNNNNNNNNNNNNNNNNNNNNNNNNNNNNNNNNNNNNNNNNNNNNNNNNNNNNNNNNNNNNNNNNNNNNNNNNNNNNNNNNNNNNNNNNNNNNNNNNNNNNNNNNNNNNNNNNNNNNNNNNNNNNNNNNNNNNNNNNNNNNNNNNNNNNNNNNNNNNNNNNNNNNNNNNNNNNNNNNNNNNNNNNNNNNNNNNNNNNNNNNNNNNNNNNNNNNNNNNNNNNNNNNNNNNNNNNNNNNNNNNNNNNNNNNNNNNNNNNNNNNNNNNNNNNNNNNNNNNNNNNNNNNNNNNNNNNNNNNNNNNNNNNNNNNNNNNNNNNNNNNNNNNNNNNNNNNNNNNNNNNNNNNNNNNNNNNNNNNNNNNNNNNNNNNNNNNNNNNNNNNNNNNNNNNNNNNNNNNNNNNNNNNNNNNNNNNNNNNNNNNNNNNNNNNNNNNNNNNNNNNNNNNNNNNNNNNNNNNNNNNNNNNNNNNNNNNNNNNNNNNNNNNNNNNNNNNNNNNNNNNNNNNNNNNNNNNNNNNNNNNNNNNNNNNNNNNNNNNNNNNNNNNNNNNNNNNNNNNNNNNNNNNNNNNNNNNNNNNNNNNNNNNNNNNNNNNNNNNNNNNNNNNNNNNNNNNNNNNNNNNNNNNNNNNNNNNNNNNNNNNNNNNNNNNNNNNNNNNNNNNNNNNNNNNNNNNNNNNNNNNNNNNNNNNNNNNNNNNNNNNNNNNNNNNNNNNNNNNNNNNNNNNNNNNNNNNNNNNNNNNNNNNNNNNNNNNNNNNNNNNNNNNNNNNNNNNNNNNNNNNNNNNNNNNNNNNNNNNNNNNNNNNNNNNNNNNNNNNNNNNNNNNNNNNNNNNNNNNNNNNNNNNNNNNNNNNNNNNNNNNNNNNNNNNNNNNNNNNNNNNNNNNNNNNNNNNNNNNNNNNNNNNNNNNNNNNNNNNNNNNNNNNNNNNNNNNNNNNNNNNNNNNNNNNNNNNNNNNNNNNNNNNNNNNNNNNNNNNNNNNNNNNNNNNNNNNNNNNNNNNNNNNNNNNNNNNNNNNNNNNNNNNNNNNNNNNNNNNNNNNNNNNNNNNNNNNNNNNNNNNNNNNNNNNNNNNNNNNNNNNNNNNNNNNNNNNNNNNNNNNNNNNNNNNNNNNNNNNNNNNNNNNNNNNNNNNNNNNNNNNNNNNNNNNNNNNNNNNNNNNNNNNNNNNNNNNNNNNNNNNNNNNNNNNNNNNNNNNNNNNNNNNNNNNNNNNNNNNNNNNNNNNNNNNNNNNNNNNNNNNNNNNNNNNNNNNNNNNNNNNNNNNNNNNNNNNNNNNNNNNNNNNNNNNNNNNNNNNNNNNNNNNNNNNNNNNNNNNNNNNNNNNNNNNNNNNNNNNNNNNNNNNNNNNNNNNNNNNNNNNNNNNNNNNNNNNNNNNNNNNNNNNNNNNNNNNNNNNNNNNNNNNNNNNNNNNNNNNNNNNNNNNNNNNNNNNNNNNNNNNNNNNNNNNNNNNNNNNNNNNNNNNNNNNNNNNNNNNNNNNNNNNNNNNNNNNNNNNNNNNNNNNNNNNNNNNNNNNNNNNNNNNNNNNNNNNNNNNNNNNNNNNNNNNNNNNNNNNNNNNNNNNNNNNNNNNNNNNNNNNNNNNNNNNNNNNNNNNNNNNNNNNNNNNNNNNNNNNNNNNNNNNNNNNNNNNNNNNNNNNNNNNNNNNNNNNNNNNNNNNNNNNNNNNNNNNNNNNNNNNNNNNNNNNNNNNNNNNNNNNNNNNNNNNNNNNNNNNNNNNNNNNNNNNNNNNNNNNNNNNNNNCCUUCCCGGAACUGAGUGUCAGGCGCCCCCCCCACACACCCCAACACCCUUCACUGGCAUUCUUACCUGGAUGAACCAGUCCGCCUUCAGUAGCUUGUCCGGUGUAAGCGCCAGCGCAGAUGCCAUGGCUUCCAGGAGGCUGUGCAGGUCCUCAUAGCUGUCGAAGUUCUCAUCCUUGCAGCACUCACCGAGCACAACCAGCUCCCUGAACAUCGUGGAGCUGAACGACGGGAUGGCAAUGAUCUCUUCCAACAGCUCCCCAGACUCCGUGGUGGCCGCCUGAGCAGGGAAGAGCAGGCGGCAACAGGUAGUGAGUUGUUGUGUGUAGGGCAGCAGUACAAGUUAGCAUCCUUUAGCCUAGCACAGUCCAGUCUCCUGAGUCCCAGAAACCCUUCUGAUUCUGUGUUGCAGCAACACCCUGCAUGCCUUGAGAACCGACACCCAGGUGAGCGCCUCAAACACCCACUUCUCCAGGUGUGCACCUGAACACAACAACUGCAUGCAUUGGCCCUCUGUGUGUUCGUCCACCAAGCCUCUAGGGCCUCCUGGUUGGUGAACAUGCGCUACUCAGAAGGUAUCCUUGAUGUACAUGGGCAUGUGUUGGCUUUACACUCGUACCUGCAGCACCUGAGCGAACAGCAGGUUAUCCAGGUAUAGCCUGCCGUUACGCUCGGUGGUGAAGCUGGACAGCAGUGCCUCAAACGCCGGCGGGAGCUUGGCACGCUCCACUCCAGCCAUCGGGUCCAGCAGCUCACGCAGGAGCAGCACCUGUGAAGUAGGCUGGCCCAGCACUGGCACCACCAUGCGUGGGUCUGUCGGCACUUGCAGCGCCAUGCGCAGGUCUAUCAGCACCUGAAUAGGAAUCACAUGCAGCNNNNNNNNNNNNNNNNNNNNNNNNNNNNNNNNNNNNNNNNNNNNNNNNNNUAGCUGCUCCCAGGCGACUUGCAGCACACCCUUGGACACCGUGGCGCUCAGGUUGAGUCGGUGGUGGUGCGAGAUUAGGGCAAAACCGUUGGUCUGCGGCCGUGCACAGCAGAGGUGUUCAGCUCUACAGAAGCUACAGUCAUGGGUAGGAAAGGCUGGGGGGGGAGCAUGAGAAGCUGAGUGGGGGUCAUGGCUGGGGUUGUGACAAUGAAGCAGGCGGGAAGUGAGCUGAGGGUCCACCCAAAGGCGCUGGGUCCUGGGACUGCAACCAAGGGGGGGUACAUACUUUUUUCCGGAACACAUGCUACAUUUUUUGCCCGGCGACCCUAGGACCACCCACCCACUGUCAUACAUGCCCAAAACAGUCAUUUUCACCCAGGAAAAGACCAGCAUGAUCUGCGCAUUAAGACUUUUCAAUAUCCGUCACAAAAACUGCGGUGCAGCCAAUCACAGCAGCAGCUGUGUGAGAACAGCCACCACCAGCAUGUCCCCUGUUGGAAAACCCGCUCGGAUGAAGGCCAUACAUAUGGCCCAAGCGCAGCUUAGAAACGAGCACACAAAAUCAAUACGCACAGCAGGACCAUCACAACUAAGGCAGCGUUGCAGAACCAGUUUCGGUAGACAAAGCGUGGCCGUCAACCCCGAUGGGGAACCCUGAAGGGGAACCCUGAAGUUCCAAAAACAGCAAGCAGCAUCAUAACGAAGUCUAAGCGCCUGGACAAACGCAGGAGCCAGGAACAUGCCUGACGUGCAACGCCAGAAUAUGCAGCCCAUAAGCAGAGCUCCACACCAAAAGCUGACAUGCCCGCAGCAUUCACAAGUGUUGCAAGCAGGCAUGCAUGCAGGCCAGUAACCACAAGAGACAGGGAUGCCAGUUUGCGUUCACACAUUUGCCACAUGUGAUAUGGGCUUUCCACGCUUCGAACAUAUGAAGGACGCUAUGAAGUGGGAGCCUGAACGCCUGGCAAGGAUGCUGGAACGCAUAUGGUCCCACCGCAACUCUAUCGUUCCCUUUGGUCGUUAGUAUACUUCAUCACUUGUCUCGUUGGAAGUGCGAGGUAGGAUGGUGCUUAUAGGCGAUUUGGCAGCCCUCGGCUCGUAUUAGGGUGGUUUGCAGGUACGGGGAACACACCCACGACCAUGUAACAACAACAACAACAUUUGCCAGUAGUUCAGUGACAUGAUUGAGUUCACACCGACACACGGCUGCUGCUGUUCACAGCACCACCGCGUCAGCUGUGCUGCCAGCAAUGUUGGCCCAGAAGCAUGACACGCCACUGCUGAGGGCCUGGAUGCCGCUUCAUGUCUGCUAUCCACACAUCCAUUUUCUUGCUCGCCUUCUUUAGCACGCACGUUACAUGAACCCAGUUGUUACAACUGCCUAGGAAGAUAUAUCGACAUGUUCACAGCGACAAUGAAGGUCCAUGGCCCAGUGGCCCACCAUGGCUCUUGCCGUACAUGCAACAAGUGCCCACUCAGUCCUUGCACCCAAUCUGUCCGGCGCGCCUAUGACACAUUGUCACACCGAAAGGAGACGUGUAAACAACUCUGGUUCACACGUGUUGUGUGGCGCCAAGAGGUGCUGGGAGACAAGGCCCCAGGCCUUAAGGGCCCCCCAUCAACUAUCCUCCCUAGCAUCACAGCAGACUAGUGCAAUCGAUAGAUCUCAUCAAGGUGAAGCGAUUGAUGUCCAUAUUGGCAUGUUUUAGCCACUGGUGACAUUGUUUCGGGACCCCUUUGUUCCCGGACCCCCGGACCCACCACUCCACAUGCUGCAGUACAACCAACUUUGGAGACCAAUAACUUAUGUAUUCCUGGGUCCUUUUGCAUUCUAAAAGCAGUUACAGAACGCCCUCGCCUAGCUGUAGUUCCCCCAGAAGUGCCUCCUACCCCCCCCUGCAACACCAAUUGCUUACCGGGGUGGCAGCAAUGUUGGCCCAUAGCGUCGCCAUGCCGCUGCCCGUGAUGGCCCAGGCGACCCAGUGGGGGCUGUCCAGCAGGAGUUUCUUGAAGAUGCUGCAGUACACACGACAGUUGAGGGAAGGAAAAUGGUGCAUGUGUCAGCUCCUUUGUGUCGUACGCCUGCUGUAGGCAUGAGUGCAGACCUCUGCCCCUUGUGCAAUAUGCUUAUGUCAUACAAUUGAUUCUCGCAGCAAUCUCCUCUUAGUGCCUUCUGCCCCCUCGUGUGAAGCUCCGCCUGGGCACGUUUCACUGGCCAUUGCCCCUCAUCCUCGCCCAUGUGAUCACACGACACGGUUAGGGAAACCUUGUGCUGAUUUACCGCCGCAUGAGCUGCACUUCGUCCAUGUCCAGAGUUGAGCCGCGCGGCGAAAAGCCAUCCCCCGAAAAGUCAUCCCACAUGCUCCGCUCAAGCAGGUAAAAGCUCUGCGCCUCGUCAAUCAGCAGGAAGUUCAGGCGGUCCCGUGGCAGGCGCCACAUGAAGUCCUGAAUGGCGUCCACUACAGCACCAGCCGAGUUGUCGCUGGGUGCAGGCGUGCUGGCGGCAGCAGAGAGCUGCUGGUCGGCAGCGCUCCGCUUGAGUUUAAUGAGGAAUUCCUGAAGGAAGACACUGCUGCCGCUCCAGCGAUCUAAGGUCAAGCACUUCACAUGCAGGAAGUUGGGCUCUGAAAACACCGUGCCGGCAUGCUGCCGGCCGCUGCUGUAGUAGGUGUUGGCCACAGCAGGCAGAACCUCCUUGAGCAUGUAGGACUUGCCACUCUGCACAACAGGCACAAGAUGGGUGCAAGAUGGCUAGGUAAAUGCGCAUUCCUCUUGGUCGCUCAGCUGCGUAUCACUCGACAGUGCACAAAGAUGCAUGCACCUGCAUGUAUCGCAUCUAUCACACCUAACCUUCUCACUCCAAACCAUGUUGCAUGUGGAUGACGCAAGCUGCACAAGGAGCUCUCCAACCUUGGUCAGGCCCUUAUAUCCCACCUUGAUCAGACCGUUGAUGAUCAGCGGUGGGAUGGGUCUGCCAUUACGGUGCUCAUCCUCGACAAGGCCCAGCCACUUCUGCAGCUCAUCUAUCUGCCUGCCCUCGGGGUCCAGGAAGAACCUGCUGCUCACGCCAGCGCGUACAGCAGCUGCAGUGCUGUUGGUGUCCAUGGGCUCAAAGAAGAACAGGUCCUGGUUCUGUGAGUCUCGCCGGAGCUGCAGCUUGCAAGCUGGCAGGCCUGCACAAGGAUAGCCCAUCAUGCCCACAAGGUGCAUACACAUUAAACAGCCAGCCACUGUCGCCCAGUUGCAAUGCAUGCAGGAUCACAACACAACGAAAGGAGGCAGGAACGAAGGGGUGCAGAGCAGCAGAGUGACGAAGCAACUUCAAGCUGAAUCAAGCCAUAAGUCACACCCCUCAGGCAGCAGGAGGUGUAUGUCAUGCAGAACACUGAACCGCCCCUUUAUGGCGGGUAGAGAAAGUGUGUGCUCUCCCACAACCGAGCAUCCAUGCACUCAAGCCCAGUGCUGCAAUGAAACGGGCACACCAAGCCCACAAAACCUGUUUCCCCCCCAUCCCGUGUCAGGCACAGUCGGCUCACCUGCUGCAGCAUUGCUGGUGCCAGAAUCAGCACCUGCAGGCGGCAGGCCCACGGCAGGGCAAGCGGGAUGGGUCACCGGAACACCAGUGCUGUACAACAUGAGCAGCAUUAAAUCGUCAAACAUAACGACAAUGCAGUGCGUGCACACAUCAUAGACAUGGUCGCCAGACAACGUGCAGGGUGGGCCACUAUCACAAUGGGUGUAGCAAGCUACAUUUACCUUAGAAUAUCUUUAAGCUAUUAAAGCUUAAUCACAGUAACGGUACGGUCCCGUAGUUACAAAUCAUACUCGUUAACUGUACGAACUCACUUUCUGUUGCGCUAUCACAACCUAGCGUACGACACCAAGACUCCAGGAAUGGAGAUGGCGGCAGGUGGGCCGCAUUUAAGCCACCCAGGUGAAGUGCUUCGGCCAGACACUUAUCGUAUCACUAUACCAGUGUUCGGAUGUUCAAGACUCUGCUGUCACCGUUCUCGAUGUAUGUCUUCGAAUUCCGACUUCCCGUAUCUGUUCUCGCGCCUAAUGCUGGGUCAUCAAUCGUGGACCAGACCCUCCGCUUCCGCUCAAACAGCUAAGGUAAGAGACGGCUGUUACAAUGGGGCACACAGCUGCACGGCGGGGUGCGGGGUGCUGUACUUUUAACAGCUGGUGGUAAAGUGUCCACACAAUGCUGAUACGCAGUGGAGGGGGUUGUGUGUGAUUCAAGCAUCAGGGCAUGCCGACCCAAGGUGCUUCAAUAGUGCAAACAAAGACGGAUGCACACUACAACAAUUUCAACGUGAGCUUUGGUGUUGCACUGCUGCCGUAACAGUGGUUGGUGUUCAGCCGAUGUCAUGCUGUGUGAGGAACACUCUUCUGCCCGACCCCAACCAACCGCGUGCCAAUCCAUACCCUACAGCACCGUGAACAUGCUCACCGGCAGCCGCAGGCAGCAAGCAUGCAGGGGGAGCAAAGUAGAACGGAUCCCAGUGAGACGGCAGCUUUAUCCAUGCCGUGAGCCGUGAGCGAAAAACAACCCCAACACGCUUUGAGUAUUUACAUUGGUCAGUCAGGCAGGCAGUCGCCAUUCAGACACACUCAGCUGUGCCCAUAGCAGCAAGGUAGAUCCCCCACCAUGACCAGCCUACUCUGCUGCAAUCUUCACGGUAGCUCAAUCGUUGUGUACAUACUGAACCACCUCAGGAUGUUUGAGCUUCUGCUUUUGCACAGGUCAAGUCGCCAACGAGGGGAUUUUCACGCACAUACUUGUUGUUUGACUGGCAACCAAGCAGGCCUUACCUGGUUACCAGCCGCCUUCCACCCGAAACCAUGUAGAUUGAUGCUAAAAUAUCUUUCGAGUUUUUGCAAAAAAACUUAGGGAUAAUUGUGGGGCCCCUGAAGCCAUGCUUCAAAAGGACUCAAACCCUUUUGGGUCACUCCAGGGUGCCUCAAUUUCCUCUGUAGGGCAAAAUGGAAAAUUGUCUAAUGAACUCUGUUUUCGGUUGGGAGUCAUCGACUUGGGUUUCACUGAUCUCUCUUUGGUCGGUGGUAAGCUCACAGUCGACACACAAGUGGCACUUAUUACCACAGAUAUGAGACUCAGCAUGGGAAAUAUAUCUAUUGACAUGCAGAGCAAGUUUCCCUCUAUAGGAUUGAACUUCGAAAAAAAAUUACCACUGUUUUAAAUCCGAUGUUUUAAUACAUUAUCCAGCCGCCUGAUGCAGGUACAGCUGCCUGGGUUUAUCCCCCUGGUAACACAUUACCACCCUCUUCUAUCCAGAUCCACCCAAAGAGAGGCUGCACCAGUAUGUGUAGGAAUUAAUUCCCGGGGUUUUCUCUAGGUUAUCAUUAUAAAGGAACCAGCCCCCCUUAAGAGGUCAUACAGCCAGAAGGGCAAACAAGAGGCAGGAUUAGGGCUGGGAAUUACGGUUACGGUCCUUACGAAAUUGCGCAUUACACCGUAAGCAAUUACGGUGACCCCCCAAAAACACAGUAAAAUGACGGUCCUUACGGUGUAAUGUAAUUACGGUUACCAAAAGGUCCAAAUUGCGGUCCGACGGCAAGCGUGCGAGCCAAUACCGACGACCACACCUCGAAACAUGCCAUUUCGUCCCUUGGAGCUACGGGAUAGUCUUAAAAAGCUUAUUAUACAUUAACCUAUGAUUAAAUUAUCACAAAAGACAGCCAAAAAAUGCUGAAUGAGGCGAAUACAUUUCAACCGGAGCACCGCGCGCGCAUUGAGGACUGCAUCUGUUGUAUGUCAUCAUGCCAUAUGGUAGAUCCUCAACCAAGAAUGAUGCUCCUAAUAUAUACGGGCCGAACGUGCGUAACAGUGUCAGCCUCCGUGUCAGCCCGCCUUUGGCUGGAUGUCACCCAUAUCGCGGCUAAAUACAAGCUUAGGUGCAAGUAACCCUGAUAAAACUAUGUAAAAAGGUAUGAAAUAAGCUUAUAUAUCGUUAUAUAAAAAGGAAAGUAAGGAUUUGGCUCCGACAACGAGGACCGUAAAUCGUUACGGUCCAAUUUGCCCCGGAACCCACCGUAAAUUUCAGUAUUUACGGCGUUGCGCAUUACACCGUUAGCAAUUACGGUCCAUUUUAUGGGAUUACGGUGUUUUUCCCAGCCCUAGGCAGGAUACAUAGCUAGAUAGGUGUGCAAAGUCAUCCUUAAGUGCAGGUAGAUAGGCAAGCCAGAGCCACAACAUUGCCAAAGCUGUUAGCACUUCACUACCUAGUAAAAAAAAUGAGGACACAAAGGAUUCAGCUCCAAGAAGUAACAUAAAAAUGAGGCGAACUCACCAGAGCUGGGACCCGGUGGCGGGACAGUAGUUGCCGCAGCUGUAGAUCAAGGAAAAACGAGGGUGCAGUAUGCAGGUAGGUCAUUUGUCACGAAAUUGUAAAGAAACACACAGCUUACUAUCGGUUCAGAAGACCAUGACCAUGCAUGGUACGCAGUGCACCAAAGAAGCGUGUGGCAUUCUCAUCCAGAACCACUGUGGUAGAUGUAAGAAGGGAUCAGCUCCCCUGGCAUCUCCCUGAGUACUCUUUGCCUGGUGUUACAUUGGUGCGAUUUUCUAGGAGGUGAGUACUCCCCGGAUUGGAUUUGGUUGAGAACAUAUCGCACACCAGGCAAGAUGCAGCAUACUCUUACCCCCAAAGGUGGAUGCAGGGGUGGGUGAGAAGUAUACCAGCCGAGUAAAAGCAAAGUCCUCCAUCUCGGACGGGGACUGACGAAAUCUCACAAUAACAAACUAAUUCACAAUCCUACAGGAUCUCAAACAACCCAAAUCCUACGGGAUAUGCCCGGGGGCGCCCGAGAACGUUCACUCGAGGGGGGGAGGAAUGUAAGAAGGGAUCAGCUCCCCUGGCAUCUUCCUGAGUACUCUUUGCCUGGUGUUACAGUAGAAGCCGUGGACUUGGCCGUUUAGCAUGCACAAAGUCGAAAGGGCAUGCAGCUACCAAAGCCACCAGAAUCUUCGCUAACACAACCAUGCUCAUAGGUGCAUAUUAACGGCCAAAAGCUAAUGCAGGUCGGUAUAUCAGGAAGACCACGUGCAUCCUGGAUUCCCGAUAUGUGGCGGGUGCAGGUAGAGGCAGCGCGGCUCGCAUGUAGUAGCAAUCUUUAUGCAGCAUUCUUAACACCUUAGGUAGCUUCACGCGCAAGUUUGCAAAGGCUAUCUGCAAAACCUAGGUUUGGAACUCGCCACCAGCACCUCGGCGUGCUAGCGGGAAAGGGCGUGCGUCCUGUCUACUCUCAACCACAAUGCCUAAGCAUCGCAGCACAAUUGAGGGACAAUUCUCGCAGGGCUUGACGAGACACUCCUAACGCCCUAUGCGUCCAAUGGCACUCCUAACGGCCCCAUGCGCAAAUUUUACAAGUGCGUGCCUGCAGUGGCGGUUUACAGGAUACGAGCCCAACAAUGCUUAAGUACGCGAUUGCAUACAACGGACCUUGGAUGGCGGCCUUUAGAGCCAAACGCUGUCGAAGAGUGAGGCCUGCUGCUUGUUCCGCGUUCAGCAUGCGGAAAGCGCUGCUGACCUCGGCAUCUACGUCAAAGCCUAAAUCUGAAAGGGCAGCAACAAUUGGCGAAAUGGAACUAGCGUCCUCGCCCCUCACAGAAAGCAGGGCUUGCCGAAUGGUCACCAUGUCUAGGUAGACCCGGACCCUGUGUGCUUAUUCGAUUGUAUUGGAGGUCACUGUUGCAUUUCGGCGAGGCCUUCCUCCUGUCUUCACUGCGUUAAGUACGCUGGGUUAGUUGGACGUAAGGCCCAGUGCGUAGCUGAUAGUCUAACUGUUUAUCGACGGCCCGUGUCCUCAGGGCCGUCAUUUAUUGCGCGCAUUCAUCUGGUUAGGUUAUCAUGUUUUAGUUGUUCAGCGCGCGCUGAUCAGCAAAACGGGUCCCGCGCCUCCGGCGCUACUUUACCGUUGUGCCUUCGGCUCGUCAGCGAGACCCAUCGGGUAGAGUGCAGAGAAUAUAAAACACUAGCACCAAAUUGGAGCGUUGGGAGAUGGUUGAGUAAUGUGGAAUGGAUGGAGAUGCACUGAGGGAAAGGAAGGGGGCUUGGAUGUUUUUUGGGCGGGGCCCCAGCGCGAAGCGCCCAGGGGGGCCCCGCUCUGUAGGAUUGCCCAUGUCCGGGUGGCCGUGUGUAACGGACCAAACAUAAUAUCUCGCCCGGCUGAAACGCGUUAUUGGUAAUAUAUAGCAUUCUCUGUUGCAAGGUAUCUCGCCUGUAGCCAACAAAAAUCGUAUGAGCCAAAGUCACAUCAACGCCUCUCGAGCUAAAUUUAAUCUCAAAAGGUGCCGCGUAUCUCAUAAUUGAAUUCUUAGAUUACCGGCGUAUGAUAACUCGAACACCCACGGGCAUUCCGACUGAAGUAUGCAAGCUGUUCGUUUGUACAAUUACUUCGGCCAAUGGCAGUGUGCCGCGGCGGCUGUGGAGCGGAUUGCUGAGGCCGCUGGCGCUUCGGGGAUAAACUUCACGGACAGCAUCGGAAAGUGCUGCGGGCUUUUGGGAAGUGUGUCGAGCUAGGCUUUGAGGGGGGGCGCCUAGGGCGCGUGAGCGCCCGAAUGGGCAGGUCAAUGCCUGAAGGGGCGCCAUAGGCAGUGUGUACGGUGCUCUACGGCGCUACGGCGCUGUUUUCCGUGUGUGUUCGGGCUGCGGCACCAGACCGCAAAGCCAGCAGGCUGAAGGCUGGCAAGCUGCGAUUGUGUCUCCUGAGCGUUGAGCAUCCGGCCUGGACUGCGGACUUGGCGGCCGAGCCCCUGCUGUGUGCCGGCAACGGCACCUCUGACUCAUACGUUUACGCCCAAGCAAGGGGCUGUCGGUGGCAGGUCGCGGACCUCCCGAAUACGUGUAACGGCCAAUGAUUUUUAGCCGUGUCUGCUAGGUUCCAGAGAGACACCGUCUCUUCAGCAGGUUAUGAGCCCCGGCUUCCUGCCUCCCGCGCUCUGACAAGCAUAGCUCCCACAGCAUCAGCACUGCUGCAACAAGCACAGCUCCCACCAUGUUGGCACUACCCUAGCUACCGGCCUGUACGGAUGUGUGUGUGUGUGUGUGUGUGUCAGGUGUGGGGCGCGGAAUGGUGUAAAACAGGAGGGAACGUAUUUUCCUAUGGCAAAGCGCAGCGCGAGUAAAUGAUGCCAUGCGAUGCUUGGGAAUGUAUAUGUUCAUAUUUGUGUUUGGGUGCAGGGGGAGGAAGCUAAGAGGAAAUCCCCUAAGAGGAGGGAAUCGCCAGCUACAUAAUCGCGCCCACCCCAGAAACUAUGGGCACGAUUAUGUGGCUGGCGGGGCCCUGGCUGCUGUCCUGCCGUUCCGCGGCCUUGUCGAUUGAGGUUGCGCGCCGGUAAACCAUGUCGCAGUUUGGGACACGUCGUAGUUGGGGACUGACCUUGUGGAUUUUAAUAAGGUGGAUUUUGGAAUCGGUUCUCCUGGAGCGUGGAGCGUGUCAAAAGACCAUUGUGGCACAGAGUGAUGGAACGGAAUAACGACCGUUCAACAACCGAACGCGAAGGUUAAAUCCACGGUAAUGCGUCUGCCAUGGACACGAAGAGCGUUUGCAUUCUCCUGAAGAAGGAAAUUUAUUUAGGAAAUGGAUUGCCUUUUCAAGGAAUGAACAACUCACAAGCAAUAAGGUUCUGGUUUAAAGCGCGAAACUCCUACCCAUCUGGUAUUUGUCCUAUUCGAGAUGGUCUUUCUAUUCUGCAAUGUUAUGUGUAGGCCCUAACACAGUUUCGGGUGAGAGGAUCGAUGGCCAGCUGGAGGUGCCCGGUAUGUUAUCGUGAGCGCCUCUCAUCAAAGUGGCGAUACGCGGUCCUGCAUUGUGGUCACCAAUACUGUGAAGAGGUGCGUAUGGCUUCGUUUUGAGAUGGCUGUUGGUUUCGGAUGAACGGUCUUCUUUGCCGAAGCGAUGUGCAAGAUACGGCCCCAGGCAUACAUUCCCGUCAAGUUUCACAUCAACACCCUUAUUCAUGCAGCGGUACCAACUGCUGUGCCGUUGGCGCCUCGCAGUGUCUAGCGGAAAUUGUCUGGCGACAACAGAGCGUUCGAAGGCCGGCAUGCCCAAUAUGUCGCCAGCCCAUGCUUCAUUGCGGUCCAGUGUCCGACACCCCAGAUGGUGGGCCUAGAGAUGAAGCCAACGCAGCACCUUUACUUGCGGCACCACGCUGUGCAACUGGGGCAUUGCCAUCGAACCACGGACCGCACGGAGGACUUCCCGCCCCUGCCUACGAUGUACUGCCCUUGCAGGUUGGCAGAGUCCGAUUUGAGGUGUGUAAGGUGUGUAUAGUCAUUUGAAGGAAUUGCUAGUACGCACUAAACAAGAUCCAACUUGGAGGGAGGGAGGAAGGGAUGUAUGGAGGGAGGGAGGGAGGGAGGGAGGGAGGGAGGGAGGGAGGGCCCUAGGGCAUACAUUCGGCCGUAACCGAUCGGUAGCCGAUCCGGCCCAACCGAUCGGUGGGAUGGGGCCUUGGUAGGUUUACCGAGGAGUUACCUACCGGCCUUUACCCUACCCUGCCGAUAGUUCACCCUACAGAUAGGCUAGUAGCCUAUCAUGUUUUCGGGCGCAGACGGGGCCUGGAAACUGGGCUUGCCGUAUAAGGCCCGCUUGGUCACCAGUCAAACAACAAGCUUAACCACCCUGUAACAACAUCAACAAGCACAAAUGUGCAUUGCGGCUGUUUCGCGGCUGUAUCGCAGACAUUUUCAUACAUCUAAGCAUAUCCAUAUGCCACAUAAAAUAAAGUCAAACACCUGUUAAUUCAGCCGUCCUAGCAUAUUACGAUAGAAUCCAGCUAAAAUUACCCCGAAAACCGCUUCAGACAGUUUCGGGGUACCCGAAAACACUCUCCGGCUGACAGGAAAUUUUUCGGGGAGGGCCCCGAAAGGUUGGUUAUUCAGAGGGUUUCGGACACGACCGAAAUUUUUGGGUGAAGAACCUCGGUGGCUACCCGUCCUACCAGUCGGUUACCUGCCGGGGCAAAACUCGGUUGACCGUAACGGAAUGUAACGGAAAGUGCCCGGAACCAUGCACAAGAAGUGCCUUGCCUUGUCUACACCUGCUGGUUCAGUGAAGCGGCCAUAUGGAAAUGUAGUAGCUGGCCCAGCUGAAAAGGCCUCUCAAGAUGCGGCUGGAGCGCUUAGCGUGUAUUUGUAGACGAUGUAUGUGUGGCGUACUGUGUACCAGCGAUUACACCACAAUACUCUAGAGAAGCUUGUUCACCAUGUUCGCGCGGAAAUUCGCAUCCUGAAAAAGCAACUAGAACAGGCAGGCGGCUGGCAGAGGUUAAGGCCUGGCUUCUGCUCCCGUCCGGGUUCAAAUCCGCCUGCCGACCUCUCGGGGUGUUUGAGAGGUGAUGUAAUGGGAGGUGGCCCCCCAUCUUGUGGACGGUGUAGGACGUGAUAAAAUCAACUCGCGAGCUGACCAGGAACUAAGUUGACGCGCCGUUGAUCCGCUAGAUUUGGUUGGAUGCUGGUGGUGAGUUGCCGAACCCAACGAAUACACUCUGAAGUCGGAUGGGGUGAACGGAUUAGGGUGCCCCUCUAGCAGGGGAGAGCGGGGAAUUGCCUCGGGAAGGAGGCCACUGGUGAAGCUUAACCACCCUGUAACAACAUCAACUAGAAAUAUAAAGGUUGGCUUUAUAGAACCGGUUGUUAUUUAUUAGGGUUUUAUUUUUAUAGAAUCUGCUGUUACGUAUGCCGCUGCAAGCUGGGCGACAAGCUGCUGGUCGAUGGCUGCUGGGAGGCAGUUGCUCCUCUGCAUUUGUCGCCAAGUGUCGUUAUGGAGAUCGUUCGGAUUAUGUCCUUGCUUGUCACCAGCAGCCGGUAAUAACCCUACCAAACCGGUAGUCGGUAACUGGUCGCUUCGGUACCUGGCCGUUAGGGGUAACCGACGUAACGAACUAACCAUGGCUUCAAAGCUAACUAUCCAGGAGGUUUUCCAACGUGGACCAGAUUGCCCGACCCAUUUCCGCUUUCCAAAACCAGCUCGCUGUUCAAACUGAUUUCUCUAGUGCCGUGCAGCUAGCUGCGUUCCCAAUGUUGCUUGUCUUUCUUCCCCCAAGACCCCUACGGCAUCCUUUUUCAUGUUCUGAAGGACCCAUCGACUCCCGCGCGGACUGUCACCAAAUUCCCUUUUCCCUUCAG
rnacentral:lncRNA from 1 species